rnacentral:lncRNA from 1 species
GAGGUGCAGAUUUCCGACCAUGUCUUGCAGGUUACAGAGUGUUGUUGGUCCUGUCCGGUGCACUUAGACUCUUGGAUCAUGCCCGCAGACCUGUUGGUGUUAGGGCAGUUGCAGGACUUCGACGUAGUGCUCGGUAUGGAUUGGCUGGCGCGGUACUAUGCUACGAUCGACUGUGGAGCGAGGACGGUGACGUUCCGCGAGCCAGGCCAGGAGGAGUUUACUUUCAGAGGCUGCAGGAGCACGCUGUUUGCCACCUGGAUAUCUUCGGCGAGGGCUCGACAGAUGCUGAGCAGUGGGUGUAUCGCUUUCCUAGCGACAGUUGUGGAGGUACCUACGGCGGCGCCGAGACUCGAGGACAUCCCAGUAGUCCGCGAGUUUUCGGAUGUGUUUCCCCCUGAGUUGACGACAUUGCCGCCGGAGAGGGAGAUUGAGUUUGUGAUUGAUGUAGUUCCUGGAACUGCACCAAUCUCAAAGGUACCUUACAGGAUGGCACCGGCAGAGCUGAGAGAGCUAAAGGCGCAACUUCAGGAUCUGAUGGAUAGAGGGUUUGUGAGACCCAGUGUGUCGCCUUGGGGAGCGCCGGUGUUAUUUGUAAAGAAGAAGGAUGGUUCGCUCAGGUUAUGUGUGGAUUACCGGGAGCUGAAUAAAGUGACCAUCAAGAACAAGUAUCCUCUGCCGCGCAUUGAUGAUCUAUUCGAUCAGCUGCAAGGAUCUUGUGUCUUUUCGAAGAUUGAUCUCCAGUCAGGUUACCACCAGCUGAGGGUGAGGGCCGAGGAUGUUCCCAAGACGGCUUUUCGGACUCGGUACGGGCAUUAUGAGUUCACGGUGAUGCCUUUUGGAUUGACGAAUGCCCCUGCCGCAUUCAUGGAUUUGAUGAACAGAGUGUUCAAGCCGUUCUUGGAUAGGUUUGUGGUAGUCUUCAUCGACGAUAUCCUGAUUUACUCCCGGAGUGAUGCUGAGCAUGAGGAGCACUUGAGGAUUGUGCUACAGCUUCUGCGCGAGAAGAAGUUGUAUGCCAAGUUAAAGAAGUGCGAGUUCUGGCUACGGGAGGUUGCUUUCUUGGGCCACGUGAUUUCAGCUGAGGGCGUAGCAGUGGACCCGAAGAAGAUUGAGGCGAUUCGAGAUUGGCCUAGACCGACGACGGUUACUGAGGUACGGAGCUUCCUGGGACUGGCAGGAUAUUACCGUCGGUUUGUGGAAGGCUUUGCGAAGCUUUCCACACCCCUCACACGCUUGACGCGGAAGGGGAUUCGUUUUGUCUGGAGCGACGACUGUCAGAGGAGCUUUGACGAGUUGAGAUUGAGGUUGAUGUCGGCUCCUAUCCUUGCCCUUCCUGUUAUGGGCGAAGGAUUUGUGAUCUACAGUGAUGCAUCGCACAGUGGACUUGGUUGCGUGCUGAUGCAGCAUGGUAGGGUGAUUGCUUAUGCUUCACGGCAGUUAAAGGAUUAUGAGAAGAAUUACCCUACGCAUGACUUGGAGCUUGCCGCGGUAGUUUUUGCUCUAAAGCUCUGGCGGCAUUACUUGUACGGCGAGCACUGCGAGAUUUUUACUGAUCAUAAAAGUCUCAAGUAUCUUUUCACCCAAAAGGAGUUGAAUUUGAGACAGUGCCGGUGGUUGGAGUUGCUGAAGGACUAUGACAUCAGUAUCCAGUAUCAUCCCGGCAAGGCGAAUGUGGUGGCAGAUGCGUUGAGCAGGAAGGCAGUGCAGAGCAUAAGUAUGUUGAUCACUCGGCAGAGACCGUUACUCGAGGAGCUUAGACGGCUGGGACUCGAGGUGGUUUCCCCUGGAUUUACUGCGAGAUUGACGUCUAUGAUCUUACAGCCCACUCUGUUGGAUAGGAUUCGAGAGAAACAGAGUGGAGAUCCACACUUGUCGAGGAUUCGAGAGCAGCUUGAGAGGGGACAGGCCGAGGGCUUUGUUGUGGACAGCUCGGGAGUACUGCGGUACAGGGACCGACUGUGUGUACCUAUGGAUUCAGAGAUCCAAGAGGACAUCUUGAGAGAGGCUCACUGUUCACCUUAUACGGUUCACCCCAGUGGAACCAAAAUGUAUAAGAAUUUAAAGGCUCAGUUUUGGUGGAAUGGAAUGAAGAGGGACAUUGGUAGAUUUGUGGCUCAGUGUCUGACUUGUCAACAGGUAAAGGCCGAGCAUCAGGUACCUACUGGCAAGCUUCAGAGUCUACCAGUGCCCGAGUGGAAAUGGGAGCAGAUCACGAUGGACUUUGUCGUCGGAUUGCCGAGAGCACAGGGUGGUUUUGAUACAAUUUGGGUGAUAGUGGACAGACUAACCAAGUCUGCUCACUUCCUACCAGUGCAGACCACUUUGUCCAGAGAGAGACUCGCUCAGUUGUACUUGGAUGAGAUAGUGAGGUUGCAUGGCGUGCCCACUUCGAUAGUAUCUGACCGGGACCCGAGGUUCGUAUCGCACUUUUGGAGGAGUCUUCAGACGGCCUUGGGCACUCAGUUGCAAUUCAGCACAGCGUUUCACCCACAGACAGAUGGACAGUCAGAGCGGACCAUUCAGACUCUAGAGGACAUGCUGAGGGCAUGUGUCCUGAAUUUUGGAGGAGGGUGGUACCGGCAUUUGAGACUGGUUGAGUUUGCGUACAACAACAGCUAUCAAGCGAGCAUCCAGAUGGCUCCGUUUGAGGCGUUGUAUGGACGCAGAUGUCGAUUCCCUUUGUUUUGGAGUGAUGUGGGUGAGAGGAGGACGCUUGGGCCUGAGAUUCUUAUUGAGGCUGAGGAAAAGGUAAAAGAGGCGCGACGGCACAUAUUAGCAGCCCAGAGUCGACAGAGGAGCUAUGCUGAUACCCGGAGACGAGACUUGGAGUUCCAGGUGGGAGAUCAUGUUUUUCUUAAAGUCUCGCCGUCCAGAGGGAUUCGCCGAUUUGGAGUACGUGGAAAGCUCAGUCCACGUUUUGUAGGCCCUUUCGAGGUAUUGGAGCGAGUCGGGCCAGUUGCUUACAGGAUUGCUCUACCACCACGGCUAGCCGGCAUUCACGAUGUGUUCCACGUCUCGGCUUUGAGGAAAUAUGUGUUCGACCCCUCCCACGUGAUUGACUUCACUCCGCUUGAGAUUGGCGAGGACCUGAGUUACGAGGAGCGACCGGUGCGGAUUCUGGCUCGUGAGUCGAGGGAAUUGCGCAACCGGGUCAUACCCUUUGUAAAGGUGCAGUGGAGUAAUCAUGAGGAGCGGGAGGCGACUUCGGAGCCGGAGACGGUGAUGAGGGAGUCCUACCCCUACCUGUUUGAGGCCCUGGAUUGAGGUAUGUGUUCAGUUUCGCGGACGAAACUUUUUGUAGUGGGGGAGGAUGUAGUGUUCCUGAGCUUUGGAUAGGAUUGGCUUCAGUAUUAGUGACUGGUCGACAUCUCUGGAGAGUGUCGGACUGAGUCGGAGUCAAUUCUGCACGAAUUGGAUGCAGAAUUGGACUCGACGCACUCAAAUAAGCAAAACUGGAGUUUUGCCAGAUUCGGGCGCCCAGAAAAUGUUUAGGGUCGCCCAGAAACGAGUGUUGAAUUUUACUGAAACUGGAAGCCAAUUCGGAUCCCAUGUUCCGGGCGCCCAGAAGUGGGUCCGGAAAUUUCACCUCGUGAAUAUCGCUUGCUUCGACGCGUGGCAGGGCGGUAGGUGAGUUCCGCCGGUGCCAUUUACGGGCGCAGCACACCGCGAGCGGAGAGUCCGAGGAGCCCGGUUUGUGCAGUCAGGAUGUUCUGGUCGCCCAGAACAUGUUUCCGGGCGCCCAGAAACGCCCGUUUCUGCAGGGACACUGGAUAGCAGCUUAAGUUCCUGAGGCUUUUUGGAACGCUUCAACUCACUAUAAAUAGUUGGAAUGCGUCCCUUUGCUGCUCUUUUCUUCCCUCCUUCACAGAGAAACCCCUUUUAGCAUCUCAAACCUCGGAUUUGCUUCAAAUUGCAUCAAACUUCCAUUGAUCCAGCUUGAUGGUGUGCUGAUUCUGCAGUUCUUCAGCGUCGACCUCCAGUGUUUUGGCUCGUGUGCGACGUAGGAAGAUCGGAUUUCGACGAAACUUGGUUUGCUGGAUUCUAGACUUCCAGAGGAAUCCACGAAGCCCUGAAUUGCAGAUUUUGAUUGAGGUUAGCUUGGUCGAACUAAGGUUUUUCUGGACUGCUGUUGACAUUGAGCUGAAAAUUGGAUUUUUGAGCUUUUCUUGAUGCUAACUUUGUAGGCAGUGGGAUUUUAGUCCUGAGACUGAUCACCCCUCAGUAUUUGCUGGAUUUGGAACUGUCCUCACCUGAUUUGGAGAUCAUUAGGUGAGUUUUGACAUUGGAGUUGAGAUGAAUUAGCUUAAGUGCUGAAAUUUUGGCUAUUUGAUGAUUUUUAUUGGAUUUUUGGGUGAAUUGUAAAUCCAGAUCUUAAGGGGCUUUGUUGCUGGUUUGGAGGGGUUUCCAGCAGUGUUGCUUGAAGAUCCGAGACCCUCUUGCUGCCAGGAAUUGCAUUAGAGGUGGGUGUAUCAUCGGUUUCGCUCCUAAGUGCAUGUUUAGUCGACGUGUAUAGUUCGAUUUUUGUAUAUCAUGCUUUAAUUCAUCGAUUAGCAUUUUGGAUGUAAUAUGAAUAUAAAAGCAUGCUGAAAUGAAUGUUUAUAUUAUACAUGUUGGACUUGAAAUUUGACUUAGGAGAAAACCUGCGUUUUGACCCGUCAUAUGCUUAAACUACCAGAUUUAGCUCUAGGAGCCGUGAUUCGAUUGUAUCGUUGCAGUAUCAGUGCGAUGGAUACCUGGGGUAGUUUAGAAGGCAUUUACGCUCGUGCUGGGGUGCCGAGCUUAUUUUUCAGCAGAGUUUAGGCUGUUUCGGGUCGUUGGGUGCCGUUCGGGUUAGCGGUGGACCCAGAUUCUUGUUUUGGUCACAGAUUGUGCCGAGGGCACGUGGGUUUGGUUUGUAGACCUGUUUUGACCCUGUUCACUUGACUUUGGCUAGUUGGAGCCUGAUUGAGCUCGACAGAGAUACGCUGCAUACUCGGUUGGGUAGCGCCCACGAGUGCCACUCCGGAGUCAGGCUUUGUGCUUUCGCGUUGAUGUCACUCAUGCCAGUUGGACUUGCUCUCCACGGAUCAGUUAGUGUGGAUAGAGCCCGAUAGUCGCAACGGGGCAGGGACGGGUGUAUUCACAGUCCCGGGGACGGGUAUGCUUACAGUCCCGAUUGGAUUGGGUCAGGUUUGACAUUUCCUACAGUUGGUUAGUGUAGAGCAUGUUAGUAUAGUGACUUGUAGCGGUUGAGUUUAUUUCCUGCUUUUUGGCUAUUCUUGCUCCCUUCUGUAGACUUAGUGGGUGGACCGAUGUUGUUUUGGGCGGUACCCACUGAGGACUACUUGUUUUUACAGUAGUUCUCACGCCCAGUUGUUACCCAUCUUUUGCAGAGCCACAGGUUUCGGUUGCUGCGCCUUCCGCGGAUCAGGAUCGAGGCAAGGGCGUCGUGAGUUAGAGCCCUACCCGACUGACAGAGUUAGAGGCACCCUACUGCAGGUAGAUGUUUUGUUUCGAGUUUAUGUACAUAGUGGACUUAACUCGCCAGUGCGAGUAGCUUUGUAUUUUGGAUUUGGACUAUGUAUAUGAAACUCAGUUUGUUUAGCUUCUGUUUUCUCUAGCAGCUCUCUACUACUGUUCGUAGUAGUGUUUGAUUUACAGGUACAGCAAUCGCUUCGUAUAUAGGGGAAAUUCCUUUGUAUACGGCGGAUUUGUCGGCGCGCCCGGGAAAAGUGUAAUCCGGGGCGUGACAUUUAUAUAAGUUCAAUUUUCGAUAAAUAAAUGCUGCUUUUAAAAGCAAAAAAUAAUUCACGGUUUUCCAAACAAAAUUAUUUGAGGACUGUCUAGAAGGAUGCUACGUGGCUAGAUUGCCCAGCAAAAAGCGGCGAACAUACCAAUCCUAAAAAUUUGCAAAGUUUGGAUAUAUUGUUGUAAAUAUAUAAGUAUAGAGAUUAGAUUAUAAAAUAAUAUGAAAAGUGUUGAUAGAUUGAUCAAGUCGAGACACAAAAAUUUCACUUUCUUUAAAGACAUUCAACUCCUCUGUGGUUGGCAAAAUUCUCAAAUCGAUACAACAAAAUAAUUACUUAUCCCCUAAGAUGCCCAAGUUACAAUGGCUCAAUUCUCAUCAUAUGGCUUCACCAAUUCUACAUAAGUAGAUAAGUCUAAAACUCCACCAAAAAAUUUUUCUUUUGCCUCUCUCAAUAAGAAUAAUAGAAUAUAGGUUAGUUAUGUUAUUACCUUUUUUUGUCGACCCAAUAUGGAGGAGCUCUCAAUAUAUAGGACUAGGAGUUACUAGAACACGUUAAAAAUUUAGUAGCAAACUUAAAGAUUCGGAGUUAAAAGAAAUAAAGAGAAAUGUUUAAAAAUAAGUAUAAAUAUGUUAUGAAAUUUAGAAAUGCAAGAGCAAAGAACUUGUAACUUCAGUUACAACUCCACCAUAAUUUCAUAGGGUAUUAAAAAUAAAAUUAAUGUUUUAUUUAAUAAUAAAAUGUUCCAACAUAAUAUAUAUGUAAUUUAUGUUUGAAAAGUAUAGUAACAGGGAAGAAGUUGCAAGAGUGAAGUUGUAACCUCACUUGCAAUUCCACCAUAAUUUUAUAGAUUAUUAAAGAAAAAAAUUAAUAUUUUAUUUAAUAAUUAAAUAUUUCAACAUAAUAUAUAGGGCUUUUUUUGCAAAUGGUCCUAUGAAAAAAUUUUAUCUUAAAACUAGCCUCAACAAAUUUAUAAUUGCAAAAUGGCUCUAUUCCUGCCACGCAGGCGCUACGCAAGUGCCACGUGGGUGGCUGGGAGCUUGCUUGGUAAGUUGAACACGGUGAAUCAUUCACCAUGUUCAAACACGGUGAAUAAUUCACUGUAUUCCGUACUUAUAUUCUCCCUAUUAGGGAUGUCAAUGAGUCGAGCUUGGAUCGGAUUUUCAAAAACCUGAACCCGAACCUGAAAAACAAAUUAAAAUCCGAACCCGGUGGGUUUUAAAAAUUCAUACCCAUAUCCAUACCCGACCAAAAACCCGAAACCCGAACCCUGUUAAGGACUUUUUCUAAGUUGGCGGAUUUCGUGAAGUCGAAUGGAGUCUUGAGGAGUUGAAAACAAAGAUUGAAAUGAAGAUUGUGUGAUUCCAGAUGAAAAGACUCGUUUGUGAUGUUCGGUAACUCAGGUACGUGUGUUAAUAAUUUAUGGUGAAAAUCUACACAUGUACACGUGUUUGGAAGACUUAGAAUUGUUUUCAAAAUGUAAAACUGAAAAAUCUGAGUUUUCGAGGUUCGGGAUCCGGACCCUGGGUGUAGGGUCCGGACCCCGUAGGUCCCCUCUGCAUGUACGCAGCGAGGGUUCGGACCCUGGAGCUAGGGUGCGCACCCCGUAGGUUUGUAUUUUUAACACGCACCGAGGGUCCGGACCCUCGGGUUAGGGUCCGUACUCCGUACGUUGUAUUUGCUGUUAUGCAAAGAGGGUCCGGACCUUUGAAGCCAGGGUCCGGACCCUUCGGGAGGUCCGAACCCUCCGCCCGAUUUCAAAUAUCAAAAUCGUCUGAUCUCUUUCAUACUUUACCCUUUUCUUCUAAAACUUCUCCCACGAGCCUCCUACGCCUCCUGGGUGAUUUUGCUUUCGUUCUUCGCCGUUUUCAUCUUGUUUUCGGUAAGAUUUUCAAAUCUUCUUUAUUUCUUGUUAAUAUACUCGAAAAUAUGGCUAUUUUUGUGAUUUCUCUUGUUUGAUCCGUAAAUCUUGCUUAAUCUCUUGUUUUAUGCCUCUAACUUCAUUCUAAACUAGUUAGAGAAGAUUAUGUAGUGAUUUUGCAUGAUUUGGACCAUCUAUUUGCUUAGAUCUGUUCCGGCUUUGGACAUCGAAAAUAAUAUGCCUAUUUUUUUGAAAAUGACGGCUUUUGCAUAUUAUUUUGCAUUGAUUAGCAUUGCUUUCUGAUGGAUAUUGUUCAUUCAUGGAUACAUGUGGCCCUAGGAAUUUCUAGAUAUUUUUUCUGUAAUUUUUGAAAUAUACUUGAAAAUGUGCUAUUUAUAUGUUAAAUUUGUUCUUUCAAAAUGUCAAAAACAGGGAUUUCUUGCAAGAUGUAUUCACUACUGUUAGUCGUUGUGUUUCUUAUGACUGGUGCGGGUGGUGGUAGUAAGCGCCGCCGCUUCGGCUCAGCAACCUGCAACUAGAGUUGAGGAUGUGGGCAGUGAGUAUGUUCCUGCCGAUGAUUCUAAAACUGAAUUGACUGAUUGGGAAUCUCUUACUUCUGAGGUUCUCUCAAAGAAGAAAGGAAACGAAAAAGGAAAAGAGCCAGCGGGUCAAGGAAAGGGGAAAGAAAAAUUACCUUCGACUCGUGGCAGGAAACGAACUGGGGGAGUCGAGAUUCGUGAGCCUGUCGCUGAUCCUCCACAUUGCAACUUGCAAGAUGCUCCGGUGUCAUCAAAACGCCGGUCUAUGUUUUCAUCUAAAGUGUGCAUUGGUGAGCGACAUGUGGGUGUUAGACAGCUGAUUAGUGAAGCACCAGUUUUUCAGGCCCUAUAUCAGAAUGGUGAUCUUGCAGAAAUAUGUUCUUUUCCUGAGCAGAGUGGUUAUUGCCUGGAGUUGAUUCGGGAAUUUUAUAUGCGGGCUGGCUCUCUGUAGGAUUCAGAUGAUGGUCCUUAUACAUUUCAGACGACUGUUCAAGGUAUUUCUUUGGAGAUUACACCACUUGUUGUUGCAUCUACACUUCCUAUGCAAGCUCGCACUGACGGAGUUGAUUAUCUCCACGCGGGUAUUGACUCACUCCGGGAUUGGCGCCGCGUAGUGAAUGGGAUUAUAAUAUCAUGCCCACAAUGAACACGAAGGUCGUGCGUUGGGACCGGCUUCUCUACAUGUAUCUACUUGGGCAUCUCGAUGAGGUGAGAGCACGUGGGAUUAAUUUAAAUGUUCCUUUUCUGGUUUGGCGUCGGAUGACGAAGGAUAUGAAAUGUCCGGACCCUGAGACCGUAUUUUCGUUUUUAAAAUCAUGUUUUUAAAUCCUAAUCUAUCUAUAAGUCUUCUAAACCUAUAAAUAAGCUAUAGGGAGCAUCCUAUGAUAUAUGCUUAGAAAGAAGAAUCUUUAGAAACCCUAAAAACUUGUUCUUGGAUCUUUUUCAAAUUAUGUCUUAAAUACAAGUUUUUAUUUUUCAAUCGCCGACUUGAUUUAAAGGUUUCUCCUCGUAUCUUACGAUCUUUCUAAGAAAUUGAAUCACCACCAAUUAUUAUCUUCUACGAGCUCCGGAUGAAGUGUUGGCGCGAGGACUUCGCGUGAGGCCAUGGAUUCGGUGGACGCUUGAGGAUUCGAGGCGUUGUUGCUGCGAGGAUUUGCAGCGUGAUCGAUUGGAGGAGUUCGAUCGAUCAAGGACCGGCGAAGACGAUCUACGACGAGGAUUCGGUAAAAGUUGGGUCGUGUAUUUGGUAAAUCACUUUGUACUCAAUUUUUAAUAGUGGAUUGUUUCGUGUGAUCGGUCCCGUAGGUUUUUUACUCCGAGUUGGAGUUUCCAACGUUAAAUCUCGAUGUGUUGAUUUUAAUUUUUCGCAUUUAGUUUAAAUUUGCAUCGAGAAUUUUUAUUUUGUACCUAUUCACACCCCUCUAGGUAUUAUUUAUCUUUUAGAUCUUUGGGAUCCAUAUCUCACAAACCCAAAUCCGAACUCGAUGGGUUUUAAAAAUCCAUACCGUUGGAUGAAGAUCUAAGGGAUAAAAAUUUUUAAACAUUUUAUAUAUUGUAUAAAUAAAUAAAAAUAAAUUAUGUAUAUAAAUAAUUUAUUCGGGUAUGGAUUCAGAUAAUAUUUCGGGUAUCCAUACCCAUUGACAUCUCUACUCUCUAUUCCGCUUUUCAAUAUUUAUAUUGCGAAAAUAUAUAUAUUUGUAUUUUCUCUAGACACGAUAAACCAUUUAUCGUAUUUGGACACGGUGAAUAGUUCACUGUGUUCAACUUAACACCCUGGCUCAGCCCCCAUUGCGUGGCGCUGAAAUGGCAUCUGCGUGGCAAUGUCAGGGCCAAAAGUGCAAAUAUAAAUUUGCUGGAGCUAUUUUUAAAAUAAAUUUUUUCUAGGGGCUAGAUGCAAAAGAAGCCCUAAUAUAUAUAAUUUAUGUUUAAAAAGUAUAGGAACAGAGAGGAAGAACAAAAUAAAAAAAAUUUAAGGAAGUAAAAAAAAUGGAGAUCUUUCUUCUUGCAUUAGAUUUGAUUAAAUUUAGGGUUUCUAAGAUAUAAUAGCCUAUGUGCAAGAUUAAAAAGCAAAAGAAAAAUUCUUAGGCAUCGUUUAGUUUGAAAAUAAAGUAUAAUUAUUCUUGAUAUAAAUAAACUUUUAGAAUAAGCAAAAAUAAGAUCAAUUUUGUAUUUGGAUGAAAAUUGAAUUGUUCUUGGGAAUUAAAAAUAGUGUUUGAAUAGUUAUAUUCAAAUAUUGAGAAUAAAAAUAAUUGAAAUUAAAAUAAUAAUAUUUUAUCUAUUAAUUAAUAUAAAAAUAUUAAGUAAAUAACAAUUAACAUAUUUAAUUAACUAAUUAAUCAUAAAUACUGCUAGAUAUUCCCUAAAUUUUAAUUAAUAAGUUAAUUAACAAUGAGUACUAUUAAUUAGUAAUUUAAUUAAACAUAAGUAAUUUAAUAAAUUAAUAAUUUAAUAAAUUAAUAAAUUAAUAAAUUAAUUAGUUAAUUAUUUAAUAGUUAGAUAAUUAGUUAAGAAAAUGAUUAGAGUAGUAAAAAAAUAUAAUUAGGUAAUCAAUAUAAAAAUAUUAGUUAUAGUAUAAACACACUAAAUACACUAAAUAAUUAAUUAUUUAACUCGGACUAGCACUCGAACGGGGAAUUCUUCUACCCCGAGUCCCAAUAAUGAUUUUUUUAACUAAGAAUUUCACACAAUGGUUUUUUUAGAGGAUUUCAUAUUUCAUAAUAUCUCGCACUAGAUAAUUACUCUUCACCUCUCCCCCUUUUCUCUUUUCUCCGCUUCCUCCCUUCAUAGAGCUCUUGACUCAUCCCAUUCUUUGAAUUGCGUCGUCGAAUCGAUUCCACCCUCUGCUUUCCCUUCCACCGUCGUUCAAGGCCGCUUACUGUGUCGACCAUCUUUCGAGCGUGCCCAACCGCUUGUCCCCACACCUAGCUGCAAUGGCAGUGGCGACGACGAUUUCUAUGGCAUCGUCGUUCCGCCUCCUUCGCAGCCCUAUGACGUUCGUGAGCUCCCGCUGACCUCAAAGAAGGAGCGAGCCCACUGUCGGAAAUAGACUUUGCUGUCUCCUAGCACCUGCGUCUUGAUGACUAGAUAAAGCUAAAUAUUGACGGCUUCUUCAUUGGAAGAGACUCAAGUAGAGGUGCGGAGCUUACGGCCAGAGACUCUGAUGGCCUCUUCGUCUUUGUCGGAGCCUCUUCGCCUUUGUCGGAGCUUCAUGCUAUUUGGACGUCCAUCUUGGAGAGCCAACCAAACGAUUGGCGUCGACGGAGAUAACCAAGGUCGGCUUUUCGCACGUCAUCUUGGAGAGCGACUCGUUCUAGGUGAUCCACUUCUUCAGUAGGGGUAUCAAAAGUGCACACUAGGGGACAACACAGUCAGUGAAAGAGUGCUUGCAAGAUCAUUAUUCAGCACUGUAAUAACUGUCAUUUUUUUUUAGAAAUUAAACCCUUUGUUGACAAUGUUUCUGUGUGUAACGUAAUUAUAAAAGCACACGUCAAAUUUCAGGCGAAACCGAGCUAAAAUGGAGAAGUUAUGAGACCCGGAUGUUCGACUUAAGUGAAUAGUAACUCCGGUUUUCCGGAGAAGCCACGAAGCAAACUUGGCCUCUGGCGCGUACAGACCUCUGAAUAUAGGACUCCAAUAGCUCGUUUUGAACCUCUCGACUAUACUGGAACCAUUGGCGCUGACAGAAUCGGAUUCUGAUGUAUGGUUUUCGAGAAAAAGGAGUUUUAUCAAAAAAGAGGGUUUUCGUUCUUCGCUAUUCUUGCGUUAUGACACCCCUCGUGAUCUGUGUAUGUGACCAAGAGUAAGGUGAGGGAUGUUAUAGAUACCUACUAGUGGUAGGAGAUUCAAAUUUGAAUUUGAAUCAAAGGAUUUAGCGGGAUUAAACAUUGGUAUGUGUGUGUGGUUUUUGAAAUUGAGAGCGGUACGGAUUUCGUCGUGAAUCGGAGGUCAAAUCUGACGAAACAAAAUGGCAGUUUUGAUGCCCUCGUCGUGCUGAACGCGAUGGUGCAAUCCGUUCGGAAAUCCGAUGAACGGAUUGUCCGAUAAUGCAUGAAGUUUAUAAGAGGCUCGAAAGUGGCAAAACGGAAAAUCCCGCGAAAAGCGCGACAUUUAUGUAUCGAACGUGUGAGAUCAAACAUAGAGGUGUGUUAGCGCAAUCACUCACGCUGUGAAGGCUGGGUUGCAAAUAUUGAUUUUUGGGGGACUAGUUUUGCAUUUUAUGCAAAAUAUAUAUUGGGUAGCUAGGUUUUCACCAUGGAAACCCUAGACCAGCCGUUACCAAUCCCCAACUUCGCCCUAACCGACACCUCUGCACACCUGCCCAACCCUUGCGCGCACCCCGGCCGCCGCAGGUGCCCGGCCGCCGAAAACUCGAACCCCGGCCACCCCUCCCAUCAUUCCCUCUCAAUUAACCCACCAACCUCCUCCAUUACUAUACGUGGGCAACCCAGGAAUGUUCUCACCCUCGGGCCCCUCCCUGGCCAUGCCCGACUCCGGCGACUGCCGGCGUGCCGUCGUCACCGGCCCCGCGCGCAGCCGCUGCUGCCUUGGCAGCCUGCAGCCUUGCUGGCCGAGCUCGGGCCGGGACCGAGCUGCUGCUGGCCUGCGCGUCGCCGCCACCUGGUGACGGCCGUGCCGCCUCCCGCCGGCCUCUGACAACCGCUCGCCGUCGCCCGGAGCUCCCCCAGCCGUUCUCGUGGCCGCCGGCCGCCGCUCCCUCUCCCUGCGGCCGCGCAAGGUUUGCGGGCCGAGCCGCACCCCACCGCCGGCGCGCCUCCCCACCACCUCUGACCGUCGCCGCCGACCUCUGGGAGGUCACCGCCGCCGCCCUGAGCCGUUCCGAGGUCGCCGUCGCCGGAGAAGCCGAACCCAAGCUCCUCUCUCCCCGCGCGGGCUCGGUUUGGUCCAGCACCGCUGCAGCCGCCUUCCGCCGUCGAACGACGUGAGCACGGGUCCCUCCUGGUCGGCCGCACUCGUCCGCCGUCGUCGCCCGCGCCGCCGGAGCUCCUCGUCGGCCGGAGCGAGCCGUGUCCUCUUCGGGUUUGGAUGCCUAGGGCAUCAUUGGCCGUCGCCGCCGCCGCUUCCAGCCGCCAACCGAGAUGAGCACGGUACUCCUCACCUCCCCCGCACCCGUCCCUGGCCGCCGCGCAUGUCGCCGUGCUGCCGGAAGCCGGCCGGAGCAACCUUGCUCCGGCCAAGCCCGAAAUAGGGCUUAGUUUAGGACGGAUUCGUGUUCUGAGCUUCCCGAGCCUCCCUGAUCAAUACGGAAGGGAGCACGAUGAUCGUGACUCAUUUCUGAUCAUUGUGCUCACCUUGGAUUUUGCCGGGGAGACUCCGUUCCGCUGUUUCGGCAGUGUCGACCCUGUCAAGCCUGUUUGGCUGCUGUUUUUGGGUUUACGCACGCUUAUCCGGCGAUCUGAGGCUGUCCUGAUGCCUCCGGAGGUGAGCACGGUGAUCGUGGGUCAGUGCUGAUCACAUUGCUCACCUCACUUUGGAUCAACAGUGUCCGGUCAGCCCUGUUUGGCGCGAUCUUCCCCGACUGCGCGCUGUUCGUAGAACUUCGGGUUGCUCCCGCGCUUCCCACAGUGACCUGUUGCGCUCCAGACCGUGAGCACGGCCUCCGGCACGUCGAGACCUGUCAGUACGUGUCUCGGCGGAACUUAGAGGUCCUCAGUUUGUGAGAACGAGUCAUAGGAGUCGCCCGAUUUACAUAAAAUGAUGGAUUUUAUGUAAACAUAGGGGCUUUUGUGCAAUUGUACGCCUUGUGGCUACUGUGGGCAGCGUGUAAGUGUGUGUUUGACCUCUGGACUGAGUGUCCAUGAUCCUGUAGUUUUCGCGGAAAUCGAAAGGUCGAUUUCGGUGCGUUUUUCGACGAAAUUCGUCGAAAGAACGCGAUUUCGGUUCGGAUUCUUUUCGACAGUGUUUGUUUGCUCUGUGUUUUGUCGCUGAGCCUUGUUGGCUGGUCACCAUCAUUAUUUUGUAGGUUCGAUGAUGAUAGGUGAGCGACGGAGGGUUCCGGUGUCGAAAUAGACACUUUCGGGAACCCGGAUUCGUACAAUUAUCCGGCGAUAAUUGUGUAGGGGUGUUAUCUUGUGUUUGCUGCCAAAACAUCCAAAUUGGAGUGUUUUGGGGCAGCAGGUGACUCGUGACACGAGUCGGUGAGUUUCGGGACACUUAGUGGGUCCCGACGGCGUCCCAGUGUGGUUUUCGGGACUUCCGGCGAGUUACGGUAAUCGGUAUUGGGAAACCGAUCUUCGUGGAACCGUUUGUGGGGUUGUGGAUACUGUGAUUAUUAGUUGUGGGUUAGAUACUAACCCGGUGGACCCUCUAUAGGUCCUGUCGACUUUCUUUUGCAGUCAGGAGACAGACGCGACAUCCGUACAGGUGGGUACUUCGAUCCGACGUUGGUACAGUGGUGCACGCUCGGUGAUGGUUUCUUACCCUUGUUCUUUUGUUAUUAUCCAUGCAUAUAUUAUAUGUUGAGCUUUGCACCUCUAUCGUUUACAUUACACCCACGUUGUUUGACUAUACUCUACUCAGACGUUUCCAUGCUUAGUAUUAUGUGUAGGAGUAUAAUCUAUCUGUAUGUGAUACCGUGUUUCUUUAUUGCUCUACUUAGCUAUUCUGCAAAUCCUGUAUCAUUUUUAGAGUAGAACAGUUUCGUGAUGUUAUGUGAAAUCGGUGACCUAGUUGAUUCGUUCUUGUAUCUUAUAUCUGUAAAUAGUCGGUUUGUUCCUUGACUCUUGUUGUUUGAUGACCUUUGAGGUCGGUGUACCCUGAGGGGUAGGAUUGUCGACUAGUGGCCGACGGUAGUUCUAGAUCAUAUACUCAGAUGACUUGUUGACCGAUUCUUGCAUAUAUACAGUAGUGAAUCAUUCGAAUCCAGUAGUGUUGACAUAACUGUGGUAGAUGUUGAGUUGUUGCCAUCAGUUUGACUUGAUUAUCAGUAUUUGCAUAUGUUUGAGAGGAUAUCGAUGUGUGUCCAUCCUAGUUGACCUGAGUGGUCGGUUCUUGUACUUCUUUACAGUUGAUGACCUAUGCGGUCGAUAGGCCCUGGGGGGCAGAUUGUCGGCUUGUUUCCGACGGUUGAUCAUUAACCAUAUUCAUUGAUCGCCCGAUACUCGUUGCAUUUCACGAACACUGUGCGCGUUGAUCCAACCAAGGAGUGUUCUUUUCCGGAAAAGUGGUUGAAUAGUGACAACCCGUGAGCCCUAGAGGGGUUAUUAUGCAUGUUAGAGCGACAGUGGUACUGUCGGAGUGUUUGCGGUGGGCGGGACCUCCAGGGCAUUGGCUUGAGGUUGCGGUGCUGACCAAGAGAGCAUUGGUUUAGAUUGGGUACUUUUGGACUGAUUGUCCAUUGACGCAUAUGUUAUAGUAGCAGUCGUUGCAUGCAUAUUACAUCUUACCUUAUAGUUGCUCUUGCUACUAUAGUAGAUAAUUCAUGUAUGCUUUCUGUUCUAGUUACAGUAGCGGUAGCCGUAUUAUUCAUAUAGUUCUUACUUCCUUUCAGUUAUCGCUAUUGUACAUGCGCCAUUCUUUGUUUAUUUCCAAGACCAAGUUGUUGUAUAGUUCUUCAUGAUCCGGUGAGUACUCCUCGCCUUCUUCGGCUUGCGACCCACUGGGAGGGGAGAAUGUUUACAUGUCUCACUCCCCCACCAUUUUUCAGGAUAUCGCGGGCGUUGAGUAGUAGACGAGACGUGAGGUGACGUGUGUAGCGGACGAUAGAGCUUCCGACCAGGUUAUUUCGGUAUAGUUAUUACCCUUAGUAUUCAGUUGUUAUAGCUUAGACAGUUAUUAGUGUUCGUAUUUUUAUUACAUUUGAAAAUAUGGAUUUUCGUGAUGUAAUAAAUGAAUUUUGUGAAAUAAAAGGUUUAUACCCUCGUGGUAGCGUUUGUAAAGAAUAAAGUUUUCGUGUAGGAAAACAUUUCGAAAGGUUUUCUGUGGAUUUUGCAUCUUAGCAUUUCAAAACAUGUUUCUGUGGUUGGAAACUUUUUAACUGAUAGAUGUGGAUUUAUGUUUAAAUAUCGAAUACAUAAAUGUGAACCCUGUGAUGUGAAUGGUGUAUGAAUAUAUAAUUGUUGGUUAUUGGUAUGUUCAUUUGGUUGUGGUUGUACCUGGGUUACUUCUUGAUACUGUGUGACGCGCGGCAAUACAGGGGAGACUCUGUCCGUGUGAACAGUGGAUUCCUGUGUUUGUGGCGGAUCUGGCAACUCUGGGUCAGGCUUUUCAAAAAAAAAAAAAAAAAAAAAAAAAAAAAAAUUCAGACGCUUUUCCGCUAUGUUUUAAACUAAAUGGGACCCCGGGGCGUGACAAGCACACGUACAAGGAGGGCAACACUAUCACCGAUCGUCUCGCUGCACCGAUCAUAAGUGCGUGAUGUUUUGCAAGAUCGUGUUCGGUAGGGAUAUAAAAAAUGCACCCUAGGGAACGAAACAGUCGGUGCAAGAUCGGUUAGUGAUAGUGCGAUUAAAUCUUUACAAAAACGAUUAAAUCUUUAAGACGUACUAAUAUUUCGCACGUCAUCUUGGAGAGCGACUCGUUCUAGGUGAUCCACAGGGGUAUCAAAAAUGCAAUUGUGACAAUUCAUCUUCGGUAGGCGCAUCAAAAUAUGCGAUUAAAUGUUUAUAAAAACGAUUAAAUUUUUAAGACGCACUAAUAUUUCGCACGUCAUCUUGGAGAGCGAUUCGUUCUAGGUGAUCCACCUCUUCGGCAGGUGUAUCAAAAAUGUGCCAUAGGGGACGAAACAAUCGAUGCAAGAGUGCCUGUAAGAUCAUUAUUCAGCACACGUACAGGGAGGGCAACACUAUCACUGAUUGUCUCGCUGUACCAAUCAACAGUGACAAAUCAUUUUCGUAAAGAUUUAAUCGCAUAUUUUGUUGUGAAAAAGAUUUUAAAGUAAUGUGAUUGUGAUUUUAGAUUAGUUACAAAAUAAAAACGGAACGAAAAAAUAUUAGUAUGUUUUCAAUCAUAUUCAAUCUUAAUUGUCUGAGGUCAUACUCUCAAUUCUAACAAAAUAAAACCUUCAGCUGAUUCUAUAAUUCACAAUUUCUAUUCUUGAAGGUGACAACAAAAAAAAACUUGCUUAGUUAAAAGUAAUUAGUCUCCAUUUUAUUUUGCUAUUAUGAAAACAAAAUAGGACAAAGAAGUUUUAAUUCACUUACAACUUCACCAUGGUUUCACAGGGUAUUAAAGAAAAAAAAUAAUAUUUUAUUUUAUAAUAAAAUGUUUCAACAUAAUAAUUUACGUUUGAAAAGAAAUUACAUAUAAUUUAUGUUUGAAAAAUAUAAAAACAGAGGGAAAGAAAAAAAUAAAUAAUAACUUAUGGGUAAACCGCAUACCCACCUGUUCAUUUGUAGGCAGGUAACGGUAAAGAUGAAAAAAAAAACUAAAGGAACUAAGACGACUCCAGCUUUUUGCAUUAGAUUCGAUUAAAUUUAGGGUUUUUAAGGUUUAAGACCUUGUGAAACCAUGUGUUAUGGCUCGAAUCUGUAGUCAAUUCUAUUUUCGAUAGGAGCAAUUGACAAUUGAAUCAUAUUUUUUUCAUUAUUUUACUAUUCAUAAUAGUGUAAAAAAAAGACAUGGCUCCAAUUGGAUUUUAAAGGUUUAAGAGCCUAUAAACAAAAUUAAAAAAAAAAAACUCUUUAGGUGCCAUUUAGUUUGAAAAUAAACUAUUUAAUAAAAUUAUGAAUUAGCAGCCGACGGAAGCUCUCCCGGCAUCCGGUGGGCCCAGCAGGACCCACUCCUCUGCCACUGGGUUCAUAAAAGCAAAACUUUCUCAAAACCUCGUCCUCUCUCUCUCUCUUCGUGGCGCCCGGUGUUGGUGCAGGCAAUGGUAGUGGAGACCAUGGUGGCGGCGGCGGCGGCGGCUCUUGCCCUCUCGAACACCAACAUCAAGUGUGACGUGUCCUUAAUUUUUUUCCUUUUUUAAAAAAUUUUUUUCGUGUCGUGAGAAUCAAUCAAUAAAUACAUUUUAGAUAAAUGCCUGGAUAAUAAUUUUAUAUCAUAAAAUUUACAUAAGGCUACAUCAUUUCAUUAUUAAUUAACUAAAAUUUCUUCGAAAACUAAGCAUUUUUAAAAUUUGACAGUACUCUAUAGAAAUUUUUAUAAAAUAAAUUUGAUGUGAAUGAUAACUACUAUACAAAACACAAAUUUGUUAAACUUAUUAUUUUGUGGACAAAUUGAUUUGCCUUUUACUAACUUUUCUUAAAGUUUUAAAAUGAUACAUCAUAGCUAUCUUUCCGGAAGUUUAAUCUUCCAAUAAUGUUGCUUUAAUUUUUUUUCAAGUGGUAAAUCUAACUCUAUCACAAUGGUAGAAAUGUAUUAAUACAAUAUUUUAUUUGUUUAUAUCUGUAUAUGUCUCUAUUGCAUUUGUCCUUCACCUCUCCGUUUACUUUAAAUUAUUAAAAUUCUAUAUAAAAUUUUUAUGGUGAUAAUUUUGCUUAAUUUUAUGUUUUUCUUGUUAAACAUUGAAUAUAUUUUAUAAGAUUCGAAUGUUUGGAGAGUAUUGAUUUCAAUGCACUUGGGACAAAAUUGCUUGUGCAUUUGAACAGUAUUUGUCACAUUAGUAAUUUUUUAAAUGUUGCAAAUGUUCUAGCUUUGCGUGUUACAAAUUAUUUCACACUAUCAUUAGAGCUGUAAUGACAGAUUCAUAUUUGGGCGGUUAUAAGACUAUCUUCAUCUCUCUUAUGAUUUAGUAUUUCUAAAGCUGGAUCACUUCUACAAGCUUACGAGAAAAGCAAUGACGAUAAAAAAAAUCAUUAAUCUGUAUUUGAUGAAAUACUUUUUAAUGGAUAACCUUCUUUUCUCCUCUAAGCUGUUUGCAUUUGCCGAACACAUCGAUACAAGUUUAAAUGGCAAAAAAAGUUGGAUGGCCAUUAGGUAACCACUGUUGUGAUUAAUUUGUUAGACAAUUCUAUUUUGGAUAAGAAGAAAAAAGAUAAAGUUUACUUCUUGAAAGUAAACUUUCUGAGCUUAUCAUUGAUUUGUACUAAUCCUUCUAGAUAUAUAUUGUCAAUCUAUUAAUUGUUUUGAUAGUUAUAAUAUAGGCAUUAUAUUAUUGUUUUGUUAGUUAUAAUAUAGGCAUUUAUAAUAUAGGCAUUAUAUUAUUUAUUUGCUAAAUAAUUAAUAAUAAUUUUAUGCCCCAAAAGAAUAUUCUUGCACCAUUGUAGUUAUGGCGUAUUAGAUUUAAUGUUUGGGCCAAUGAUGAAAUUGCAUUUUGUUGAACUUUUGUCGUGCUAAGUAGCAAAGUAGCAUAUACGGAGUUAAUUGCUAUGGAAAUGUUUCUUUCACUAAUUGUUUCUUUCAAUUAGCAAAGAGCAUUUUACUCCUUACGAAUAAUAAAGUAUGUCUAAAUGCCAGGUGAAUAUUUGGUAUUACAUAACAAUUUUGAAUAAUUUGCUGAAAUAUUCAUGUACAUUGUAAAAUUUAAAUUACACUUCAUUAAAGAUAUCUAAACAUACUUGAUUAUUUUUAAAGAAACAAUUAUUUUAUAGAAAUAGCGAGUCUACAUAUAAAAUGAUUUACAUGUACAAAAUAUAUAGUAUAAUAAUGUACAUUAUUUCUGAGCUAGGCUGGUAUACUAUCGGUAGCACGGUGGCCUCCGUGCUACCAAGUUGUUUUCAAUGAUGCGGCUUCCAAAUUGAUAAUCAGCUCCGUUAGACUUGAUCUACACUAUUGAAAGUAUUUGGAAACUAAAUUUCAUAAUUUUUCAGCAUCAUUUACCUAUCAAACAAAUAAUCUAAAAAUGAACGGCUGAAAUAAAAAUCUCAUAAAAAAUGAUGAUAAAAGACUUGAAUUUAAAAUCAGAGGUACUGAUCUUUUUUUAAAUAGUGCAAAGAAUUUUCUACAAAAAUUUCAUCAUAUUUGGAUUGUUUUACACCGUUAAAUUUACAAACGCAUCACAUCUACCAUUAAAAAUGUCUAUUUCGAGACCUUUUGAUCACUAGUCAAAUGAUGUCGAAAAAUUAUGAAAUUUAAUUUUCAAAUACUUUUAAUAGUGUAGAUCAAGUCUAACGGAGCCGAUUGUCGAUUUGAAAGCCGCAUCAUUGAAAACAACUUGGUAGUACGGAGGCCUCCGUGCUACCGAUAGUAUACCAACCUAGCUCCAUUGCAUAAAUUCAUCAUCUUUUGCUCGGUUUCAGGUUUUAUAUAAGUUAGUUUUAGACAUCAAUCUGUAGCUUAUUUAGAAUUUUUAAUAAAAAAAUAUAUAGUACGCAUUUAGUACUUUAUAAUGAAAAUUUACUAAAAAAUUUCAUAUUUAAUAGAGCCAAAAAUUUUGUACGAAAGCAUUUAUUUUAUAUUGGUGCUUUUCUUUACAUUUGUUAAAGAAUUUAUUAAAAUAAAUACCGUUGCAUAGCACGGGUUACUUAACUAGUUCAUGUUAAUUCCAGAUAUAAAUAUAACUCUUAUAAUAAGCAGUAAUAAUAUCAAUUUUGUAUUUAGAUGAAAAUUAGAUUGUUCCUAAAAAAUUUAAAAAAUUAAUAUUUAAAUAGUUAGAUUAGAAUAUUGAGAAUAAGAAUAAUUAAAAUUAAAAUAAUUAUAUUUUAUCUAAUUAAUUAACAUAAAAAAAAUUAAUUAAAUGAUAAUUAAUUUAUUUGAUUAACUAAUUAAUCAUGAAUACUGCUAGAUAAUCCUAAAUUUUAAUUAAUCAGUUAAUUAACAAUGAGAUGUAAUUUAGUCAAAUUAUUAAUUAGGUAAACACACAAUUAUUUAGUAAGCUAAUUAAUUAUAAAUAAUAAAUUAAUUGCAGUUGUUGUUCCAGAACAAUUCCACCUUCUUAACGGUUUUUUUUUUGUUUGAGAAUAUCGAGAGGAAUAAGGCCAUUUUUAUGAGCCAAACAAUGCCUUAGAUUUAUUUUUUUAUUAUGUUUCUAAGAGAAAUUUAAAAAAAUUAAAUCAAGAUUAGACCAGAGGAGAAAAAUGAAACAAAUGCAAAUUCAAUGAGUUCUAUCGAUUUUUAACCAACCGUACAAGACAAUGAUAAUGCAUCAACAAAAAAAUAAAUACAUAAAUUUAAAGUUUUAACAAACACUAUUAUAUUAUAUANGGAGCCCUGUUAGUUGGUGGGGGCUGGGUGCAAAUGUGCCAUAUAUGAGUAGGGGUGUAAACGAGCCGAACACGAGCGAGCUGGGGUUGGCUCGUGUACGGAUCGAAAUAUAAAAUAUAUGUAUUCGAGCUGUUAUCUAGCCGAACACGAGCGAGCUGACCCCAGCUAGUGUUCGGCUCGUUUAUUAAACGAGCUGAAAAAUCCAGCUCGUGUUCGGCUCGUUUACUAAACGAGCGAGCCGAUCUCAAGCUCAUUUCGAGCCGAACACGAGCUGGUUCACGAACAACAAGCUGGAUUGCCACCCCUACAUGUAAUUACUACAACAUUCAAAGUUUGACCUAGUUUCUUGAAACAACUGAAAUCCAAAACAAGCAAUGCUUAUCCUUUGUUCACCAUGACAAGAAUAUACUCCCAGCAAAGACACCUACAUAUAUUUGUGACAAAACUUUGUUUGAAGAUUAAGAUUUAUCUUUCAUCUCUCACUCUUCUUUAAAGGAAAAGUUUAAACACAUCUCAUCAGAUAAAACUUACUGCGACUUCAGUACACCAAAAAUGUUACAGAGCACUUGAAGUACUUCCAAGUUUUGCAGGGAAACAUAAAUACUCAUAUAUCAUCACAAGAUCAAAUAACUUUGUGCAAAUAAAUUCAAAAGCUCGCUUUCUCUCUCCCCCUGUUCACUGACUGAUCCAAUAUUUAUCCAUAUAUGUUGGCGAAUUCCGAGUUCUUGACUUCUUGGGCAGAAGUCCAAAUCAUCCUUCCCUGGAGAAGAAACAUAGUUAUCUUCUUACCAGUCAGUUAUAAAAUGUACUUAUAAUAGUCAUCAUGCCGCAAGCCAUCCAUUAUUUGGUUAUUAAAUUUAAAGGAAUAAUUACUUACAUGUUCCUGCAAAAACAAAGUUUUGUUAAAUUUAUUUCUCUAGACUUUUCAAAAUUUCAUAUUCAUCAAUCUUUGUCAGUUAAGCAGUGAAACUUGACCUUUUCAUGUGCAAAAGGCCAUUCCACCCUUCAAAGUAUCGCUCAAAAUACUAAUUUGGUUACAUUUUUUUUAUUUCUAAUGUUUCUAUUCUAUCUUUCACGUCAGUCUACAAGAACCUUAGAUCCUAAAACUUUCAAAAAAUCUCAGGAAACUAUAAUUUUAUCGGCAUAACUGUCAUAAUGAUGAAAAUUUAGUGAUUAAAUGUGCAGUACUUCAGAAUUAUGGAGGCAUAUAUUUAAGAAUUGAGAUUUUGUAGGAAUAAAUCUGAUAUUAUGCCAUUUUCUGGGGAUUUGGUGGCAAACAUUGCUAAACAAAACCAGUAAAAACAAGAAUGUCAGGGGAAACAGCGUGAAACGUACCUAUGUUUAAAUUCAGUGUCAUAAAUUGCAAAAGAUUAUACUCUCUGGAGUUACAUGAUCCAAUAGUGAUAAUUUUCCAACAAAUAGUGAUGAUUAUCCUUCCUUUGACGAAACAACAACCUCCUUCGAACCAUACUUAGAGAAAACACCGGACAGAAUUGUUCUCUCCUUGAUUUUCAACCUGAAGCACAAAUGAAUAUACAUUAACCAUAGUUUGUGUUAUUCUACUUAAAACACCUAAAGAUAUACCUGGAAACUGAACCCGGCAAACCCAACUUAGGGUUCUUCACUGGUUUUUGUUUACCACUUCUAUUUUGCUUCUUUGAGGCUACUUGUUUCUUCCUAUUUUGAGAUAAUGGCAUUGAAUCAUUUGAAUCCGACACGUCCACUUCUGUCUCACUCACAUAUUGGACACUGUCUAGACUGGGACUAUCUAUGUGCUCAAUUCCAGUUUCAAUUGCUUCAAGAUCAGAAAAGGGAUCAUCUUCUUCAACAAGGAAUGGAGAUUCUUCAGUGCCAAACGAUCCAUCAUAAGAGCUGCCUUCUAACGGAUCUUGAUCUUGAGUCAGAAUAUCCAUGUUAGAUCUCGAAGAAUCCUUUUCUGUAUCUGUAUGUUUGAGAGAAGUGUUUGUUCGAGUGUCGGCCAAUUGCAUGGAAGAGUUGGAAGAGCUGCGCGGGUUUAUGAUAUCACAAAAGAUCUGCUUUUCUACCUUACCAAACUCCACAUUUUUCUUACUGUACAUUUGUACAAAUCUGGGGAAAAAAAGGGGAAAAAGAACAAGAUGAGCGUAGUGGCUUUUAACAUAUUGAACAUCAACAUUUGACCAAAGGUGCCGGGAAAAGAAUUUGUAUUAUUUGGACUGCGAAAGCGAUAAAAAUAUCAGCGGAGCAUCAUGAUUUAAACGUUCCAGAGGAAGUGCAGAAAAAGACUUGCUUCUUAGACAAUAAAAUUAACCGGCUAAAUGUCCAGUGGGAUUUAUACAAUCAGCACUUGAGACUCCUGUUUGUAAGGUUAUUAGAGAAGCUCGAAAAGAAAAAGGGUACUCACAGUAAGAAAACAUUUUAGUGGUGUCUUGUUGCUAUGAAGGGGCACACAGAAAAUAAAACCCUACUCAAAUAAAAUAUCUGGUUCCGUAGUUGCUCUCGGUGAGAGCAUGGACAUCAUAACUUCUUUGUCUUAGUUUGCACAAAAGCGUGAGAAGUUACCAACACUAGUGCUUAAUCAUAAAUUGGUUUACUCGUGAAUUGUGACCAUUGGAUAUCUGAGGUUCCAAUACUCAAGAACUAUUUGCAACGAGGGAUCUCAUAUAACUAAGGGCUAUUGAAAUGGAAUUUCACAUUUGUGCCGUGUUGGAUUCCCUUAGACAACAAGCAAAAAUCAGCAUGUGGCAUGGUCCGCACAAGCCAACCAUAUGCAAAUGGCAUGACAAGUUUUGGCUCUGUGCUAAAUGUUGCAAAUGAGCUAGCAUCAGUGGCAUCUCACCCGCAUUAUUGUACAUAAGCUUGUUCAGGCUCUUUGAUUUAGCACUUAUCUGAUGCUGGCUAGGAUAAAACUUAAUAGGAUUUGUUCAAGUUAUUCACAUUUUGUUAUCAAUUUUGUAAUUAUUGCCUGUUCAUGCAGCCAUCUAAUAGCAUUAGAGAAUGGUCCUAGAGAGGUAAAAGAAAGCUAGAAAUCAAGGCAAAAAAUUUGCAGUUAUUUACAAGUUAAACUUUGAUGUCUGUCAUCUGUGUACAAGUGACAAUUUCUUAGCAGCAGAAGAUCAAGACUGACAUCCCAUAGUUAAGGUGCUAUUACCAUCUAACCUAGAAAGUAUUGGGUUUUUCCAUUUAGAAAACAUUCUUUGAACUUAAAAACAAAAUUAUAAGGAAUAUUGGUACCUCUCAGCAGCAGCUUCAGAUUCGAAGUAAAGAAAUGCAAAGCCCUUGCAAAUUGGAUCACGAGUCUUUUUAUUCGCAAUAACUGCAGGGCUUAUAUUAAUGAGGCCUGGGAACCCUUUGAAAGCUGAUUGGAGAUCCCUAUGUAUGUUCUUCUUUCUUGGGAGGUUUGACACACGAAUGCCAAUGCCACUUUGUAUGGCAUCUACUGCUGCAAAUCACCAGUAUUACAUCGAACAUGAAAUUCUAUGAACAAAUAAUUUAAAUGGAAAAAAAAAAAAACGUACUUUCCAUGUAAUUUGAUAAACAGAAGGAAAGUGUACCAAUGAACAAGUUGAGGAUGAACUAACAAAAAGUAACCAUGUUUUAUUAGUUCAGAUAUAUGCAGCCUUGUUUUGGUGAACUUGGAAUAAUCAACUUCUGAAUUCUGAUACCCAUACACGCGCACACACACGCGAGUGUGCUCGCGCAAAGAAUACUACAAAUGAAGUAAAGACGCACCACAGAUGCCAUAAUUAAAAUGCCAAGUUUAGGCACAGAUUACCAUUACAAAUGACACAUCAUAGUGCAAAUUUCUGGUUCCAUGUAAGGGAUUGCAAUUUUGAUUUUUGCGUACGCAUCCACCGGGUAGCAAUGAACUCUAUAUGGUAAGUAGAACCAUAACUUCAGUACUUAAUUGGAUCAAUCAACAUAUAAAGUGGAUCAGGCAAGUUCACAAUCAGAAAUCAGUAGAUUAAUAUGUGAAUAAAAAUUAAGAUUGAGCACUCACAUAUAAGCACCAAAUAAAACAAAGUGGUGGAUACGCAACUGCCACAUAUAGGAAGGCGUUAGGAAAAUGAAGAGCAAUAUUGGUUCUAAUAGUUGCCUAUCCAAGAAGAAAGUAACAUCCAAAAUUAUAUGCAACCAAAAGAUAAAUAAUUUUGUUAAUUAAAACGCCAGAACUUGUCCUAAGCCCGUCAAUUCCAAAAGAAGGUCAUGAGUUCAAUUCUCUGCAUCGAUCAUUAAAUGAAUCCAGCAUCUCUUCUGUCAGUGCAUAUGAACAUAAGCUGUAAUAACUGCCUAUCUAAGAAGAAAGUAAUAUUCAAUUCCAUUAACUCCUAUACUAAUUUCUACAAAAUCAAUCUUCUGACUAACGUGGCAUCAGAAUUAGUCCUAUGCCCCUAAAUUCCAAGAGGUCACAGGUUCGAGCCGCAGUGCACGUGGACAUGGUACUAGGACUGUUUCUGUGCUGUUUUCUAUCAGACUCUCUAUCACGACCCGACGCCGCCAAUUUGGACAGCUCGGGUCCGAAACAGACCCGCCGAACGAACAUAAUUUUUCUUGUCCGCCCAAGGCGUAAACAAAAUCUGUGCAUACAUACAUAGGAAAUAUUAUGUAUGCAGACUUUGUUUACGCCUUUGGUAGACAAGAAAAACUCUGUCUGUUCGGUGGGUCUGUUUUGAGUCCGAGCUGUCCGAAUUGGCAGCGUCGGGUCGUGACACUCUCUGUUCUUUCCACUUACAUUCCCAGAAUUCUGUUGGAAUGUGGUAACACUCUCUGUGCUUUCGACUUACAUUCCCAGAAUUCUGUUGGAAUGUGGAUAUAGAAGAGGACUCUGAUAACGCCCUUCGCAUCCGAUCCAGAAGCACUAAACAAGGACGAUCCAAGAAGGCUAGUAAUUCUUGAUAUAUUGGCUAUCCAGUUUGUAAGUUUUCGCUGCAACAACAUCAGAUCCAAGAUAAACGACUACUAACAAACACAGGGCCUACAAAUGAAGCAGAGACACUGACAUUUCCCGGGAGGAUCAUCCUGCUUCUUCUCGCCGCGGGCGGGCUGGCUCCUGAGGUUGCUGACGUUGGCGAGCUGCGCGGCGCGGCUGCGCUCCAUCUCUUCCAGCAGCCGGUCCUCGACCGCGGUGUCGUACAUCCUGCCUUCCCCGAACCCCCGCGGCUUCCUCUCCAGCCACCGCCGCAUCUCCGCGAACGGCAUCGCCGCCUCCGCAUCGUCAUCAUCAUCAUCACCCUCAUCUUCGCUCUGAUCAUACUCCUCUUCUUCGUCUUCGCGGCCUCUACGGCGAGGAGGGGCGGCGAGGAGAGGAGAGGGGCGGGAGAGGCGGAGGGAUGGGGAGAGGCGGAGGAUUGGGGAGGGGAGAGGAGGGAGGGAGUGGAGGGUGGGAGAGAGGAAAAGGGGAAGGAGAGGGGAGGGAGAUGGAGAUGGUGGUGCUGCUGCUCUGAGACUUGGCCACAACAUCUUCUCUCCUCACAAUGCUUUCAAGUUUCAACAUGCGUGUGUGGGGGGUUCUGAUCAUCCCCCUUCUUCUUUCAACCUGAAUUGCUAAUUUUGUAUACUUACAUAUAUUAUCAAGUAAAUUUUCGUAAUUGGAUAUUGGAUCUAACGGUUAGUUGGAGUGUGGUGGGCCUUAGGUAGAUUAAGGGCCUGAGUAUGCAGCGAGCAAAAAAAAAAAAAAAAGAAUAAAAAAAGUGGGAGACCGGUAAAUAGUCUCUUAAUAGGGACCGCUUCUACCAAAAAUUUUUUUUUUUUUCGGUUUUUGUACCCGAUAGAAAUUUUAAAACAUAGUGAGUAUAAAAAUAAUGAAUUCUAUGAAAAUUUUUUUCUUUCUUUUAUUUUUUAUUUUAGACGCGCAGCUAAGUAGGCCAAACCAUCUAGAUCCUGCCCGUGUUAUCCCUCAAAAGAGUUGGACUCAUGUAAAAUUCAUUUAGUUCAUUAAAUCAUUUCUAAGGUCCGGUGGACACUUCAAUAUUAGAUAAUAUUUUUUCGGAUAAAAUAUUAUCUGAAUAAUAAUAUUAGGCAUAACACUAUAUUAAUAUAUCGCAUAAUGUAAUUAGAAGCACUAUAUUAAAGUUUCUGCUUUUAAGGGUUAGUUGAACAAAAGUUAAAACCCGUGUAAAUUUUGUUCUNNNNNNNNNNNNNNNNNNNNNNNNNNNNNNNNNNNNNNNNNNNNNNNNNNNNNNNNNNNNNNNNNNNNNNNNNNNNNNNNNNNNNNNNNNNNNNNNNNNNGUGGGGUCUAAACUGAAAACUUAAAAUAUAUUCUUACUCAGUUGACGCUUAAAGCUGAGCCUGCCUGUCAAAUUUAGCUCAACGGACAUUCAGAAGGGCUCCAACUGUAAUCCGAACUGCAAAAUGACUGAAGUGAAUAGGUUUUGGGAUGUAUGUAUAAGAAGAUCGAUGGCUUUUCUUCCUCCUUCACAGUGCACACCACAACACACCGCAACGCACACAUGGGAGGAGGAGAGGACAACUCUCCUUUCUCUCUCUAGAGAUCUCUCUCAUUUCUCUAUAUUUCUCGCCUCAAAGUUCGCGGGGUUGGUGGGAAGAUGCUUGCGAUAUGCGUUGGAGGCGACGGAAUUUGGCUUUCAGUGCGCCUGUUGAGCGGUUGUGUAUUUCGUGCGGAUUCACAUUGAGGUAAGUUUUUAGGAUGGCCUAAUCCUUAGUUCUAAGUGUUCUAAUGCCUCUAAUGAGCAUUUUAAAACAUGUUUGCUCCAUUUAAUUUGGAUUAUUUAGAGAUUAAUUCAUAUUAGGGUUAGAAAGGAGGUUUUGUAAAAUAUGAGGGUUUGAUUAUUUGGACCUUCGUAAACCAAAUUUGCUAGCUGUAACACGAACGCGUUGACGAAGUCGGUUCGGCGAUUCGUCGACCGUUGCCGAAGUUAUUAAAGAAAACGACGUUUUAGGCUUCGUUUCCGCCUGGGGCCGAGGCGACAUCGUAACCCAUUAGAAAACAGAUUUGAGUAAUGUCGCACAUAACCGAAGGACCUUUAAUUUUCGGAUCAUGGAUGUUGGAGCCGUUUGGGUGGUCGCCCGCAAGAGUCUCGGUCAAACGAGAGGCCAGGUACGCGGGCGGCGAUUGCAAGUAGUCGACAAGAAUCGGAAUGCGAAUUGAGGUGGGUUGUGCUUACUGAAGCGACAUAGGUCGCCCUUUAUGUCUAAGAAAUGAGAUUUUCAUAUUGAUGCAUAUUGACAUAUUAUCAAGAAUGUGAAAAGAAUGCAUGUUAACAUGACUAUAGAAAUGCUACGAUAAAUGCAAUAUGAUUAAUGUUUUGAAUGCAUAAUAUAAAGCGGCGUACAUGGAAUGUAGAUUAUAAGAACAUCAUAAACGAAGUAUAUGAUGACAUGUUCAUGUUAGAAUAUGCCAAAACUGUAAUAUAUAAUGAAUUAAGUGCUAAAGAAUGCCAUGAGAAUGCGUAAGUAGGACUAUUUUUGGAUUAAUUGAACUAUAUGUAUGUUGACAAAUCAUGUUGAUACUAGUGGUAUAUGUGUAUGAUGAUAUAUUUAUGAAUUUAAUAUGUGCGAUCUAUGUUAAAUUAGAAAACAUACUUGGAGACAUAUUGCCAUGUUGUGGGAACAUAGUGGACAAUCUAUAUAUAUAUCUAGAUCGAGUUGGCAUUAAACCUAGCAGCUUGAACCUUAGCCAAACCUGUGUGGUGAUUGAUCAUAUAUAUCUCUGGUGCUCAUUCAUGUAUCGUUAGGACUCUAUUUAUUGUUAAAUGUGAGAGUUGGACUUUUCUUGAACAUAGUAAACAAGGGUGACAAUGACAAUAGGAGGACAUGAUUGGCAGCAAGAAAUGAUUGUUAAACAUGUUUACAUAUUGACAUUCGCGUCCAAGUUGACCAUAGAGGAGUGGCAUGAAUAUAAAUAGGGUAGAAGACCUAUCUGAACAUUGGCAAUUUACGAGGUGGCUAUGAAUCCUCAAGUGAAGGAUUGGAUCGAUACUCACGUUAUUUCUUGGUUUGAGGGAGAUAGCUCCCCUCGGGCGGUGCCCUCGGAGGUUGGUCACCAUGGCGCGUGGUUUAAAGUCCCCCCAGAGACGGGUCCCCAGGGAGGUUCGAGCUCCCCGUUUAUUAAGGGAUUUGGUGUGACGUUAUUGGGGUUAAUAUGGUUAACCGGUAAGAUUGGGUCAUUAGCAAAUUGAGUGUACACAAGUAAGCAUUAUGAGUUAUGGAUUUGGUAUCCUAGUCGGAGAGGAUUUAGGGCGGAGGUGUAGUGUGAGACGUCCAUCGCCUCGAGCCUUGUUCUUAUGGCGGUACUCCGCAGACGAUAUGACAUCAAAGACGGUCGGGUGUGUUAGCCUUGUAAAGGUACGUGUAAACUUUAUGAUUAAAACGGUGAAUUGACAAGAAUCUAAAGAUAGAGGAAUACCUUAGAUAUCGAAUGAUGACUAUGGUUAGCAGAAUGGAAAGUUAGUGUAAAGAACUACUAGUUGCUUCAUACUGCAAUGUAUUGCAUGAUUUGGCAUUAUAGACAUUGCAUUAAUUGCAUCGUGAGCAAAGCAUGAGUUUAUUAGUUGCAAUAAUAAAGAUAUAUACUCUAUCUGUUUAGAUUGAACCUAACUUUGCAGUUGCCUCUCCUUGGACUAAUUGGUCGAGCUUUUUUCUUGGGUGCCGUACCCACUGGGAACCAUGUAGUUGGUGCUCAGCCCGCACCGUGGUUUGGGGGUUUUACAGGUUCGCACAUGUGAGCGCCGUCGGCGCGAGGCGAGGGCGUAGAAUUAUACGUAUGCGCCCUACCACGCGAGGACCAGAGAUACGUCGAGCCGCCUGAUGUCGGCCUUUACUUAGUGGAUGUCAGAAAUGAAAGGAAUAGAGAUUGUAAUAAUUUGUAAAUAAUCAUGUUAAAUCGCGAUUUUGUAUUUGAAGAUAAGUGAAUAGUGUAAGAUUCAAACUGAGAAUUGUGUAUGUAAAAUGCAUGAAAUAUGAAAUGAAUGUAAUAUAUAGGAUUGUUAUGUUGUUGAUUACCUUCCAUUAUGCAAUCUUGAUUGAAAUGUGUUCCUGGUUGGAACUUUGCACAUUGUAUUGAUUGCUACGCCUUGAAUGUACAGGGGAGACUCUGUCCGCGGUACAGGGGAAACCCUGUCCAUUCGGCGGUCUGUUGUGGCGCCGCGACCCGACCAAAUAGGCGGGCGGUCGCGGGGCGUGACAGAGGAUCUACCGGCAGAGGUAGAGGGCGAAGAAGAGAUGGACAUAGAAAAAACACAUAAAAACAAAGAGGAAAAAGGAAGAUGAGGAGAAAUAAUAUAAUUUUUACCUGAAGAGUGCAACUUUCGUUCAAAGAGUGCAACUUUUAUUUAGAAAAGUAUAAUUUUUCUCUCAAAAAGUGUAAGUUUUUUCUAAAAUAGUACAAAUUCAUCAUCUUCUUCUUUCCUCUCUGAUUCUUUAUUUUUCUUGUAAAAAAAAAGCAUUUUUUAUAUUUUAUAUUUUAUUAUUUUUUUUUUUAUUUUUUCAUGUUUUUUGGCUUCGCUCUUACUCGCUCUUGCUCUGAGCCUUCUUUUUUCGGCACCGGCAAAGGCGGAGGAAGAGGAUGUGGUGCUGUCCUCGUUACCGUUGUGGAAGGUUGCGGAGGCGUGGAGAGAGGUCGAAGGGGAAAAAAAUAUAAUGAGGGAAAAAAAAAGAAGAGGAAGAAGACACGGUGCUGCCUUCUAUAUUGUUGUAAAGAGCUCAUAAAGAGUCGAGGAGGCAGUAGAAAAGGGUCGGAGAGAAAAAAAAAAAGAGGGUCGCGGUACGGCCUCGGCGGGGUCGGAAGCGAGGAAAGCGGGAGGUGCAUGGGCGAGGGUGAAGGCACGUAGGACAAAGGCGAGGCGGGCCGCCUCUGCCUCUUCGAAGAGGAAAAAAAAAAAGAACGAAAGAAAGAAAAAGGAGAGAGAAAAGUAAAUAAGGUUAUUUUUGUCAGUUUUCCAAAAAGCCGACCCAAAUCUGCAAAAUCUAAAAAGGUGGCUUACUUUUGCAAAAGCUCAAAACUAGUAAAUUUUUUAUGCAAAUUGGCCUUUUAUUUUUUUUUAUUAAAGUUUAAUUUUAAAAAAUUGGCCAAUUUGCAUAAAAAAUCUAUUAAGUUUGAGAUUUUGCAAAAGUACAUCAUUAUUUUUGAUUUUGCAGUUUCGGUCUGAAUUUUUAGAAAACUGACCAAAAUACUCUUAUUCCUUUCUCUCUCUUCUUUUUAUUUUUUCUCGCAUUCUUUUUUUUCUUCUCUUCGAAGAGUGCGGCAGAGGCGGAGGUGGAGGCGGCUCGCCUCGCCUCUACCAUGUGCACCCUCCCUCUCCCUGGCCCGCCCCUCCUUGCUCUCUCGCCUGGGCCUGCGUACCCCCUGCCUUCCUCGCCUCCGACUCCGUCGAGGUCGCGCUUGCCACCACCCUCUGAGAUGCCCCACCUCGCCUCCACCCUAUGCACCCUCGCCCGCGCCUGCUUAUCCCUACCCUCCUCACCUCUAAAGCCGCCAAGGCCGCACCGCGACCUGCUUUUUUUCUUUCCGACACUCCUCCACCGCCUCUAUGGCCCUCCACAACAAUAAAGAGAACGACACCACAUCCUCUUUCUCCGCCUUUACCCUCUAUCUUCACCGUAGUAGAUUUUUCACCCACCAAACCUACUUUUGGGAACCCACGUCUUCACCGCCGCCGCCGCCGAUGACAAAAAGGAAGCACUUCUCCGUUGAGAAGCUUGCCGGCGAGGGAGGGGGCACGCCGCCCACCUUGCCCACCCAAGGCCUGCAAUGAGCAAAGUAGAGACGGAGAUGAGCGCGACGAUGCUGGAGAAGAGGGCGGCAUCCCAUAGGGCGGCGGCGAGCGUGGCCUCAGCGGGAUAGGAGGGGAGAAGGGCAGGGGUGCAUAAGAGCAUCUUUAGUCAAGCACUUUUAGUUGCUUAAAAUAAAAAAAUUAACUAAAGGCCAAAAUCUAGAUAAUAAGAAAGAAUAACUACAGAAGAAGGAAAAAUAAGAUGAAAUUUCACUGUUAAGAUGAAGCUGUAUUAUUUUAGAAGAACGUUGCACUGUUAUAAAUGUAAGUUGCACUCUUUAAAUAAAAAUUGCACUCUUUGGGAGAUAGUUACACUAUUUCUUCUCCUCCUCCAGUGUAACUAUUUCCCAAAGAGUAUAAUUUUUUUUUAAAGAGUGUAAUUUUCAUCUUAAAAGAUACAGUUUACAUCUCAAAGAGUGCAACUUAUAUCUAUAAAAGUGCAACGUUCUUUUAAAAUAGUGCAACUUCAUUUUAAUAGUGCAACUUCAUCUUCUUUUUUCUUCUUCUCUAGUUCUUCUUUCUUGUUCUCUAGUUUUUGGCCUUUAAUUUUUUUUAAGCAAACAAAAGUACUUGGCCAAAGAUACUUUUGUGCAUUUCUUGCCCUCCUCGCCUUCAACCUCGCCAAGGCCGCGCUCGCCGCCGCCUGUCGUCGCGGUCUCCCCGGUCUCCACCUCGCUCAUCGCCGGCCCCGGGUGGGCGGGGUGGGCCACGUGCCCCCUCCCUCACCGAUGAGCUUCUUGGCGUCGAGAAGGAAGCGUCGUUGGCGGCAGUGGUGAGGACGCGGGUUCCCGAAAGUCGGUUUGAUGGGUGAAAAAUCUGCUAUAGUAGAGAUGGAGGGCGAAGGCGGAGGAAGAGGACGCAGUAUCAUCCUUGUUACUGUCAUAGAAGGCAGCAGAGGCGGUGGAGAAGGGUCAGAGAGAAAGAAAAAUGGUCCUGGAAUUGCCUCGAUGGGGUAAAAGGCGAGAAGGGCGGGGGGAGCGGGUGCAGGCGAGGGCGCGUAGGGUGGUAGUGGCAUAGCCUGAGGUCUUCGGACCACGAGAAGUUUUACAACGCAAGAACAACAUAGAACAACGCAAGUGAAUGGUGAAUGUAUGAAUGUAUAGUAAUCUUUAUAUUCAUUUAUUUGUGGUUGUAUCCGGUUUACUUGUUGUACUUGUGCGACGCCAUGCAAAUACAGGGGAGACUCUGUCCGUGUGAACAGUGAAUUUUCUGUAUUUGUGGCGGAUCUGGCAUACCCUGGGGUUAGAUUUUCAAAAAAAAAAAUUAGACACUUUUUCGCUGUGUUUCAAACUAAAAGGGACCUCGGGACGUGACAUCUAUUGAUCGCUACUAACGUGUCUCACGCCUUGUCGCAACCCUUACCACCCCAUCACCUGAAAAAUGGAGGGGUGAGAACAUAUAAACAUGUCUCCCCUCCCAGUGGGUACCGCAAGCCGAAGAAGGCGAGGAGUACUCACCGGAUCAGGAAGAACUAUACAACAACAUGGGUCAGUGGAAAUAAACAAAGUAAUGAGCAGAUAUAUAUCACAAAUACAGUAGUAGUAAUACCAGAAGGAAAGAGAACAGUAAGAGAACAUAUAACUACCGCUACUGUAAAGUAUAACAGAAUGCAUACAUGGAUAUCAUAACUACAGUAGUAAUGAUGCAGGAGGUAAAUAAUAGUAUAGAGAAAUAUACCUAGCUGCUACUAUAAUACAAAACAAAGAGUAAGUAUGCAUCAACCGGACGAUCAGUCUCAAAAAUACCCAAUCCAGAAGCCGCCAUAUCAGUCCGAAGACCUCAGGCUAUGCCACUACCGCUCUAGCAGGACGUGACCCGAGCAAAUGACUGCUGGGGUCUCCCUGGCAUAUAACCCAGCAAAUGACUGCUGAGCUCACGGGUCGGAUGUACGACCAUUUUUUUGAAAAAGAACACCCUACUGUGGUGGAUCAGACUGCUGGUGUACGUGAAAUGCAUAUGAGCAGUGGCGAUCGAUGCAAUAUGCUCAAUAGCCCACUGUCGGCGGAUAGCCGAAGUAAAGUAACAAAGAAUAACCGACCAACCAGUUCAACCUUUAUCUUAAGGAUAGAAUAAUAUCCGAGUAACCGACCAACCAGGUCAGCCUCUAUCUCAAGGAUAGAAAAAUAUCACCGACCAAUCAGAUCAAACAGAGCAAGUCAUGCAAUAGACCACUAGAAAUGUCACCGACCACGAAGUCGACUAAUGUAAAAUAAUGUCAUGUAAGGAUACAAGUGUCACCGACUAUGAAGUCAACUAAUGUCGAAUCAUGUCACGUAUAAAUAUGUGUGUCACCGACUAUGAGGUCACCAAAGUCAAGAUCGUCUACUAUAAACAUAACAUGGAUGAGUCAAUCAUCAGGAAUACUGCUCCACUAAAGUAGUGUAAUUUUUAUUAAAGAAAAUGUGAUCCUUGCUCCCAUAUUAAUAAAGAGUGCAUUUUUUAUUUCAAUCUUUAUUCUUCUUAUUAUUCUUUAAUUUUACUUUUAUUUUCUAACCUUUGUGAACUUGCACUGGUUCUACACCCAAGCAACAUUCGGUGAAGAUGUUGAGAACAUACACCGAACGAAAAAACAUUGAUCAAAGAGCAGAGUUGCACUGGUUAGUGACUACCUACACUAUUUAGCAAAUAAUGUUGCACUAGUUGGGUCGUUAUUACAUCAUUUACAACCUCUUUUGCACUAUUACAUUCAAGGUAGCACAAAAUAUAGAGAAUAAUUGCACUGGUUAGAGACUAGUUACACUAUUUAGCAAAUAAUGUUGCACUAGUUGGGUCGUCUUUACACCAUUUACAGCCUCUUUUGCACUAUUACAUUCAAGGUAACACAAAAUGCAGAGAAAAAUUUGCUCUGGUUUACAUAGAUUGCUCCGUUUCCUUUAAAGUUGCACUUCUUGCUUUGCCAUGUGGUAUCUCGUUGCAGAUACCAAGCGCAAACCACUCUUCACCCUGCAUGCUGCUAUACUUCUUCCACUUCUCUUUUGCAAAUACCAAGCGCAACGAAGAGUGUUGGAAUAAAAUAUGACAGGUGUAUGGAGGAGGGCGAGGGGUUUAGAAAUAGGGUAAGCAGCACGGGACGCGGGAGAGGGGGUCGCAGUGAGGCAAUGAAGAAGAUUGACUGCGUGGGAGUGGGAUGUUGCAUUGGUUGACAUAGCGUUACACUUUCGGCGGCGAAUGUUGCACUGGUAUAGGCUGCGCACUGUACUGUUUGAAGUGUUGUUGCACCGUUUUCCUUCGCUUUGCAUCAUUAUCCUAGCCGUCGACUGUGUAUUUUUCCUAAUUUAGUUUCAAAAUAUUUAUUUUCGAAAAGCCGAAUAGCAAACAUAGGGGUUCGCGAAUAGAGGAGUUGAUUUUGUUCGUAUUUCGAUGACUAGGAGGUUGCGUAACCCGGGCGUAGAGCGCAUUUAAUGCCCCGACAGUCACCGUACGGUACAAUACAGUAGCUGCAUUUGACGGGAUAUGGGUGAGACGAAGGGAGACGAGGGGUAUUUUUGUUAGAUAGUGAAAAAUCCAGCCCGAAUCUGCAAAAUCGAAAAAGACGGCCUAGAUUUACAAAAUUGCAAAACUAGUGGAUUUUUUAUGCAAAUUGGCCUAGUUUAUGAUACAAUAUUUCCUUAAUUUUUUGAAGUGAAACAUGUUAAAAAAAGAGAAGUCAAUUAGCCAAAAAAAUCUAUGUGUUUUUGGAUACUACGGACCACAAGAUUUAUUGCUAAUAAAUUAUAUUGAGCAAAAAUGUGAUAAAUUAUCUAAUGAAAAGCAAUGCUAUAAUACAAAAAAUUCUCUAUUAAAUAUCUGAUUUUUCACUCUUUUUUCCGACUUUCAAAAAUUUAUAUUUUUUUUCCUUAGAAUUUUGAAAAUAUUUUCAAAGGAUAUAGCGUUAAUGGAAAGGGCAAAAUUACCAAACUAUUCUUACUUGUUCUACAAAAACAAUAAUUUUUUUAAUAUAUUUCUGUCAUUUUUAAUCAUAUUUUCGAUAUAAAAUGUUAGAGAUGGACAAAAUAUUGAUAGAACCUUGAUAGUGGUGGGCUAAAUUCAUCAACUUAAAAUUUUAAAAGAAUAAAAUAUAGGUUUUUGAAAAUGAGAGGAAAAAUAAAAAAAGGGAUAUUUACAUGAGGAUUUUCUAUAUUUUAGCCUAAAAUUUGACAAUUGUACAUUGAAAUGAAGUACAAGAAAAGUUUUGUUCUUAUACUCGUACGCAAUGUAGAAAUAUAUAUUUGGUCUAACAAUAUUAUUUCUACAUGAAAUUAACAGCAGCUAUAUAUAGUGAGUUAUUUUUGACCUAUGUUUCAUAAUUAGCCCAGUGGUUAAUUAACCCAUCUGCAUGUUCAAUAAUUAAAGAUGGCUAAGAAUAUUUGUAUGGACUCAGAGGUAAAAGAAAAUCUUAGUAGCUUUGUAAUGAAUAAUUGAAGCAUUGUACCGAAUAAUUCAAUAAAAGGGAACAAUGGCAUUGUGACAACUACAUAGUGAAUUGAUAUAUACUUAGAUCAAAAGAAAUAUUCUAAUACUAAAAAGGAAUAUUCUUGCAGUAUAAUAUCACUUCUAAUAAGUUGAUAUUUGAAGGUAGCAGCGACUUGCAUGCAGAUAGAUUAAGCUUCUAAUGUUCCUUUUCCUUUUAAAAGACUUUGGUAAUUAAGAUUGUGAAUCUUUAUAUUAAUUACAUAGUAUUGUUCCUACAGUGGACCAUUGAAUCACUAUUCAUUAUAUAAAGUACAUGAAUUUCAAAUAAUGUGAACAGUGGAUUUAGUGGUCACAUCAUAUUACAUUAGAGAUUUGUUCUCUAAAAAUAAUCUUACUUUAGAUUAGCUUUAGAUAAAUACUAUUAAAGAAGGAAAACAUAUAUAUGGGUACAUUAUUUUGGGCUUUAGUUUCCCAUUUCACUCUUUCAUGGUUGGGAGUCAUGUUCACAAUUCUCUGGAUUGAAGGCAAGUUGUGAUUGUAGCAAAUCAAAAGUAAAUCGAGUAUUUGCUUGUUGGUAUGCCCCGAGAACACUUGAACUGUCCUGUGGCAACAUUGCAAAGCAAAAUAUUCCCUUAUCCCUUCUAAUGAGGAACAAUUGUCGCCACAUGAUAUGCAUUUGGGCCCCUUGUAAAUGCAAUGUCAUGCUCGGCAUUAAGCUCUCAUAACUUGGUUGGAAAAGCCAACAAAUUUUAAGAUCUGUCAUGUAUCUCUGUGGAUCCACUUCAACCAAUUUCUUAUGGCGGAAAUGAUCUCUAAGCUCUUUCUUCACUCGUUCAAAAGCUGGGGUUAUUAAGUGAGUGAUGAAUGCGCCGGAGUCCACAUAGAACCCACCCGAUCCAUUCGGCUUUCGUGCGAACAUUCCUGGCUCAAACCCAAGUCGUUUGUUUCCAAUACUAAUGUCAUUUAAGGUAAUGAAAUACAAGAACACACCUUGUAUGGGAACUAUCGGUGUGGUUUGGACUGACCCUCUUUGCACAAUGUUGCUUCCGAAUCGUAAAAAGCUUAUACUGUUUGAACCUAUCGGUGGAAGACAGUAUGAAAAGCGGCCUUGGCUGCCAUGAUUGAUAAGUUGCUUUGCAAAUGAUUCCUCGGCCAAACCUAAUGCCAUUAAUCCUGAUGGAUAACCAUGGUUGUCGCCAAUUAAAUGUGUAUCAUGUGAGCAACCAAAGACAAGCCCUUCAAUAAACUCGAGGUGGUCACCAUGGCUUGAAUGGAAGCCAAAGUUGUCUUUCGAGAGCGUGCCACUUGUGUGGGACCCGUCAAUAUAGACGAUAUGGUAGUGGCAACAGCUAUUGAUGCAAUGAUAAUAGCUUUGCGGGCAGGGGUUCUGGUCAGAGCAAGAGAUGUCGACGAAGGAAGGGGAUUGGAGAGGGUUGAAGUAAGGUUCAUUUUGCACGUAGCAAUUGAUGCAUGGCUUGCAUUGGGUCCAAGAAAGAUGACUGCCUGUAUCUAGGUUUAAGUGAUAGCCAAUGGUGCCAUUGCCAGUGCCAAUCGUCACAAAAACCAUGUACAAUGUUUGAUAGCAGAUGAUAGGGGGGCGAAUAGUGGUUAUUUCAUGGCCAACUAGCAUUGAUUCAACAUUGUUUGGUUGGAGGAAUCGAUCCUCAGAAAGGCGGAGGGACUCUUCAAAGCAUUGUGAAUCGGUGAGGUUAGGGUUGUAAACUGGGGACCGAGGAGAGUGACGAUAUAUGAGCUCGAAGCUUAAGAUUCUUUUAGAUGCUUCAAUAGUUUCAAAGGAAAAGAGUAGGAUGCAUAUUAAAAGAAGAAAUGUAACAUAUGAAUGGAUAUCUUUGCCCAUGGUUGAUAUUUUGCAAAGAAGUGAAUCAUGAAAAACAAGAAGAGAUAUAUACAUAUAUAUAUGUAAGACUAAAAUAGAUAAAGCUAAAAAAAAAAAUCCAUAAGAUAUCUUGGAGAAAAAAUGAAAUCGGUGGAUUCAGUAGGCAAUCCACUAUAUAAUGACUUUUCUAAAAUAUAAAGUGUUAGUUACUUUUGGAGGCUAGAAUUAAAUUUGGAGUUACUAAAAAGUAGUUAUAGUGAUUGGUAAAAACAUUUAGGACCUAAUUAAUUAAGAACUCAAAAUUUAAUUCAAAAUUUUUUUUCAAUGGCAUAAAAAUUUACUGAAAAUAGCAUUAUUUCAAAUAAAAAAAUUUUAUAUGCAAUUUGCUUGGACACUCUAAAUUUUGAAUUUUACUAAAAGUACCUCAAUUUAAAGAAAAAUUUUGAGAGAGAGGCAAUGAUGAAUGGUUAAGAUGUUUUAUUCUUACUUUACUCCAAAAUUUUAUAGAUUUAAGCUUAUUGUUUUUUACCCCAAAAAUUACAUAAGAAUGAGAUUAUUUUGCUGUACUAUGCAAGUCUAUAAAAGCCACUCAAAUAACUCUUUCGAAAAAAAAAUAAAUAGCACUAAUAAAAAUUUCCUGCUUCUAGCAAAUAUCACACUUUUAUAAGGUCCAAAAAAAUGCCUUAAUUCCAUUUUGGGAUGCCAAGUCGGACGACUACCGCUUCGUUAUCUGGGCCUACCACUUCACAACAGGCAACUUCGCAAGGAAGACUGGGCUGUGGUCAUCAAUCGUGUUGAGGAGAGAAUAGAAGGUUGGAAAGCCAAACUACUAUCGCUAGGGGGAAGACUCACGCUCGUCAACUCGGUUCUCACCAACCUGCCACUAUUCUACUUUUCCAUCUUUAGGGCGCCAAAGUGGGUGAUAAAUCGGAUAGAGGGACUCAGAAGAGCCUUCUUCUGGAAGGGGUGCUCCAAAAUCACUGGUGGUGCUUGUCUCGUCAACUGGAAUACAGUAUGCAAAAGUAAACGAGAAGGUGGUCUUGGAAUCUUAGAACUAAACUCUAUGAAUCUGGCACUCUUAACCAAAUGGUGGUGGCGUUACUUUACCAACCUAGACCUCCUUUGGUGUAAAUUGAUUAGAUCCCUCUACUACGUCAGACGAAAGCCAUUGCUGGAGGGUAGAGCCUUCGUCCCCAAUUCGCAGUGGUGGAAAAGCGUGCUCUAUUGUCGAGAUAUCUUCUCAUGUGGAGUAACCUACGAGCUCGGCGACGGAAGAAAUAUCAGGAUGUGGUCCGAUAUCUGGAUUGGAGAAGCCCCCCUUCGUACCCUUUUCCCGUUUAUCUUCUCGAAUAUCUGCAAUAGGGAAGCCCGGAUCUCCCAAUGUUGGAACCAGAGCGGCUGGAGAUGGCGCUUUAUCUGUCGUGGCUUCAUGACCACUCGCUCUACUGAAAGUCGCAGACAGCUGUCGUUGCUUAAAGACUUGCUCCGAGACCUCCGACCAAGCGCCAGUCCGGACUCGGUCAAAUGGCGAUGGACCUCCAACCAACUAUUUACGGUUAAAUCGCUUUACCAGUCCAUCACGGACGCUGGGUUGCGUGCCCCGACGAAUCAGCACAUCUGGAAGCUAAAAAUCCCCGUUAAAAUUAAAAUCUUCAUUUGGCUACUCCUUCGAAAGAGAUUACCUACUGCCGACAGAUUGCUCAUCAGAGGCAUGCAUGUAGAUCCGAAUUGCGCCUUCUGCGCAGUUCUGAUGGAAAGCUGCGACCACCUCUUCAACGAUUGCGUUCAUGUUCGGUUUCUUCUCCUCAGUACGGGAGGACCGGACGUAAACAACGCCAGCUCAGCCGACGUUAGAGAUCUCUGGGCCAAAACUACGGAAAUCCCUGUCGAAUCGUCGAGGAAACAUCGCCUGAUUGCUCUGGCUGCGACCUGGUGGGUAAUUUGGACGGACAGAAACAACUAUGUCUUCAACGGAAAGUCGCCCAAUGUUGUUGGAUCUCUAGAACGACUCAAACAACUGAUCAACAACUAGACCACAUUGCUCUGACGCCCUUCUUGUACCUCCACCCCUGCUCCACUCCCCGUUGGGGCUUUGAUCUCCCUUCCUCUUUCUUGUGCUUUUAAUUUAUUUUUGAGUUUUACCGACUUCUCGGAGGCCUAAGCUGCUUCCAACUUGUAUGCUCAGUUCAUUUCACCUAAUGAAUGAAGCAGGUAGCUUGCUAUCUAUUUCUCAAAAAAAAAAAAAGGAUAAAUUGCUAAAUUAAUGAUAUUGAAAAGGAAUAGAUAUUAACUGGUUGUUUUUUGUUAUGCUGUAACUACAAUGUAUAUAUAACAAUCUGAAGAAUUAUACAACAACACAUCUUAUAUAUGCGCAAGACCAAAAAANAAAAAAAAAUAGCACUAAUAAAAAUUUGCUGCUUCUAGCAAAUAUCACACUUUUAUAAGGUCCAAAAAAAUGCCUUAAUAUCGUCUGACUACCAAGUAAAACUGAAUGUGGUCACUUGGAUGUCAAAAGAUAUUGUUUAUGACAAAAGAAUUUCUUUAUAUAGGGACCACUUAAGUAGUUUAAAAAGGUGUUUGGCUCCUUGUAACUCGAUUUUGCUACCAAAAUAAUAAAACAAAACUUGGGAAAUCUUCCUAUUUGUAGUUUUGAAUUAAAAGUUAGUCUCAUUGUACAGUGAAGCUUGCAAAUUACUUUAUGGCUAAAUUAUAUAAAACCUUUCUGUCAAUAUCCACUUUUUCAUUUUUUUUCCUGUCAUUCAAAGUCCUACACUUUACCUCCUUGAAAAAUAAAAAAUAUUCAUUAAUUUCCGCCCCCACCGUCAGUGUUCCGUUAGGAUUUCAUUUAUAUCUUAUUUUUUAUACCCAAAAUACCCCUGAAAUCCCUAUCCAUGCCCACACGCAUGCUCUCGGUCGCCGCCUUGCCCUCGCGCAACCCUCUGUCUAUGCCUAGACACACGCCCUUGCCCUCCUCCGCCACUGGUAUGAGCAAGAUUGGGGAAGAGGAGAUGAAGCAGAUGACGAUAAUUUGGUCAUUUUGUCACAUCGUAUUCCCCUAUGAAUAUUUUUUAUUUUUAAAAGGAACGAAGUGUAGGUUUUUGAAUGACAGAGGGGAAAGUGAAAAAGCGAAUAUUUAUAGGGGUUUUAUGUAAUUUAGCCUUACUUUAAUCAUUAGUAGAUUUAGAAGAUCUACAUAUUUUAAGUGCAGAAAAUUUUUUUAGAUCUUUUCAACUUGAAAGAACUCAGAAGACCCUCAAAUAUUCCAAAGAAAAAAUAAGGUACAGAAAAUUAAUACAUUGUACAAGGCAUAUGUACAUUUAGAUUAGCUCCAAAUACUCUAAAUUUGUGGCAUCCAAAAUAAUGUAUAGAGAAACUCUUUUCGGUAGGAAGCAUGCGACAAAAAAUUUAGAGAUAAUUACCUAUAUAUAUAUUACUCAGAACUUCUGAAAUAUUUAGUAUACCCCUUCUUAAUUUUUUUUGUUUCAAAUAUACCCGCACUGUUAGUAUCCGUUAAAUUAUUUUGUGAAGCCCCACUUCACAGAAGGGUCAUCCAUCCUAGGACUACUUCAGUCCUAGCAUGCUUAACUCUCUUAACCUCUUGGGCCUAGCAAAUAUCCAAAAUACUAUAGCCGGAUUCAGAGUUUUUAGCUCUAUUAUAUCUUAUAUAUAGCGAUACCUAAGGUCUUACAUUGUCCCCCCACCCCAAGCCCCGACAUCCUCGUCUAGUUCAAAUCACAAGUACCAAGCAAUGUGACACUCGUCUCGCUAGCUUUAACCAACCUUGUGAAGGAGCCGGGCCCUACCCACAACAGUAAUCGGCAUGAGAGCUUCGCUCUCUCCACUGUAUGCCUGGCUCAGCCGAGACUCAUCUCACAGUUUUGGCUAGUAAUUGGCUCUGAUACCAACUGCGACGCCCCCACUUCCCAGGGGGUCACCUAUCCGGGACUACUCCAGUCCUAGCAUGUUUAAUUCUCUUAACCUCUUGGGCCUAGCAGCCACCCAAAAUGCUAUAGUUGGGUUAAGAGUUUUUAGCCCUAUAUAUUUUAUAUAUAAGACUACUUACAUAUCUCGGGUUAAACCCGAAGUAAAUUUCUAGCAGAGUUAAAAAGAGGGUUAAUUGCAUCAGCUCCCUAUAAACAUAGCAAAUUACAAAUAUACCCCUACAAACUUCAACUUUUAACUUUUAUCCCUGCAAAAGUUCAGUGAUAUUCAUAUUUGUCCCUCUUGUUGUUACCGUUAAAAAAUUAUUUAUUUUUUAACAACAGAUAAGUGAACUGUCAAUUUUGACAUCACAAAUAUGUCUCUGCAAAAGCUCCAAUUGUUAUAAUCGUACAGAAAUGUCCCCUCAAAAUAUUUUCAAUGGUCAUAUUUCUUCUCUUUAAAAUCCAAUCCAAUCCACCAUUGUUGCAACCUCUUUUCCCACUCUUUUUCUCCUAAAUCUUUUCUUUUGAGCAAAAUAAGAAAAAAUUAUAAAGAAAAUUGAAUGGAGAAGCAACACGUGUUCGACGCGAAGAAACACACGUCAUGGAUGAAUGAAAACAGAGAAAUUUUAGUUACGAGUUCGAAACUAGCAUGAAGGAGAGAGAGGAAGAGGAAAAAGAAAAGAAAGAAGAUGAAGAGAUCCUAUUACUAGGGUAUUGAUUGAGAGAAAAAGAUAUAAUAUAAGAGGGAUAAAAAUGUCAAUUUACCGCAUUGACUAACCAGGUUAAGUACUUUACCUAUGGUUAACUAAAUUUUUAUAACGAAUCCUAACGACAGGGGCAUAUUUGAAAACACUAACACUUUUGUCGGGAUAAUAUAAGAAAGCUGAACUUUAUAGGGAUAUAUUUACAAUAUGCUAUGUUUACUAGUAGUUGUAUGCUAUUAACCCUAAAAAAAGUAAAAAUACCUCUUCUGACCUUGAGUUAAGAAUAAAUAAGAAAAAUUGGUGACUGUAGAAGGGUAUAUUUGAAAAGGAAGAAGUUAAAAUACUUUUUUUGUCCCUAACUAAUAAGAAAAAUUGGUGACAGUAGAAAGAUAUAUUUGAAGCUUUAAAAGUGUACUUUUAAUAUUAGCCUUUUAAGACGGAUAAAUAAGAAAGUCGGAAAUUUUGUAGGAAUAUAUAAGCAAUUGUCCUAAAGAUUUAUAGUAAAUUAAUAUAUUGUGUCAUGGAAGAUGAUAAAUAAUCUAAUUAAAUACAAUGAAACAAUUUUACAUCGAAAUGAUGUAAAAAAAAGUUUUUGUUCUUUUACUCGUAUGCAAGGUAGAAAUAUUUGAUCCAAUAAUAUUAUUUCAAUACAAAACAAUUGAUAGGAUGUGUUGGGUUAAAGGGACCAGUAUCAUGUCCUGUGGCGAGAGGUUAGGUUUGCCGACUCACGCUCAAAAUGACGUGAGGUGGGGUUGGACCAAGUCAUGCUCGAAGUGACGUGAGACUACUUCGGCCGAGUCACAGUCGAAAUCUAGUGGAUACUGUACCUAUACAUUUUUAAUAAAUUAGUUGUAUCUUACUUACAGCUCGAGGUUUUGAAAUUAAUGAUCAGCACCAACAAUUCUACAGGAUGCUUAGAAGAUGCCACAAAUCACAAUUGAUAUGCGCAAUGAUUAAUAGUUCAUCAACCUAAUUAGGUGCCUAGACACUAGACUCCAUCCCAAAGAUGCAUGUUCUCGGAAGGUUUAGGAGACAGCCUAAAAUUAACCACUAACUUAGAACCCCCACCGCCCUUCCGCCUCCUGAUUCUAAGUAGGGAGGUUAAUGGGUACGGAUGCUUGAAAUUUUAUUUGAAUCCAAAUCCGAAUGCAGCAAAUUUAUUCGAUGCUAAAUGAAUAUAGUUUCAGAUAUUGAUAUUGAAAAUAAAAAUUCAAUAGAUUUGGAUUCGGAUAUGGAUUUUAACUGUACACGACCCGAACCCGAAUUGGUUAUAUAUAUAUAUAUAUAUACAUAUAUAUAUAUAUAUAUAUAGAGAGAGAGAGAGAGAGAGAGAGAGAGAGAGAGAGAGAGAGAGUGAGUUGAGCUGGAAUACUAUCGGUAGCAAAUGUGCUUUGUUGCCACCAAUUUGUUUUCAAUGAUGAAGCCUCUAAAUCAACGAGCACCGUUGAAUAUGAUCUAUACCACUUGUGGUAUCUAGAAAUCAAAUUUCAUACUUUUUCAAUGUUGUUUUCUUGUCCAUCAAGUGAACACAAAAAUGAACGGCUGAAAAUGAAUAUACUUUAAAAAGUGAUGAUAGGAAUCUUGUAAUCAAGAUUGAGAGUAUAGAUCUUGUUCUAAAUAGUUUAAAAAAUUUUCUAAUCAAAAUUCAAUUGAUUUGGAUAUCUUUACACUGUUAAACGAGAAAACGCCUUAUAUCGACCAUUAAAAUUAUACAUUUUGAAACCUUUGAUCACUAGGUCAAUGAUGUCAAAAAAAUUUAAAAUUUGAUUUCUAGAUACUUUAAGUAGUAUAGAUUAUGUUCAAUAGUAUUGAUCGUCAAUUUGAAGCUCCAUUACCGAAAACAAAUGGGUGGCAACGGAGCCCGUUUGCUACCGAUAGCAUUCCAGCUCAACUCAUAUGUAUGUAUGUAUGUAUGUAUGUAUGUAUGUAUUUAUUUAUUUAUUCAUAUUUAAUAUGUUAUAUUUGAAUUUGCAUUUGAACAAUUUAAAUUUAAUGCAGUAUAUUUUGAAUAUUGUAAAGAGAAAUAAUUGCUUAUGGUUCGAGUUUUCAGGUUUUCGAUUUUGGUUUCUUGUUUCGAAUUUUGAUUGUGUUCGGGUUUGGAUAUGGAUUUUUAAAACCCGUCAGAUUCAGGUUCAGGGUUUGGGUUUCAGGUUUGGCAUUCGGAUUUUUAAAAAUCCACUCUGAAUCUGAUCAGUUGAUAUUCCUAAUUCUAAGUACCUAUAUAUUAACUGAAGGCUUGGAGGCACGAGUCCGGAUAAUUAAGUUCAUACAAGGGCACAAAUUCUUAACCUCAUAGCGAUUAUUUAAAAGCUUUUAACCUCUAUGUUUCGAAGAUAUAAAUCAUAAAAUCAAAAUGUUCUUAAAAGUAUAUUUUGAAAAUCAUAACUAUAAGAUAUAUUUGACACAAACAUGCGAGACUUAUAGCUGCAUCCUUAAUACAUAGUUAGGGUGUCAACGGGCCAAACACGAGUGAGUUGGGCCGGCUCGUGUUUGGCUCGUUUCAUAAACUAGCCGAUCUCGAGCUGAGUCAUUAAAGAAGAGUUAAUUUUUUUAUUUUGAUUACUUUGGGAGGAAUAACACUAACUUGAUUAGUUUUUUUUUUUUUUUUUUUUCCUUUUACUUCCUUCUAUUUUACUUUUUCUUAAUUCGCUUGAGCAUUUUCACUGUUUUCCUUCCCAGGUUUUGAUGCCCCCCUGUUUCCUAAAAAACAUCUAUUUUACUACAUAUUUUUCUAAAUAUUCUAUUUGUUUGAUUACUGUUGUGCAUUGUAUAGAUUAAGACAACUUAAAUAAUUAACUUAUAUCUUUUUCCAAUUAUUAUUAGAAAUUCAGUUGGGACAAAAAUAUAAAAUAAAAUAAUUUCUUUUAUCAAAUACAAAUUAUUUUUCGAAUCAGAUCGAACUGGAUUGGAAACGAACCGAAUACGAGCUCUGGCUCACGAGCAACAAGUUAAAAGAUUAGAAACGGUAUAUAUAAGAAAAAAUUUAUGAACUCAUUAGAGCUAAUGGUUGAAACUUUAUACAUAAAUAAACCUUAUAUAUAUAUAUAGAGAGAGAGAGAGAGAGAGAGAGAGAGAGAGAACUAGGCUGGAAUACUAUCAAUAGCACUAAGCUAUUUGUGCUAUUGAUUUUUUAGCCCUUGGAUUGAGAAAUCAGUGGUUAGGAUGAUGUGGGCCCCCCAGGGUUGAGUGAGUGGUUGGUUGAAUAGUAUAAUCUAACGGCUAAAAAUAAUCAAAGGGUUAAAUCUAACGGUGAAAAACUUGAUAGCACCAAAUUCUUGAUACUAUCGAUAGUACCUCAGCCGGCGACUCUCUCUCUCUCCUCUCUCUCUGCUUCUCUCUCUCUCUCUCUCCUCUUCGUAGUAUAUAUUAUAUAUAUAUAUAUAUAUAUAGUAUUUAUAUAUUAUAUUAGCCAGUACUGUAUCUAUAAGGUUAUAGAGCUUUCUUUGGUUACCUCAUAAAGUUUUUGGCCAUUGACUAAACCAUUUAAUAUUUUUGUUCACUUACUGUGAUAUUAUCUCAACCAACCACCCACUCACCCUUAGGGGCCCACUAUCAAAACCUAACCGUAAUCCACUCUCAUCUAACUGCACAUUUUUGCAUCUAAAUGAUCGAAAAGUUAUGAGCUAUACAAAGGGCUCUAUACUCAAUAUGGAUAUAGUGCCCAGCAUUAUAGUAUAAUAUAUUAUAUAUUACUACCUAAUAUUUAUACAUAUAUAUAUUAUAUUAAAGUUGAGGGCUAUGUUAGUACAAACACUCCCAUGUUGCUACAGUUUUUUUAGUAUUUAGAGUCAAUUCUUUCUCUUAUUUCUAACAUUGGAUAAAUACCUAUAACCAGUGGGGAGACACUCAACCCUAGGGGGGACACUCGAAUCUGAGAUCGACUUAAUAUCAUCGCACCUUACAAUUUUUCAUUAAGGGUUUAAAAAUUUGAUAGCAAAAAUGAGAGUUUUACUAUUAAUGGUAUUCAGCCUUAAUUCUAUAUGUAUAUAUAUAUUAGGGUCAAGAUGCAUAAGCUCCCUGCAAACAUAGCAAUUGCGGAUAUAUCCUGCAAAAUCAGAAACUCCAGUAAGUCUUGUCCCUACAAAAGUCCUAAGUUAUUGCAAGAUAAUGUCCCUGCAAGUUUACAUCCGUUUAGUGCUGGAGCUGUUUGUUUUUUAACAGCGAAGUGUGAAAGCAUGACCAUUUUACUCCUCACGAAAUAUAUCCCUCAAAAAGUUUUCCUCUUUGCCUUUUCUUUCUUUCCUCCUUCGGGCCGGCCGGAUUGGCGGGUUGACGGGCGGGGGGGAUGGCGACGGGCGGUGCCGGUCGACCUCGCCUGGCGACGGCGGUCGAAGAAGAAGGUAAGAGAAAAAUUGGAGAGAGAGAGGCAAGAAGGUGAGAAAUGAGAGGAAGGGGGGAGAGGAAGAACGUAGAAGCAGAAAGAUAAAUGAGGAAAAGGGUUCGCGCCGGCUGGCCCGCCGGAUCUCUCCACUCUAACUGGCGAGAAGAAGAUGGAAGAAGAAGAGGAAGAGGAAAGAAAGAGGCGAGAGGAAGAAGAAGAGGGAGAGGGAAGGUUCGCGGCGCCGUCGAUUUUCAUCCCUCUGCCCGGCAGACUGAGAAGAGGAAAGAGGAAGAGGGAUAGAGGAAGAAGAAGGUGAGAAAGGGGGCCGGGAAGAGGGAGACCGAAUUUAAGAGAGAAUAAGAACAGAGAAGAGGAUUCGGCCGUCGCCGGCCUAGUCCCGUACGCCUGCCAGUCGGCCGCUGACCUGUCGGCUGCCAGCUAUCCGCCUGUCAGUCGGCGAACGAGAAAGGGGUAAAGAAGAAGAGAGAGGAAGGAGACAGGGUAGAACCGUAAUUCACAGGUAUAAUAACAAUGGUUAAGUAUUUUAACUGGUUAACAGGAAAAAUUUUCUAACAAAUCUGGCCAGGCAGGGAAUUAUCCUGCAUACUGUUUAGACUUUUGCAGGGACAUAACUUAUGGAGUUUCUUUACAAGGGGAUAUUUUGCAAUUUCACUUGUUUUGCCAAGCGGACGUGGUAUGCAAGAUACCCAAUAUAUACUAUUAUAGAGCUAGGACCUCCUAUGGCUUUUCGAACGUUACGAGGUUCCUCCUUGUGAAUUGCUAAAGUUGUUUUCGAUGAUGGGCGACGUCAUUCCCAUGCGAUCGGUUCCCGUUAGAAAUGAUCUUACGUAUUGCGAAAACUAUCUGGAACCAAAUUUCAUAAUUUUUUAACUUCGUUGCGUACGUGAACGAGAACUAGCUCAAACAUGAACGGCUAGAACUAAAAUCUCAUAAAACAUAGAGAUAAGGGGGAUCAAAUUUCACAAUCGGGAAGUAUUGUUGCUCUGCUGCAAUUGAUGUUAUAGUAGAACUUUUCUGAUAAGGUUUCAUUGUAAUUUGGAUAUUCUACAACAUUUGAACUUGAAAAAACGGUUAGCUAUAACAAUCCGGGCUGGGUUAAAUCUUGUAAAAUUUGGUCAUUUGAGACCCUUUGAUCGUCUUUGGUAAAUUGAAGUCGCUAAGAACUUAUAAAAGUUUUUGGAUUUCUAGAUAUGUUACAAUUACGCUCAGAUUAGCCUACCGAGCACUGACCCUUCGUCGAAUCGGUAUAGAGUGGCUUAUAAUCAAAAAUAAUCUACAAGCCGGAAGCCUCGUACGGUUUCGAAAGCACGGGAGGAACCUACUCUCUCUCUCUCUCUCUCUCUCUCUCUCGUCUCUCCUCUCUCUCUCAUCUCUCUCUAUAUGAGUAUAUAUAAUGCUAUAUAUAUAUAUAAUAUACUUAUAUAUAUAGAUAUAUAUAUAUAUACUAGUAUCAUACUAUAUAUAUAUAUACAUAGUAUAUAUAUCGUAUAAUAUACUAUAUAUAAUAUGUGGCUUACUAUAAUCUUAAAGAGUAAUAGACUCCUUUAUUACUCAUAAAUUUGUCAGGUGCCGCCUUGGAUGAAAGGAUAUAUGGCCUUAGGAUCAGUUAGUGGUCCCGUGUAUAGGCAUGUGUAGUGAGUCUCUGCCUAGGGUUGAGUGCGCGUGGUUCGAUUGAAAUAGCUACUGAUCUAACGGAAGGUAUAUAUAUAUAUUACAAUGUAAAAUUAAUUCGAGUUCGGGUUCCGGACUUCAUCAUCUCCUCCAAUUUCAUCUCCUAUGCCGUUGUGUGUCGUCGGCGACACAUUCGUGAGGAGCGUAACAAGGCGAAGUUGUGAUCGCUUCACUAUGUAAUACUUAUACCACAUCAUUUAUAUCAGGCUAAUCACAUCAGCAGUAUAUAUAACUGUUGUAUUCUAAACUUUUUCCUUAAAAGGAGAAUAGGUCUGAACCCAAAAUGCCCGUGCCACACGAACGGCACGUAUUGGAUGAUCCAUGAACACUAGUCCUGCAUGAUGUUUGGGCAGCCUGACGCCGGGUUCAUGAAUUGGCGGCAAACGCUCGAUGGGUGCGAGCUGUCGGUCUUCAACCGCUAUAAAUUUUUGCUCGAGUGUCCUUUCGUAACGUGCAAUUCCAAUUCGAAAAAUAAUUUUUGAGAUCUACGCGUCGAAAAAUGAAGCAGUUCCGCCCAAGUUUUGAACCUAAAUUCAACUGAUUAGACCUCCAAAUUUACAUUUUUAGAUGUUUUUUAAGAAAAUUUUAUAUUUUCUCUACUUUGAGUGUAGUUAUUUGGUUGUUCCUGGUGGGUUUAGAUUUAGAUAUAUAUUGGAUUUCAUUAUCUUCUAUCAUAAUAAGAUUCUGGAACUGCUUCUACAUAAACUAGAGUUGAUUAAUAAUAUUUUUUUACUUUGUUAAAAAAAUUGUGUUUUUCGCAUAUCUCUCUUUCCGUUCUUUUGAUUCUUCUCUCUUAAUGCGUCUUAGGCCUUCCUCAAAGGUAAUAAGAAUUGCAUAUAUGGUCUCUCCUCUCUACGUAAGAGAAAACAAAGACCUAGGUUACAUUUUUGGAUUAACUUUACCAUUGGUUCAUAACUUCUACCCAAUUUUUUACUUUAGUCCUUAAUAUACUAAAUUUAGGUUGUUGGCAAUUACUAUUUGUUUUAAUUGAUUUCUUACAUCACAAAAAAAGAAGAAAAGAAAAAUUCUAGUUAAAAACAACUCCAAUUUAGAGGCAAAUAUUAUUUAAUAUUGCUGGUGAGUUAGUUUUCAUAUUAGAGUUAAACUGAUUUUCAAUAACUGAGGCCUAAUCGAAAUAAAUAAUAAACGUUUAGAGCAGGUUGUACAUAUUAAAAAAAUUGGGGAGUGAAGUGAAAAACCGAUUAGGGGCCAAAUAGUGCAACCCCUAAAAUUUUAGUAUAGUGUAGUGGUGGUGCUGUACAUAACUAUAAAUAUUCCACUGAAUCACUAGAUCUAUUUUUAGGUUAAACAUCUAAACUUUUAGAAAAAUAUUUCUGCGGACACUGCAACAAAACUAGGUUUUAGAGACACUUUUUUGAGACACUUUAGUAUAAGUGUCCCACAAUAUGUUCCCUUAUUUCCAAAACAGAGUGUACAUCUUACACCAUUUUAUUAUAGGAUUUUAAAAAUAUUUAAGGCUUGAUUAUUAAAAAAUUGACAAGAUAAGAAGAGGCUUAAAUCAAAAAUGUUGGAUUUCAUCUGAAAGCACAAUGUGAAAGAUGAGUAAGUGCCAUAGAUGAACUGAUGUUGAUAUUUCUAGGUAAGAGUCAGAUAUCAUCUUCCCUUAUUUCCAAUAAUCUAAAAGAGUCUAUUUUAAUAAAAGUCCCAUAAGAUUAAGAACAUUCACUUUGGUCGCAAAAUAUUCUUUCCAUUGUGGACCAUUCGAUCCACCGAAUAUCAUAUAAAAUGCAUGAAUAUCAACACAAUAUGAAUUAUGGAUUCAAUGAUCUCAUGAUAUGAACAGUUUCCUUUAAAAAUUUAUUCUCUAAAGAAGGUCUCACUUUGGAUUAAGUUCAGUUAAAUACUAUUAGGGGAAAAAAAGGAGGCAUAUGGGCACAUUAUUUUAUUAUUUAGUCUUAUAUUUCUCUCUUUUAAGGUUGGGAGUCAUGUUCACAAUUUUCCGGAUUGAAUGCUAGCUGUAAAUGCAGUACAUCAAAAGUAAAUCGAAUAUUUGCUUGUUGGUAUGCCCCAAGAAUAGUCCAAGUAUCCUGCGGUAGCAUUGCAAAGCAGACAAUUCCCUUUUGUUGAACAAUGUUGAACAAGUUCUGCCAUGCGAAAUGCAUCUCAGCCCCUUGCAAAUGAAAUGUCAUACUCGGCAUUAAGCUCUGAUAAUGUGGUUGGAAAAGCCAACAAAGUUUAAGUGAGACUCCAUAUUUCCUUGGGUCCACUUCAACUAAAUUCUUAUGCUGGAAAUGAGCCCUAAGAACUUUCUUCACCCGUUCGAAAGCUGGGGUUAUCAAUCGAGAGACUGCUGCCCCAGAGUCCACAACGAACCCACCCGACCCAUUCGGCUUUCGUGCAAACAUUUCUGGCUCAAAUCCAAGUCGUUUGGUGCCAACACUGAUGUCAUUCAAGAUAAUAUAAUAGAAGCACACACCUUGGACUGGUAUUAUUGAUGUAGUUUGGAUUGGACCUCUUUGUAUAAUGUUAUCUCCGAAUCGUAAAAAACUCAUACUUGUUGAACCUCUCGAGGGAAGACAAUAUGAGAAGCGGCCCUGACUGCCAUGAUUAAUGAGUUGCAUUGCAAAUGAUUCCUUGGACAAACCUAAUGAAAUUAAUCCUGAUGGAUAACCAUGGCUGGGUAUAGCUAGUUGGCUAUCAUGCGAGCAGCCAAAGAUGAGCCCCUCAACAAACUCAAGGUGGUCACCACGGCUAGAGCGGAAGCCGAAGGUGUCUUUUGAGAGUGUGCCUCUUGUGUAGGACUCAUCGAAAUAGCUAAUCUGGUAGUGGCAACGAUUGUUUAUGCAAUGGUAAUGCCCUUGAGGGCAAGGGCUUUGGUGGGAGCAGGAGAUGUCAACGAAGGAAGUGGAUUGGCGAGGGUCAAAGUAAGGAUCAUUUUGUGGGUAGCAAUUUAUGCAUGGCUUGCAUUGGGUCCAAGUAAGUGCACUACCUGUGUCAAUAUUUAAGUAGUAGCCAAUAGUACCGUUGCCUGUGCCAAUCGUCAAAAAAACCAUGUAUAAUGAACUAUAGUAGAUGAUAUUAGUGCGUAUUGCAGUUAUUUUAUAGCCAAUUGACAUCUCUUGAGAGUUGUUUAGUUGGAGGAAUCGAUUCUCGAAAUAGUGAAGGGAGUCUUCGAAGCGCUGUAAAUCGGUGAGGUUAGGGUUGUAAAUAGGGGACUGAGGUGAGUAACGAUAGAUGAGCUCAAAGCUUAAGGAUCUUUUCAAUCCUCCAGUAGUUUCAGAGAAGAAGAGUAGGAUAGAUAUUGAAAGAAGAAAGGUAAAAUGCGAAUAGAUUGUUUUGGCCAUGAUUGAUGUUUGUGAGUUUAGAAUUACAUUGUGGACAAGAGGAAACUAUAUAUAUAUCUAUAUAUAUAUAUUAUUUAUUUAUUUAUUUAUAUGUAUGUAUGUACAUAUACUUAGUAGAUCUUGUGUGCUAUUAUGAGGCAUGGAGGCCUUCGUGUUCCUAAGUCGUUUUUGAUGAUGGAGCUUUCAAAUUGACGAUCAGCUCCGUUAGACUUGAUCUAGUGUAUUUGAAAUAUCUAGAAAAUAAAAUUUGCAGUUUUUUGAUAUCACUUAGCUAGUGAUCAAAAUGAUUCAAAAUUAACGGCUGAAAAUUAAAGUCUCACAAAAAGUGGUGAUAUAACACUAAAAUUUUUAAUUAGAAAUGUUGAUCUUGUAUAAAUAGUAUAAAAAAUUUUCUAUUAAAAUUUUAUUUGAUUUGAAUACUUUUACACCGUUAAACAUAUAAAUGAUAUACAUCAACUAUUAAAAAUUAUUGAUUUUGAGCUUUUUGAUUGCUAAAUAAAUGAUAUCGAAAAAUCACAAAAUUUAUUUUCUACAUAUUUCAAAUAUACUAGAUUAAGUCUAACGGAGCCGAUCAUCAAUUCAAAAGUUUCAUUAUCGAAAAUGAUUUAAAAGUAUAGAGGCCUCUGUGUUCUUAAUAGCACACAAGACCUGCUCGCUUUCAAAGCAUAGGGCCUCCGUGUUACUUUUUUUUUUCAAUGAGAGAUUGGAAUCAAUGAUCCACUUGUUAGACUUAAUCUCUAUUUGAAUAUUUAUGCAUCUUUCAACUUCCAAUUACCUCAUAUUAAUUAUUGAAAUAAAUAAUUUUUAAGACCUUUUGAUCACAAAACUUGACACUAGAUAUCUCAAAUAGUUUAGAUUAAGUCUAAUAGAGUAGAUCAUUGAUUUGGGAAAAAAAAAAAAAAGUGAAAGCAUAGAAACCCCAUUGUUUUUAGAAGUAUAGUAGCAUCAUUCUCUCUCUCUCUCUCUCUCUCUAUAUGUAUGUAUGUAUGUAUAUGUGCGUGUAAGUAUGUAUGUUUAUAUAAGAUAAAACUAGAUAAAACUAGAAAAGAUAGGGAACAAAAUAGAAAAAGAGAAUCCAUAAAAUAUCUUUGGCACAGAAAAGACAAUUAUAGAUUCCCACUGCAAAAUGACCUCUCUUGAACUAACAACAUCAUAUAUAUGUAGAUAACAUUUAAAUGGUUAAUUAGUUACUUUUGGAGGUUAGAACUACACGCGCCAUAAUAGUCAAUGAAAAGUAGUCCUAGUGGUCUCAGUAAGGAAAAAGUUUAGGACCCAUUUGGGAACUGAAUUUAAUGCAGAAAUUUUUUUUUUCAAUGGCAUAAAAUUUGCUCAAAAGUAACAUUAAUUCGAAGAAAAACCUUUUGAUCAGUCCCAGAUGACUAGCAUGUAUACCUAAAACUCUAUUUGGUGUGUAUACCUAAACUCUGAGACUGGUCAAUAUUCUUGAAAAUAUUGUUUAGUAUGUACACCCAAAAAAUAUUCUUCUUUUUUUUUUUGAGAGAGAUAGGUAGCACGCCACCUGCUUCGUUUAUUUCAUUUAAAAAUAAACUUAGCUAGAAAUGUAAAUCAACUAGGAUUCGAACUUGGGUUUCGGAUACCAACCACCAAGCCCUUAGCCACUUCCUCUAGGGACGGUCGGUCUAUUUAGAAAAACCUUACAAGAUGAACGCCGCUAGAUACCAAAAGAAAAUAAAUGAAAAAAUUAUUAUGUAACAAUAUCUUGAACUGUGCUUUGCUAUUGCAUAUCAUGAGCACAAUUCAUAGAAAUGAAGGCUAUCUACAAUUGCACACAAGUUGAUUGAGCAUGUUUCUGCUGAAAUUAAUGCCUCGAGAAUGCUGAUAUCUUUCCUAUAACACCAUCCCCCAGUAAAACAAAAUUUUCUACUAAUCAAUAUAGAAUAAUUGCUCCUGCCGUAUCUCUAUAUACUUUAUUUGUCCUCCCUUCUCUUCUCCUAGUGAUGUGAAAAUGUGUGGCAAUAACUAAGAUACCAUAUCACUGUCACAUUAUAUGAGUUACGGCAAGCGCACAAACGGAAACGAAGAUGACGAACACAAAAUAAACAAACCACAAAUAAAAAUAAAAGAACAGAUUUACCUGAAAAUCCCUUUGCAGGAAAAUACCACGGGUGAGGGAGGAGAGAACUUUACUAUUGAAAAAGAGAAUACAAUGUUUGGAGUACAACCAUCAAUCUGUCCUCUCUAGGGCAAAUUCGAAAAGGAAACUCUUAACGGGUUUUGGAUCCGAUCCGUACCGCGGAGAAGGGAGGCCCCCGUACCCCUUGACGAAUGUUAGUGGUGGGCUAUGGGCUCGGGCCUAUCAGCUUGAGCCCGCCACUACCCACCAUGGACAUUUAUUUUUUUCUUCACAAUUUUAUUUUCAAAUGUCACACUGCGAAACUGUCGGCGAGUCGAAAUCCCGAACUGAGGUUGAUUUUCAAUUUUGAGUCAUAUCUAACAAUAUGUAACUUGUAAUUGAUCUGUCUAAUUAUACCCAGUCAACUUUAUUAAAUGGUAGAACUUUCUUACAGCAAAAUUAUAACGUAUUGAACUUUGACUAAAUUGAUAAAGUACGGAUUAAGUUAUGCUAGACAUGAUUAGAAGAGGUUUUGAGAAGAUUAGACUGAGUUUAGAUCGAAUUGAAAGCAAUUCGAAUUGAAACUGAGUACCAGAAGAAAGGAAAUCUAAGUUCUAGAAUUUUUGGCUGUUCGCAAAUAGGAAUUCGGGCAUUCAAAAUGGUUUUAGACAACCUAAUGGAGCAUCCAAAAUAAAUGACUCUCUUUCAAAGAGUGAGAUUGGUGAGGAGGCCAAUUUUCAACUAUCCGAAUAGUGCUGUGGGUGCCCAAAACUUUUCGAACCUACUUGAGGGCUUGUGGAACCCUUUCGGACUCCCAACCCGAGAGCUCGGAUGCGCGAAGAAUUAACCAUUUGGUGUUUGAAUGACCCUACGGGCAUCCGAAUGACCUUGCUAGCACCCAAAAUAUCUUUGGGCAGACCCUCACAGACGUCCAAAUAGAUUUCGGAUGCUCAACCAAAGAGCAUUGGUUAUGUGGCACAAUAAACAAUCAGACACCGGAUCUCUUUUUCUAGCCCCCAAAUUGUGAAUCAUACAAACUGGGCGGGCAUCAAGACCAUCGACCGGACAUAGCUAUGACGCUUUCGGGUGCCCACCUGAAACCUGACGUAAAGGAUGAGGACCAGUUAGUUGCAAAUAAAAAGAGUUGGUAGGUUUAUGGACUAUUGUAGCACCUCUAUAUAGCCCCAUAUCAUAGCCAAACCCUAAUCUUUUUCUUAUUUCCCCCUUUCUCACUCUCAGUCUCCUCUUUCUCUCUCUAGGAAAAAAUGAGAAUCCUAAAUCUCCAUUAUUGGAGCUCAUAGAACCACCUCCUUGGUAGUUUGGGGAAUGUCAAAGGUAUCAAGAGGAAGCUCUUGGACGGAGAAGAAAUCCACUUCACCAACAUUAAUUACUCUUGCCAGAAAGAAAAGAGAUGAGUUGAAAUUUUAGGGUUUAUAAUCUUAAGGGCCAUUUGAAACAUCUUCUCCAAAUCAAUAACUUCUAAAUUAUGAAACACAACUUUAUUACUCGUUUAAGACACUAGUUUAUAGUAAAACCCUUCAAGGAGAAAAAAAUCAAACUUUUUAUCUAUAAUGCCUCUACUUAAAUAAGAAAAACUUUCCCGGCAACCCCAGCUGUCGCCGUGGCCAGAGAAGGGAGCUUGACCCCAACUUAACCCGUGCGAGCUUCGGUCGUCCCCUUGCCACCAUCGCAGCCUCCCGCCGCCGGCAGCGCACACACCGACCUCCCUCUGUUGACCACACACACCCCCUACUGUCGGUGCACCCGCCGCUGAGUCGCUGCCGGCCGGGCUUGGCUUCCCUAUCCACAGCAAGCCUGGUUAGGGCAUUUCUUGGUGAUUUUCACUAUUUCGGUGACUUGGGGCUGUACUGACACCUCCAAAGUUGAGCACGGUGACUCCCAGUCAGUGCUGAUCACAGUGCUUACCUAAUUUGUUGUUGGCGAGGCUCGGAUCAGCAUUUUCGGCCUAGUUGCUCCUAUGUGCAUCAUUUGUUGAAGUUCGGCUCACUCCUGCGCAUCCCAUAGUGACCCGUGGUGCUCCGGACAGCAAGCACGGCCUCCACCUUGUCGAGACCUAUCAGCCAGUGUCUCGGGUGACCUCGAAAGCACUCGGUUAGCGAUAACGAGCCAUAAAACCCCUCUAGUUGCAUGUAUAAAUGUGAUUGUAUGUAAUAAUAGGGGCUCUUACGCAAAUUGCCACCUCACGGCUGCUGUGGGCAGCAUGUAUAUGUCGUAGAUGACCUCUGGACUGAUCAUCCAAGGUUCGAAGCCCUUUGCGGAGACCAAAUAAUGGUUUCGGUGCAUUUUUCGAUGAAAUUCUCCGGCGGAACAUAGUUUCGGGUCGGAUUUUAUCUGACGCUGUUGGAACACCUUGAUUGUUACCACCGAGCCUUGUUGGCUAGUCACCUACAUCAUCUUGAAUGUCCGGAGAUGACGGGUGAGUGGCUGAGUGUUCCAGUGUCAAAAUUGACACUUUUGGGAACCCGGAUCGGAGCGAUUAUCCGACGAUAAUUAUUUCGAUGUGUGAUCUUGGUGUUUGCUACCAGGACAUCCAAAAUGAUGGUUGGGUCAUCUUUACACCAUUUACAGCCUCUUUUGCACUAUUACAUUCAAGGUAGCACAAAAUGCAGAGAAAAAUUUGCACUGGUUUACAUAGAUUGCUCCGUUUUCUUUAAAGUUGCACUUCUUACUUUGCCGUGUGGUAUCUCAUUGUAGAUGCACGACUUGUCCUCCUCUUUCACUUGCUAAUCGUAAACCACUCUUCCCCCUGCAAGCUGUUGUACUUCUUCCACUUCUCUUUUGCAAACACCAAGCUCAACAAAGAGUGUUGGAAUAAAAUAUGACAGAUGUAUGGAGGAAGGCGAGGGGGUUUAGAAAUAGGGUAAGCAGCAUGGGACGCGGGAGAGGGGACUGCGGUGAGGCAAUGAAGAAGAUUGACUGCGUGGGAUUAGGGUGUUGCACUGGUUGACAUAGCGUUACACUUUUAGCGGCAAAUGUUGCACUGGUAUGGGCUGCGCACUGCACUGUUUGAAGUGUUGUUGCAGUAUUUUCCUUCGCUUUGCACCAUUAUCCUAGCCGUCGACUGCGUAUUUUUCCUAAUUUAGCUUCAAAAUAUUUAUUUUCGAAAAGCCGAACGACAAACAUAGGGGUUCGCGAAUAGAGGUGCUGAUUCUAUUUGUAUUUCGAUGACUAGGAGAUUGUGUAACCCAUGUGCAGAGCGCAUUUAAUGCCCUGAAAGUCACCAUACAGUACAGUAGCUGCAUUUGAUGCGAUAUGGGUGAGACAGAGGGAGACAAGGGGUAUUUUUGUUAGAUAGCGGAAAAUCCGGCCCGAAUCUGCAAAAUCGAAAAUGGCGGCCUAGAUUUGCAAAAUCGCAAAACUAGUGGAUUUUUUAUGCAAAUUGGCCUAGUUUAUCAUACAAUAUUUCCUUUUCUAAAGUGAAACAUGUUAAAAAAAGAGAAGUCAAUUAGCCAAAAAAAAUCUAUGUUGUAACAUACCGAAACAUCGGUGGAAUAUGUUGGACUUUAGCCAAAUUGGCCAAAGUGUCCGAAAAAAAUAGUGGGACAAGUUCCAUUUAAUAUUCCAACAAGGUUAGAAGGGUUAAAAGUGGGUUCUAAAGGGGUUAGAAGGGUUUUAGCAUCGUUCGGUGCGAAAUAGAAUCGAAACGGAACCAAAAAUCAAGUCUGGGCAAAAUGUACCGGUACAACCAUCGAGUUGUAACCAGUACAGCAAAGUGUACCGGUACAGCAUUGAAAGUGUACCGGUACAAAUGCUACGAAAUCGAGAAGUAGCUCUGGGGUUUUGUCUCUGCGCAAUCGUGUUACCGGUGGCACGAGGAAGUGUACCGGUACACUUUGGGCUGACAACAGGAAAUAGGUCUGCUGCAAAUAUAAGUUGAUGGGGGGCUUAUUUGCAAAUAUUGCACACUAUAUAUACAACCAAACCCCUUCUCCUUCACAGCAGCCCUCUUCUCUCCCAUUUUCUCUCCCUCUCUUUUUUUCUAAAAGCUUUGCACCAAGGCAAAGGAGGAGGAGAAGAAGGCUUAGAGAUGGAUUUUUGAGGGUUUUGAAGGAUCAAGAAGCUCUCCUGCAAGGUGGAUUUGGAGGAGCUUGGGCUAAGGUAACCUCUCAUGCAAGGAUACAUCUAGGGUUUAGAUUUUUACCCUAAGAUCUAGAGUUUUGAUCUUCUUGCAAGCUUUAGAACAUUGUAGAGGUUUGGAAACACAUGAAAACCAUGUGUUCUUCAAGGUGCUCUAAUGGUAAUUUAUAGGUUUUGUUCUAAACACCCUAAGGAUGGUUCGAAUGCUUCUAGAUGAGCUUCUAGAUGUUGAACAAGCUCUCUUUUGCUUGUUCUAGAGAUCAAACCAAGAUAUUUUGCUAUAUGUCACAUUUGGGCACCCAAAAGAGGGAUUUUACUCAAGUAGGGUUUUGAUGCAAAUUAACCCUAUGCAAACCUAAUUUUACGAACGCGUUGGUGAAGUCAGUUCGACGAUUUGUCGAGCCUAUGCGAAGUUAUUGAAGAAACGGACCGUUGAAGCUUCGUUUCCGCUUGGAGGGCCGAGGCGACGUCCUAAAAUCAUGAAAUCGGAAUCGUGGGCUCGUGGCAACUAACCGAAGACCUUUAAUUUUCGGAUCGUGGAUUGGAGGCCGUUCGGGUGGUCGUGCGAGAGUUCGGGCCGAACCGGGUCAUGGGUGUCGCGGGAGGCCGAUUGCAAGUGACUACAAGCAAUCGGAACGCGUUUUGAGGUGGGUUGUGUUUACCGAAGCGACUAGGUCGCCUGUAUGUCUAAAAUAAAUAUUUUUCAUUGAUGCAUGUAGUGGUAGCUAGUGAUAGAACAUGUGAAUGCAUAGGAUGAAUGCUACGUGGGCUACCAAAUAACACAUGAUGACAUAGUGUAAAUAAUGCUAGUGGAAAGCAUAAAGUAAAUGGCAUGUGCAUAUAGAAAUGCUAAUAUAAGAAUGCUAGGUGAAUAUAUGAUAAGCAUGAGGUAGAAAACUAUGUUAAAUGACAUGUGCAUGUGGAUAUACAUAUAUAUAUAUAUAUAUAUAUAUAUAUAGAUCGAGUGGCAUCGAACCUAGUGUUAAUAAACAUAGGUUGAACAAGUGUGGCAUGUAACCUAGUGUUAAUAAACAUAGGUUGAAUAAGUGUGGCAUGUAACCUAGUGUUAAUAAACAUAGGUUGAAUAAGUGUGGCAUGUAACCUAGUGUUAAUAAACAUAGGUUGGAUAAGUGUGGCACCGAACCUAGUGUUAUUGAACAUAGGUUGGAUAUGAACCUAGUAUCAUGAACCUAGGAUGGAUAAGAAUGAAUGUGAACCUAAUGUUUGAGAACAUAGGUUGAGAAUGAACCUAGAGUCAAGUCAACCUAGGUUGUGAGAUAAAGGUAAUGAACCUAGAGUUAAAGUAAACCUAGGUUAUGUGAUAAAGCAUCAAGCCUAGAGUCAAGUGGACCUAGGGUGGAAAGAACAUUGGACCUAGAUAGGUCGACACUAUAGGAUUAAGACCAACCCUCGAGUUAUGUGAAAUGGAUUCCGGAAUCCGAGAGCUUUGGAUCACACCGAGAGUGGUGUGGGCCGUGUGCGACGAUUUCGCCGCCGGAUGGUUAUGCCGGUUUGUGGAUUAUACCGCUGCUUGACUUGAACCAUUGUCGUGGCGUAUGUGCGACGAUUUCGCAGCCAGGUGGCUCAGUCAUAAAGUGCGGCAGGUUGUGGUAGGCUGAGGUGCAUGCCAGAGUUCCUUCACCUCGAGCCGACAGAGCGCGGAUUAUCUGAAGUUGAUUGACUCAAGACCGAGUCGAGUGGCAUAGAUGGCUAAGGUAAAGGUAACCUUAGGAAAGAAUCGCCAAUGAGCAUUGUCACGCCCCGGAACCGAUGCCAAUUUGGCUCGACCCGAGCACGUCAAACAGACGCCGAACGGACAGAGUUUCCCCUAUCCGCCCAAGGCUCAUCACAUGUACAUUUUCAUCAAUAGAGAAAAGCACUAGCGGAAACAUACACAAACGGCUUACAUGAGGCUAAGCAAUAGCCAUUAGUGAAAGAAAGGAAAACUAAACAUUUACAAGUACUAUGAUUCAUUUUUUGAUCAUAUACAUUGCAUUCAUUUACAUUCAUGAUUCUUGUACUUCAUUACACAUUGCAUCAUUUCUUUCUUACAUCACAUUUAUCUCAAAAUAAGCUUUACAUUCUUUUCUCAACAUCAUUAGUCAUCAAAUACAAAAGAUGAACAUAGGGUACUCUACUAACAAAAUGUAAACCCAACUCAACUCUGGUGGCCUCUGUCUAAGGCGCGAUACCUUUACCUCGGUCGCUCGCUGGCGCGCUCGGUCCCGGCCUGUGGAAAUAGUGGGGUGAGAACUACAAUAAAGUCCAGUGGGUUUCGCCCCCAACAUCAUCGGACUUCCUACUAGGACCUACUCAGGCCAUAAUAGAAGAUAAGCUGAAAUAUAUGUAACCAAUCUACAAACAUGAUGCUAAUAUGCCUGAACAAUAAAGCAAGGAAUAUGCUCAACAUUAACAUAUACAGAUUAUGCAAGUUCUUUCGUUCUUUAUCUUUACACUUUGUUCUUUUGUUCUUUGUUCCUUUAUUCUUUAAUCUCAAGGCUAACCGCGGGGUUUCGCCAUAUUAACUUGCUUCACAUUAAGUCCAUCAUCACAGAACUCACCCCGCUAGGACCGUCCUUCGGUUCAUUCCAACCGUGAUGCAUAACUUCGGAGCGCAUCGCCGAGGGGGAGCGACCGCCUCGAGCACGGAACUCAUAGCAAGUAUGAUCAUAUCCUUAACUCAAAGGAUUUAUAAGUUCAAUCUUGACUUUACACUAGCUCUAGUGUUCUUUCAUCACUUUUUUGUUGCCACUCUACAAUCAUUGUAUCUUUAGCAUUCAUAUACUCUGCUACUCUAGCAAUUAUAUUCUUUACAUUUUUUACUUUUGGCUACCUCCAGCACUUCACGUUCUUUCUACUCCCCACAUUACUUUAACUUUAACAUUGUCAUUUUCAUCAUUCUUACAUUACAUUGGUUCUUUACCUCACACUAUCUCUAGUGUCAUUUCACUUUACCUUUAUCGAAUGCCACUCGAUCCAUGUCAUUGUGUCACUCUGUUCUUUUGCUCACUUUGGGUGCUCACUUUUCUCUCAUGCAAUACACAUAGGGUUUUCGACAUUCACAUAGUUCUCACUCAUCGUAUUAUGCAAGUUGUAUUCACAAUCAUGCAUCAUUAUAUUUUCAUCAUUCUUUACCCUAAAAUGCAUGCAACAAUAUAUUUACACAUGCUCAAAUGAAUGACACAUUAGGCAUAGAGAGAAGUUCAACGAGUUUGGAAAGCACCACCCACCUCGUAGGUCUCUUUAGGUGCUCCGAUGAUUUUCUUGGAAUUUUUAGACACCCGGUUCACUACCUGCGGCAUAACGAAGCCCAAUUAGGCUUAUUUGGCCAUAACUUUACAUACACUUUUCGUAAUGCUAUUCCGAGCGCACCAACGCGUCGGAAGUACCCCCAAUUAGGUUUCUAGAGGGUCAAUUGCACUUAGAAAUCCCCAUGAGCAAAAGCCCCAAUUUGGUGCCCUAGCUUCAAUACAUAUACAAAACCUAGGGUUUGAUCUCAAUGGGAAGCAAAAGUAGCUUCAUUAUACUCUGAAAAGUCCAUUAGAACCAUCUUUAGACAAAUCAAAACCCUACUUAGGGUUUCGCCAUGAGAGGUGAUGAAGCUCACCUUCAAGCUUUACCAUUUCUAUGGUCUUGAUCUCAAAAGAAGCAAAAGAAAAGCUUCAAAUACUCAAAUGGUUCCAUAAAACCCAUUUCAAGCUUAAUCCAAACCCUAGAUUAGGUUCUACCAUGAUUAGGGUUCAAAGCUUGCAUGCCUGCAGGUCGACUCUAGAGGAUCCCCGGGUACCGAGCUCGAAUUCGCCCUAUAGUGAGUCGUAUUACAAUUCACUGGCCGUNCUUUACCAUUUCUAUGGUCUUGAUCUCAAAAGAAGCAAAAGAAAAGCUUCAAAUACUCAAAUGGUUCCAUAAAACCCAUUUCAAGCUUAAUCCAAACCCUAGAUUAGGUUCUACCAUGAUUAGGGUUCAAAGCUUAUCUUGUAAGCUCUCCUUUUCCAAGCUAGAGAUGAGGGAGAGGGAGUUUCUUCACUUCUUCUUCUUCUUCUUCUCCACUUUCUUCUUCUUCUUUUUCCUUCCUUUCCCUUGUCUUCUUCUUCUCCUUUGUCAUCUAGAGAGAGAGAGGGAGAGAAGAGAGUGUGAGAGGGUGAGGAAAUGAGAGAAAUAUCUCAUUUGCCCUCAUACAUAGCUAUUGGGUUGCAAAAAUGCAAAUAAACCCCUCAACUUGUAUCUCUGUACACUGCCUGGACUGGGCAGUUUUCGCAGGUAGGGACCGGUCUCUCCUUCAGGGACCGGUUCCCGAAGGUCGUCCCAGCGCAGCCAAAGUUGCUGUGCGCGAUGCAUCCGGUCUCUUCUUGGGGGACCGGUCUCUCGGGGACCGGUCUCUCAAGCAGGGACCGGUUCCCAAGAGCUGGUUUCUCAGGACUUAGCCGAUUUUUCGGCUGUCUCAAUUCAUACACGUUCGGGGACCGGCCUCUCCCACCAGGGACCGGUCCCCGAGAGCUCAAAACUGCAGAAUGCAGAUUUUGAUUCUAUAGCUCUCGAAAACCUCCCGUAACUCACUUUUAAUCAUUUUAACACCUUCGGACUUUCCGAAGUGUACCGUCCUCGCACUUUGGUCAAUUUGACUAAAGUUCGACAUUUAUUUUCCGAAUUUUCGGUAUAUUACAAGCAUAGUGUGACAAGGAAAUAAAGUAAAGAACGGCUAACGAAUAAGAAUAGCUAAUAAAGUAAAGAACGACUACAAGUAAAGAAUGGCUAAUAAUAUGAAGUAGAAUCAAUUAAUCUAUUUGCAUGAGUUACAGGAUAUGCAUAAUGUUCAUAUUGCAUUUGUGAGAGCAUGUUAUCUAUUAGUUGCAUAAUAACAUGAUGAUAUAUAUCUGUAGAUGUUUUUGGACUAACAUGAUUGUAGUGCCUCCUUGGACCUAUUGGUCGAACUUUUCCCUUGGGUGGCCGUACCCACUGGGAACCAUGGAGUUGGUUCUCACCCCACGUUGUUUUGGGGUGUUACAGGUUCGCACGUGAGCGGCGCGGCGGCGCGAGGCAAGGGCGUAGCUCCGUAGAUAGCGCCCUACCCAGCGACUAGAGAUAGCAGUACCCCGAGUCGGCAUAGCCUAGGGGUAGAGGAAAAUGAAAAGAACAAGAUGAAUGGAUUAAACUUGUAAUAAAUCAUUGUAACUUGGAUUGUAUUCGGAAGUUGGAAAAAAAAUGUAAUAGUAAUUGUGAUGUAAAAUGCACCUAAAGAUGAAUCUUGUAAUAACUUAGUUGUUUUAUAUUUUUGAUACUUCCUUAUGCAAUCUUUGGUUGAAAUGUAUUCCUGGUUGGAACCUCGUACAUUAUAUUGAUUGCGACACCUAGGAUGUACAGGGAAAACUCUGUCCGUUCGGCGGUCUAUUGGCGUGCCCAAACCCGACCAAAUACGCGGGGCACGGGAUGUGACAUAUGUGUUUUUGGAUACUACGGACCACAAGAUUUAUUGCAAAUAAAUUAUAUUAAGCCAAAAUGUGAUAAAUUAUCUAAUGAAAAGCAAGGCUAUAAUACAAAAAAUUCUCUACUAAAUAUCUAAUUUUUCACUCUUUUUCCUUACUUUCAAAAACUUAUAUUUUUUCCCCUUAAACUUUUGAAAAUAUUUUCAAAGGAAUAUAGCGUUAAUGGAAAGGGAAAAUUUACUAAACUAUUCUUACUUGUUCUAUAAAAAAAGUAAUUUUUAAAUAUAUUUCUGUCAUUUCAAUCGUAUUUUCGGUAUAAAAUGUUGGAGAUUGACAAAAUAUUGACAGAACCUUGACAGUGGUGGACUAAAUUCAUUAACUUGAAAUUUUAAAAGGAUAAAAUAUAGGUUUUUGAAAAUGAGAGAAGAAAAAUAAAAAAGCGGAUAUAUUUACAUGAGGGUUUUCUAUAUUUUAGCCUAAAAUUUGACAAUUGUACAUUGAAAUGAAGUACAAGAAAAGUUUUAUUUUUAUACUCGUACGCAAUGUAGAAAUAUAUAUUUGAUCUGACAAUAUUAUUUCUAAAUGAAAUUAACAGCUGCUAUAUAUAGCUAGUGAGUGAUUUCUGACCUAUGUUUAAUGAUUAGCCCAGUGGUUAAUUAACCCAUCUGCAUGUUCAAUAAUUAAAGAUGGCUAAGAAUAUUUGUAUGGACUAAGUAAAAGAAAAUAUUAGUAGCUUUGUAAUGAAUAAUUGAAGCAUUGUACAGAAUAAUUCAAUAAAAGGGAAGGAGUUAACAAUGGCAUUUUGACAACUACAUAGUGAAUUGAUAUAUACUUUGAUCAAAAGACAUAUUCUAAUACUAAAAGGAAUAUUCUUGCAGUAUAAUAUUAUUUCUAAUAAGUUGAUAUCUUAAGGUUAGGGCUGGCAAACGAGUGAGCCGGCUCACGUUCGACUCGCGUUCGGGUCGAUAUUCGGCUCGAUAUUCGGCUCGCUCGAGCUCGACUCGAAAUUAAAUGAGCCGAGCUUGAAUGUUACUCGGCUCGCUCGAAUUAGGCUCGAAAAAUCUCGAACAUAUAUAUAUAUAUAUAUAUUGUCACGCCCCGAAUUACUCGUUUCCCCGGGCACGCUAACAGAUCCGCCGUAUACAUAGGAAUUUCCCCUGUAUAUGAAGCGAUAGCUGUAUCUGUACCUGAAAUCAUACAAUACUACAACCAGUAGUAUAGAGCUGUUAAAAAGAAAUACAUAAAUAAAUAACAUCGGUUCAACAUACAUACAUAGUAUCCUGAUACAAAAACAUUCGCACCGGCGAGAUACUAACAUCAGUAUGUAUAAGAACAAAAAACUACAACUACCUGUAGCUGGUGUAAAUCUCUAGGUCAGCAGCAACUGCGAAGGGAUUUAGCUCGCGACUCCCUUUCCACGAUCAGUCUUCACGACAACAGCAGCCGAAGAAGAGGGCUCUGCAAAAGGAUCCACAACAGGGCGUGAGAACUACUGCAAAAAGAAGUAGUUCUCAGUGGGUACCGCUACCGACCUCAACGGUUCACCCACUAAGUCUACAGAAGUAAGCAGGGAUAGUAAGGAAAGCUGGAACAAAUCUACAGCUAUAUGCCACUAUACUAUCGUGAUCCAACACUAACUAUCUGUGAAAAAGUAAAUCCUGACCCAAUCUCACUAGGAACUGUGAACACACCCGUCCCGCCUGUCGAAACUACACUAACUGCCACCACGCUAGGUCGUCAGUGGGGAGUAAGUCCAAACAGGACAAACCGACAUCAACGCAAAGGCACUAAGCCCAACUCUGGAGUGACACUCGUGGGCGCUACCCAACCGAGUAUGCAAGCGUAUCUCUGCCGAGCUCAAUCAGGCUCUCACAGGCUGUAAUCAAAGUAGAAAAGUCUAGCUGGUCUAACAACCAUAAUCGACGCGCCCUCGGCACAAUCUGAUGCAAAAAUUAGCAUUCUGGGUCCAUCGUUAGCCCCAACGGCACUCGACAAUCCGGAACAGUCUAUGCACAAACUCGGCAUCUCAGCACGAGUGUAAAUACAUUCUACACUAUUUUGGGUAUCCACCGCCCCCAAACUACGACGAUACAAACAAAUUACGGCUCCUAGAGCUAAAUCUGGUAGUUUCAGCAAAUGACUGUGUAGAAUCGCUAGUUUUCUCCUAAGUCAAUUCCAAGUCCAACAUGUAUAAUUUAUCUAGCAUUCUAAGCUCCAAUUCAGAUUUCAAUUAAGAAUAAUGCAAAUCUACGAAUCGAGCAAUGAAACAUGAUAUACGAAAUUCCACUAAUACAUGCUGUCAAUAGAACUUAGGAGGAAGUCCGAAAAUUCCGGUAGCUUAAUAACAACCCACCUUUAGCACGAGCUCGACAAUAGUAAGCAACCGCUGGAAUCACCCUGCCAAGAUCAGCAACAACCCACCAAGAUCUCUCUAAUGAUCAAAGCACAAAAAUCCAAAGGUUUCCAUCAAAACUCUAAAUUUCAGCACUUAAGCUUAAAUUUAUCCAAUUGCAAUGUCAAACCCACCAUCCAAUCUUCAAUUCAGGUAAGGAAGAGUCCCAAAACCAGUAAAGAGUGAUGGAGAAACAUCCUCUGGUCGAAAUUCCAGCUUCCUCCAAAGUUUGAUCCAAGAAAACCACAAAAGUCCCAAUUUCAGCUCAAGUAUAACAGCAGCCCAGAAAAACAUCAAAUUGACUAUACAAACCUCAAUCAAAUGCUGUCAAAAAGGGCUCCACGAAAUCUCCAAGAAGUUAGCUAACUACCAAACCAAGUUUCACAGCAAUCCGAUCUUCCUAUGUCGCACACGAGGCAAAACGCCGAAGGUCACUGCUGGAAUUCUGCAGAAACUGCAAUCCUCAAUGUGGAAUUGUGUAAAAUGAAGGGUUUAGAGGGACUAAAAUGCAAAAUAGAGGCUUCACUGUGAAAGAGGGUGAAAAACCAGCUCAAGGGUUCGUCCCCAUGCUUUUAUAGAGGGGUGGAAAGGUCUAAUAAGCCCCAGGAACCAAAAACACUAACCUGUUGUUCCUGCAGAAACGGCCACAUUCGGGCGCCCGAAACCAACUUAUGGGCGUCCGAAUCCUCCAGGCUACACAAACACUCCUCUUCGGUUCCUCCGCCCGCGAUACGAUGUGCCCAAAACCUGGUCUGGCGGACCUCACCUACCACCAGACAUGUGUCAGGACAGUUGAUACUCCCAAAGUAAACAUUCGGACUUACUUCUGGGCGCCCGGAACACAGGAUCAGAAUUGGCUUCCAGUUCAGUUCAAUUUAGCACUCAAGAUCUGGGUGACCCAAACCAUGUUCUAGGCGCCCGAAACUAGCAAAACUCCAGUUUUGCUUAUUUGAGUGCGCCAAGUUUAUUAAUUUCUGCAUCCAUUUCGUGCAAAAAUGACUCCGACUCAGUCCGACACUCUCCAGAUGUGUCGACUAGUCACUAAUACUGUCACGCCCUGAGCCCGCCUCUUUGGUCGGAUUCGGGCGCGCCAACAGACCGCCGAACAGAUAGGGUUUUUCUUGUACCGCGGACAGAGUCUCCCCUGUACGUCCAAGGCGUCAAAAUCCAUACAAAGUGCGAGGUUCCAACCAGGAACAACAUACAACCAUAGAUUGCAUAAGGAAGGUAUCGAAAACAUAAAUACAACUAUGCUAUUACAAGCAUUCAACUCACAUACAUUUUACAUCACCUAUUACAUUACAUUUUUUAAUUCUCUUUUGGCUUCCAAAUAUAAUCCAACUUUAACACAAUUAUUACAAUUAGGUUUUUUUCUUUCUUACAUCCCUAAGUAGUCGACUCAGGGUACAGCUAUCUCUGGUUUCGGUGGUAGGGCGCUAACUAUGGAGCUACGCCCUUGCCUCGCACCGCCGUGCCGCUCAUGCGUGUACCUGUACCCCCAAAAACAACACGAGGAUGAGAACUAUUGUCCAUAGUUCCCAAUGGGUACGGCCACCCAAGAGAAAAGCUCGACCAUCAGGUCCAAAGGAGGCACUGCAACAUAUUAGUUCAACAAAUAUCCACAGAUAUAUAAUUUAUGCAACUAACAAUUAUCAUGUUCAUGCCUCACAAUAUGCAAUAUGCAAAUCAUGCAACAAUGCAAGUAGAUUAAUUGAUUAUACUCUCUAUCAUUUGCCAUUCAUUAUGUUAUUAGCAAUUCUUUCUCACUUAUCAUUCUUUACGACUUGCAAUUCUUUAUUCUUUGACAUUCUUUAGUAUUUACUAUUCUUUAGCACUUGCCGUUCUUUACUCUUUAUUCUUGGCGACACUUUGCUCAUUUGUUAUUCUUUCCUAAGGCUACAUGUACCUUAGCGAACUAUGCCACUUGAUUCGGUCCUGAGUCAAUUCAUGAUGAAUGCAAGAUCCACUUUCCAAUUUUGGGUCCUUUUGGCUAACCCGUAGGUUUCGCCUUAACCAACAACUUGCCAAUUCCGAUCCCUACUAUCGGGCCCUAAGCUUCCUCCCGACGGGAUGAAUAGACUCACCAACCCAAAUCUCUAAUGUCGGGCCCUAAGCUUCCUCCCGACGGGACCGUCUUCUGGGGCUUCCCCUUCCUGGUGAUGACAACUCCGGAGCUCAUCGCUCGAGGGGGAGCUACCUCCCUCGAGCCAAGACUUAUAGGCGAGUAUAAUCUAUCCUUAACUUUAAGGAUUUGCAAGUUCAAUCCAAUCCUUCACUAUGAGGAUGCAAUGCUCAUAUGACCCUUAACUUUAAGAUUGCCAUGUCAUAAUGUCAACUAUAUCCCUUUACUUGGAUUCUUUAACUUUCAUGAUGCCACACACACUAAGUGUUCUUUGACUCAUUCUUAUACAUUCUUUAUUCUCAAUAAUGCCACCCUAAGUAGUCAACUCUAGCAUUCAAACUCAAUAAUGCCACACACCCUAAGUGUCCAAUUCUAACAUCCAUUUGUUUACUAUUGCCACACAAUCCGUAUGUCAUAAUGUCAUUUGGUUCUUUAUUAUACUUAGAGUUCAUCAACUCAAGUUCAACAUUCAUGUCAUUCUAGCAUUUUCUCACAUUAUGUCAUCAUGCCUAUAAUCUUUAGCAUCUCAUGCACAUGCAUAUUAAUCAUCUAGCAUCUCAAGAUAUAUUAACGUACAUAUAUCUUCUCAUGCAUUCAUAUAGCCUCUAGCUUUUACAUUCGCUUAGCAUUUUAACUCAUGCAUUCAUUCAGCAUACAUUAUGCAUACCCAAUUAGCACAUCUAGAUCAUGCAUUCUGUUACUAGCAUACGUCCUAUGCAUUUACAAUUAGAAUCUAACUCAUGCAUUAACUUUAGCAUUUAGCUCAUGCCAUCAUUUACUUUGCAAUCAACUACCAUUGCAAUUAGCUACCAUAAUGUAUAUAUAUAUCAAUUAGAAAACCAUACUCCACUUUGACAUGGAAGCGACCAAAUCACUUCGGUGAGCACAACCCACCUAAUAUCGCUCUUCGAUUGCUUGUAGUCACUUACAAUCGGGCUCCGGCGGCACACGUGACCCGGUUCGGCUCCAACUUGAAAUCGGCAACCGAACACCCAACAAUCCGCAACCUAGGGUCUUCAAUGGCUCAUCUCUAACCUUUAAUUAGAGAACGAUAGGGUUAUUAUAGAUCAAAACCCUCUAAUUUCCAAAACCCUCAUUCAAACCCUAGCAUGAACCUAUUCUCCAAUUAAUCCAAAUUAAAUGGAGGAAACAUGCUAACAACACAUUAGGGGCUACUAGAACCUCAUACAUAAAGGAUUUAAUUGAAAUCCUAACUUAAAUCAUGAGAUCUCACGGCACCUUAGGCCACCAUGAUCAUCAAGCUAAAUCCACCAUUGGAAAGCUUGCUUCACCAUUGGAGAGCUCCAACUUCAUCUCCAACAUCAUCUCCUCCAAAAUUCCAACUUUGGGAGAGAAACCUAGAGAGAGGAGAGAGAUAUCUAGAGAGAGAAACGAGGUUUCUCUCUCCCUCUCCAUACGUGUGAUGGUGGUGGUGGUGGUCGGCUGUGGGAGGAAGGAGGAGAAAAGGGGAAAAAAAAACCCGUUUUAUACACUAUUCACAUUAGCAGUUUAGCAAAUCAAGUACAGAUACUUUUCGCCGGCCCUUCUGAAUGUCUGUUUUCGCUCAAAUUUGACAGUCAGGCUCGGAUUUGGCCAAAUAAACGGAAUAUAUCUUAACUUUUCAGUUUGGAUCAUGUUUGGUCACCGAAAGCUCUACCGAACUGUAAUCUCUAGCAGAUAGCAGUCAGAUUUUAUUUUCCACCUUCCGGGUGUGCGAUGGGACGGAUGCGACUUCCCUCAUAAGUAAUGGGUGGCAUAGCCAAGUUGAAAGCUCUAAAGUUAGAUGUAAAGGAGAGGGUCUUUUUGAAAUUGAAAUAAAAAUCUAGCUUCAUAAAAAUAAUCCUGACAUAUUCCCAAGGUUUAAUAAUUUUCUGACACUGUGCAUUUUCUGCUAAAAUAUCAGCCCCGUUUCCAACAGAAAAUUCUAAAUCUUUUGUUUCCGUUCCGAUUUCAGCAUAAGUCAUUUCCGACUUAUAUUUUACUUCUUUAAGUCCAAUAAAAAUAGUAUCUCACACUAUUUUUAUUUAUAUUUACUUUUAUAUUAAAAUCAGGUAUAUUACAAAUACUGAAACCAAUCCGAUACCAAACCCUCGGGACACUACAUCCUCCGCUACUACAAAAAGUUUCGUCCUCGAAACUUAAUGCAUACCUCAACCCUGAGCAUCGAACAAGUAGGGAUAGGACUCCCGCAUCACCGUCUCUGGCUCCCACAUCACCUCUCGCUCCUCGUGAUGACUCCACUGUACUUUUACAUAUGGAAUGACCCGGUUGCGCAAUUCUUUCGUUUCACGAGCGAGAAUUCGCACCGGUCGCUCCUCAUAUCUCAAGUCCUAGCCAAGCUCCAGCGGAAUGAAGUCGAUCACGUAAGAAGGAUCGAACAUGUACAUAUCUCCUCAAUGCCGAGACGUGGAAAACAUCAUGAAUACCAGCCAGUCGUGGGGGUAGAGCAAUCCUGUAGGCAACUAGUCCAACUCGCUCCAAUACCUCAAAAGGGUCAACAAAGCGUGGACUAAGCUUUCCACGCACUCCGAAUCUGCGUAUCCCUCGGGAUGGCAAAACUUUCAGAAAUACAUGAUCUCCAACCUGAAACUCUAAGUCUCGUCUCCUGGUAUCGAUGUAGCUCCUCUGCCGACUCUGGGCUGUCAAAAUAUAUCGUCGCACCACUUUAACUUUUUCCUCAGCUUCAAUUAGAAUCUCAGGCCCCAGAGUCUUCCUUUCACCCACAUCACUCUAAUACAAACGGAGCCAUCUGAAUGCUCGUUUGAUAGCUGUUGUUGUACGCAAACUCAACCGGUCUCAAAUGUCGAUGCCACCCUCCUCCAAAGUCCAGGACACAUGCCCUCAGCAUGUCCUCCAGAGUCUGAAUGGUCCGCUCUGACUGACCAUCCGUCUGUGGGUGAAACGCCGUGCUGAAAUACAACUGUGUACCCAAGGCUGUCUGAAGACUCCUCCAAAAGUGCGAAGCAAACCUCGGGUCUCGAUCCGAUACUAUCGAGGUAGGCACACCAUGCAAUCUCACUAUCUCAUCCAGAUAUAACUGCACGAGUCUCUCCCUGAACUAGAUGGUCUGUACUGGUAGGAACUGAGCAGAUUUAGUCAGUCUGUCCACUAUCACCCAAAUAGCAUCGAAACCACCCUGUGCUCUCGGUAAUCCCACUAUAAAGUCCAUCGUGAUCUGCUCCCAUUUCCACUCGGGCACUGGCAGACUCUGAAGCUUGCCAGCAGGUACCUGAUGCUCUACUUUUACAUGUUGACAAGUCAGGCACUGAGCCACAAAUCUGCCAAUAUCCCUCUUCAUUCCAUUCCACCAGAAGUGUGCCUUCAAAUCCUUAUACAUCUUGAUUCCACCAGGGUGAACCGUAUAAGGUGAAUAGUGAGCCUCUCUCAGAAUAUCCUCUCGGAUCUCUAAAUCCAUAGGCACACACAGCCGGUCCCUGUACCGCAGUACUCCCGAAGUGUCCACAACAAAACCCUCUGCCUGUCCCCUUUCCAUCUGCUCUCGAAUCCUCAACAAAUGAGAGUCUCCACUCUGUUUCUCCCUGAUCCUGUCCAACAGAGUGGGUUGCAAGACCAUAGACAUCAGUCUUGCAGUAGACCAAGGGGACACUACCUCGAGCCUUAACCGCUGCAGCUCCUCAAGUAACGGCCUCUGCUAAGUAAUCAUCAUGCUCAAACUCUGCACUGACUUCAUGCUCAAUGCAUUUGCCACCACAUUCGCCUUGCCGGGGUGAUACUGAAUACUAAUAUCAUAGUCCUUCAAAAACUCCAACCACCGGCGUUGCCUCAUAUUCAACUCCUUUUGGGUGAACAGAUACUUGAUACUUUUAUGAUCAGUGAAAACCUCACAGUGCUCGCCAUACAAAUAGUGCCGCCACAGCUUCAAAGCAAAAUACACCCACCUUAACCCUACCUUUCCCCUUCCCUUCACCUAUAACGUCUAAUUAAUGGUCCACCCACCUUAACCCAACUCUUCGCCUUCCCUCCGCACAUAAUGUCUAAUUAAGGGUCCACCCAUCUUAACCCUAAUCUAAACCGUAAAUCGUAGAAACCCACGAAAAGCCCCAUUCUCUCAUUCUCUACUUUCUCUUCCUCUUCCAUGAGCUCCGAGGCCAAGAUCGAGCACGUUCUGUGGACGAAGUGUGAAUUUGCACGCUACAUCACUGAGCUUGGUGCUGCCAUCUUCAUCAAACCGAGCCUUCUUCCAAAUUUCAGAAGUUCUUUUAAAAGAUUUACAUAUUCUUUAUGUUGUAGCGUUGAAAUUUCUUAGGUAGCUUUAUUCAGUUUUUUCAAGUUCUUUUUAUUUGCAUGGCAUUUGAACUGAUGUGUUUGUUCUGUUGAAAGUUUAUUACUUUUUCUUUUUCUAUCCUUUGUUCUUUAUAUAUUUUUUCGAAAGUAAAACUCUGUAUUAUAUUUGCUGUAUUAAAUUGUGUUAAGUUGUAUAUCUUUUUGUCACUUAAAUAUUUAUUAUAUAACUUUUCAUAUGCUUAUUUUUUUUCUACUUUCAUGACUCUUUUUAUUAACUAAUAUAANUUUCAUAUGCUUAUUUUUUUUCUACUUUCAUGACUCUUUUUAUUAACUAAUAUAAGAAUGUUUACAAAAUUAGAUUGAUAUAUAAUCUAAAAAGGUUUUCAUUUUCUUGAAGGGAUAAGUAUCAUAGUUUAUAUAGAAAAUGAAGGGAUAAAUAUAUAACUUAUACAAAAAAAUUUAACCAUUUGAUUGUUUUGAUUUGAUUUAUAAAAUGUUAAUUUUUAUUGAAUUUUUUUAUCUAAAUCUCCCAAAUAGUAUGUCGCUUUUCGGCUCAAUAGGUUGACAUACUUAUUAUCUUUCUAUGAGCAUUUUGUUACUAAUCGGCUUCAGCAAAUUAAUAUACUUUUGCAAGAAGCCAAUAUGUAUGGACUAUUUUGAUUUUUAAAGUAAUGACAAACUUUUGAUAUAUUAGUUAGAUAUUAAAUUAAUUUUAGUAGUAUCUACCCGCCGCAAUGCACGGAUUAUUACCCUAGUAAAUCAUAAAAUCAAAAUGUGAACGAUAUGGUGGGAUUUAAUGUUCUUUGAAGUAUAUUUUGAAAAUCACAACUAUAAGGGUGCGUUUGGUUCGAGUUAUCCUGGCAGGAUUACAGGCAAUCCUGCCAGGAUAACUGUGUUUGGUUAAUCCGCUAUGUAAUCUAAUCGUUAAUGUAGCAUUACAAAUCGAGCAGGAUUACAUCGAAAAUAUUAACGGGAGGGGGGUCGUGUAUCUUGCAUUACUGAAACCCGUUAAUACUACAUAUUAUGUAAGAUGACAAUUUCACCCUCCAACAACCCCAAAUCUAAUUAACAGUAUUAUUUUCAUCUCUCUCUCUCGCCUUCCCCCCUCUCUCUCGCACGCCGCUUUCUCUCGCUUCUCGCUCUCUCUCUCUCUCUCUCUUUCUCUCUCUCUCGCACGAACACCUAUCAUCUUCUAUUGCGUCAUCCUCCCAGGUAAUCAUCACGAUCUCCUUCCCUCCAUUCAUCAUUUCCGCAAAAAAAUAAUAUUCAAAUGACCACAACAAGGGCAAUUUUGGAAAAAACUAUACUUUUAUGUCAGGAUUACUAAAUUUUAUAAACUGAACCAAACGUAUUAAUGCUAUAAACACUGUAAUCUAGUAUUACAUUACUGCAUUAAACAAACGCACUAAUGCAGGAUCAGUAGUAAUCUCACGCCGAAAUCUAAGAAACCUAGAUAUGUCGAGAUACUUUGUAAUAUUAUAUAACUUGAACCAAACGGGCCCUAAGAUAUUUUUGAAACUAAGGGUAACAUGCGAGGCUUAUAGCCGCAUCCUUAAUACAUAGUUAGGGUGUCAACAGGCCGAACACGAGCGAGUUGGGCAGGCUCGUGUUUGGCUCGUUUCAUAAACUAGGCGAUCUCGAGCUGACUCAUUAAAGGAGUGUUAAUUUUUUUAUUUUGAUUACUUUGGGAGGAAUAACACUAACUUGAUUUUUUUAUUUUUUUAUUUUUUUAACUUCCUUCAAUUUUACUUUUUCUUAAUUCGCUUGAGCAUUCACUGUUUUCGUUCCUAGGUUUUGAUGCCCUGUUUUCUAAACUUCUAUUUUACUGCAUAUUUUAUUAUAAGAAUCUGUAGAAAUUAAUAACUUGUACGUCUACCCAAUUGGUAACCCGAUUAGUAAUUUGUAUCCACUCUUUAGUAAGUAUAUAUAUGGGAAAGAUUAAAAAAUUGAAUAACAAGCACUCGGUCGAGCACAAGCUGAGCAAAGGAUGGGUCGAGCUAGACUAAGUUUUUUAUUAAGCAUAAACUAUUUUUUUAAAUAAAGUAAAAUAAAAUAAAGAAAACAGGGUUGACUUAAAGAUUGUUAUUAACUUUUUUUAUUAUUCAAUUAAUAAAUUCAACAGAAUUAGAUAUGCUACGUGUUGUCAUUAGUUUGUUUAUCUUAUAAAUCNUUGAAUAAUUCAAUAAAAGGGAAGGAGUAUUAACAAUGUCAUUUAACAACUACAUAAUGAAUUGAUACUUAGGGUGUGUUUGGAUUGAAGUCGGAAUCGGUAUCGAAAUUGGAAUGAGAAUAAGCUAGAAACGGAAUCGAAAUGAUUCAUUACCUCAUUCUGUUUGAUUCACUAUCUGAAUCGGAAUCGGAAUGAACCAUUCAUAUUGUCAGUAUUUAGUUCAGAUAGAUAUCAGAAACAUAAUCAAAUUAAUAUGUUAAUAUUUUCUUUGUAAUAUAUUAGUUUAAAUUCAAACUGAAAAUUAAAUAUUAAAAAUAUAGGUCAAAAUUUUAAUAUAUUUUUUAAAAAAUUAAAAUUUGAAAUUAAACGAAUAAUUCAAAAUAUAAAACUAAUUUCGAUUUAUUCAAAUUCAAAUUUAAAAUUAUAGUUUAAAUUUCAAUUUUAAUCUAUAAAUUUAAUUUAAAUUUUAAAUAAAAUUUGAAUAAAACUUUAGAUUUUAAAUUAAAUUGAAAUUUAAAUUAAAUUUAUGAAGAGAUCCGAAAUGUUUGAUUGAAUUUUAAUUUUUAAUUUAAGUCCAAAUUAAAAUUAAAAUUUAUAUAUAUAAUUUUUAAACUUAAACUUAUGUUUUAAUUGAAAAAUAAGCUUAAAAAACUUAAAUUUAAUUCGAAUAAAUCCAUUCCACCCGGAGUCAAUUUCCAAUUUGGCCUCCUAGGCCGGAUUGGAAAAUCAGGUAAUUGGGGAUUCCAAUUCACCCGGGAAUCGAAAUUAGAAUGGGAAUCUAUAAUGACCCAGCCCCCUAGCAACAAUAACUCAAUGAGCCCAAACACUGGCCCAAAAUAUUUAAACUCAGUUCUUAUAUCUAGCCUAAUUAAGCUUAUAUACCCCAACAUCUAGCCAUAACUAUCCGUUGUGGAAUUAUUGGGUGUCAUAUCCUCCCGUUUUAAGCCCUGACUUCCUCGUGAGUCAAAUCACACACAGAGCUAAGAUCACCAGGCGAUGUAAGACUCGUCUCGGUAGACUUGUCAUCCAGACCCUGGCAUAGCCGGUUACCUUGUCAUUUAGAGACCGAUAUCGCCUAUCUUAUCUUUCAGACCCUGGCUCAGUCGAGACGCGCCACACAUUUUCGGCUGGUGAACCAGCUCUGAUACCAAAUGUAACGACGGAGCCCAUUAGCAACAAUAACUCGUCCGGGCCGAACACUAGCCCAAAAUGCUUAAUCUCAAUUAUUAUGUCUAGCCUAAUCAAGCUUAUAUACCCCCAUAUCUAGCCAUAACUAUCGAAUGUGGGAUUAUUGGGGUGUCACAGAAUCCCGCAUACCAAACACGGACAAACGGAUUCAUCUAUUCUGAUUCCGAUUCCAAUGUAAAAAAGGGGCGAACCAAACACGCCCUUAGAUCAAAAGACAUUCUAAUACUAAAAGAAAUAUUCUUGCAAUAUAAUAUCACUUUUAAUAAGUUGAUAUUUUAAGGUAGUAGCGCCUUGCAUACAGAUAGAUUAUGCUUCGAAUGUCCCUUUUCCUUGUAAAAAAACUUUGGUAAGGUUGUGAAUCUUUAUAUUGAUCACAUAGUAUUGUUCCUGUAGUGGACAUUGAAUAACUAUUCAUCAUAUAAAGUACAUGAAUUUCAGAUAAAGUGAAUAGUAGAUUCAGUGAUCUCAUUAUACAAAUAGUUUUACAUAUAAAGAUUUGUUCUCUAAAAAUAAUCUUACUUUAGAUUAGCUUUAGAUAAAAGCUAUUAAAAAGGAAAAACAUCUAUAUGGGUACAUUAUUCUGGGUUUUAGUUUCCCAUUGCUCUCUUUCAUGGUUGGGAGUCAUGUUCACAAUUCUCUGGAUUGAAGGCUAGCUGUGAUUGUACCACAUCAAAAGUAAAUCGAGUAUUUGCUUGUUGGUAUGCCCCGAGAAUACUUGAAUUGUCCCGUGGCAACAUUGCAAAGCAAAAUACUCCCUUCUCCCAUGUAAUGAGGAACAACUCUCGCCACAUGAUAUGCAUCUGGGCCCCUUGUAAAUGCAAUGUCAUGCUCGGCAUUAAGCUCUCAUAACUUGGCUGGAAAAGCCAACAAAGUUUAAGAUUUGUCUCGUAUCUUUGUGGGUCCACUUCAACCAAUUUCUUAUGGCGGAAAUAACCUCUAAGCACUUUCUUCACUUGUUCAAAAGCUGGGGUUAUCAAGUGAGUGACGAACGUGCCGGAGUCCACAAAGAACCCGCCCGACCUAUUCGGCUUUCGCGCAAACAUUCCUGGCUCAAACCCAAGUCGUUUGUUGCCAACACUAAUGUCAUUUAAGGUGAUGUAAUAGAAGCACACCCCUUGUAUAGGUACUAUCGGUGUGGUUUGGACCGGCCCUCUUUGCACAAUGUUGCUUCCGAAUCGUAAAAAGCUUAUACUCUUUGAACCUAUCGGGGGAAGACAGUAUGAAAAGCGACCCUGGCUACCAUGAUUGAUAAGUUGCCUCGCAAAUGAUUCCUCAGACAAACCUAAUGCCAUUAAUCCUGAUGGAUAACCAUCGUAGUUGCCAAAAUGUGUAUCAUGUGAGCAACCAAAGACAAGCCCCUCAACAAACUCAAGAUGGUCACCAUGGUUUGAAUGGAAGCCAAAGGUGUCUUUUGAGAGCGUGCCAAUUGUGUGGGACCCAUCAAUAUAGCUGAUCUGGUAGUGGCAACGGUUGUUGAUGCAAUGGUAAUAUCUUUGCGGGCAAGGGUUCUGGUCAGAACAGGAGACGUCGACGAAGGAAGGGGAUUGGAGAGGGUCGAAGUAAGGUUCAUUUUGCACGUAGCAAUUGAUGCAUGGCUUGCAUUGGGUCCAAGUAAGAUAACUGCCUGUAUCUAGGUCUAAAUGGUAGCCAAUGCUACCAUUUCCAGUGCCAAUCGUCACAAAAACCAUGUAUAAUCCUUCAUAGAUGAUGACAUGGGAGCGAAUAGUGGUUGUUUCAUGGCCAACUAGCUUUGAUUCAACGUUGUUCAGUUGGAGGAAUCGGUUCUCGGAAAGGCGGAGGGACUCUUCAAAGCGUUGUGAAUCAGUGAGGUUAGGAUUGUAAACUGGGGACCGAGGAGAGUGACGAUAUAUUAGCUCGAAGCUUAACAUUCUUUUUAGUGCUUCAACAGUUUCAGAGGAAAGGAGUAGAAUGGAUAUUAAAGGAAGAAAGGUAACAUGUGAAUAGAUGAAUCCGGCCAUGGUUGAUGUUUUGCAAAGAAGUAAGUCACGAAAAACAGGAAAGAUAUAUACAUAUAUAUAUGUGAGACUAAAAUAGAUAAAGCUAAAAAAAAAAAUCCAUAAGAUAUCUUGGAGUAAGAAAGAAAUCUGUGGAUUCAGUAGGCAAUCCACUACAUAAAUGCUUCUCUAAAAUGUAAAGGGUUAGUUACUUUUGGAGGCUAGAACUAAAUUUAGUUACUUUUGAAGGCUAGAACUAAAUUUGUUAGAGUUACCGAAAUAUAGUUACAGUGGACGGUAAAAACAUUUUGGACCAAAUUAGGAACUCUAAAUUUAAUUCAUAGUUUUUUUUUUUUCAAUGGCAUAAAAAUUUGUUGAAAAUAGCAUUAUUUCAAAUAAAAAAACUUUGUAUGUAAUGUGCUUGGACACUAUAACUUGCUUUGAAUUUUACUAAAAGUACCUCAAUUUAAAGAGAAAUUUUGAGAAACAGGCAAUGAUGAAUGGUUAAGAUGUUUUACUCUUACUUUACUCCAAAAUUUUGUAGAUUUAAGCUUAUUUCAUUUUACCCCAAAAUUACAUAAGAAUGAGAUUAUUUUGUUGUGUUAUGCAAGUCUAUAAAAGCCAUCCAAAUAACUCUUUUGAAAACAAAAAAAUUAGCACUAAUAAAAAUUUCCUUCUUCUAACAAAUAUCACACUUUUAUAAUGUCCCAAUAAUGUCGUCUCACUACCAUGUAAAACUGAGUACGAUCACUUCACUACAACAGGAUUAGGUUAUAGGGACACAUGUUUGGGACACUUUUGAGUAAGUGUCCCAUUUAUGCUAAAACUUAAAAACACAUCUACUAAUGUCUAAAUAUAAAGCCCAAUCCAAUCAAAAAUAAAAGAUUACUCUACUCAACCCACCACACCCAGUCCAUUUGGCCCGAUUAUAAACAAAAAAGAAAAAAAAAAGAAAAAUCAAUUACCAUCUUUUCUUCUCUUUUCACUUAAUCCACUGAAAUUCUAGAUGAAGAGUCUUUACUGUCGUCCUCCUCCGCCACCGCAGCCAACGAGAUAGAGUUUCGGCGAUUGCUAAAUGCUUAAAUAAGUGUUGGUAAAUUAGCAGCACUCUUUUAGGUUAUAGCGACGCUUUUUAACUGUCACUAUAUACUUAGCGACCCCACAUAUAGCAACACUUUUUAAAAGUGUUGGUAAUUUUAGCUAGCAGCACUUUUUUGACAUGUACCUAUAUUUAAAAAUGUCGCUAUAGACCGUUUUUGUUGUAGUGCUUGGAUGUCAAAAGAUAUUGUUUAUGAUAAAAGAAUUUCUUUAUUAGGGAGCACAUAAGUAGUUCAAAAGGUGUUUGGCUGCUAUUUGUAACUUGAUUUUGCUACCAAAAUAAUAAAAAAAAAAACUGGGGAAAUCUUCUUGCUUGCAGUUUUGAAUUAAAGAUAGUCUUAUUAUAUAUAAAGUACAACAAAUUUAUUUUAUAAUUUAGCGGUAUUUACUCUGUAGCAUUUAUUUAAAGAAUACUAAUUAAUAUAUUUAAUAGCAUUACUUGAUAAUGUUGUAAAAUAGAAUAAAUUGGUAGCGUAAAUUAGUAAAUGCCGCUAAAGUUUCAAGUAUUUUAUAAAAAAUGGUACUAAAUGUAACAAAAUAGUAACACUUAUUGCUAAAUGCCUUCACUAAUCAAUAUAUAAUUAUUAAUAUAUCCCAUUUUAUACUUAGAAUUUAAAAUUUUGAAUUAAAGUUUAAUAUUUUAGAAUUUGAGUUUUAAAAACUUGAAAUUAUAAUUUAAAAAGUAAAAUUUUAAAAUUUCAAUUUUAAAUUUUAAAAUUUAAAUUUUUAAAUUUUUAAAUUUAAAAUUGUGAAUUUUGAAACUUAAAAUUUGAUAUUUAAAAAUUAAAAAUUUAAAUUUAAUAUCUAAAUUUAGAAUUCAAAAUUUAAAAUUUUAAAAUUUUAAAACUUAAAACUUAAAACUUAAAUUUAAAACUUAAAAAUUCAAAUAUAUAUAGUUGAUUGUCUCUAGCGCAAGUGGCAAAAGAAUUGUUGGUUUGUACUUGAGGCCUCAAGUUCGAAUACUUGUUGAUUCACAUAUCCCGUUAAGUUCAUUUCUAAAAGAAAUAAAAAAAAACAUGUAGCAUGCUACCUUUAUCUAAAAAAUAAUAAAUUCAAAUAUAAAUAUAAAUUUUAAUUUUAAUUUUAAUUUUAAAAUUGAAUAAAAAAUAAAAAUUUUAAAAUUUAAGUCCACAAAAUCAGGUAUUUGUAUUAAUAGCAUUAUAUUCUUGCGCCACUACUAAACAACUUAAAAUUAACAUUUAACAAGCAUUUUAGCAACCGACCGUCCCUAGAGCAAGUGGCAAAGGGCUUGAUGGUUGGUACUCGAGACUCAGGUUCGAAUCCUAGUUGAUUCACAUUUCUAGCUAAGUUUAUUUCUAAAUGAAAUAAAAGAAGCAGGUAGCGUGCUACCUAUCUCUCUCAAAAAAAUAAAUCAUUUUAGCGUCAUAGUUCUAAUAACACCCAAUGAUUUAUACUUGUGGCAUUCAUUAUAAAAUGUUACUAAUAUUUUAGCAACAUUGAUAGCAAUAUUUGUGUCAUAAUGUACUUUUAGCAAUAUUCGUUAAUCUUUAGCGGCGUAAAUAAAGACCACUAAUAACUAAUUUUCUAGUAGUUACAGUGAAGCUGGCAAAUUGAUUUAGAAAAUCUACAUAUUUUAAGGGUAGCAAAUCUUUUCAGAACUUUUCAGCUUUUAUAGCUAGGACUUUGUAAUUUUUCCGCCGGAAACCGCCACUCCGUCCUUUACUUGUGCAAGUAAAGACAUUGCGCAACAAACCCUCAAUAUCUUUCUCUAUGCUCGACCACCAUAAUCCAUUUUCAAAUCUUUGUAGCACUUCUGGUGGCCGCCUGGGGCAUACUAUAAGGAGUUUGAUGCACUUCUUGCAUAAUCGCCUUGCGGAUGUCCUUAUUCUUAGGUACACACCAACGAUCGAAAUCAAAUGUGCCGUCGUCUCAAUGCCAAGUCUCGUCACUAUCGCUCUCAACUUCACCGCGCACCUUUUGGAGAUACUCAUCGGAAGCUGUAGCUCUUUUAUCCUCUCCAAUAAGGUCGGUUGCACCCACUACCAGCAAGUAGUGCGCCGGCACUCUCGGCGCUACUACUUCCAAUCCAAGCCGUUGCAUCUCUUGUUUGCAAUAUACGGUUGAGGUGUAAUUGUCGAAGCCAAAUUCCUCCCGAUUUUCCUACUAAGUGUGCAUCAGCCACGACAUUCGCCUUUGCGGGUGUGUAUAAGAGAUGACAUCAUAUCUUUCAAUAACUCCAACACCACCGUUGUCGCAUGUUUAGCUCUUUUUGGGUGAACAAGUAUUUAAGGCUUUUGUGAUUCGUAUAAGAGAUCAUCACCAAUCGUUCCCCAAUAGUAGGUUGUCUCCAUAGCUUUAGUGCAAAAAUCAUGCCGCUAGCUCGAGGUUCCAUUGAAUCGGGUAGUUCUUUUCAUAUGUCUUCAAUUGGCGCGAGGCAUAAGCUAUCACCCGCCCGUUUUGCAUCAAGACACACCCGAGACCAACGUAGGAAGCAUCACUAUAUACCACAAAUGUCUCCCCCGGCGUCGGUAGAGCAAGCACCAGGGUCGUGGUCAAUCUUCUCUUUAGCUCCUCGAAGCUCUGCUCACAUUCGGCAUUCCAAAUGUACUUUGCCCCUUUAUGUGUGAGGCGCGUUAGUGGAGUGGUUAUUUUAGCGAACCCCUCCACAAACCGCCGAUAAUAGCCCGCUAGCCCAAGAAAACUGCGGACUUCCGUUACGCUCGUCGGGCGAGGCCAAUCUUUAAUUGCCUCUACUUUCUUCGGAUCCACUGAAAUGCCAUCACCCGAAAUCAUGUGUCCUAAGAAAGUAACCUCCGAUAGCCAAAAGUCACAUUUCUUCAACUUGGCAUAUAAUUUCUCCUUUCGAAGCACUUCCAACACGGUUCUCAAGUGCUCCUCGUGUUCUUCCUCGGUCCGAGAAUACACCAAUACGUCGUCAAUGAAUACCACGAUGCACCAGUCCAAUAGCGGACGGAAGACUCGGUUCAUUAAGUCCAUGAAUGCAGCCGGGGCAUUAGUAAACCCAAACGACAUUACCGUGAACUCGUAGUGGCCAUACCGCGUAUGGUACACCAUUUUGUGCACAUCCUGGGGCCGUAUCGUCAACUGAUGAUACCCCGAUUGAAGGUCUAUCUUUGAAUACACCCUCGACCCUUGCAACUGAUCGAAUAAAUCAUCAAUCCUCGGUAAUGGAUACUUGUUCUUAACUGUCACUUUAUUCAACUUGCGGUAGUCCACGCAGAGUCGAAGUGUGGCAUCUUUCUUUUUAACAAAUAGCACCGGAGCUCCCCACGGUGACACGCUCGGCCUCAGAAAGCCUUUAUCGAGCAAGUCUUGCAACUGUACCUUUAGUUCCUUUAGCUCCGCCGGUGCCAUUCUAUACGGAGCCUUCGACAUUGGCGCCGCCCCAGAAAUCAAAUCAAUGACGAACUCGAUCUCCCGGUCCGGUGGCAAUCCCGGUAACUACGCUGGAAAUACAUCCGAAAACUCGCAUGCUACCCAAAUACCACUAAGUUCCGGGAGCACCCUUCGGGCUUCCACUAUUGUCGCCAAGUAGGCUACACCUCUACCCUUAAUUAUUUUCCUCGCCCUUGCCGCCGAUACGGUCGCCGCGAAGAGCGAGUUUUUACAUGCCCGAUAUACUAGCUCCUCUCGAUUAGGCUCACGGAAUGUGAUCACCCUGCUUUCGCAAUCUAUCACGACACAAUACUUGGAGAGCCAGUUGCCCCCCAAGAUCACGUCGAAACCCCACAUUCGAUUUAGCACCAGCAGGUCAAUCGGCAUAAUCCAACCACCUAUCUGCACUGGGCACGCCACGCACUCAUCAUGAAUAUGGAAUGAAUGCUCGGCCGCAUUCACCGUCCAAUAGUCAUAAUGAUGUACGAUCUUAAUGCCAUGCGUCCUUACAAACGAUGCACUUAUAAAUGAAUGCAAUGCACCAGUGUCGAAUAAAGCUCUAGCACUAGUGCCUCGGAUCAAGAUAAUACCUGCUAUGACAUCGUCGGGGACUGGAAUUGGCUCCUCCACCUGAGUGGCAAAAACCCACCCACUCGGUGCCCUAGAUGCCUCCGGCUGACGCGAUGCAGAAGAGCGUCCAGCAGACAUAGCCAGUGGUAACCCCGCUAGCUGUCUCGAGGUCGAAGGAACUGAGGCCGCCGUCGGUGCAGACGACGCCCAUCUCGGGCACUCACGUAUCAUAUGUCCCGCUUCCGCUUCACCGUGUCGGGGAAGUAGUUCGCGAAUACCAUUCUCUUGAACUCCUCUCAAGGCAUAGGCGGAAGAUCGGGAGAUCGAUCCCGCCUAACUCGCUUCCACCACACCUUCGCCGCCUUCUCAAGGCAAUGUAUAGCGAGCUGCACUUUGUCCUUGUCCAUGGUGUAUAAGUCCUCGAACAAUGUCUCCAUGGAGUCGAUCCAUGACUCCACCGCCGCCGGUUCCACCACUCCUCCUUCAAAGAUAGGUGGAUUGAACUUCUUGAAUUGAAUAAGAGCUGUCAACGCGCGCUCCCGCUCCGCCUCAUCCACUGCACUAUCGAGGUUUGAGGUCCCCGAACCAGCCGGCACCACUGUAAUAGGCACGGCUGCCGCCGCCACGCCCUCGGCCGCGCUCGGCACCACUGCAGGGGGCGCAGGGUGCACGGCCUCCACGGGUGCCGUCGCUUGCUGUCGCUCUAGCGCCUCUUGGAGCCUUUGGAUCUGCUCUCCUUGGCGCUGAACGGACUCCGCUUGUUGCCGCACUACGUAAAUAAGCGCGGCCAACUGCUCCUGAAGCUCCCCAUCGCCACCUGCUCCGGGUUGCACGGGAGCUGCACUUGGCUCCUCGGCCAUAGACCUCGUUCGCGGCCGACCAUGAGGUAACUUAGGUCGUCUACGAGGUGGCAUUGCUCCCUAAAAAGAAGCAAUUCACGUUAGUUACUUAGAUAAUAUACUCGAUUAUACCCAAUCCGGCGAAAGCAACAAGUGUAUUCAUUUUCAUUCCCAAGCAUCAUGUCGUCGACUGCCGAUCAGAACACAAGGAAAAGAAAACAAAUAUCAACUUAAAUUUAGUCCCUAACCACAUUAAAGACAUAUUAAUAUUAACCCAAUCAUAAGCUUUCGCUAUACUUUGUUCAACGUCACUCACGUUUUCUACGUCCUUAAGGUCUUUCCAAUCCUAAAGGUCUCUAGGUCCAUGCUAAACUUUCACCUUUUUGGCUUUUACGGCUCUAAUACCAUUAUAUCUGUCACGCCCCCGAGCCCGAUCAUUUUGGCCGAAUCGAGAGCGUCAAACAGACGCCGAACAGACAGAGCCUCCCCUGUCCGCCCAUGGCUCAACAACAAGUAUCAAUAGAGUAAAAAUUUGCAUAAGCGGAAGCAUACACAAUGGCUUGCACGAGGGCAAGCAAUAGCCAAUAGUGAAAGUAAUAAACUACACUUAGGAAAUCAGUUACAUCUUUGCAUCAUUUCUUCUUACUUCUCAUUUCUCCAACAUAUAACUUUUGACAUUUGAAAUAAAUAUCCUUUUUACAUCAUUCAUUUAACAUGUUCAUAAUGCUAAAUUCAUCAAAAUACAAAAGAUGAUAACUAAAGAGUGUGCAACUAAACCGAAAUGUGAAAACAAUUCGGGUGGUCUCUAUCUAGGGCGCGAUGCCCUUACCACGAUCGUCCGCCGGCUUGCUCGGUCCCGGCUCUGUGAAAAUAGUGGGAUGAGAACUACAACAAAGUUUCCGGUGGGUUCGUUAACCUACCACGCCGACUUUCCCACUAGGUCUAAAUCAGGCAUAAUAGAAAAAAAAAGAUAUAGAUAGUAAUCAAACUAUACAAAUGCUGCUACUAUGCCUCAACAAUAAAUAAUGCAAUGCUGAAUAAUAUGCUCAUGAUGAAUGCAAGGUUACAAUCUUAUUGCUCAAUCUCUUGGCUAACCCAUAGGUUUCGCCCUCAACAACUCACAAACUCAAAUCUCAAUAUCGGGGAGGCUACUUGUGAGACCCCAGGUAGUCCUAUAUAUAAGAUAUAAUAGGGCUAAACUCUUAAUCCGGCUUAAGCAUUUUGGGUGGUGGCUAGACCCAAGAGGUUAAGAGAGUUAAGCGUGCUAGGACGGGAGUAGUCCUAGGAUGGGUGACCCCCUGGGAAGUUGGGGCGUCACACUACUACGUACACCCGACGGGACCAUCCUCUGGGGAGGCUACUACACCCAGUGAUGAUAACUCAGGAGCACAUCGCCCGAGGGGGAGCUACCACCCUCGAGCAAGGACUUACAGGCGAGUAUGAUCCAAUCCUUAACUAUAAGGAUGUCAAGUUCAAUCCAUUCCUUAACUAUAAGGGAACAAUGCACAUAUGACCCUUAACUCUAAGGUUGUUAUGUCAUAAUGUCGCUAUCACACUUUUACUUGCAUUCUCUACUUUCACUAGUGUUAAAUACACCACUAUGUUCUUGUACACAUACCACACUUUUUUUCUAAGUGUUCCAACUCUAACUUUUCGACUCAUCAUUAUCACUUUCUACUUCUAUGUCAAGAUGUCACAUUUGUUUACUAAGUCCACUAAGUUCUUGUCACUUGUCAUGUAUAAAUAGGGUUUAUAAAAUUCUUACAUUCUUGCUAGUAACUCACAUGCAUUUGUACUCACAACAUGCACUAGAUGGCUCAAAUAUAAUCCUACAAUGAAAUUUUUAUGCUCAAUACACAUAUGCUCAAAUAUGACACUUUAGACAUAAAAGGAAUUUCGAGGUCCUCGAAUUGCACCACCCACCUUAGAUGGUUGAGAGGAUGGUACGGUUCAAAUCUUGGGAUUUUUGAAGCCCUACCUUAUCGCCUGCGGCAAAAUGAAGCCAAAUUAGGAUUUUUCUCAAUAACUAUAUAUAAAUCUUUUAGUAACGUCAAACGGAGUUGUCCCACGCGUCGGGAAUACCCCCAAUUAGGUUUCUAUAAGGUUAAUUUGCCUUAGAAACAUUUGGAGGCAAAAGCCCAAAAUUGGGUGCCCUAACAACACCGUUUGCUCAAUCCUAGAUUUUGAUCUCUAAAAUAAGAAAAAGAGAGCUUGUCCAACAUCUAGAAGCUCAUUUAGAACUAUCUAAAUUAUUUUUAGGGUUUAAAAUGCAAGCUCUAAAAAUCCACCAUUAGAGGGUUCUAAGAAAACCAUGUUUUUCAUAGUGUUCAAGGCUCUAGCAUGCUUCUAAAACCUCUAAGAAGCUCAAAACUCUAAAAGUUAGAGUUUAAAUCCUAACCCUAGAGGAGUUCAUGCAUAAACUCACCUUAGCCACAAGCUAUCCCCAAGUCCUCCUUGUAGGAGAGCUUCUGGAGCCUUCAAAUCUACCAAAACUCCUUUAAAAAUCCUUCUUCUCCUUCCUCUCCUUGCUCCUUGGAGAGUUUCCUAGAGAGAAAAAGAGGGAAAUGAGAGAGGGAGAGAGUGGUUGUUGUUUAGACCAGGUGGGAGGGGUGUUGGGGUAUAUUACAUAUUGUAACAAUUACAACAAAACCCUCCAAAUAUUUGUAUUUGCAGCAGUUUUCAUUUUGCUGUCAGACCCAAAGUGUACCGGUACACUGUAGCUUGUCACCGGUAACACGAUUACGCAGAGACAAACCCGAGAGCAAUUCUCGCAUGUUUUUCCAAAGUGUACCGGUACACACCAGGGGUGUCUCCGGAAACACAGGCAAAAUUUCUCAAACCUGAGAGCUUUUCCUUCUUGGCCUGCAAUGCUGUACUGGUGACAACUCGAUGGUUGUACCGGUAUACUUUGCUCCAGAAUGCAAUUUUACGCCAUUUUCGAUUCUGUUUCGCGCAGUUCAAUGCUAAAACCUUUCUAAUACUUCUUAAACUCAUUUGUAGCCCUUCCAACCUCGUUGGAAUGCUAAUUGGAACUUGUUCAUCUAUUUCUUUCGCAUUAUUCACUUUUAAAUCGUGCCGAGCAAUGCUAAAACUUGCUUAACACUCUCGGGACUCUACUUUGACCCUUCCAAUAUUGUUAGAAUGUCAACUGGAGUCUGUCCAUCCAUUUCUCUCGGCACUUUAAUCCAUUUUGGCUAAAGUUCGAUACGUUACAACGGCCCUAUGAAUCCUCGGCCGAAGUCCUCGCCCAGAACCAAUCGGCCUGGUCCCGGUCAUCGCAAACAACCUCCGGGAUGCAAUCGAUAAGGUGGGAGAACUCCUGCUCGUAAUCCGCCACGGAGCGAUCCCCUUGCCUCAACUUGUGAAAUUUUUCUUGUAACUUCCGCUUCACCGUGUCGGGAAAGUAAUUGGCGAACAUCGCCCUCCGGAACUCCUCCCACAGCAUAGACAAAAGAUCGGGCGAUCGAUCCCACCUAACACGCUUCCACUACACCUUCGCCGCCUUCUCAAGGCAAUGUGUGGCGAGGUACACCUUGUCCUUCUCCGAGGUAUGCAAGUCCUCGAAAAGCGUCUCCAUGGAGUCAACCCAUGACUCCACUACCGCCGACUCCACCACUCCCCCUUCGAAGAUAGGUGGGUUGAACUUGUUGAACUGUACGAAAGCUGCUAACGCACGCUCCCGCUUCGCCUCAUCCGCUGCAUUAUCAGGGUUUGAGGUCCCCGAUCUGACCGGUAUCGCCGUAACUGGCACAGUUGCUGCGGCCACACCCUCGGCCGCACUCGGCACCAUUGCAGGAGGCGCAGGGUGCACGGCCUCCACUAGCGCCACCGCUGCCGCCUGCUGCCGCUCCAAGGCCUCCUCGAGCCUUUGGAUUUGCUCCCCUUGGCACUGAACGGACUCCGCUUGUUGCCGCACUAUGCCAAUAAGCGCGGCCAUCUGCUCUCGAAGCUCCUCGUCGCCUCCUGCUCCGGGUUGCACGAGAGCCGCACUUGGCUCCUCGGCCAUAGACCUCGUCCGCGGUCGACCACGAGGCAACUUAGGUCGUCCACGAGGUGGCAUUGCUUCUUGAAAUGAAGCAAUUCACAUUAGUUACACAAUAUUACACUCGAAUAUACCCAAUUCGGCGAAAGCAAUAAGUGUAUUUAUUUUCCUUCCAAAGCAUCAUAUCGUCGGCCGCCGAUCACAACACAAGGAAAAGAAAACAAAUAUCAACUUAGAUUUAGCCCCUAACCACAUUAGAGACAUAUUAACAUUAACCCAAUCACAAGCUUUCGCUAUAGUUUGAUUCCACAUCGCUCACGUUUCCUAGAUCCUUAAGGUUUUCCAUUUCUAAGGGUCUCUAGGUCCAUCCUAUACUUUCACUUUUUGGCUCUUUACGCUCUGAUACCAUUAUAUCUGUCACGCCCCGAGCCCGAUCCUUUUAGCCGGUUCGAGAGCGUCGAACAGACGCCGAACGGACAGAGCUUCCCUUGUCCGCCCAAGGCUCAACAACAGAUACAGAUAGAGUAUAAAAUUGUAUAAGUGAAAGCAUACACAAUAGCUUGCACGAAGGCAAGCAAUAGCCAAUAGUGAAAGUAGUAAACUAUACUUAGAAAAUUAUUUACAUUUUUUUUUGCUUCAUUUCUUCUCUUUUACAUCACAUGAUCUCAAAAUAUAGUUCUUGCAUUUAAAUAUAAAAUCGUUAACAACAUUCAUGUUCUUUUCCCUUUAACAUCUAUAGUCAUCAAAAUACAAAAGAUGAUGUAUAAAGUUAUGCAACUAAACCAAAAUGGAAACCCACUCGGGAGGUCUCUAUCUAGGGCGUGAUGCCCUUACCACGAUCGUCCGUCGGCUCGCUCGGUCCCGGCUCUGUGGAAAUAGUGGGGUGAGAACUACAACAAAGUUUUCAAUGGGUUCGGCAACCGACACUUUCCCACUAGGUCUAAAUCUGGCAUAAUAGAAGAAUGGAUAGAUACUAACCAAGCUAAAGCAAAUGCAGCUAAUAUGUCUGAACAAUAAAUAAUGCUAUGCUCAAUAAAAUAAUCAUGAUGAAUGCAAGGUCACUGAUCAGAACCCAAUCUCUAGGCUAGCCCAUAGGUUUCGCCCACGAUAGACUCACCAACACAAAUCCCAAAGAUCGGGGAGACUACUACACCCGACGGGACCGUCCUCUGGAGAGACUACUACACCCAAUGAUGAUAACUCCGGAGCACAUCGCCCGAGAGGGAGCUACCACCCUCGAGCAAGGACUUACAGGUGAGUAUGAUCCAAUCCUUAACUAUAAGGAUGUCAAGUUCAAUCCAUUCCUUAACUAUAAAAAAAUAAUGCACAUAUGACCCUUAACUCUAAGGUUGAAAUUGUCAUAAUGUCGCUAUCACACCUUUACUUGCAUUCUUUACUUUCGCUAGUGUCAUAUACACUACUAUGUUCUUGUACACAUGCCACACUUAUUUUCUAAGUGUUCCAACUCUAGCAUUCUCGACUCAUCAAUGUCAUUUUCUACUUCUAUGUUAAGAUGUCACAUUUGUUUACUAAGUCCACUAAGUUCGUGUCACUUGUCAUGCAUACAUAGGGUUUAUAAAAUUCUCACAUUCUUGAUAAUAACUCACAUGCAUUUGUACUCACAACAUGCAAUGAAAUGCUCACAUAUAACCCUACUAUGCAAAUUUUAUCCUCAAUACACAUAUGCUGAAAUAUGACACUUUAGACAUAAAAGGAAUUUCGAGGUCUUCGGUAUGCACCACCCACCUUCGGUGGUUGUAGGGAUGCUACAGUGAAUUUCUUGAGAUUUUUGAAGCCCUACUUUUUUGCCUGCGGCAAAACGAAGCCAAAUUAGGCUUUUUCUCAAUAACUUUAUUUAGACCAUUUAGUAACGUCAAACGGAGUUGUCCCACGCGUCGGGAAUACCCCUAAUUAGGUUUCUACAAGAUCAAUUUGUCUUAAAAACAUUCGGAGGUAAAAGACCCAAAUUGGGUGCCCUAAUGUUGCCAUUUGCAAAAUCCUAGGUUUUGAUCUCUAAAACAAGUAAAAGAGAGCUUGUCCAACCUGCUCUAGAAGUUCAUUUAGAACCAUCCAAGUCAUUUCUAGGGUUUAGAAUGCAAACCCUAAAAAUCCACCAUUAGAGUCCUGGAAGAAAACAUGAGUUUUCAUGUGUUCUAAGUCAUUACUAGAUUUUUAUACCAUUAGAAGAUCAAAACUUAGUUUUCUAGGACAUAAACCCAAACCCUAGAUGAGUUUUUACCCUAAACUCACUUUAGCCAAAAGCUAUCUCCAUGUCCACCUUGUAGAAGAGCCCUAGGUCAUCUCCAAGCCACCAAAGCCAAGCUUCUCCUUCAAAUCUCCUCCCAAUCCACCCUUUGGAGAGCUCUCUUUUAAGUCUUAUGUGUUGGCAAGUUUCGUGAAGUGAGUCGGAGUCUUGAAGGAUUGGUGCGUAUCGUCGAAGAUCAAAGAGUCCAAAACUUCAAAGAAAGCGAAAUUAACUCACUAUGUGAAUCACGAUGCCGAGGUAAGGUUUUAAUUCAUGUUAUGGUGAUUCAUACAUAAUUGUAGGCAUUAGAAUCAUAAUACCAAAAUUUACUGGAUUAGAAAGUGCAUUGGUACUUUGCAAAACCCGAAACCGUGCAAAAAUAGAUUUUUGCAAAGUGUACCGGUACAACAUCGGAAGUGUAUCGGUACGCAUUCUGUUCCGGUACAACAAGCGACUUGUCACCAGUUACAGCAUUACGCAGGUUUUCUGUUCCGUCAUCGUGUAACCGGUAACAGCUUAAAGUGUACCGGUACACAAUGUAAUUUUCGAAAAAACUUUCUAAUCCGACUCCAAUUGAUUCUAAAGCCUAUAAAUAAGCUAUUGGGCUCCUCUAAUAGAUUAAGCAUCAUGAGAAUACAUGUUUGAGAAACCCUAGAGGCUAGGAUUUCAUCCAAAACCUAUUUUCUACAAAAUAGCUUCUUUUAGGUCAAAUCGAGAGAUUGUUAUUUAAUAUCAAUAUGUCGAUUUGAUCUAUGCUUCGCUUGGAGUUUUCUUCUCUGGUUUUCUACGAUACUCUAAGCAAAGGAUCACCAUAAUCAUGAUGUUCUUCAUGACGACGUCGUGGAUUCGGCGUGAUUAACAUUGGUUCGUGGAUUCAGAUCGUGAGCUUCAUGGAUUCGGAGUGAAGGCGUUAAGUAGAUUCGAAACGAGGCGUUCGUGGAUUCGAACGUGAGGGCAUGGACAACCCGGAGGAUUGCGUGAGAUUCUUAAGAGGUUAAGAGAGGUCGAGUCCGUAGAGUCGGUAAUCUCCUUGUAAUCUUUUCUCUUAUGAAUUAUUUUUUCGCGUGUUGGUCCUGUGGGUUUUCUCCAAGUUGGAGUUUUCCCACGUAAAUCUCGGUGUGAUUUUUAUCUUCUAGAUUUAUUUUUAUCACAUUGAGAUUUGUGGUUUUUGGCUAUUAAACCUAUUCACCCCCCUCUAGGUGUUAGAUACAAUCUAGAUAGAUCAUUGGGCACUCCAAAACUUUCACUCUCUAGAGAAAGAAAAUAAGAGGAAUGAGAGGGAUGGGUGAAUGGCUGUGGGAGAGAGUGAGGAGGGGUGUUGGGGUUUUAUUACGAUGCUAUAAUUGCAUUUAAACCCUCCCCAUUUUCAUAAUUGCAGCAGUUUUUUUUUUGCUGUCAGACCCAAAGUGUACCGGUACACGGGAUUUUGUACCGGUACAUUUCCUGCGCAGAGGCAACCCGAGAGCAAACUGUUCGGAUUUUACCAAAGUGUACCGGUACACACCAGGGGUGUACCAGUACAUUUCUGCGAAAACUCAAACCCGAGAGCAAUCCCUUCUCGGGCUGCAGGGUUGUACCGGUGACAACUCGAUGGUUGUACCGGUACACUUUGCCCAGAACACUUAUUUUGCGCCGUUUUCGAUUCUACUUCGCGCCGGUCGAUGCUAAAACCCUUUUAACACCUCUUAAACUUAUUUUUAACCCUUCCAAUCUUGUUGGAAUGCUAAAUGGGACUUGUCCAUCCAUUUUUCUCGGCACUUUAACCAAUUUGGCUAAAGUUCGAUAAUCACUUUCGAGGUUUCGAUACGUUACAACUCAUCUCACACUUUUGGGUGGUAAUUGGCUCUGAUACCAACUGUAACGCCUUGACUUCCCAGAGGGUCACCCAUCUUAGGACUACUCCCGUCUUAGUACGCUUAGCUCUCUUAACCUCUUGGGCCUAACCAACGCCCAAAAUGCUUAAGCCGGGUUAAGAGAUUAGCCUUAUUAUAUCUUAUACAUACAACUAUCUGGGGUCUCGCAAGUUGAGCGAGUGGAGAGUGGCUUUUGCCUGAGGUCCUUAGACCGACACGGCGGUAUAGAUUGGAUACAUUUGGACUUUUCAUCCGGAUGACGCAUAUAGCUAUAGUAGCGGUUGUUACAUGCUUAUUUACAAUUCUUCUAUCUUUAUAGUUACAUUGCUAUUGUAAGUCUUUCUUUACCUAUACAUGGUUACCGGUGAGUAUGCUUGGCUUCGUCGGCUUGCGGUACCCACUGGAAGACCUUUGUUGGUUUCUUACCCUCAUUUCUCGACAGGUGAUAUAGGUAGGAUUGGUCAGGACACAGUAUGAGGCUGUAGCUAGUGGGCGAUCUUAGACGUCUCGAUCUCGGUAUACAUUUUGACUAUACUUCAUAUUUAACAUAAGUCAUAUAUGUGUCAGUAUAGUUUAACCUCUAUACUUGUUAGUAGUUGUUCUUAUAUGGUUCAGUUGAUGGUUUUUUAUUCACGGAUUCUUGGAUGACGUAUUUAUGAGUUUUUGGUUGCUUACGGUUUUAGAAUAUUCGUGAUUUUUGGACAUAUGGCUUUGGAUUCGGAUUUCGAAAUGUGGUUUUCUACCCCUCGUGUUAGUGUUUUCAAAAUAAGGUGUCUCUGUGGGAAAUAAUUUUCAAAAUAGUUUUUCAUGCUUUUCACAAAGUUAAAAUUUCAAAGAAAUAGUUUUCGUGUGGGAGACACUUUUAACUAUUAGGAUGAAUAUGGAAUGGAUGUGACUAAGGAGGGCUAGCUGUAUGUUGAAAUGAGUUGAUCCUUGUACAUCCUAUUGUUGUGUGUGUGAAUAGAGAUCUGGUUGUUCAAUUGUACUAUGCGCUACGUCAUGCAAAUACAGGGGAGACUCUAUCUAUUUGUUUCAAAAAUUUCUGUAUUUGUGGCGGGUUUGUUGCACGUCUUGAGGGUCUAGAUUAAAAAAAAAAAAAGGGCAGUUUCUCGCUGACUCUGAUUUAUAAAGAUAGCUCGAUUUCAAAUUAGCUUUCAAAAAGGACCCCGGGGCGUGAUAGUUCUUGAUGUAGCAGAUCUCCUCAAAAAAUUGGAGAUCCUAGACGUUGUUGGCAGUGGCAAAGUUGACGUCGCUGGAUAGUGCUCGAGGUGGUCGAUAGCGAUGUUGCACCGGUGCACACAGGGUCGAGAAAAUCGGCAGCCGAGAAGGUUGGGGGCGAAACUGACGGUGAUUUGGGGAUAGGGUCGGAGCUUAGAGAGGACGCCUAGGAAGAAAGAUGAGAGAAGAGUGGUGAAGGAGAGGGAAGAACUCGAGCUCACGCGAGAUAGGAGAGAGGUAGGGAACCUAGUUAGUUAAUUCGCGAAUUAUUCACGAAUUAUUUGCGAAUUAUUCGCAAAUUAUUAAAAAUCCAAAUUAAACGGUCCGUUUACGAAUUUUUCCCAAAGAAAGAGAAUUAUUCGCAAAUUUUUGGGCCAGCCAAAUUAUUCACAAAUUAUUUCCGAAUUAUUCCCAAAUUAUUGAAAAUAUGAAAAAAAAACUUAUAAUUUUUAUUUUUAAAUAUAAAUUAUCUUAUAUUUUAUAUCUAAUAUUUUAUACUUUAUACCGAAUCCGUUUUUUAGGCCGAAUUUUUCAACGAAUUUAAAAAUUAGAAAAUAAAUUUUAUGCGUAUUAUAUCCGUACCGAAUUUUUGCCGAAUCCAAAUUAACUAACUAUGGUAGGGAAAAGGGGGAGAAGGUGAAGGGUGUUCGUGUGAGAUGGACCCAGCUGGUUGGGUUUGAGUUUAGGUUCGGGUUCGGUUUAGAAUAGUAUUGGGGUCAAAAUAGAUGUAUUUAGUAUAAAAUUAUUAGUCAGUAAAAAAAGUAUAGUCUAAAAUAGAUAAUAACGGCUAUUUGAUAAUUGCAGCCAUUAAAUUGCCGCUAAAUGUCCAUUUUGUUGUAGUGAGCGCAGAGGUUAAAGAAAUUACUAGUAGGUUUGUAAUGAAUAAUUGAAGCAUUGUGUCGAAUAAUUCAAAAAAAGGAAAGGAGUAUUAAUAUUGUCAUUUAACAACUACAUAGUGAAUUAAUACUUAGAUCAAAAGACAUUCUAAUACUAAAAGGAAUAUUCUUGCAGUAUAAUAUCACUUUUAAUAAGUUGAUAUUUUAAGGUAGCAGCGCCUUGCAUGCAGAUAGAUUAUGUUUCGAAUGUCCCUUUUCCUUAUAAAAAACUUUGAAAGGUUGUGAAUCUUUAUAUUGAUCACAUAGUAUUGUUCCUAUAGUGGACAUUGAAUCACUAUUCAUCAUAUAAAAUACAUGAAUUUCAAAUAAUGUGAAUAUUAAAUUCAAUGAUCCCGUCAUAUGAAUAGUUUUAAUAUAAAGAUUUGUUCUCUAAAAAUAAUCUUACUUUAGAUUGCUUUAGAUAAAUACUAUUAAAAAAGAAAAACAUAUAUAUUGGGCACAUUAUUUUGGGUCUUAGUUUCCUACUACUCUCUUUCAUGGUUGGGAGUCAUGUUCACAAUUCUCUGGAUUGAAGGCUAGUUGUGAUUGCAGCACAUCAAAAGUAAAUCGAGUAUUUGCUUGUUGGUAUGCCCCGAGAAUACUUGAAUUGUCCUGUGGCAACAUUGCAAAGCAAAAUAUUCCCUUCGUCCAUGCAAUGAGGAACAACUCUCGCCACAUGAUAUGCAUUUGGGCCCCUUGUAAAUGUAAUGUUAUGCUCGGCAUUAAGCUCUCAUAACUUGGUUGGAAAAGCCAACAAAGUUUAAGAUUUGUCUUGUACCUCUGUGGGUCCACUUCAACCAAUUUCUUAUGGCGGAAAUAAUCUCUAAGCUCUUUCCUCACUCGUUCAAAAGCUGGAGUUAUUAGGUAAGUGAUGAAUGAGCCGGAGUCCACAUAGAACCCGCCCGACCCAUUCGGCUUUCGUGCGAACAUUCUUGGCUCAAACCCAAGUCGUUUGUUACCAACACUAAUGUCAUUUAAAGUAAUGUAAUAGAAGCACACACCUUGUAUGGGUAUUAUCGGUGUGGUUUGGACUGGCCCUCUUUGCACAAUGUUGCUUCCGAAUCGUAAAAAGCUUAUACUGUUUGAACCUACCGGGGGAAGACAAUAUGAAAAGCGCCCCUGGCUGCCAUGAUUGAUAAGUUGUCUUGUAAAUGAUUCCUCGGACAAACCUAAUGCCAUUACUCCUGAUGGAUAACCAUGGUGGUCACUAGUUAAAUGUGUAUCAUGUGAGCAGCCAAAGGCAAGCCCUUCAACAAACUCGAGGUGGCCACCAUGGCUCGAAUGGAAGCCAAAGGUGUCUUUUGAGAGCGUGCCAAUUGUCCGGGACCCACCAAUAUAGCUGAUCUGGUAGUGGCAACGGUUGUUGAUGCAAUGGUAAUAUCUUUGUGGGCAAGGGUUCUGGUCAGAGCAGGAUACAUCAACAAAGGAAGGGGAUUGGCGAGGGUCGAAGUAAGGUUCAUUUUGCACAUAGCAAUUGAUGCAUGGCUUGCAUUGGGUCCAAGUAAGAUAACUGCCUGUAUCUAGGUCUAAAUGGUAGCCAAUGCUACCAUUUCCAGUGCCAAUUGUCACAAAAACCAUGUACAAUGCUUGAUAGUAAAUGAUAGGGGGGCGAAUAGUGGUUAUUUCAUGGCCAACAGGCGUUGGUUCAACAUUGUUCAGUUUGAGGAAUCGAUUUUCAGAAAGGCGGAGGGACUCUUCAAAGCGUUGUGAAUCGGUGAGGUUAGGGUUGUAAAUUGGGGACCGAGGAGAGUGAUGAUAUAUGAGCUCAAAGCUUAAGAUUCUUUUAAGUGCUACAAUAGUUUCAAAGGAAAAGAGAAGGAUGGACAUUAAAAGAAGAAAGAUAACAUAUGAAUGGAUAACUUUGCCCAUGGUUGAUAUUUUGCAAAGAAGUAAAUCAUAGAAGACAUGAAAAGAUUUAUACAUAUAUAUAUAUAUAUAUAUAUAUAGUAGGGCUACUGUGCUAUUAGGAGCACAGCUGCCCUUGUGCUCCUAAGUUCUUAACCGUCCAUCAAAUUUGAUGGGUGGUUAGGAUGAAUGGGAGAAGAGAAAAUGGAGAGAAAUUGAGAAACUCAAUUUCUCUCUAUUUUCUCUUUUCCUUUUCACCCUAAAACCAACACUAUCAAAUUGAAUGGCAGUUAAAACUUAACACAAGUGCAUGCUGUGCUCUUAAUACAAGUAUCCCUACUAUAUAUAGUAUAUAUAUAUAUAUAUAAUAUAAAUAAUAUAAUGAUAAAAAUAGAUAAAGCUAAAAAAUUUAACAGGCGAAAAAAAUAAAAAAGAAAAUCCAAAAGAUAUCUGAUGUAAGGAAAAAAAAUCUGGGAUUCAAUCGCAAUCCCAACUACAAAAUGACUUCUCUAAAAUGGAAAAAAAAUCUGUGGAUCAAUAGAAUCCACUACAAAAUACUUCUCUAAAAUAAAAGAGUUUUAAAUAUCUAAGUUUUUUUUGGAGGCUUUUUUUCGAUUACAAUUUUCAGUGAAUUGUAAAAAAUUUAACAAACCUAAUUAAUUAAAACACAUAAAUUUAAAUCAAUAGUAUUUUUUUAAAUGCGCUAAAUAUAUAUUAGUGCAUUAAAUUUAAAUUCCAGUCAAAUUAUAAUGCCUUAAAUCAUUUCAAUCGCAAUUAUGAACAAUUAUCACAUUUUGGUAGGGUUGAUAAAAAUUAUAGUGGCAAUUUAAUUUACAAAUGAUUGAUAAAUGAAACUUAUACGGCAAUUACAAUAUAAAUAUUAAACCUUGAAUCCAAAACUAAAAACUCCAUAGAUUAAAUAUAAAAAAUAAGUAAAACAAAACAUUAAUAUAUGUAAUAACAAAUAAUCGUACUCUCAAAUUACAGAUCUCAGCAAUCUAAAUUAAAUUUUGGACACGUGUUCUAACAAAUAAAAUACUUGUUCAAAAUUUAGGCCAAAAAAUAACAAAAUUCUAUAAAAUAAACACCUAUAAUCAUCGGAAAAGCCUCAAAAUUAAAAAUGCUAAAACUCUUUCCACAUUUGAAAACUUGCUCAGAAUACGAAUUACAAGCCGACAAAAAGAAUCUGUUCCAAAUAAUAUCUUUCUGCAAUCAGUGUAUCAUAACAUAUUUUAUUUCAUGAUUGAAAUAGUUGUAAAAAAAAGUGCAGUAAUCACAUAAUAUAUAAAAGAAACACUAUUAAUAAAAAUACCAAUUUGAAGUCAAGAAUAGGAUUACACUAUUAAAAGAUUGGAAAAUGAAUACUAUUCGAUCUCACAUUUCCAGCUAAUUUUAUUCUAAAUGAAAUAAAUGAACGUGUACAUGCUACCUUCCUCAAAAAAAAAAAAAACAUAAGAAAAAAUUAAUUACUAAUUAAGCUAAAGACAUUUUGAGCACAUCAUUAACCGUGACACUACCAGAAUAAAGGCAUAGUCGUGUUCGUCUCUCAGCUUGGUAAUAUCGUCGUGCAAAUCCUAACGAGCAACAACAAAAUAUUAGUUGAUUAGAAGAAUAAAUUCAAGAGUUACUGGUUAGAGUUCGAAGCAAUAUCUAACUCAAAAAAAUUUACCCAAAAAAUUCAGAAAUUAGAUUAAAGUAACUCUUAAAUCAACGAUCCAUCAUCAAAAAACUACCUAAGAAGCUAAAAAAGACUGAUUCAAAUUAAAGAAAAUACUACAUAAGAAAGUGUUAAAAAAAAAACAUUAAUAGGCAGAUCAAAAUAUAUAGAAAAGAACUAGAAAAUGAGCUAUACAUCCCAUAUCAAUUAAAAAUAAAGCAUUAGAAAACCUUCACUAUAAUGAACGAUACAAGCAAUAUAUGAUUGAUUACGAAUAAGCCUCUUUUCGUUUCUCUCAAACAUAAUACCUAUAUGAUCUAAUCAAAUCACUGCCGUAAUGACUUGAUGCUAAUUGGAUUGUUUGAAUACGGAUAAUUCCGCACCUGUUAAAAUAUAGCAAAAUUAAAUCAAACAACUUAGAAAAAUGUAAAUAACUAGAACAGACACAUGAAAAACAAUAUCCAAAUUUCAAAAAAAUUAAAGAGAUUUUUCAAUAAAAUACACAAUCAAGUUUAACACUCGAUGACAACCUAGAUAACUGUGAAUCAACGCAUAUAUACAAAUACAUAAUUAUCUAAAAAUCACAAUAAUCUUAAAGAUAACAUGGAACGAUUGAACAAUAGAUCUUAAUUAAUUUCUCAAAAAAAAGGUCAAAAGCUUUAUAAAUUUAUUAUAGAAAAGGUAACAAUGAAAAUUUCCUACAGCAGCUAAUGUCCAAAUCUGGAUCUCAUAGUAAUUAUCCAAAAAUUGCUGUUUGUUUGUUGUUCAAAGACUAAUACCUUGAAUAACUCCGCAAUUGCAAAAUAAACACCACUUCGUUCAGCAAGAGCAGAAACAUUAAAACCAUCAUUUAACAACUCAAGAAACACAUAAUCCACUAGUCCACGCACUCCAAUCAUCAAAAUUUCCACUGCUUAAUGUUACAAUACAAAAACCUGCUAAUCGUCACGAAUUUAACGAGAAAUUUCGAACCCAAUGAGCCCAUACCUCGCCAUAACCCCCUAAUGCCCCAUUGUCCACCGCGAGCCGCGCGGACGCGUUGCCCACGAGGAUAUGUAUGACUGUAUUAUGAAUAUUUGAAUCAAGAUCGCCCCAGCCGCCGCACUGGAGCUCCCCAAACCGCGCCCGCCGCCGUCGCGAGUGAACACCGAGAUCAAAGCUCUUGGUGAUCUCUCUCUCCGCCACGCACCGCUACCUCCGGCCGCCGCCAGCAGUCCUCAGCCCCACUUGACCGCCCGCACCCGUCCCCCGCCGGAGCGCAUCGCUUCGGCCGCCGGCGACAACCUAUCUCCACUGGUCGGUAACCCUAUAUUACCACACACUGAUUAGUCCGGUCAUCUUUCCGGUGAUGCGAAAAACACCCCUAAUAAUCUCAAAAGUGAGCACGAUGAUCCCUACCCACUCGGUGCUGAACAUCGUGCCACUCUCCGUUAGUCAAGAUCUCCGUUGCGUAGUGAUGCGAUUAAGAUACUGGUCACGUCACUGAAGUUCGCAUCAUUCGUGCUUCCAACAGUGCCGCAGUCUCCGACAAGUGACAAACCCUCCAACAUCGCCGAUACACUAUCACGGUGGCUCAGCUUGGCUGAAUACGCCUACGUUUGCGCUAGCGGCCAUGACAACCGAAUAUCACUUUAAUAAAUUAUUUUUUAGGAAUCGGAGUUUACCGCAAUUUACACUUUGGGAUUGCUAGUUGCAGCAGCCGGCAGAGUAACCUCGACUGAUGUUCAAGGCCCCAAGGCCUUGCGAGAUCGAAAAUUGAUUCCCGCAAUUUGUCGCAAAAUCCGCCGACGGAACGCGUUUUUCGUUCGGAAAUCUUCCGAAGUGCCCGUGAGCAUAUUGUUUAUGUCGUUGAUACCGGUGGCUUGUCACCCGCAUGUUUUCGAGCGGUUCGGGAAUGACGGGUUAAGCGACGGUGGUCCGGUUCGAAAUGACACUUACGGAAACCCGGACGAACGAAUUAUCCACAUAAACGCUUCCGAUGAGGUCAGUGUGUUUGCUGCUAAAGUCGAUGAAUAAGUUUUAGUGCAGUGGUAUCGUAACGAGUCGAUGAAUUUCGGGACAUUUCGUGUCCCGGCGAGUCCCGAUCAUUUUGGGACUUCCGUGUGUUAUUCGUAACGUUUUUGGGGAAACCGAUUCCCGUGGGUUUAAUUAAAGGUUUGUCUUAGUUUUUCUGUUUGGGGGUUAGAUACAACCUUGAACCCUCCGAUAUUCCAGUUGAUGAUCCUUCCAAAUCGAAACAGGCACGUUGUUCAUACAAGUAGUAUCGAUUCCGAAGUCGUACAGGUGCACGCUCGGUUAUAUGCUUCUUACCCUUAUAUCCGUCGUUGUUAUCUUGCAUAUAUAUCUUAUAGAUAUUUGAGCCUAGCACACCCCAAUUUGUUCUCGCUAUACUCUAUCUCGGUGUUUUUCAUAUCUAGUAUAUUAGUAGGAUAGAGCCGAUUUAAUAUUCAUUUAAUCGAAUGACCUAAGUUGGUCGUUUGGUAAUUCCGUGUCUGUACCUAUUCGUCGUACUACAUUGUAUGUGACUACUGUCCGGUGACUAUUUGAUACUAAUGGCUGGUACCGAUGGGUAGAUUGUCGGUUGAUUGCCGACGGAUAUUAUAGAUCUUACAUUGAUUCGUAGAUUGACAUCCCCUCGGAACCUAGUCGACGGUUCAUAGUAUUCCAGUAAACCUAGUUGCGGUUCAGUGGCAUAUCUGUUAUUGACAUUGAGUAGUCAAAUACGGCAUACCUUCGAAAGGAUGUUGAUAAAAAUCCAUCUAGUUGACCUAAGUGCUGUACUGUAUUCUAUGUUCGAUGACCUAUUGGUCGCUUGUCCCCGAGCGGGCCGUGAUUGUUGCUAUUGCCAAUCCCGUUGUUUUUGAUGCAUAAUCACAUGCAUCUGCCACAUACUCGCAGCAUUCACGAACUACCAGGGCUGAUCCAAGCCGCGGCUAUUGUCUUUUCCGAAAAAGUGUUAGUAUGUGCCAGCCCGUGAGCCCACCAUCGGUCAGAACUGGGUUAAUAAGCACCGUCGCACAAGCGUCAGAAAACUGGUUAGUAAUACAGUAGAUCCAGUGGCAUAGGCUGAGGUUCUGAAACCGCAUGCCAGGUUUCUGAUUGGGAUAUUUUUGGGAACGAAUCGUCCGGGUAUAACAUAUCAUAUACUUUGUUCUUUAUACAUCGUAAGCGAUUUAGUAUAUUCCUAAUAUAUUUUUGUUUACCCAUACACUCAUUGCGCAGAGUUAAACACCAUGUACAUUCGUUCUAUUACAAGUUAGGCGUGAUGAGGAUGUUCCUAGUUUGUCUCCUUCCUUCAGUUUAUUGUUAAUAUCUACUCAUAAUCGUAUAUCUUUCAUAACUUCAUUUAUCUCAUCCUGAAUUACCGGUAGUACUCCCUCACCUUCGCGCUUGUGGUACCCACUGGAAGGAUACAUUACAUGUCUCUACCGCCACCCCAUUUCAUAUUGGGCGUAGGUAACAGCUAAUCGACACGUCGUAGCGGUCGUAAGAGUUCCUCCCAGACAUUCGUCUAGUUUCUAUCCUUUCCUUACCAAAAUAAAUACUUAGACAUAUGGUUCAGUUGUUUUUUUUACUUGGAUAAAUUAUUUUGGUAAAUGAAUAUUAAAGAACUUAUAAGUUUCUUGAGAAAAACGGUUUUCUACCCCUCUGGUAAGCAAUUUUUAAAGAAAAAAGUUUCGUGUGGAAACAGUUUUGAAAAGGUUUUAUUGCUUUCAUACUCUUAGUAGCUUCAAAAUGAUUUCCGUGGGAGGAAAUAUGAACUGAUAGAUGUGAUUUAUGAAUCUCUUAAGAAAGAAUGUAUAUGUAAUGGAAUGUAUACGUUUGUUGAUUUGUACUUCUGCGAUGCCGGCAAAUAAUGGGAGAACUCUGUCCGUUGUGAAAUAUUCACUCUCCCUAUAUUUGUGGUGCAACUGGUAUACCCGGAGGCUAGGAUUCACAAAAAAAUAAAAUUUGGCACAUUACCGCUUACUUCUUAAACCAAAAAAAAGACCUCGUUGACACCACAGGGACUGCUUUCCGAGAAAAGUAAAUUGAGAGCCAAAAGACCAUUAGAAUUGAAAAGCAAUUAUGGGACCGAGUCAUACACCUACCACUCAUACAACAAAUUACUAUUUUAUAUUCGUGGAUGAUUAUAGCCGGCAUACUUGUUGUUAUUAAUCAAAAAUAAAAUCCAAGCUUUGAAUGCUUCUAAAAUUUAAAAAUUUGCAAACGAACCGUAUUAAUUAGGAUCCUCCGAACCAGAUCGAGAGAGAAUUUAUUUCUACAAGUUUGAAAAUUUUAAAGGCAAUGAAUACUUCACAGGUAUUCGACAACCAGUUACACACCUCAGAAACUGUUCAAACGCAAAGCGCAAAAAUCAAAGUUUAGUCGAGAUGGCAAAAAGCAUGUUGAAAGCGAAAAAGCUCCCAAACAAAUUUUGGGCAGAAGCGGUAUCUACUACAACAUACAUUCUCAAAAGAAGUCCAAUUUUAGUGCUGGAGAAUAUUACACCUUAUGAAGCAUAAACCGGCUGGAAACCGAAGGUAAAACACUUUAAAAUUUUUUGAUCGGUUUCUUUUGUUCAUAUUCUAUCACAAAAUAGGCAAAAAUUGGAUGAUAAUAGUCAGAAGUGUAUUUUUGUUGGAUAUAGCAAAAGAAGUAAAGCCUAUCGAUUUUAUAAUCCUGCUACUAACUCUUUAAUUAUAAGUCGUGAUGCUAUAUUUGAUGAACAAAAAGCUUAGGAUUGGAGCGCAAAAGUAUAGGAUAAUCCACUUCUAAUAUUCGAAAAUAAAACUGUAACUGAGAAUAGAAACAACGGUGGAAGUACGACAAGCACGGAAACAACACCACAAGCUUUACCGCGAAUUUCACCAGAAACUUCUCGAGAGACGAUGCCAAGAAAAGUAAGAUCACUUAGUGAAAUAUACGAACAGUGCAUGUAUUCACAAUGUGGAGAAUCGCAAAACAUCGAAAAGGUGAGAGAAUCUAAUUAUUGGUGUAAGGCGACGAAUAAAGAAAAUGUGCCAUUAAGAAAAAAUAAUAUCUGUGAGUUUGUUAAAUCGCCUAUAGAUAAAGAAGUUAUUGGAUUUAUCACUACAACAAAAACGGUCCAUAGCGACACUUUUAAAUAUCGGUACAGGUCAAAAGAAGUGAUGCUUGCUAAAUUACCGAUACUUUUAAAAAGUGUUGCUAUAUGUGGGGUCGCUAGGUAUAUAGUGACAGUUAAUGAGUGUCGCUAUAACCUAAAAAGAGUGUUACUAAUUUAUCAACACUUAUUUAAACAUUUAGCAACCGCUAGAACUCUACUUUGUUGGCUGCGGUGGCGGAGGAGGACGAGAGGGAAAGGCUCUUCGUCUAGAAUUUCAGUGGAUUGAGUGAGGAGAGAAUGGGAGAUAGUAAUCGAUUUUUUAUUUUUUUUUCUUUUUUGUUUGUAAUCGGGCUGAAUGGGCUGGAUGGGGUAGGUUGAGUAGAGUAACCUUUUAUUUUUGGUUUGAUUAGGCUUUAUAUUUAGGCAUUAGUAGAUUAUAUUUUAAAGUUUUGGCAUAAAUAGGACACUUAUAUAAAAGUGUCCCAAACAUGUGUCCCUAUAACCUAGUUCUGUUGCAAUGUAUGUGGAUAUAUAAGACGAAAAGGAUAUUAAGAGAUUUGAAAGAAAUAAGAAACCACCGGUUGUGGUAUACUAACCCUAACGAUUUUUAUUUUUGUUGUUUUAAUAGUGUUUGGACAGGUUAAGUUGAUGAUCGAAAAAGUACGAGAAGGGUUCGAGUUGAUACGCUUCGCAACCGAGGAGCAGAUGGUCGAUAUUUUCACAAAGCCGCUACUAUUGGAGAAAUUCAUAUUUUGCCGAGAGAAGAUCGGUGCGAAGAACAUUAGCAUUAUGGGGGAGUGUUAGAGAUAAUGCUAAUGAGAUUAAGAUUAGAUUAUUCGAUCUUAUCCAUUAUUAUAUUCGGUUAUUUAAAUUAUGGUUAAGAUGAAAUCAAAUCAGAGUAGGAUACUAUGUAAUUAGUUAUAAAUAGAUAGGCCGGGAUUAUUUGGUUAGCGAAGCCGGUAUUAAUUAAGUUGAAGCCGAGCCGGGCGCUAAUUAAUUUUUGCAAGUUGUAUGGACGCAUCCUGGUGACUUUUCUUCAAUAUUGUUAGUUUUGUUUUGCUUCCACAACAACAUACCAAAUUCUUUGAUUCGUCUUCUUCUUCUCUUAUCUUUUCUAUUUUACUUUUUGUAGAGAUUUCUAUAUAUCAUAACAAGUAUAUAGAACGUAUUUGUUGGAGGCCCACUGCCGUAACAGGAUUUACUUAUGUUGUCGUAUUAUGCUUUUUUACAGUAGAGAAGGUUUUAUCAAAAAAGAAAAAUCAAUUUCAAUCUUUUGUUAUGAAUUCCCGACACAUCUACUUGCAUUGUCUAUACUGUUUAUAACCCAACAUUGUCCAUUGAAAAGAUUUGGCAAAGAAAGCAUGCUUCUCUAAAAAAGGCUAAGUCAAAAUCAUGGAUUUUAUCAAAAAGCACAAUAUGAAAGAUAAGUGCCAAAGAUGAAGUGAUGUUGAUAAUUCCUGGUAACAGUCAGAUGUCAUAUUUCCAAUAAUCUCAAGAGUUUAUUUUUAAUAAGAGUCCCAUAAGAUUAGGAAUAUUCACUUUGGUUGCAUAAUAUUCUUUCGAUUGUGGACCACUAGAUCCACCAUCCAUCAUAUAAAAUGCACAAAUAUCAACACAGUAUGAAUUCUGGAUUCAAUGAUCUCAUGAUACGAAUAGUUUUCGUUAAAAAUUUAUUCUCCAGAAAAGGUCUUCCUUUGGAUAAAGUUUAGAUAAAUACUAUUAGGGAAGAAAAACAAGCACAUAGGCACAUUAUUUUAGUAUUUAUCCUCUUAUUUUUCUCUUUUAAGGUUGGGAGUCAUGUUCACAAUUUUCUGGAUUGAAGGCUAGCUGUAAUUGCAACACAUCAAAAGUAAAUCGAGUAUUUGUUUGCUGGUACGCCCCAAGAAUUGUCAAAGUCUCCAGCGGCAGCAUUGCAAAGCAAAAUAUUCCCUUCUGUUGAACAAUGUGGAACAAGCUCUGCCAUGCUAUACUCAUCUCGGCCCCUUGCAAAUGAAAUGUCAUACUUGGCAUUAAGCUCUGAUAAUGUGGCUGGAAAAGCCAACAAAGUUUAAGUGAGAUUCCAUAUUUUGUUGGGUCCACUUCAACAAAAUUCCUAUGGCGGAAAUAAGCCCUAAGAACUUUCUUCACCCUUUCGAAAGCUGGGGUUAUCAAUCGAGAGACUGCUGCCCCAGAGUCCACAAUGAACCCGCCUGACCCAUUCGGCUUUCGGGCAAACAUUCCUGGCUCAAAUCCAAGUCGUUUGGUACCAACACUGAUGUCAUUUAAGAUAAUAUAGUAGAAGCACACACCUUGGCUUGGUUCUAUAGGUGUGGUUUGGACUGGACCUCUUUGCACAAUGUCAUCUCCGAAUCGUAAAAAGCUCAUACUUGUUGAACCUCUCAAGGGAAGACAGUAUGAGAAGCGACCCUGACUACCAUGAUUAAUGAGUUGCAUUGCAAAUGAUUCCCUGAACAAACCUAAUGAAAUUAUUCCUGAUGGAUAACCAUGGCUAGGUACAACUAGUUGGCUAUCAUGCGAGCAGCCAAAGACGAGCCCCUCAAUAAACUCAGGGUAGUCACUAUGGCUAGAACGGAAGCCGAAGGUGUCUUUCGAGAGUGUGCCUUUUGUGUAGGAGCCAUCGAUAUAGCCAACUUGGUAGUGGCAACGGUUGUUUAUGCAAUGGUAAUUCCCUUGCGGGCAGGGGUUUUGGUGGGAGCAAGAGAUGUCAAUAAAGGAAGGGGAUUGGUGAGGGUCAAAGUAAGGAUCAUUUUGUGGGUAGCAAUUUAUACAUGGCUUGCAUUGGGUCCAAGUAAGAUAACUACCUGUGUCAAUGCUUAAGUAGUAGCCAAUAGUACCAUUGCCAGUGCCAAUCGUCAAAAAAACCAUGUAUAAUGACCCAUAGAAAAUGAUACGGGGGCGAAUAGCAGUUAUUUCAUAACCAACUGACAUUGCUUGAGAGUUGUUUAGUUGGAGGAAUCGAUUCUCAAAAUGGAGGAGGGAGUCUUCAAAGCGUUGUGAAUCAGUAAGGUUAGAGUAGUAAAUAGGGGAACGAGGUGAGUAACGAUAGAUGAGCUCAAAGCUUAAGGAUCUUUUCAAUCCUCCAGUAGUUUCAGAGAAGAAGAGUAGGAUAGAUAUUGAAAGAAGAAAGAUAAAAUGUGAAUAGAUGGUUUUGGCCAUGAUGGAUAUUUUGUGAGUUUAGAAUAACAAUGUGGGUAAGAUAUAUAUAUAUAUAUAUAUAUAUAUAUAUAUAUAUAUAUAUGUAUAUAUAUAUAUAUAUGUAUAUGUAUGUAUGUAUGUAUAUGUAUGUAUGUAUGUAUAUGUAUGUAUGUAUGUAUAUGUAUGUAUAUGUAUGUAUGUAUGUAUAUGUAUGUAUGUAUGUAUAUGUAUGUAUGUAUAUGUAUGUAUGUAUGUAUGUAUGUGUGCGUGUAUGUUUAUAUAUAGAGUGAGGCUCCGUUUGCUUUCUAAAGCAUAGGGCCUCCGUGCUUUUUUUUUUUAUAAUGAGAUAUUGGAAUCGAUGAUCCACUCUAUUUGACUUGAUCUACACUAUUUGAAGUAUUGAGAAAUCAGGUUUCAUGGUUUUUUUGAUCUCAUUUAACUUAUGAUUGAGUGGUCCCAAAAUAAACUGCUAGAAAUAAAAAUCUCAUAAAAAGAGGUGAUAUAGAGGACUUAAAUUUUAGAUCGAAGAUCUUACUUUAAGGGUAAAAAAAUUAUUAUUUCAAAAUUUCAUUCAAUUUGAAUAUUUCUAUAUCUUUAAAUUUUAGAUCAAAGAUCUUACUUUAAGAGUAAAAAAGUUAUUAUUUCAAAAUUUUAUUCAAUUUGAAUAUUUCUGCAUCCUUAAACUUGCAAUUACUUCAUAUUUACUAUUUAAAUAAUUAAUUUUUGAGACUUUUUGAUCACUGGAUAAAUGAAAUAAAAAAUCAUGAAACAUGACAUCUAGAUACUUCAAAUAAGUUAACGAAGCGAAUCAUUGAUUUGGAUGUCGCAUCGUCAAAAAAAAAAGAAAAGAAGCAAAAGCACAAAAGCCCCCUUACUUUUAAAAGCAUCGUAGCCUCAUUCUCUCUCUCUCUCUCUCUCUCUCUAUAUAUAUAUAUAUAUAUAUAUAUGUAUGUAUAUGUGUGUGUAUGUAUGUAUAUGUGUGUGUAAGUAUAUAUGUAUAUAUAAGAAAAAACUAGAUAAAUAUAGAAAAGAUAGGCAACCAAAUAGAUAGAGAGAAUCCAUAAGAUGUUGUGCAGAAAAGACAAUUGUAGAUUCCCACUGCAUUAGGUGCAGAAAAGACAAUUGUAGAUUCCCACUACAUAAUGGCUUCUCAACAAACAACAUUAUGUGUAGAUAAUAUUUAAAUGGUUUAAUUGUUACUUUUGGAGGUCAAAACUACAUGCGUCAAAGUCAAUGAAAAGUAAUCCUAGUGGUCUCAGUAAAAAAGUUUAGGACCCAUUUGGGAACUGUGAAUUAAUUUAAUGCAGAGUUUUUUUUUUUCCAAUAGCAUAAAAUUUGCUCAAAAUUACAUUAUUUGGAGAAAGACAUAUUGAUCAGCGCCAUAUGAUUUGCAUGUACACCUAAAACCCUAUUUGGUGUGUACACCUAAACUCUGAUGAGACUUUUCAAUAUUCACUAAAAUACUGUUGGUAUUUACACCCAAAAAUUAUUCUUAUUUAGAUAAACUUUACGAGAUGGAUGCCACUAAAUAUGAUAAGAAAAUAAGUGGCAAUAUUAUUUUGUAACAAUAUCUUGAACUCUACUUUGCUAUUGCUAUUGAAUUCUCCGAAAUGAAGGCUAUCUACAAUUGCACAAAUGCUGAUUGAGUAUGUUUUUGCUGAAAUGCCUCGAGAAUGCUGAUAUCUUUCCUAUAACACCAUCGUCCAAUAAAACAAAAUUUUCUACUUAUCAAUAUAGAACAAUUGCUCUUGCCCAAUCUGUAUAUAAUUUCUUCUUCCCCUCUUCUCUUCUCAAAGUGGUUCAAAGAUGAUGUAACAAUAACUAAGAUACCAUAUCAGUGCCACAUUAUAUGUUACUUGUAAUAUAUCAGUGUAAUUAUACCAAGCCAACUUUAUUAGAUGGUAGAACUUUAUUACAACAAAAUUAUAAAGUUUCGAACUUUCGCUAAAUUGACAAAAUAUGGAUUAAGUCAUGCUAGACAUGAUUAAAAUAGAUUUUGAAAAGCUUAGACUAAGUUUGGAUUGGAUUGAACCAAUUCGGAUCGAAAUAUAGUUCCAGAAGAAGGAAAAUCUGAGUUUUAGAAUUUUUAGAUGCCCGGAACAGGAAUUUGAGCACUCAAAAUGGUUUUGGACAGCCUAGUAGAGCUUCGGAACAAGUGGACACUCUUUUAGAGAGUGAAGUUGGUGAGAAGGCUAGCUUUUGGGCGUCUGAAUAACCUAGACGCCCGAAACUUUUUGGACUCUACUUGAGGCAUCUGGAACCCUUCCGACCUUCCAACUCGGGAGCUUGGAUGCACCAAAAAAUUAAACAUUCGACGUCCAAAUGACCCUGCGGGCUCCAGAAAAAUCAUUCUAGCAGACCUUCACAGGCAUCCAAAUGUCUUUCGGACGCUCAACCCGAGAGCACUGAUCGCGCGACACCGUAAACAAUCGGAUGCCCAAUCUCUCUUUCGGGCGCUCGAAUUGUGAAUCGGGUAGACUGACUAAGCAUCCGAAUCAUCGACUGGACACAGCUAUGACGCUUUCGGGCACCCGAAAGUUCGAGCAAGUGACUAAAAUCUGGCGUAAAGGCUAAGCAUCAGUUAGUUGCAAAUAAAAGGGUUGGGGGAUUUAUGUGCUAUUAUAGCACCUCUAUAUAACCCCAUAUUACAGCCAUACCCUAAUCUCUCCCCUAUUUCCUCCUCUCUCACUCUCCCUCUCCUUUUCUCUCUGUAGAAGAGAAGGAGAACUGUAAAUCUCCAUGUUGGAGCUUGGAGUCAAAGGCAUCAAGAGGAAGCUCUUGGAGGGAGAAGAAAUCUACUUCACCCACGUUACUCUUGCUAAAAAUAGAAGAGGUGAGUUUGAAUUUUAGGAUUUUGGAAUUUUUCUAAAUGAGAGAUUUUUAGUUCUAACUUUGUUAAAACUCUUUUUGUAGGGAUUUCUUUAGAGUUCUUUGGAGAUCAAGAGCCAUCUACAUGAGAGAUUUGAACCAAGGUGGGAAAUAUCAUCGAAAUGAGCUUGAUUUCUCCCUUGUUUAAAGCUUAAUUUCUUUGACUGUAUGCAUGUAUUAUGGAUAAUAAGUAAACUAAAUAUAUUUUAGUUGCAUGUUAGGAGAUCUAAUAGAUUAAGAUGACUUAUGAGUAUUUGACCUAGAAAAAGUAGGAUUUGUUUAACCUAUUAUAUGUUAAAAAGGGUAUUAUGUAACAUACAAGUAUGAGUAAACAUGUAAACCUUGAGACAUAAGUGAAAAAAGCAUGACAUGUAACGUAGGUUGGAACCGAAUGUGCAAAUAUAGUGGCAUAUAAACUUUAGGCAAAAUUUAAACUAUAGAAUAAGAGAGCGUAGAAAUGAACCUUGUGAUAAUCUUAGAGGUCAUGAACUUAGGGUGUAAUAAUGAGAUAAGUGCGACCUUCCGAAAGUGUCAUAAAAGGGAAAAGUUCGAUCCUCUCGACUCGCGUUGUUGUACUUGGAAAAUUUUGAUCUCCUUCAACCCCAAAUGCCUAUAGAUUGGAGAGAAGGUCGAUUUCCCUCGAUUCUCUAUGAGGUGUGCAAUAAGAAGUGGAAACCAAACUACUAAGUUGGAUAAAGUUAAGAAAUGAAUUGUGGUGAAUGUAUAGGUAAAUGACAUAACAAAUUAUUAGGGCAUAUUGUAUAUAUUAAGAGAUUGUAAAUAUAUCUUGCUUAUUUGCAUUUCUAUUAUAAUAGUAGAUGUUUUUUAUUUUUACUUGUUACGAAUGCUUCUUUUGAACCGAGUGAGUAUAGAGCGUUCAUAUAUAUUCGGGGGUUGCACACACUAAAAACUUAUUUUAAGUUCUCACUCCUUUAUUAUUUACACCUUUUCAAAUCCUACGAUUGCUGGAGAGGCGCAGCACUACGACAAGGGUAUCAUGUAGUAGUUAGAUUGUGUGAGCGGUCUAGAGUGUACCUUUUUCGUAUGAACAAGAAAAAAUUGUAAUAUUUUGGGAAGAAUUAAGUUUCGUAACCUUACGAUGACUCUAAGGACUUAGAAACGUGAGAGCAUGAACUUCAGUAAAAUUGAGUAAUUGGGUCUUGUAGUGUUCCCAAAUAGAUUGUUAGGGACCGAUUGAGGGAGAUAUUUCUUUCAUUCUUUGGAUAAUUAUGUUGGUUGCCAACAACUGGUGUUGGAAAGAAGAGAGGGUGUCCCUCAAGAACUUUUGCUUAAUUAGAUCUAUUUUAUUCUCUUAUGUGACAUUAUAAGGUCUAAGUAGAAGACUUGGACUAAAAUUGUUGUUGAUGCUGUGGUACUACAGGAUAGCAAUGGCACCACGUGGACGACCAAGAAUGAGGUCCACGUCAACACGACCCGAGGCACUUGAGCACUAGGGGUCGAGUGAGGUGUGAGAGCCGCACAACCAAAUAGCCACACUCAUAGUUAUGUGUGGUCGAGAUGCAAGCUAAGGCCUUUCGAUGCCAAGAGUAGCAAAUCAAGAGGAUUCAUGACAUUAUUAAGCAGCAAGCAGGAGCUACACAUGCGACCCAGGAACCCACUCUAUCACGUCUUGCAUGGAAUGCCGCAAAGGACAUCACAAUAGCGGCCUCUCGAUCACUUGUCUCUGCAUGCCCCACACUAGGCAGGGGUGACGAGGGAGGCGUUCUAACACCUCCAUUGCAACAUAUAUAGCCCAACAAGCAAAGUAGGAGUAGGCUCGAGAGGGCCUAACUAACUUUUGAAGUUUAACCUGUUGAUCUUCAAUAAUGAGUGCAUGGACCCAUUAGUGGUCAAAUCUUUGGUUGACGCCAUGGGGAAACUUUUCAUAGAUCUCUUCAUCCUGGACUGGGAUGAUCCAUUUGGCCACCCACUGACGAAGCAAUAUAGCCUAUCGAUGGUGGAAAAUGAAGAAGCGUAAGCAGUUUGCUAGCAUGCCACCUCCAACUUGGGAGGAGUUUUAGGGACUCUUCUUUGCAGCCUACUUCGCCGAUAAUGCGAAGCGGUAAAUAGAGAAGAAUUUUAAGACCCGAUGCCAGGAAAGCCACAUGCUGCAAGAGCAUGAGCAGGAGUUCUACAUAGUGAGUUGCAUCCUGUUCGUAGUGCGGAACGAGGUGAACGAUGCUCGGUUCUCCGAGCGAGGUCUUUGACCGAGCAUCUUUGCGAAGGUCCAACCCCUCAAUCUGUGAACCUUUUGGGCAGUGGUAGACUGCACCCGAUUGGUAGAGAGAGGUGAUGCCAUUGUGAGCCAAGAGUGUAAGGCCUGGAGAAAGGCAAGGAAAAGGAGAAAAAGUGGUCCUCAGGUGGUUUUGAGAGCCAAUCAAACUCCAAGCGGCCUCCCAAGUACCGCAUUCACAAUUGCACUAGUCCUAUGCUCUUGGUCCCGUGUCUGGUGCAUGAUCUAUGGCUUGGCGCACCGACCCUAGCAGUGAGAGCAGCAAGAGGGAAGAUGCUACAAUUUGAUGCAUAUAGGCGACUGGAUUAUGGCAGUGGAUUUCUUGGUAUCGAGACAAAUGGAGGGAUUUGACUUUGUGUUAGGAAUGGAUUGGCUCUCAAGAUACUAUGCUACUAUCGAUUGCGAGAGUCGAGUCAUGACCUUUCAAGAGCCAGGCCAAAAGGAGUUUGUUUACUUGCGUUGUAAGACCUUGCUUUUCACCAUAACAGUUUCCACGUCUUGAGCUAAGAAGCUAAUCAAUGGUAGAUGCGUGGCCUCCUUGGCCAUAGUGGUGUAGGAUUAAGCAGAGCCUCCAGCACUCAAGGGCAUCCUCGUGGCUCGUGAGUUUCUAGAUGUGUUUCCUAAGAAGCCAUCAGGAAUGCUGCUGGACCAGGAGAUCGAGUUUGUAAUAGACUCGGUUUUUAGGACAAUGCCAAUUUCCAAGGCACUGUACCAUAUGGCACCGGUAGAGUUUAGAAAGCUCAAGACUCGAUUGUAAGAUUUGUUAGAAAAGUGCUUCAUCAAGCCUAGUGUGUCCCUGUGGGGAGCUCCAGUAUUAUUUGUUAGGAAACGAAUGGGUCUUUGCAGUGUAUGGAUUAUAGAGAGCUCAACAAGAUAACAAUAAAAAAUAGGUAUCCACUAUCGCGCAUCGAAGGGGUCCCAAGUGUAUUUAAAGAUUAAUCUUCAGUCGACAUCAACUGAAAAUUUAGCCAAAGAAUUUGCAUAAAACGGCUUUUAGGAUGCAUUAUGGGCAUUAUGAAUUCACCAUAAUGCUGUUCGAUUAAUGCCUCAUCGGCUUUUUGGAUCUUAUGAAUCGCGUCUUUAAGCCAUUUCUAGAUCGAUUUGUAAUAAUCUUUAUUGACAACUUAUUGGUCUACUCCUGAAGUAACGAGGAAUAUGAAGAACACCUUAUGGAGGUUUUGCAAAUUCUUCGAGAGCGAAAGAUAUUCGCCAAAUUAAAGAAAUAUGAAUUUGGGCUCCGAAAAGUUGUAUUCUUGGGGGAAGGAAUUUUCAAUAUUGGGGUUUUGGUGGACCCUAAAAAAGUAAAAGCAAUUAAGGGUUGACCCUAGCCUACAAACGUCACUGAAGUCCAAAGCUUCAUCAGGCUUGUGGGUGCUAUUAGCAGUUUGUGGUAGGGUUUUCAAAAAUUACCACUCCGCUUAUGUGCUUUACUCACAAGGAAGCCAAGUUUGUUUGGAUUGAUAAGUGCAAUCAAAAUUUCCAAUCAUUGUAGAACAAGUUGACAUUGGCUCCAAUUCUCAACUUGUCCAUGGCGAAAAAAGGAUUCAUGGUAUACAAUGAUGCAUUCUAAAAUAGUCUUGGGUGUGUCUUGAUGCAUGUGACGCCCCAACUUCCCAGGGGUCACCCAUCCUAGGACUACUCCCAUCCUAGCACGCUUAACUCUCUUAACCUCUUGGGUCUAGCCACCACCCAAAAUGCUUAAGCCGGGUUAAGAGUUUAGCCCUAUUAUAUCUUAUAUAUAGGACUAUCUGGGGUCUCACAAUCUCCCCCCCUUUACGCCCUGACGUCCUCGUCAGGCUCAGACUCACAAAUACCAGGCGAUGUGAGACUCGUCUCGCUAGCCCGUCAUCCAGACCCUGGCUCAGCCGAGACUCAUCUCACACUUCCGGCUGGUAAUUGGCUCUGAUACCAAAUAUAACGACCCAGCCCACUAGCAACAAUAACUCGUUGGGCCCAACCACCGGCCCAAAAUGCUUAAGCCCAGUUAUUAUUACUAGUGUCUAAGUCUCUUAUAAACCCAAUGACAACCCCAUUCCCAUCCGAUGUGGGAUUAUUGGGGUGUCACAGACUCCCCCCGUUAAGGCCCUGACGUCCUCGUCAGUCUAAUCACACACACAGCCCAAGAUCACCAGGCGAUGUGAGACUCAUCUCGCUAGCCCGUCAUCCAGACCCUGGCUCAGCCGAGACUCGCCACACAUGUCUAGCUGGUGAACCGGCUCUGAUACCAAAUAUAACGACCCAGCCCACUAGCAACAAUAACUCGUUGGGCCCAACCACCGGCCCAAAAUGCUUAAGCCCAGUUAUUACUAUUAGCGUGUAGGUCUCAUAUAAACUGAUCGAAAUCAGUAUCCCAUCCCCUGUUUAGACCCUGACGUCCUCGUCGGGUCCAAACUAGAUCACAGACAGACAGACCAGGAUCAUUACCAGGCGAUGUGAGAUUCUAGAGGUGGCUCCCACCAAACCCGUUGGUGUAACACUUUGUCCUGCAUAGGACUUAGUUCUCACACUUCCGGCUGGUAUUCGGCUCUGAUACCAAUUGCAACGACUCGACCCGCUAGCAAUAAUAACUCGUUGGGCCCAACCACCGGCCCAAAAUGCUUAAGCCCAGUUAUUAUUACUAGUGUCUAAGUCUCUUAUAAACCCAAUGACAACCCCAUUCCCAUCCGAUGUGGGAUUAUUGGGGUGUCACAAUGCAGAAGGAAAAGGUGAUAGCCUAUGCCUCCCGGCAACUUGAGAGCUAUGAGAAAAACUCUCCCACCCAUGAUUUUGAAUUGGAGCAGUGAUCUAGGCAUAGAGAUUCUACAAAGAUGCACAUAGAAGAGUUUUUGGGUGCCAAAAGUUGUUCUGGGCACCCAAAAAUUUUGAAAUUUGAAUUUGAAUUGACUUGUCGGUUUCAAAUUCACUAUUUAGAACCGAAAUCAUGAAAUCUGCAAUUUUGAACGCCCGAAAGCUAUUGCGGAUGCUUGGAUUUCAAAUGAUUGCAUAUUGUUUUUCACUGUGCAGAGCAAUUGAGAGUUGGUCGUCAGAAUUAGGCAUCUGGAAAUACUCUAAUGAACGUUGGCGUUGUAUUAUUGCAGAAGUGAAUGUCUAGAAACUAUUUAGGGCAACCGAAAGUGCAUAAUUGAAGAAACGACUAGUUUUCAGAUUUUGGCUAUAACAGAGAGUUUUGGUGGUUCAAAUCUAUGUACUUGAGCUUGUAAUUGCUAGUACUCAAUACUCUUAGCUAUUUACUAUGUCUCUAUGUUGGUGUAAAAUUCAAAAUCUCCAAAUCUCAUUUAGUUUUAUAAUUAUUCUCAUUUAUUGUCUUUUAUUAUGUUAAUUAAUUGGAUGGAUUAAAUUUAAUUUAUUCCUCCUUUAUUUCACAUUAAAGCAUGAAUUAAAUGGAAUUAAAUAUUGGAGUAGAAUGUUGGGGUAUCCAAUGUUCUAUUCACACCCUUUUAUAUAGUACUCUUUCUACUGUUCAUGACAUGAACAGUGCAAAGAGAAACAUUGGAGGACAUAUAUUUUUUCUAUCUAUAAUUUUUAUCUAUUUGGCUUUGAUCUUUUUGUCAUCGGGUGUUGAAAGAGUCUUCAUCAACCUUCUUCACGAUCGUGCUCGCAGGAGGAGGAAUUACCGGUCGACUUUGGCUGUUGUUCCGGUUAUCCGUAGUAGUACGGUCGCUUAGCGCGUGAACUGCCGCUUCGCAUCAUUUAAGUAUUUAUUUUGGGGGAUAUAGCAUUAUCUGUAAGUUGUAUUUAUAAUAUUUAGUUAAUUUAUUCACAUCAGAUUUUCGUUGCAGGUAUUUGUUCAACACUCUAAUUAAGUGAAUUUGUUUAGUAUACAAUUUAUAAAAGAGGUAAAAGCUAUGUAUAGUGUGAUUUUUUUGGAAUAAGAGUUUCUUAGUGAAAGGUAUAGUACUGCUGCAAAGCAUCAUAUAGUAAGAUUCCACAUCUCUGUGUGAGAAUGUUGUGGGGAUAUGGGAAAUUGUAAACUCUGAACACUAUUAUGUGUUUUAGUUGAAUUUUUCUAAUCUUUCAUUUCAUUUAUUGCGGAUUCUUGAUUAUUUUAUUGUAUUUUAUUUAGAAAUCUUACCCUUGAGAAACGAUAUCUGUGGAGAUCAAAAUUACUUUGUGUUGAAAGUGUUGGCAAGGACGUAGAAAAAGCGGCGAAUCAAAAAUUGGAACAAAGUUUGAAAUGUAAGUAUCAUCUCAUUACUAUAAAAUUAGAUUAUGUGGCAUUUAUUUAUGCUGUUAAUAAUCAAAAAAUGCUCUAAAAUUUUAGCAGCAUAUGGCAUCAAAUGCUGCUUAUGCAAUGUUGCUAAAUUAUUAGUAGCAUCUAUAUAAAUGUGCAAUGUAAUCAAUUGUUCAGAUAUAAGAACAUGCCUGUGAAGAAGAAUUAAAUGUUGAAUUUUUAAAUUAUUUAUUAGUGGCACAUAAAUAUAAUGCCGCUAAUACAAAUAUCUGAUUUUAGAAACUGAAAUUUUAAAAUUUUAAUUUUAUUUUAAAUUUAACUUUUUUUUUUUUUUGAUGCUACCCGCUUCGUUUAUUUCUUUUAGAAAUAAACUUUGCUGGAAAUAUGAAUCUACUAGAAUUCGAACUUAAGACCUCGAAUACCAACCACCAAGUCUUUUACCACUUGCGCUAGCAACUAUUAGUUAUGUAUAUUUUAAUUUUUUAAAUUUUAAGUCAUCUAUUUUAAAAUUUUAAAAUUUUAAAUUUAGAUACUAAAUUUAAAUUUUUAAUUUUCAAAUAUUAAAUUUUAAUUUUCAAAAUUUAUAGUUUUAAAUUUAAAAUUUAAAAUUUAAAAUAAAUUUAAAAAUUAAAAAUUAAAAAUAAAAAUUAAAAAUUUUAGAAUUGAAAAUUUAAAAUUUAAAAUUAUAAGUUUAAUUUUAAAAAUUAUAUGUUUCGAAUUUUAAACUUUAAUUUUAAAACUUUUAAUUCUAAAUAAAAAGGGAUAUAUUAAUAAUUAUAUAUUAAUUAGUAAUAAUAUUUAGCAACAAGUGCGCUAGUUUAUUAUAUUUAGCAGCAUUCACUAAUUUAUGCUACUAAUUUAUCCUAUUUUGCAACAUUAAUAUUAAAUUGCUGCUAAAAAAUUAAAUCUAGCGGUAAUUAUCAAGUAAUGCUGCUAGAUAUAUUAAUUAGCAUGAUUUAAAUAAAUGUUGCGGAGCAAAUAUUGCGAUAUUUAGCAAUAAGUGCUGCAACCUUAUUACAUUUAGUAUCAUUUUUUAUAAAAUGCUGUAAACUUUAGCGGCAUUCACUAAUUUAUGCUGUUAAUUUAUUCUAUUUUGCAACAUUAAUAGUAAAUUGUUGCUAAAUUAUUAAAUCUAGCGGAACUUAUCAAAUAAUGUUGUUAAAUAUAUUAAUUAGGAUUAUUUAAAUAAAUGCUGCGAAGUAACACUACAACAGAAUUAGAUUAUAGGGACAUAUGUUUGGGACACUUUUAUGUAAGUAUCUCAUUUAUGUCAAAACUUUAAAAAAAAUCUACUAAUGCCUAAAUAUAAAGCCCAAUCCAAUAAAAAAAUAAAAGGUUAUUCUACUCAACCCACCACAUCCAGUCCAUUCGGCCCGAUUACAAACAGAAAAGAAAAAAAAAAAAAAGAAAAAUUGAUUACCAUCUCCCCUUCUCCCCUCACUCAAUUCACUGAAAUCCUAGACGAAGAGCCCUUCCCUCUCCUCAUCCUCCGCCACCGCAGCCAACGAGCUAGAGUUCCGGCGGUUGCUAAAUGCUUAAAUUAGUGUUAGUAAAUUAGCAGCACUUUUUUUAGAUUAUACCGUCACUUUUUAACUGCCACUAUAUACCUAGCGACCCCACAUAUAGCAACACUUUUUAAAAGUGUCAAUAAUUUAGCCAGCAGCACUUUUUUUGACUUGUACCGAUAUUUAGAAGUGUCGUUAUAGACCUUUUUUGUUGUAGUGUAAAUGCCACUAAAUCAUGAAUUUGUUGUAGUGUGCCUCAUAGUUUUAGAACUAUUGAUGCAAUUUUAGCCUAAUUUCCAAACCAAACAUUACAUCAGCUAUUGAUUUAGCUCAAAAAGUGCAUAAAUCAACAUAUCUAAAUAUAGCUCAAUAUCGCAUGAACCAAAAGAUAAAUCAGCAUACUUCUAAAUAUAGCACAGUAUAUCUCAAACCCUGUUAUAAACAAAUACAAAAGCUUUUCAUCCCACUUAGGAAAAUAUGCACAUACUACAAAUCUCACUUUACGUUUUUAGAGUCUUAAUAAAGUAGAUUUUUUUUUUUUUUUUUUGAGAGAUAGGUAGCACGCUAUCCGCUUCAUUUAUUUUAUUUAGAAAUAAACUUAGCUAGAAAUAUGAAUCAACUAGGAUUCGAACUUGGCUCUCAGCUGGUGAAGUGUUAGUAUGUUUGUUAGUAUGUUUUUCAUUAAGGGUUGACUAGAAAUAAAGUAGUUUGUCAGUAUGUUUUUCAUAUAAAGCGCUACAGAUUGUAAGUAUACAAGUAGUUUCUCAGCUAGUGAAGUGUAUAAUCGUGAUAGAGUCGUUAGGAAUACUUUAACCGUCAUGCUGAAGCCAAAAUCUCCUUCACCUCCUGAGCCAAAUUCCCUAAUUAUUACAAUCUUAAGGAACAUUUAAAACAUCAUCUCCAGAUGAAUAACUCUUCUAAAUUAUGAAACACAAUUUUGUUACUAGUUUAAGACACUAGUUUUGCCCUACAUUUAGGUAAGAUUACAUUUAUGUUUGCUUGAUCAUUUACAGUUUUACUAAUUUUGAAAAAAAAAAUAUGGUUAACGGCAUACAAGUCCUUACAAAUAUAGUGAAUUGCAAAUAUAUCCCUACAAAGUUCAAUUUUCAUAUGUUGUCCUUAUAAAAGUCCUAAUAUUUUCAAAUAUAUUCCUGCCGUUAGAAUCCGUUAGAAAAUUUUAAUUAACCACAGUUUAAAUACUUAACCGUAGUUAGUUAAUGAGAUGAAUUGACCUUUUUACCCUUCGUCAAUAGUUAGGAGGGACAUAUUUAUGAUGGAAAAAAGUCAUUUUACUUAUAAAAUAGAUAGUGCUUUAACGGUCAUAAACCAGAAGGACAUAUUUGAAAAUAUUAGGACUUUUAUAGGAACAAUAUAUAAGAGUUGAACUUUGUAGGGAUGCAUUUGUAAUUCACUAUAUUUGCAGGGACCUAUAUAAAAUUAAGUCAAAAAAAUAUUAAGGCGGCUAGAUUGUUAGAUUCUGUUAAGAUUACUAUUAAAUAUAAGUUCGUAUGAUAGACACAAAUUUGGUGAAUUAUAUCAUGGCAUUGAAGUAAUGCUAGCAAUUGUAAUGACAAUAUAAGACUAAUUGACUUUUAUUAAUAUUUAUUUCCAAACAAAUCAAGAAUUCACCAGAUCAAGACAUAAAAAGAUGCAUCCAAAUCAAGAAUUCACUAGAGAACUUUAGAAGUACAUUUCUUUGAUCCUUCCAAGCUAUUUGUAAUGGUAGAAUUAAUAUCAAACUUGGCUAUUAAUGCUGAUUGUUAGCUUAAAUGGGUCAGCAUCUUGCCAUGUGGCGGAAGGCCAUGUUAGGUCGAAUCAUGUUCGAAAUGGCGUGAGGCUGGGUGAGCCGAGUCAUGUUCGAAGUAGCGUGAGGUUGGCUAGGCCGAGUCACAAUCGAGACCCGUGGGCACUGUAUCUAUAUAUUUUAAGUGAAUUGGUUGCGUUUUUCUAACAGCUCGAGCUUUUAGGAUUAAUGGUUAGCGCCAACGAUCCGACAAGUGGUAUCAGAACCAGAGGUCAUGGUUUUGAUUCCCGCAUGCGGGUUCGAUUUUCGCAUGCUGUAAAUGUAUGCAGAUGCUGGAGGGGGAAUUGUUGGCUUAAAUGGGCUAGCAACUUGCCCUGUGGCAGGAGACCAUGUUGGGCCAAGUCAUAUUCGAAAUAGCGUGCGGGAGGCUGGGUGGGCCGAGUCAUGUUCGAAGUGGCGUGAGGCAGGUUGGGCCGAGUCACAGUCGAGACCCCUGGGCACUGUAUCUAUACACUUUAAGUGAAUUGGUUGCGUAUUUCUAACCGCUCGAACUUUUGGAAUUAAUGGUUAGCGCCAACGAUCCGACACUGAUAAACAUAGAUCUAUCAUAAACUAUCUAAUACCAAACUUUGUGAUUUUUUAAUGUUAUCUCAAAUACACCUUAUAUAUACUGUUGAAUAUUAUUAAUUUUGAGACUAAGUUUAACAUUAAGAAAAUAAAAUUAAAAGCAAAAAAUGUUUCCUAGAAAAUUCAUAUGCACCUAUAAAUCAUAUUUAAGAUAAUUAAUCAUCGUUGAGAUGUUCAAUCAUCCAAUAUAGUUCACUUUCUCGUUAUACAUGAUUUGAUAGGAUAACAUAUUUCAUCUAAAGAUAAUUUAUCUUAUUCAAAAAAAUUUGACCAGAAAGUGAACUAUAUUAUCCCACUCUAGCUGCUUGAUCAUAUUUCUCAUAUAUCAAAUACUGCAACAUUUUUAGUAAAUCAAAAAUAUAUCUAUAAUAAAAUAUAAAUGAAUCCAAACAGGGCCUUAAAAGCAUUGUGGCGCAGCUUUUCAAAACAAAUCUCGUAAAAAUAAGUUUUUAUUAUGUCUAUUUGAUCUCGAGUUUCCUCUCGCUCCCGUGGAACUUCCCAGAAGAUGAUCGACUCCCGCCUUCCAUCUUUAACAUCUGAAGCAAGAAAUCGUUCCACGAAUCGAUCGGCCCAGGAAGGCACCAAUGCACGCAAUCGUUAUACAUAGUAACAUUCUCCUGCGGGAGGUGCCCGUACCGGCUCGGGUGCCCGUCGGGCCUCCGCAACAUCACCUCAGUGACAUCUAUCAACCGGAACUUGAGCCCUCUCGCCCGGGCCUCCCUCUCCGCACUCCUGAACUCCUCCAAUUGCGUCAUGUACAUCUCCAAAUUGAUCCCCUCGAGCCGCGUCUCGUUGCUCCCGACCGGCCGCGUGCGCAGGCAGUCCCCGCCCUUGUCCCACUCGCCGUUCUCGUAGUGCGACGGCGCGUACGUCCGCAGAAAUGUCGUGCCUUUGUAGCCCGCCAAACUGAGCAAGGUUUGAAACGUUGUCCUGAAGGCCAUUCUGUAGCCGUGGUACAUGGUUAAGUCGGUCACAUUCGGGUUGAGACAAUAGUGGCACCCAAUAACCCGAUGGUUCUCGUGAUACAAGGUCGGGCGAAAGAACCAGUGGCCCGCGGACACGAUCACGUAGUCGAAAUCUUUGAUCUGGGCCGUCCAGUUAGAAUCGGGCUCGUCCAGGUAGAGGCUGAAGAGGCCGGUCAGGGUCGGGCCCUUCGGGUCCGCUUCUACGGACCGAACCAGGUAAGGGGACCAGAAGUUGGCUAGGGUGAAGUUGUGGGUCGGGUAUGACCACCGCCGCGACUUGUCGUCCGAUGUAGUGGAGAUAUCCACUACAUAUGUUACCUGUCAAAUUAAUGCAAUCAAUUUUCAGGAGAAAAGAGCUCCACCCCAAAAGUAAAUAAUAAUAACAACAAUAAAAAGUAAAAAUAAAAAAUAAAAUAUACUGAGCAUAAUUAAGUCGAGUUGAGAUCCUGUGCUUUUAAAAGCACAGUAAUAUCUGUGUUUCUAAUUUUUUAAGCCGUCAAAUCACCUCUAAAUCCCUACAGCACUAGCGAAGAGAAUUUAACGGGAUAAAUCGUUAAUUAUGCUGUGCGAAUUUUGAGACGAUCUGAUAGCUAAAGAGUCAGAAGCAAAAAUAUUUGUUUGCUUUUAAAAGCACAUGAGCUCAACUCUAAUUAAGACUAUCAAAUUAUUAAUAAACGGUACGAAGGUGGGAGUUAAGAUGUCGUGGCAUUAAUUGAUUGAUUGUUUGGUUGUAUCAUUUGGAAGAUUCAUUUUUAUAUUGAGAGCAAGGUUUAUUGAAUCCUAUCACUAUUCACUGACUAAAUUUGAUUAGAUUUAAUGAACUUUAUCUGUCACUAUUAGAAACAGAUCAGUUAAUUAGAACCCCAUAUUACUCAUUACUAAUUAGGAUAACUAAGAACAACAAUGAUGAUCCACAAUAUCUAUAAUGCCUACGAAUCAUUAUUCGAGUUAUUCCUAUAUAAAUGUAUGUUUUCUUUAACUACAGAGUCCUUAAUCUUUAUCUAUUUCCCAUGUAAUUAUUAUGUGGACAAGAGAUUUAUGUUGAUGUUGAUGCAUAAAGAGUGGAAGUGAAUAAGGGAUUAUCCAAACUAAGUGAUAAUAAAGAGGUAUUAGGUGGUCCAAAUUAUAUAUAUGCAUCUCUAUUAGUGGAAAGAAGCCAAAGUAUUUGCUUUGGAAUUAAUGGUUGGUGGGAUGUAACAGUGACGCUCUGCUAAAUGAUUAUUCUUCCUAAUAAAAUUACAAAAUAUACAAAUUUGUUGGAGAACGAAAUGCCAACCUCACUCAUGCAAUUAAUGCAAGAGUAGAUCUCAUGCUCACCUAAAUCAUGGUAGUUAAAGAGUCUACAACAUAAUCACCAGCAAUAGGCUACUACAGUAUAGAGCCCUUCGUACUCAUAAGUUGUUUUCAAUAAUAGAGCUUCCGAAUCGACGAUCCACUCUGUUAAAUAUGAUCUAAAGUAUUUAAAACUUGUAAAUAAUAAAUUUUGUAAUUUUUCGAAAUCAUAAUAAAGUCCAUCAAGCGGGUAUAAAAUGAACGGUGAAAAUUAAACGACGUUCUAAAAAGAUAGGUAGUGAAAAGAAAUUUCUAUAAAAAAUUCAACUGAUUUUGAUUCUUUUACACUAUUAAACUAGCAAGUAUUUUAUACCGGCUGUUAAAAAUUGUCAAUUUUGAUAUCUUUUGAUCGUAAAGUAAAUGAUGUCCAAAAAUUAUAAAAUUUGAUUUCUAAAAAUUUCAAUGCACUAGAAAAUAUUUAAUAGUAUGGAUCGUCGAUUCGGAAGCUCUAUUAUCAAAAACGACUUAUGAGUACGAAGGUGAUCGUACUCAUAAGAGUAUAGUAGCCGGACUCUCUCUCUCUCUCUCUCUCUCUCUAUAUAUAUAUAUAUAUGAAAAAUAUUUCUUGUUUACUCAAAAAGGGAGUGAAGAUCUUACACCCAUUAUUCUAAAAUUGAUAAAAUUCAAAUUUUUAGUAUAAAAAAAAAUUGAUGUGACAUAGAAUAUUAAUAGCCUUGGAAUGAAGUAGGUGUAAAAUAUAUACGCCGCUUUAAGGUGCACCGGUAACGAUGCUCAUAAAUUAAUGUCCCUAUUUUGCAACUUAAUCACUCUAUUUUUGGAUUAAACAACUAACUUCAGUAGAUUGCAGUUACUAAUCUCUGAUCAUUAAAAAGCCAAACUUUUAAAAGCAAUUAACUUGAAAUAGUGAAUCAUAAUUAUAAUAGGAUAAAUUUAGGUCUUCUACUCAUCUCCAAAAAUUGAAAUGUUCGCACGAAAAGUAUAGAAAACGAAAUCGCAAUGUUGGCACAAUACAAGAGUUAUCCGUACUCAUUACUAUAAUAGCCUCAAAUCUCUAUAUAUGUAUCCAAUCAUAAUACCCCCACACGUUCAUGGUGUGAAAUUUUCGAACCUAAGACCGUACUUAUUACCAUAAUAGAGUUUCAAAUCUCUGGGAGUGUCCAAUCAUAAUACUCCGACACCUAAUAUCACCAAACAAUAUAAAACUCAUUUCAUACCUCCGAACGGCAAAUCAGUUUAAUUAUGAUACCAAUAUAACAAUCCAAUGUUCUAACACUAACAACUGGUUAAAUCCAAACCGGUGGUUCAGUAUGCUUAAGUCUUUUCAUUAACGCUAGAGUACUGAGUCCUUAGAUACUCAACUAUCAAUUCUUAUUAGUACUAGAGUACUUAAUUUGUAUAGAGCAAUGCUAUCGGUACACCUCAAAGCGGAAUUUACAUUUUACACCAACUCAAUUCCAAAAUCAUUAAUAUUCUACUUAUGACAUCAAUUUUUAGUCCUCGACUUUUCAAUUACUUUUACAUUGUUCACUUUAUUAUUUGUGUUGAUUAAGUCUUACAGUUAAAAAAAAACUAGGUAAAAUAAUUAAAAAGAAGCAAUUACUUAUAUGCUCUUGAAAAGUUUCAGACUUUCUUAUUUACUCUUCGUAAAAGGCUAAUAUAAAAAAUAUCCUCUUAACACUCCAAAUUCUUUCGAAUAUACCAAAUAAAAAAGGCUCCAUUUUACGGUCAAAUAACAUUAUUUAAUGGUGUCGGCGUGGUAGUUUUCAUUUAGAGUAAACUAAAUUUUCGAUCGCUGAGACCUGAUCUAAAUAAAUAAAAAUGAUUUAGGACCACAUUGUCAAAAUUAAAAGAUUAAGAAGUGAUGUAAAAUUUUGAUAAAGUGUAGUGAUGGUCGCUAGCAGUACUAUAAAUUAAGGAAAAUGUUUAUUGCAUAUUCAAAAAGAGAGGGAAAGUCUUACCCUCACUAUUCUAAGGUUGAUAAAAAUUGAAAUAAACUUUAGUAAAAAUUAAAAAAAUUUGACAUGAUAAGUAAAAUAUUAAUGAUUUUAUAAUACAGUGGGGGUAACGAUAUACACCCAGUUUUGAAAUAUACCAAUAGUAUUGCUCAUAAGUUAAAUUAUAGAUCUCUCUCUUUCUAUAUAUCAUAGACACUUCUGUAAGCCUUGUAUGUCUGUGUCGGACGCGGGUGUGUUCGUGUCGGACGCGUGUGUGAUGUGGACAGUCCUUGAACGCCUAUUUAAUGCCGAUUCAUAGCGCAUACAGCGAGUUGAGCUGGAAUACUAUCGGUAGCAAAUGGGCUCCGUUACCACCCAUUUGUUUUUGAUGAUGGAGCCUUCAAAUUGACGAUCGGCACCGUUGAAAAUGAUCUAUACUACUUGAAGUAUCUAGAAAUCAAAUUUCAUACUUUUUCGAUAUUGUUUUCUUGUCCAUCAAGUGGGCGUAAAAAUGAAUGGCUGAAAAUGAAUAUCCUCUAAAAAGUGAUGAUAGAAAUUUUGUAAUCAUGAUCGAGAAUAUAAAUCUUGUUCUAAAUAGUUUAAAGAAUUUUCUAACAAAAAUUCAAUUGAUUUGGAUAGCUUUACACCGUUAAACGAGAAAACCCCUCAUAUCAACCAUUAAAAUUACUAAUUUUGAAACCCUUUGAUCAUUANUAUAUAUAUAUAUAUGGAAAAUAUUUCUUGUAUACUCAAAAAGGAAGUGAAGAUCUUACACCCAUUAUUCUUAAAUUGGUAAAAUUCAAAUUUUUAGUAUAAAAAAAAAAUUGAUGUGACAAAUAGAAUAUCAAUAGCCUUGGAAUGGAGUGGGUAUAAAAUAUAUACACCGCUUUAAGGUGUACCGGUAGCAAUGCUCAUAUAUUAAUGUCCCUAUUUUGGAACUUAAUCACUCUAUUUUUGUAUUAAACAACUAACAUCAAUAGAUUGCAGUUACUAAUCUCUGAUCAUUAAAAAGCCAAACUUUUAAAAGUAAUUAACUGGAAAUAGUGAAUCAUAUUUAUAAUAGGAUAAAUUUAGGUCUUCUACUCAUCUCCAAAAAUUGAAAUGUUCGCACGAAAAGUAUGGAAAACGAAAUCGCAAUGUUGGCACAAUACAAGAGUUAUCUGUACUUAUUACUAUAAUAGCCUCAAAUCUCUAUAUAUGUAUCCAAUCAUAAUAACCCCACACGUUCAUGGUGUCAAAUUUUCGAAACUAAGACCGUACUUAUUACUAUAAUAGAGUUUCAAAUCUCUGGGAGUGUCCAAUCAUAAUACUCCGACACCUUCAUGGUGUCAAAUUUUCUAACCUAAGAUCACCAAACAAUAUAAAACUCAUUUCAUAACUCCGAAUGACAAAUCAGUUUAAUUACGAUACCAAUAUAACAAUCCAAUGUUCUAACAUAACAACUGGUUAAAUCCAAACCGGUGGUUCAAUAUGCUUAAGUCUUUUUAUUAACACUAGAGUACUGAGUCCUUAGAUUCUCAACUAUCAAUUCUUAUUAGUACUGGAGUACUUAAUUUGUGUAGAGCAAUACUAUCGGUACACCUCAAAGCGGGAUUUAUAUUUUACACCAACUCAAUUCCAAAACCAUUAAUAUUCUACUUAUGACAUCAAUUUUUAGUCCUCGACCUUUCAAUUACUUUUACAUUGUUCACUUUAUUAUUUGUGUUGAUUAAGUCUUGCAGUUAAAAAAAAACUAGGUAAAAUAAUUAAAAAGAAGCAAUUACUUAUAUACUCCUGAAAAGUUUCAGACUUUCUUAUUUACUCUUCGUAAAAGGCUANUAAAUUAUGUACGGUGAAAAAAAAAAUUUCUUAAAAUAUAUGAAUUAUAAUUGAAAAUUUUAUAAACUUUCAUUCGUACGAAAAAUAUAAUAAUAGUUUAUCAAAUUUAAUAUUUUAUACAUAAUAAAAAUAUAUUAUUAUAUUAAUAAUAUUAUAUUUUAUUAGCGGUGUCUAUGUCGUGUCUGUAUCUUAAUUUAUUGAAAGUUGUCGAGUUACGGUGUUCGAGUGGUGUCGUAUUUCGUAUUUUGUGUCAGUGUUCGUGACGCCUAGCUCUCUUUCCUUAUGUAGAGUCUAUGCAAUUCUUAUUACGAGUCAUGUCGUGUUUUGUAUCUCGUGUCAGUAUUUGUGACGCCUAGCUCUCUUUCCUUACGUAAAGUCUAUGCAAUUCUUAUUAUUACCUUAGAGAGGAGGCACAUCAAGGAUUGCAUUUGGUUCCUCCCCACCGAGUCCCCCAGAAACGCCAGGGACUUGCCGCCGACGAGCUCGAGGAACUGCGCGGGGUUGAAGACCGGCAGCUCGCACCCGUCGGGCCUCCACCGCCACUUCAUGAACCCGUCGUCGGGCCGCCCGAACUUCAUGCAGUUCUGGUGGUCGUGGAUCGCCCAGCACGUCCCGUUCGUGUAGUACGGCGCCUUCGGGUUCGGAACCCACUCCCCGCUGAAGAUGUCGCAUUUCGCACCGCUGCGCAUCGUCGCGCUCCUCACGGAAGGCGGAGGAGAUGGCAGGGGAAGAGGUGAUGAAGUUGCAGUAGUACUACUACUGCUGCUGCUUCUUUUCCAUAAGGGGAAAAAGUAUACAGGCACAAUGGUGAGAACAACUGAGGAGAAUAUUAGAACAAGAACUAUUCCAGUGGUGUUCUCUUGAGUUCUCCUCAUUAUUUUUGUAUAGAAAAGCUCAUUAGACUUCAUUGGAGAGAGAGAGAAAUUAAUUAAACAAGUGUUACAAAGUGCAUGAAAUGAGCUUAACACUAGCGUAUGGCACAAGGGCAUUUGUUUUGCCUCCUCAUACAUAUAUAGAGAAAUUUUCAAGGUCCAUCUUGCAUAUGACACCCUGCUUUGUGGGAGAAUUCUAUUCUAGUCUCAAAUAUUUUUUCUAAAUAUUUAACAUUUUUUCUCACCUAUAAAGGCCUAGGCUUGAGAUAGUUUUGAUAGGCCCAAGACGUGAAUAGUAAUUUAAAAGAAUAAAAUUAAUAAGGAAAACUUUUAAAUACCACUUCCGUAGUUUCGCACUUUCUUACUUUGAUACCCUGUGGUUUAAAGUGUAUCGAUUUAGUAUCCUAUGGUUUUAUUGCUCUUUUUAAUUUAUUAGCCCUUCUACUAAUUUUUUUCGUUAAAUCAGUGACAAAGUUAAAACUAAAAGAUACUAAAGUGAAUAUUCGAUAAAUCUAGAUAGGGUAUCUGAAGUUUUUUGUAUAUAAUUUAAUGAAUAUUAACGGAGGAGCUGACGAAAAGAGAAAAAUAAAAUCAUAUGGUAUUAAAUUAAUACACUUUAAACCACAGAGUGCUAAGUGAGAAAGUAUGAAAUAUUAAAUUAAUACACUUUAAACCACAGAGUGCUAAGUGAGAAAGUAUGAAAAAUCACAUGGGUGGUAUUUGAAGUUUACCCAAUUAAUAAUAAUAAAAGUCUAAUGAGAUUCAAACUCUGAAUCUUUUAGCAUGGUAUCAUGUUAAAUAAAUAUAAAACAAUCAUUAUUCUUCAAAUGCUCAAUCUAUUAGUUAAUCAUGUAUUUAUCAUUUAUACUCUCAAUCGUUGCGCCACAAGCUCGCUAGUGAACACAUGGAACACAGCAAAAGUCGCGUAUUAAAUUAAUACUAGUAAUUUGAACUUCAAGUAUUUUGGAUAGUGAUUUAGACAAAUACCGGUUUGAAUGCUACAUAUGUUAAUGGGCUAGAUUUUUUUAAAAUAUUUUAAAAUUAUGAUAAUUUUUUUCUAUUUUAUUUCUUUAAUUAGAGGCAGUUGAAGCAGUCGAUAUUUGCUAUUUUAAUGAUUCUUGAAUUCUUUUAUACAUCAAUGAUCAGUGAUUAAAACAUGAUGACAUUAUUUCAGGAUCAGUUUUGUACCACUUAUUUUUAUUUUAUUGAUCGUGAUUUGGAUUCAGAUCUAUCACAAAUUGAUACUAAAAUUUGAUCAAAACCUUGCAUCAUUAUUAUUAUUAUUAUUAUUAUUAUGUGGUAGUAAUUAAUAAAUAUAGCUGGCUAAUUAAGAAAUUAUUAGAAGUGAUUAUGUGUUAUAAUAUAGGUGGCUUGUUCAUGUCAGGUAUUUUCUGGUUGGUAUGCAAUGCUUGUCACAUUCUCUCUUCACCCCUACUGUGUAUGUUGCCAGCCCCAAUCUGCAUGGCUGAGCUGAUGGCCCCAACUAGAGGCAGGUUUUAUACAGGCGGCCGACAUCUCUUUUCGGCCUUCAAUUUAUUAAAUUUAGUCUCUAUCGCGCUCGGGGGCCCGCCCCGUGUCGCCUCGCUUCCCAAAGUGGUCGUCGAUUCUAGAACUACUCUAGUUCUAACAUAUUUAGCCCUUUCAAUCUCUUAGAUCUAACCACUGUCCAAAAUAAUAUAGCUAGAUUAAAAGGUUUAGUACUAUUAUACUUUAUACAUGUAGGACAGUCGACCAUUGGUCAUAGGAUAGUCAACCAAAACUGAUCGAUCUUGUGGUCGACCAUAGGUUGGCUAUUAAAUAAGGUUUCUAUCGGUGGGAUAUGAUGUUCCACCAUAAGGAUAUGAUUACUCUGUUAGAGAUAGUGCCAGUGAAUAAUUAGAUUAGGAUUAUAUUAUUUGAUCUUAUCUAUUAUUAAAUUUGGUUAUUUAAAUUGUGAUUAAGAUGAAGUCUUAUUAGAGUAGGAUUUUAUAUAAUUAGUUAUAAAUAGAUAGGCCUAGAUUAUUUGGUUGAUGAAGCUGAUGAGUAAUUAAAAGUUGUGGCCGCAAGUCGUCUAUUUUACUAGAGUAAGCCGGCGCCAUACGUCAUGAAGUAUUUGCAUUGGAGUGUGCUCAUAACUUUUCUUCAAUAAAAUUGGCUUUGUUUUGCUUCCACCGUAACGCACCAGAUUUUUAUUUUUCUUCUUCCUCUCGUUUUUUUCUAUUUUAUUUUUUAUGGAGAUCUCUAUAUAUCAUAACAAGUAUAUAGAACGUAUUUGGUGGAGGCCCACCGUCGUAACAAUUGUAGUAUCAGAGACAAGUUUUUGAGAGGAGAAGGUAUCGAUAGCAUUUAACAGGGUCAAUGGAGUUACACAAGAAAUCCCUAUAUUUAAAGGAGACAACUAUGAUUUUUGGUGCGUAAAAAUGCGGGCGUUAUUGCGAUUCUAAAAUUUAUGAAAUUUUGUAGAAAAAUGAUGUAAAGAAACAAUCGGAGAGAAUCUGAAAAAAGAUGUGAAUGCACUUUUCUUUAUUCAGCAAUUAGUUGACGAUUUGAUAUUUUUCCACAUUGCCGGUGCUACUCGAUCGAAGGAACCAUUAGAAUUGAAUACAUGCAUAUGUAUAUGGGGCCGAUGCAGAUAGCGUCGCUCAGCGGCAAUUAUUACUUUGUGGUUUUCGUGGAUGACUAUAGCCGGAUGACUUGGGUUUAUUUAUUAAAAAUAAAUUCGAAACUUUUGAUGUUUUUCAUAAAAUUAAAAAUUUGGUUGAGAACGAAUCCGGUUAUUAUAUUAGGACCCUCUGUACAGAUCGAGGGGGAGAAUUUAUUUCUAACAAGUUUGAAAAUUUUUGUGAAACUAAUGAUAUCUAUAGGCAGUUGACAACUAGUUACACGUCUCAGCAGAACGGUAUUGCAGAGCACAAAAGUCAAAAUUUAGUCGAGAUGGCAAAAAGCAUGUUGAAAGCGAGAAAACUCCCGAAUAAAUUUUGGGCAGAAGUGGUAUCUACUGCAACAUAUAUUCUCAAUAAAAGUCCAAUUUCACCGCUGGAUAAUAUUACACCUUAUGAAGUAUGGACAAGUUGGAAAUCGAAAGUAAAACACUUUAAAAUUUUUGGAUCCAUCUCUUUUGUUAAUAUCCCAUCACAAAAUAAGCAAAAACUGGAUGCUAAUAGUCAAAAGUGUAUUUUUGUUGGGUAUAGCGAAAGAAGUAAAGCCUAUUGAUUUUAUAAUCCUACUACUAACUUUUUUAUUAUAAGUCAUGAUGCUAUAUUUGAUGAACAAAAAGCUUAGGAUUAGAAUGCAAACGUGCAGGAUAAUCCACUUCCGAUACUCAAAAAUGAAAUUGCAACUAAAAAUAGAAACAAUGGUGAAAGUAUGACAAGUUCGGAAACAACACUGCGAACUUCAGUACAGAGUUCACCAGAAACUUCUCCAGAGACGACGCCAAGAAAAGUAAAGUCAUUUACUAAAACAUACGAGCAGUGCAUGUACUCAUAAUUUGGUGAACCACAAACCUUGGAGGAGGCAGCAAAAUCAAAUGAUUGGUGUAAGGCCAUGAAUGAAGAAAUUGCAGCGCUAGAGAAAAUUAAUACCUGGAGCUUGUUGUGCCGUCCAUAGAAAAAGAAGUUAUUGGAUUUAAGUGGAAAUAUAAGGCGAAAAGGAUAUCGAGAUAUCCGAAGAAAACAAGAGACUACCGGUUGUGAUAUAUUAACGCUAACAAUUUUUAUUUUUUUGGUUGUUCUGACAGUGAUUGGGCAGGUUCGAUAGAUGAUAGAAGAAGCACGAGCGGGUUCGUGUUCAACCUUAAUGCAAGCAAUUGCUGGUCCUCAAAAAAAUAGUAGUUGACAGCUCUAUCAUUUUUAGAAGCCGAAUACGUUGCAGUUACGGCUGCUACAUGUCAAGCAAUCUGGAUGGCAAAUUUUGGCAGAUUUAAAGCGUAAGCAAGAAGAUCUAAUCGUGAUUUACUGCGACAAUCAAUCAAUUAUUGCGAUGGCAAAAAACCCUAUUCAUCAUAGCCGGACUAAAUACAUCGAAUUGCGACAUCACUUUAUUCGUGAAUAGAUCGCCAACAGACAAGUCAAGUUUAUACACUGCACUACCGAGGAGCAGAUGGCCGAUAUUUUCACAAAGCCACUACCAUUGGAGAAAUUCACAUUUUGCUGAGAGAAGAUCGGUGUGAACAACAUUAGCAUUAUCGGGGAGUGUUAGAGAUAAUGCUAAUGAAUAAUUAGAUUAGGAUUAGAUUAUUUGAUCUUAUCUAUUAUUAGAUUUGAUUAUUUAAAUUGUGAUUAAGAUGAAGUCUAAUUAGAUUAGGAUUCCAUGUAAUUAGUUAUAAAUAGAUAGGCCGGGAUUAUUUGGUUAAUGAAGCUGGUGAGUACUGAGUAAUUAAAAGUUGUGGCCGCAAGUCGUCUAAUUAAUUAGAGUAAGCCGGCACCGUACGUCAUGAAAUAUUUGUAUCUGGGUGUGCUCAUAAUUUUUCUUCAAUAAAAUUAGUAUUGUUUUGCUUCCAUGAUAACGUACUAGAUUUUUGUUUCUCUUCUUCCUCUCUUGUCUUUUCUAUUUUACUUUUUAUGGAGAUAUCUAUAUAUCAUAACAUGUAUAUAGAACGUAUUGUUGGAGACCCACCUCUAUAAUAUACUCUACUAUACACAAACCAGAAACCGUAUGAUUGAACCCAAACUUAACCAGAGCAAAAUUAAACAAAAUAAAACCAAUUUGUAUGGGAAUAAAAGCAAAUUCCUUAAAAAUAAACAUUAAGCACCAUUUCCAAAAAAAGGGAUUUUAUCAUCAAAUAACAUAGGUUUUGAUUAUGAGCUUAGAAUUUAAUUACCCAAAAUUGAAGAAUGGCUUAUGCAGAGCAUGUUCUCUAUUUGAAGCUUCCAAGCUCCAUCCAAGGCCCAAAUCUUCGAGAUUGUCGGCCAUCACUCCAAAGCAAGACUCAACAUGCAAGAGAAAACUUCAAAUGGCCCAAAGUGGUAACAUAGGUUAGCGGCCUACCUUACGUGGACAAGAGAAACAAGAAAGAAAAAGAAUGAAGGAGGUAGAGGAGAGAAGGAGGUAGAGGAGAGAGAAGGACAGAUAUGGUGGACAGAAGAUAGGAGGAAAUAAAGAGGAUGGAAAAAAAAAAAAAAGGAGAGAGAUGAGGGGGCAUGUGUCCUCUGGUUGUGUAAGAGCGAAAAGAGGUAGAGGAGAUAGAAAGAGUAGAAUGAGAUUCGUGCAAGCUAUUGAAUAGAAAAUUCCAUUGAAGAUAGUCGAUCACAACUUCUGUCAUGCCCCGCAACCGUCAAUUUGGUCGGUUGGGGCACGUGAAACAGACGCCGAACGGACAGAACCUCCCCUGUCCGCCCAAGGCUCAACAACAAGAUCAUGUACAUAUAGUUGCCCAGGAAAAACAUCAACCACAUACAUGAUCCAAGCAAGUAAUAAUAAUACAAGCAAACAAGAGAGACAGUUCUAGCUAUUACAUUCAUACAACCAUUUACACAAUUGGUUUACAUAUUCUUCUCAUAAUACAAAACAGCUCUCCAAAGUAUCCUCACAUCUGUACAUCAUAUGUCGCUCAUGUACAUGAGGGUACUCUAAUGCAAAAGGAAGCUGCAAGCUAACUAGGGCGCUAUGGCCUUUCCGCGGUCCUCGCCCGGUCCGCUCGAACUCGGCCCUGCAAUAAAGUGGGGUGAGAACUACGAAUAGUUCCCAGUGGGUUUGACCGCCGAUUCCGCCGAUGUUCCCACUAGGUCUAAGUAGGCAUAAGUAGAUAGAUACGUAAUAUGAAAACAACUGCUACAUAGUAAUGAAAUCUGCAAACAUGAUACUAUAUAUGCCUUGAUCAGCAUGAUAUAAAGAAUGCUAACUCUACAUAGCAAUGAGUCUACUAUCAUGCUACUAUGCUUCAACAAUAUCAUAAAUAAAGAUAUGCACAUAGUUAGGACAAAUCUACUAACAUGUCUCUAUGUACAUGUCAUGGUAUGAAUGCAUGAUCUACUAUGUCAUUCAUUCACUUGUUAUCCAAUCUACUUGGCUAACCCGAAGGUUACACCACAACUCACUCUUUAAAAUCUCAUAGGUGAGGAGAAUCUGCACUCGCACACCGAGACCGCCUGCAGGACAACUAUGUCUGCCCCUAUCGUGAAGUACUCCAGAGACCACUGCUUGGGUGGAGCGACCACGCCAAGUGAAAACAGACUAAGUAGGAAUGAUCCAAUCCUCACAACCUAUCACGCCCCGGGGUCCCUUUGAGUUUAAAAGAUAGCGGAAAAGCGUCUGAAUUUUUUUUUUUUCUUUUUGAAAACCUGACCCCAGAGUAUGCCAGACCCGCCACAAAUACAGAGAUUCCACUGUUCACACGGACAGAGUCUCCCCUGUAUUUGCACGGCGUCGCACAAGUACAACAGUACAAACAGGAUACAACCACAACUAAAUGAAUAUAGAAAUCACCAUACAUUCAUACAUUCACCAUUCACAUCACAGAUUUGCAUUCAAUGUCUAAAUAUAAAUCCAUAGAAAAUCUUUUGAAAACUGUUCCCUACACAGGAACCUUUAUUCUUUAAAAACGCUACCACGAGGGGUAGAAAACCUUUUAUUUUACAAAAUUCAGAAAUCCACAUUUUCAAAUGUAAAUAAAUACUGAACCACAUAAACCAACUAAACUAUACAUCGACCGAAAUAAGAAGGGUAAGAAACUAAACCGAACAACCUGGGUCGGAAGCUCUAUCGACCACUACGAACGUACCUCACGUCUCGUCCCAAUACACAUCGCCUGCGAUACCUGAAAAAUAGUGGGGGAGGUGAGAACAUGUAAACAUGUCUCCCCUCCCAGUGGGUACCGCAAGCCGAAGAAGGUGAGGAGUACUCACCGGAUCAGGAAGAACUAUACAACAUCACGGGUCAGUGGAAAUAUAGCAGCAACAACAAUAAACGAAAGAGAUAUGUAAAGUAAUGAGCAGAUAUACCGAAUACAGUAGCAAUAAACUGAAAGAAAGUAAGAACUAGAUUGAAUAACGGCUACCGCUACUGUAACUGAAAUCGAAAGCAUACAUGAAUAUCUACUAUAGUAGCAAGACAACUAUAAAGUAAGAACUGUAAAUAUGCAUGCAACGACUGCUACUAUAGACAUAUGCGUCAACUGACGAUAACCUCAAAAGUACCCAAUCUCGCUGCCCUAUUGGUCCGAAGACCUCAGGCACAUGCCACACUGCUCAACCUGUACCUGACCCUCGCAAUGAAGCCCCUGGGUCAGAAGCAUAGUCGUAAAGUGCUUGUGGUCGCCAGACUAGGUGCCGUUCUCCCACAAGAAAAGGCCUUUUUACCAACCUAACGGUUGGGCACUCGGGUCCCUGAAAUAACACUCCCANNNNNNNNNNNNNNNCACACCGACCGUAUAGGCCAUCAGCAACUAGUCGGCUACGUAUGUCAAGAUAGAACUAUAACAACUCGACCGAAUAGGUCAUAGAUAUCAAAAUAGGGGAACCGCCCAACCAAAUCACAGAUAUAGUGAACAGAUAAGUCGACUCUACUCCUAAGCAUGAUAUCAACAUGGAACCAUCGACCGCAUGGGUCAUCAUGUAACCAAAUCGACCAACCAGGUCACAAGUAUAGCGUAUGAAACUCGACCAAUCAUGUCACAAGUAUAGGAUAUGAACUCGACCAAUCAUGUCACAAGUAUAUAAUCUAGAACUACCGUCGGCCACUAGCCGACAAUCCGACCCCUCAGGGUACACCGACCUCAACGGUCAUCGGACAACAGAAGUCAAAAGACCGACCAAUCAGGUCACUGAUACGAGGUACAAGAAACCACCAACCAGGUCACAAGUGUAGGAGAUGCAAUGUCGACCAACCAAGUCAUGGAGAUCACAUAGGAGAUCAGACCAACCAAAUCAUAAAUAUCAUAUACAGAUAAAGUCUACUCUACUCCUACACAUGAUACUACACCUGGCAACAACUAAGUAGAGUAAUAAGGAAACAGCAUGGGUGCAAGGCUCAACAUAUAUAUGGUAAAAGAUAUAAACAACAAGGGUAAAGGAAACGUCACCGAGCGUGCACCACUGUACCAACAUCGGAUCGAAGUACCCACCUGUACAACUGUCGCGCCUGUCUCCUGACUGCAAAAGAAUGUCAACUGGACCUAAGGAGGGUCCACUGGGUUAGUGUCUAACCCACAGCUAAGAAACCCUAAAAGCAUAACCCACAAACAAUCCCACAGAAAUCGGUUUCCCAAUACCGAUUGCCAUAACUCGCCGGAAGUCCCGAAAAUCGCACCGGGACUCCGUCGGGACCCACUAACUAUCCCGGAAGGCACCGAAUCAUGCCACAAGUCAUUUGCUGCCACUAAACACUUAUUUUAGUGUGACAUGGCAGCAAACACAAGGAUACACAACCAAACAACUAUUGGUGGAAAAUUAUUGGGAUCCGGGUUUCCGGAAGUGUCUAUUUCGACACCGAAAGCCACCGUCGCUCACCCGUCAUUUCUGAACUCUCGAAAUGACGCGAGUGACCAGCCAACAAGGCUCAGCGACUGCACAAAAGCUCACGAAGCACCGUCGGAAUAAUUCUGAACCAAAACCGCGUUCCGUCGACGGGUUUUGCCGACAAACGCACCGAAAAUACAUUUCCGAUCUUCGCAAAGGUCCGGGGCCUUGGACAAUCAGUCCAGAGAUCACCCACAGCCUACCCAUGCUGCCAACAGCAACCGCAACAACCGGAAUUGCAUAAAAGCCCUUCCGAAUACCCGAAAUCGCAUUAUUUCAUGCGAUUUCGGCGCUGUUAUGGUCCGUCUGCACAAACCAGAAGUGAAUCAGCGAAGCUGAGACACCCGCUGACAGGUCUCGGCGUGCCGGAAGCCGUGCUCACCUUUCAGAGCAAUUCCGGCCACUGUGGGACGCGCACGAGCGACACGAAGUUCAACUAAACAACGCGCACUGAAACUAAAACGCAUCUAAUUAACUCAUCCGGAGCUCGCUGACCCUAAAUGAGGUGAGCAUUGUGAUCAGGACUGACUGACGAUCACCGUGCUCACCUCCGGGGGCAUCGGAACAGCCCCGGGUCGCAGGAACAGUGAUCUAAACAAGGAACUAGUGCGCAGACAGGCUGAAAACAGCUUACCGGACAGGGUGGAGCUAGGGCACGGCCGGCGGCUGUCGGACGGCGUGCGCUCCGGCAAGGGAAGGGUGCGGCUGGUCCAACGGGUCCGGGGAACCUGCUGGCCGGCGGCGGGAGGCGGCCGGUGGCGCGGCGGAGGAGAUCAAUUCCGCCAACAGCUCUCGGGUUCAAGGCUUCCCGGCGGCGCGGCGGCGGCCGGAGGAGGUCGGGGCGACGUCGAUCCGUCGUCGGAGGCCGAGGGGGUCAUGGUGCACCCCUCCGUGGGCGGCGGCGUCGUGCGGUGGCCGAGGUGGCUCGGCCUCGGCCCGCACAAGCUCUGGGCGGCCGCAGGGUGCACGAGCGGCGACCGGCGGCGCGCGGGGAUGACGGGGAGGCACGCCGGAGGUCGCCGGAGGUUCCAGGAUGGCGGCGCGGCCAGCGGGGAGCGGUGGCGGCGCGCGGAUGCAAAGAUCACCCAGACUCGGCCUGGGUGAUAGCAGGUGACCGCAGGGAGCUGGGGCGGCUCCGGCGGCGUGCGCAGACGGUGGGGCCGGCGGCGGAGGUCGCUGGGGCUCCGGGGAAGGGCGUCUCGGCCGUCCCAAAGUGGCGGCGGCAGUGCUAGCAGGGAGCUAAAGCUCCUGGGCCAGAUCUGCCUAGAUCUGGCCGCAGCCUGCCUAGGCGGCGGCGGCAGUGCGCAGGGACGACCGGGACGGCGCCGGGGCUUCGUCGGAGGUCGGGCAUGGCCAGGGGAUGGGGGCCCAAGGGUGAUGAUCUCCCAGGUGGUCCUCGGGCAGAGAUGGAGAGGUGGAUAGGUGGAUUGGUUGAGAGAGAAGGAUGGAGGGGGUGGCCGGGUUCUAGUUUUCCGGCGGCCGGGCACCUGCCGGCGGCCGGGGUGAGAGCAUGGCUAGGGCAGGGCUACUCUGAGGUCGGCUAGGGCACAGAUGGGGCGCUGGGUCGAGUAGAUCUAGGGUUUCGUGCAUAGAAACCCUAGAUGCACAUUGUAUACAAGGUGCAAUUUUGCACCAAAGUCCACCGAAACUAUAAAUUUCAAACCUAGUCCUUCACAAUGGGUAACUCUCGCGUUUUUACACCUCCACAAUCGAUCUCGCGCGAUUCGGUACAUAAAAUAUUACGACUUUUGCGAAUUUUCCGAUUUUCCACUCUCGACCCCUUAGCGAACUUAUUGCAAUUCCCAAAGAUCCGUCCAUCGGAUUUCCGAUCGGAUCAUGCCAACGCGUUCAGCACGUCGAGGCAUCGAAUCUAGCAUUUCGUUUCGUCCGAUUUGAUCUCCGAUUCACGACGAAAUCCAUUCUCUCUCCAAAAGGCCAAAAUGAUGCACAAUUAUAUAAGAAAUAGGUAUUUUCAGAUUUUCUCGAAAACCGUGCAUCAGAUCUAAAAUUCGUCAGUGCCAUUGGUUCCAGAAUAGCUGAACCGUUCAAAACGACCUAUUGGAUCGCUAUGACCGGAGUCCGAUACGCGCCGAAAGCCAACUCUACUCCGUGGCUUCUCCGGAAAACCGGAGUUACUAUUCGCUUAAGUGAAAACUAAUAAUCGCGUAACUUCUCCCUUUUAGCUCAUUUUCUCCUGAAACUUGACGAGUGUUUAUGUAAUUAAAUUACACACAUAAACAUCAUCAACAGAGAGUUGAGUUGCACUGUAAAAAAAAAUCUCAGUCCUCACACAACCUGAGGAUACCCUGUCUACAAGGGUCAUAGUGCUUCUGCUGCACUAGUUUCAAAUGCACCACUCGACAAUCGAAAAAUCUUCUAUCCCUAAGAUCAUAUCAUAGUGUUUCUCCUACACUCGAUCCAAAUGCCACUCAUUCAUGUCAUUAGGUUGUAAGUGCCUCAACUACACUAAUUUACAUGCCACUCGUUCAUGUUAUAAGUGCCUCGACUACACUAAUUCACAUGUCACUUGUUUUCAUCAUCACAAGUUCAAGUUCAUCACUUGUCUUUAUCACUAUAGGAUUCUAUGUCACAAGACCUAAUCCUCAUGCACCCUAGGUUCAAGUGUCCAACUCACAAUGCUACACUAUCAAGGAGGCAUGCAAGGAAAUAGAAAUGCAACUAUCCAAAUCAUCCUAUAAUGCAUAGUGUCAACAUGUGAAAUAUAUGAUCAAUAACAUAACUUAGACAUAAAAAGAAGUUCAACUGCUUCGGGUGGCACCCCCCACCUUCUGGUGAUGCCGGAUGCUAGAAACUCAGUUUCGUAAUUUUCCGCCGCCUAUUUCUUCUGACUGCGGCAAACGAAGCCAAAAACAGGUUUUUCUUUAAUAUCCUCGCAUAGACCCAUCGGAUCGCCGAACCGACUUCACCAAUGCAUCAGAUUACCUAAAACCCUUCUAACUCGCUUGGAACCCAACUUUAAGCAGUGCUCAGACUACAGUUUCGGCAGUGCUCGGCUCCCUUUCGCGUAGGGCAAUGCUAAAACCCUUCUAACUUCUUGGAACCCAACUUUAACCCUUCCAACAUUGUUGGAAUGUCAAAUGGCCUUUGUCCAACUAUCCCUCUCACAACACUUUGGUCAUUUUGACCAAAAGUGGCCUAUCACAACGAGGAUUCACUAUCUUACAACUUCUUAGGCGAUUGACCAUUCAGUCAAUCAAAAUUGUUCUCGAACCAAUGAUCAACCUUGAUGAUCCUUGUAAGUAGCCCAAAGUAGAAAUGGUUUAACAAACUAAAAAUAUUAGCUCAAUUUGAAGUUUUUGAGUCUCAAGAAUCAAAUUAGUUCAACAAUAUCUAAUUUAGAUGUAUAAAUUUAACAUUUAAAAGUUUUAAAAUUCUAAAUUGAUUCAGAUUAAAAAUUAUAAAUUUUAAAUUCAAAAGCCAUAAUUGAAUUUAAAUUUUCAAAACUUUGGAUCUGGUCAUUAAAUUCUUCAUACAAAUAUUCAUAAAUAUCUUUAAAAGAAAUUUUGAAAUUUCCCUAUGGCAUUUACUCAUAUUUUAUCUGGAUAAAACCCAAGAUUUCAGCUUGACCUAUAUUAGAAAGCAUACUUUUGGAUCUCGCCUUUAUCGUGGAGAAAGGCAUGAAGAUUGCACAAGAGGAAAGGGAAGCCCUGGAUAGAGCCAAGGGCAAGAGACAAGUGGUUGAGUGUGCAAAUAGCAAGUAAAACUCAAGAAGGCCACCCAAAUACCUUAGGAAUCAAUCUCGAAGAUGCCAUCUUCUUCAAGAAGGACAUUCGAUCAUCGACAGCCGUUGUAGUGCAUGAUUUAUGGUGGUCUUUAUGUGCUUCCAAAAAACGCACGGUGUGGGGACAAGUGUUAUCAUUAUAGUCAAGAGGGCCACCUUUAGUACUAGUGCCUGAGGAUUACAUCACAGGCACCAUUAUCAGCUUUAGCCCUGACAUCACCAAGGCAAGGUCAUGGCACCCCACCUAUUUUCAGUCAAGUGGGAUGACCACCAGCAUCAUGGCAGUACAAGAGCUCGUGGCAGGUACUUAGCAGGCGUAUGUAUGAGGUCCAGGCGAAAGAUGGAUCAACAACGAAGGAUGUCAUCUCAGAUAUCAUUAUAAUUAAUAACAUCAGAGUUGGAGCACUACUUGAUAUCAAUGCAUCACAUUCAUUCACCAAUUGGCUAUUCGCUGAGUGGUAUGGCAUUAGGAUCAUUCCUACACUGCACCCACAACGAAUUUUGGUUUUCAACCAUACCUUGAACAUUCAGAAGUUUUGCCUUAGUUGCCAUGUUUGGGUUGCAGAUUGGAUUAUGCUGACAGAUUUAUUCGCUUUGCCCAAAAUGGGAGAGUUUAAUGUGAUAUUAGGUAUGAAUUGGCUUAUUAGGUAUCAUGCUACCAUUGAUUGUAAGAGUCAGUCAGUGAUUUUCGUGAGCCAGGACAGGAGAAAGUAAUAUUUAGAGUGUGUCGGAGUUCGUUGUUUGCGAUGAUUACAUCAUCCACUCGAGCUAAGCAAUUGAUUAAGAGUAGAUGUGUAGCCUUCUUGGCUAUAGUUGUGGAUAAGUGAUACUCCUAGAAUUGAAAAUAUCCCAAUUGUGCGGGAGUUUAUAGAUAUCUUUCCUGCAGAGUUAUUAAGGAUGCUUCCUAAUAGAGAGAUCAAGUUUGUGGUUGAUUUGAUUCCUAAAACUAUCCCAAUCUCGAAGGCACUUUAUAGAAUGGUGCAAACUGAAUUGAAAUAAUUAAAGGUGCAAUUGUAGGAUUUAUUAGAGAAAGGCUUUAUUAAGCCUAUUGUAUCACCUUAGGGGGCACUGACACUACUUGCUAAGAAGAAAGACGGAUCACUUUGAUUAUAUAUAGACUAUUAUAAACUCAAUAAAGUCACGAUCAAAAAUAAGUAUUCAUGGCCAAGGAUUGAUGAUUUAUUUGAUCAACUUCAAUGAUCGAAGGUGUAUUCAAAGAUCAAUCUACAGUCUGAGUAUCAUCAGCUUAAGAUCAAGCCUUAGGAUGUUCCUAGGAUGACUUCUCGGAUACGGCAUAGACACUAUAGGUUCACAAUGAUACCAUUUGGGCUCACCAAUGCCUUGGCAAUAUUUAUGAAUUUGAUUAACCAUAUCUUCAAGCCAUUUUUGGCUAGUUUCAUUGUACGGGUGGCAAUUUAGCUUCCUAUUUGUGAGUCAGCUCGUGUUCGGCUCAAAAUAAGCCUAAGAUCGAAUCGCUCAUUUAGUAAAUGAGCCAAACACAAGCUGGUUUAGCUCGCUCAUGUUCAGCUCGAUAACAACUUGAAUAUAUAUUUUUUAUAUUAUAUAAUUUAUAUAAUUUAUAUUUAUAUAUAUAAAUAAAUAAUUUUAUUAUAUAAAAUAUAAAUUUUUAUUAAUUGACUUUUAGUCCAACCUAAAUAUAAAUCCCAACUCAAUUAUAAAAAGACUUAUUUUAUGUAAAGUUUCAACAAUUACAUCAAAAUCUAAUAGGUAAGAUCUAAAAAGUUUAUUUCUCAUAUAUACCAUUUCUAGUUCUUUUAAUUUAUUGUUCGUGAGCCAGCUCAUGUUCAGCUCGUUAAUAAACGAGCCAAACACAAGCUGAAUUUUUCGGCUCGAUUCUUUAACGAGCCAUAAACAAGCCGAAGACGAGCCAACCCCAACUCGCUCGUGUUCGGCUCGUUGACUCCCCUAUUUCAUUGUGGUGUUUGUCGACGACAAUUUGAUUUUAUUCUCGAAGUGAUAAGAAGCAUGAGGAUUACUUAAGACAAGUAUUACAAGUACUUCAAGAGAAGAGAUCUAGACUCUUCGCAAAGUUGAAGAAAUAUGAGUUUUGGCUACGUGAGGUGGCAUUCUUGGGGCAUGUAAUUUUUGAAGCUGGAAUUGCAGUGGAUCCUAAGAAAAUUAAAACAAUCAAGGAUUGGCCUAGACCAACAAAUACCAUUGAGAUUUGGAGUUUUCUCGAUCUAGCUGGAUAUUAUAGGCAAUUCGUUGAGGGAUUUGUGAGAUUAUCUACUUUCCUCACUUGACUCACACAUAAAGGAACAAAGUUCAUUUAAAGUGAUGAGUAUGAGAAGAGUUUGUGAAAUUUAAAGAGCAAUCGACGACCACCUUGAUUUUGGCAAUGCCUAUGACAGGAGCGAGUUUAUGUUGUGUAUAGUGAUGCUUUCCAUAGUGGGUUGGAAUCCGUACUAAUGUAGAACAAGAAAGUAAUUGUCUAUGCCUCCGUCAACUGAAGGAGCAUGAGAAGAAUUAUCAUACUCAAAAUUUAGAGUUGGCAGUCAUAAUCUUUGACUUAAACUACGACUGCACUAUUUUUUUUGUGAGUAUUGUAAAAUAUACUAAUCAUAAGAGCUUAAAAUACCUCUUUACUCAAAAUAAGUUGAAUUUGAGGUAGCAAAGAUGGUUGGAGCUACUUAAGGAUUAUGAUAUGAUUAUUCUCUACCAUCUUCGAAAGGCGAAUGUUGUGGCGGAUGCUCUAAGGCGCAAUUUGGCAGAGAAUUUGGCAAUGUUGAUAACUACAGAAUUGCUGCUAGUGAAGAUGCAAUGGUUGGAGUUGGAGGUUGUAACAUAUGAGACAUCAAUAGAAUUGAUGGCAUUGGUUUUGCAGCCUACACCAUUGGAAAGAAUCAAAUAGAUACAAGCUCAAGAUUCAAGUUUGCAAAAAAUCUGAUCCAAUAUUAUGGAAGGUUGCACCAGUAAGUCCAUUUGAUGAUCAUGAUGUAUUUCAGUUUCGAAACCGACUUUGUGUGCCAGCAGAUGCAGAAAUUAGAGAGGAUAUUUCAAGAAAGACAUAUCGAGCACCUUAUGCACUUCAUUCCGAUAGCAUUAAAAUAUAUAAGGACUUGAAAUUGCACUAUUAGUAGCCCGAGAUGAAAAAGAAUGCUGGAAAGUUUGUGGCACAAUAAUUGAUGUGCAACCAAUUGAAAGCCCAACAUCAACAUCGAUAGGUGAGCUACAAAGUUUACCUAUCCCCAUGUAGAAAGAGAAGAGAAUCACCAUGAAUUUUAUUGUGGGUUUAAUGGCUGUGAAAAUUUUUCACAACGAUAUACACCCCAGCGAUCCAUAUAUCACUGUCAAUUUCUCACAGCGAUAUUGGAUUUUCUCACGACAAUUAAAUGCUUGUGAAUAAAUUCGUAAAUCGUUGGCGGCUUUGAGAUAGAGCAACCGACGCCACCGCCUCCUCCUGCUGUCAUUUCCGAGAAGCAGAUCUUAAAAUCACCUAACUCACUUCUCUCUUCUUUUCAACCAUUAACUAAAUAGGAAAAAAAAAAGAAAAGACAAACAUUAGCCCGGUUUAUCUGACACACACCACCCAAAUCGUCUCGUUAGAAAAUAAAAACCAACCUAACACGAAAUAUAAAUCCGUAAUCAUCUAUAUAAAAAUUCAAAAUCGUAUUUACCCUGUGAAUGAGUUUUCACAGGGUUUGUACACAGGGAUAUUGGAUUAAGACAACACCACAGAGAUCUGAUUCAUCACACUUGUUCAUAUUUCAUACGGCUAAAGCUAUUGGAUAGGUAUUAGUGGGUUUAUCGCAGUACAAACAUAACACUUACUCUUUUCNNNNNNNNNNNNNNNNNNNNNNNNNGAAGUUUCGAGUUUAGGAGAACAUCGAGAUUACCUCACUUCAGGUGGUGUUCUCUAUCCAGUUUGUGUAUGAAAACCUCAUAGUUUUAUAUUUUGUGUAACACAUGAGGGCUAUCCAAGCCAUCAUCUUGCUGGGUUAUACGGUGGCCCGGAUGUACGAGGUCUUAGAGCUUACCGGGUUAUUUAACUCCAAAGUUGAAAGGAUCUUACGGUUUAGAGAACCGAGGAGCUCAACUGUGAAAGUUCUUUUACACCAGAGAUUAAACUUUAAGGUUAAGUGCAGCUGCAAACAAGCUUAUUGAAAAAACAGCUGAAACACGAUACUAGUCUGCAAGAGAACGUUCAGCUUAGAACGGGAGCCGGAGAACUUCUUGGAGUUCCGGGUUUUGAUGAGAAAGUGGGUGAAGUGAGAUUACUUCCCCACUAACCACAAAAGCAGCUAUUUGUCGGAAUUUACCGUGUUAGAAUAAUAAAAAACCUAUCGAUAACAAUAUUCGUUUAAGGCGGUGUUUUCUCUACAACUACGGUUGGUGAAACUUUUAUUUUUUAUAUAUGAGACUCUUAUAGGAGAUUCUAGACUUAUCAUACGAGUCUGAUGGUUAGUGAGAACCCCACCCUUUACCAUGAUUUUAGAUUGACAAACACAUCACGGAAUACUUUGAGGAGUUUUUGACUCUAUGUUUAAAUCCUAGAGCUGAGUCAUGUUAACAUUAUAUGGCUUUUAAGCUUUUUAUUUUCAGCUUGAAAUCAGUUUAACUGGUUUCACACUCCUACCAUGUGAAGCCUUUCAGGUUUCCACAAUUUUACCAGUUUUCACUCAAUGCCCUCCAAAAGCUCUCGAUAUCUUAAUUCAAGACGUUUUGACGUCUAAAACUCGAGAGCCCCUGGCCAGGGACCACCUUCUCUGGCCAGGGGCUUGCGCAAGUCAUCGUCGAAGUGGCAAGAGGCUGGUUGGGCCGAGUAACAAUAGUGAUUCAUGAGCACUUUGUCUAUACGCUUUAGGUGAAUUGGUUGGAUAUUUCUAACAACUCGGCUUUUUGGGAUUAAUGGUUAGCACAAACGACCCAACAAUCACGAGGAGGGCAAGUCUACUUGGGAGCUGAGGAGUACACUUCAAGAGCAAUUUUCUUGUCUUUUUUAGAGAAAGAAUUGAGGUAAUUGAUUUCUAGUUUCAUGGAUGAAACUUUUUUAAAAAAAUAGAGAAUGUUUCAAACUAGACGUUGACAAAUUAUGGAGUCCUAGUAAGAGAAAUAAUAUUUACUACUAUUCAAGUGAUUUUGGCUAAACUUGGAGAUCAUAUGAGUGUUGUCAACACAAAGACGAACUCUGGAGACCAAAAUUUGUAAAACUAUAUAUAGUUGUGGGAUAGUGUUCCAAUACAAAGAGUGGUGUAUCAGUACCUACUAGAGUAUUGAUUGGGUAAACUCUUGAGUUUUGCGGAACUGAGAGCUGUACUGGUAGUGAUGUUUGAGAGUAUUGGUGCUGAUAUUUGGGAGUACCGGUACUGAUGUUUAGAGAAUUGGUACACAAUAGAAAUCAGCUGCGUACAGGAUUCGAGUUUGCAGAAUUGACCUUGAGUAUCGGAAUGCCAUGUAUAAGUACCUAGUAUUAGUAUUAGAACUCAAUGCUGCAGACCAUGAUUUUUCACAACUUGCAAUUUCUGGAAUUUGGAGCACUUAUGGGCAUUUUUUUACAUCUUAAAAGUACGUGCUCCAUUCUUCCUCCUCUUCGCUACCAAAUGCAACAAGGGAAAGGUGAGUCUUCUUCCUCUCUUUCACCCUUUUCUUUUCUUUUCUUCUCAUUUCUUUACUUUCCUCUUAGCUUUCUUCUUUUUCGUUCUUCUCUAUGAAACUAGGAACUUAGUGAUGUGGAGCUAGAGGCUUGGAAAGGGAGUUGUUGGAGCUUUCAAUCUUCAACCUCAACACUUGAGCUUAGGGUUAGAGCUUGAUUCAAGGUUACGAAGCUUCAUAGAACCUCUAAUUUGUAAAAAAAUUGAAAAUAUUUGGUAGCUAUUUUUAGUUUUGAUGAAAUUAGGGUUUAUUUUGGAGUGUUUUAAAUGAGGACUUUUGUAAUGAAAUCAAUAUGUUUAGAACACUCAUGUAGGUUGGAAUUGAAGCAUCAUUGACUUGGUUUGAAGGAUUAGCAAGGAUUUCUUGCUUCAAGGUAUUUUUUCACCUAUUUUAUAUGUGACUUUUGAUGAAUUUCGUGAUGAGAUUUUGUGAACUUUCUAAAUAUGAAUAGGAAUUAACAGUAAUAUAAUAAUCCUUAUCCUAAUAUAAGGAUAUAUAUUAUAUGCCCUCAAAAAUCUUUUGGGAUCGGCAGUAUAGAGGAGAAGAGAGAAGGUAGAAGAUCGUUCUUUCUGCAGGAAAACGUUCCCUCGAUCGUGAGGCCACUCCUGUAGCUAGUUUAGUUCUUGGAGUACACCUAUGGAUGUUUACUUUAUCGACUUUAAUUUUCAUUCAGAUGAUGAUAGCACGGAAACAAUCAUUCCAUGAUAGUACUUAUAGGUUGAUGGUACAUACGUAGUUGAUACACCCUAUAGGUUUACAGUUUAAAAUGAUUGAAAAUAGGUUAGAGAAUUCCUGAAUGUGUUCUAUGACAGGACUGAACACAGUACCGAGUAUCAGGGCACCAUCAGUUGUAGAGAUAGAAACUCUACUCGGAGGGAUGGUACGGAAUGAGCUGCGAGUUGCAGCGUACCUACUCAUACUACAGCACUACCGGUAUUGAGGCCUCACGGUUCGAACAUGCCUCGAAGGGAUGGUUCGGAUACGUUUACUCAUAUUAAGCGGUUAGCUUCACACCAUAGUGUGUAGUACUGAUUUCUGCAUCUUAGAAUUAUGAGAUGGAAAACCUGCAUAUGUAAAAGGUUAAAUAAUAAAGAUAACAGAGUUAAACGUAAAUUCCUCUUAUUAUGGGUUAUAGCAUUAUACGGAGUUGAUAUUUUCCUUGUAUGUAGAGUUGAGUUGAUAUCGUUCAUAUCCUCUAUUUGGAGUGUACAAAGUUGAUUCGUCUACCGAGAUGAUAGUUACUUUGAGUACGUGUUUCUUUACAUACGUAGUACAUAGAAUAUUGGAGAUGAUAUCUCAUUAAUAUGGUGUACGUAUCUCACUACAAUAGAAUACGAUUUAAUUGGUAUAUAUAAAAUUAUACGUGAUCCUGUGUAUUAUUUGAGUUGUUCUUUUAACUUCUGUAUCCCCCUCAAGUAGUUAAAACCAAUCCAACUUGGAUGGCCUAUCAACAGCUUUAAGUAAGUAAGGAAUUUAGUUUCAACAGGAGAAAAAAGAAAAUCAGACUUCUUUUUUAAAAUNNNNNNNNNNNNNNNNNNNNNNNNNUCGUAGUCGCAGUGGUUCGAGCUCAGCAGUAGUGGGUGUUGGUGUGGUCUCAACGUGUUACAAAUGUUAUUCACAUGGAAAUGAAGAAAUUUUAUAAGAGAAAGAGUUCGUAACCAGAACGAUCAAUAGUCAGCGUAAUAGAUAAUUAGUAAGUUAAGUAACGUAUAAGAGAUAUAGGGUGUGUGUCCCGUUUGCUUCGCUAUAUGGGUUGAUUCUACAAGUCAUAUAGUACAAUAAUAUUGUAUCUGCGCCCAGAUAGAAUAGUAAACCAGAUUAGAGUAGUUAUGUCUAUUUAGAGCACUACUACUGAUGACCAGGUAACUGAUUUGUUUAGAAGUUGUAUCCGUUGAUCAUACAGUAGCCGUAGAUAGCAAAGCCUAUGUCCAAUUAAUAUCAUCUACCAUGACAUGAUAUCACAAUGUGAAAAGUGACUUACUAUACAAAUGUGCCAACAGCCUAGUUAUGUCCUAAAAUAACAAACACAUAACAUUUUAAUAUUAAAAUUACGAAAACCACACAAUUAAGAUUCAAUUUAUCUUUUUCAAAUUCAUUUCUUCUAUUUCCCAUUUCUUUUAGCACUUAAAUUCAAUUCAGCUGCUACAAAUUACCAGGAUAACACUCAUGUUAUGUAACGCAAUAUUUUCAUACUACCACCAUAACUACCAUUAAACCAAUUAAGAAUACAAAACCAAUAAUACUUCUAAAUAUCAGCAUGUAUCUAUAUAACACAAGUCUAACUUUAGAACAUUCAUAACAUCAAAGAAACAAUAUGUCUCUAUUAACAGCCAUACAUCCCCUAUAAUCACAUUUACAUUGAUAGUUUGUCAAUUCUAGUGAAUACAAUCUAUAUUCAGUACGUUAUAGAAUAUAAUCGACAUUGUCUCCUAAAUAUUUAUAAUACGGUUAACAUGCAUUAUCUUUUUCACAUUCUUAAUAUAUGGUCAAUAUGCAGUCAUAGUGAAAUAUCUCAUUUUCUUCUUAGAUAGAUCAUACAGGCGAUCUUACUGUCGCCAAAAAGCGAAAUUUAAUUUUCCUCUUCCCUUAACAUUAGGCAAUUCAACAACCUAAAAAUAUAUAAAUAGCACUUCCUGAUUAUUGCUUCAGUCAGACACCUACUGCAAUGUAAACUAUUCCGCAUAUUUUGAGAAAUGCUCUCAGAAGCUACGCACUGUAAAAGCAUAAGCCAAAUCGACAACAAAAGUCAGUUGAUCUUUCCCAUAACAUGAGAUUAAUUAUGCACGUGGGUUAGGCACCGAGGAUAACACUAGGUGACUCUAAUACGCAGGCUUAUUGAUAACUCGAUUUAUCGGAUAAUCCACUAAGACUCCGACCUGAAUUAUUGUAUUUUGUAGAUCGAAUUGAGUCAAUUGAUUUAUAAAGUUCGUUCCCGCGAACCGAACCCAUUUGGCUCAGAAUCGACUAGAAAUCGAAUCCAAUGCUAUUACUACUGGAUAUCAUUUUUUUCUUUCUUUUUUUUAUCAAAUUAUGAUUUGGAAUCGGUGCGGAUCUGAUCUGAAACCCGAACCCGUUAAUGCUCCUACUAGUGGUUAAAUACCUAUAUUUACAACUGGAUAGAAAGGGACUGGGGUUGGCUAUUGUUAGAAAAGUUGAUUAUUUCGUGCUACAUGUCUCUGUUAACUAAUAUUGUACACUUCUUUGACUUAUCUAACUUUGUACGCAUCUCAGGAUAGCUAUUUAUAACAAGCGAUAAUACUGCGUAUACGCACAAAAAUAUCGGUGCAAAUCUUAUAACCAUUCAUCUAAAGAUUAAUAUUUCACACUACUCUGAUCAAUUUUUUUUAGUAUUUAAAAAAAAUCUAAAAGAAACUAAUUAAAACCUUAGUAUUUUUUUAUAAUUAUUAACGAAAAUUAUUUGAUGUGUUAUGUGUGUAACACCGAAUUAAUUAGGCCAAAAAUAUUGUAACACUUUUCCCAAGUGGGAGCCAAUUAAUUAGAGAUGUAUAUAUAUAUAUAUAUAUAUAUAUAUAUAUAUAUAAUUGAGCUCCCUUGCUUUUAAAAGUACCAAGUCAUUGGUGCUUGUAACUUUUUAGCUCUUGGAUUAAUAGAUGUGCGGUUAGGAUGAUGUGGGCUCCCUUCGGUUGAGCGGGUGGUUGGUUGAAUAGUAUAAUCUAACGGGUGAAAAUGAUCAAAGGCGUAGAUCUAACGUUAAAAAAUUCACAAGCACCAAGUGUUUGGUACUUUUACAAGCACCAUAGCCGGACUCUAUAUAUAUAUAUAUAUAUAUANNNNNNNNNNNNNNNNNNNNNNNNNNNNNNNNNNNNNNNNNNNNNNNNNNNNNNNNNNNNNNNNNNNNNNNNNNNNNNNNNNNNNNNNNNNNNNNNNNNNCUCCCUCGGACUCUCUGCCCGCGGGUGUGCUGCGCCCGUAAAUGGCUCGGCGGAACUCACCUACGCCUGCCACGCCGUCGAAGCAAGCGAUAUUCACGAUGUCGAAUUUCCGGACCCACAUCUGGGCGCCCGAACAUGGGAUCCGAAUUGGCUUCCAGUUUCAGUUAAAUUCAACACUCAGUUCUGGGCGACCCUAAAAUGUUCUGGCGUCCGAAUCUGGCAAAACUCCAAUUUUGCCUAUUUGAGUGCGCCGAGUCCAAUUCUGCAUCCAAUUCGUGCAGAAUUGACUCGACUCAGUCGACACUCUCCAGAGAUGUCGACAGUCACUAAUACUGAACCAUCCUAUCCAAAGGUCAAGAACACUACAGGCUACCCGUUGUAACAUAUUUUUUUUUUAUAGACUUUAUUAAAUUGUUUGGGCAGAGUUUGUUUCGGCCAUUAUAUUGACUGAUUAAAAGCCUAAAGUCAAAACAAUUUUAUAUAUAAACACACAAAAAUAAGAAAAUUAUGGUACUAUAUUAUAGAUAAAGAGAAUAUAAGUUGUAGUAAUUAUUAAUAUUAUAUACUAACAUUCAAAAAAAGAAGAAGAAGGAAUCGCAAAAUUUACUAAUAGAAUAUUUAUUAAAAAAACCUAGGUUGUCGACUAUAAUUGUAGCAGGGAUUUGGGAAAAACUCACUCGUGUCGCGCCUGUAGAGGAUUAAUAUUGCUGAUGAUGACGACGAUAGGAAUAUUAUUUCAUAAAAAACUCUCAGGCGGAAAUGAAACAAAAAAAAUAAUGACUAAAAAAAUUAGAAAAAAGAACGGAGUAAAAGAGCGGCUAGAAUUUCAGUGUUUCACUAGAAUGAAAAUACGUAGAGACCCCUCAUUUAUAACUCGUAUUAAAAUUAAUCACUCAACUUCAAAAGUUCAAAUCUUUUUUACUUACUAUCGAAUAUUUUAUCGGGUCCAGGUUCGAAUUCGGAUUUGAAAACUAUUCCGGACCCUACCAAUUUAAAAGUUGGGUUUGAGUUGGAUUCAAAUCGGGUAUGGGUAUAAAAUAUCCGUGUCACGCCCCGGAUUACUCGUUUCCGCGGACACGUCGACAAAUCCACCGUAUACAAAAGAAUUUUUUCUGUAUACGAAGCGAUAGCUGUACCUGUAAUCAUACAAUACUACAACCAGUAGUAUAGGGCUGUCGAAACAAAAACAUAUAUAAACAACAGAGGUUAACUAUACAUACAAGCAUCCAAAUAACCAAAAUGCUCACUCCAGCGAGAUACAACCUCAGUAUGUAUAAUAACCCAGAAACUACAACUACCUGUAGUUGUACUCCUCUAGCUCUGCACUCGUCAGGAAGGGCUCUAACUCGCAACACUCUUUCCACGGUCAGACUCAGCAGCAGUAGCCGCCGAAGAAGAAAGCUUUGCAAAAGAUUCCAACAACUGGGUGUGAGAAUUACUGCAAAAGAAGUAGUACUCAGUGGGUACUGCUACCAACCUCAACGGCUCACUCACUAAGUCUACAGAAGUAAGCAGGGAUAGUAAGGAAAGCUGGAACAAAUCUACAGCUAAAUGCCACUAUACUAUCAUACUUUAACACAAUAAUCUGUAGAAAAUGUAAAUCCUGACCCAAUCUCACUAGGGACUGUGAACAUACUCAUCCCGCCUGUCGAAGUUAUACUAACUGACACCAAAUCAGGUCAUCAGUGGAGAGCAAGUCCAAUCAGGACAAAACGACACCAACGCAAAAACACAAAGCCUGACUCCAGAGUGGCACUCGCGGGCGCUACCCAACCGAGUAUGCAAGCGUGUCUCUGUCGAGCUCAAUCAGGCUCUCACAGGCUAUAGUCAAGUAAACAGGGUCUAACAACCAAAACACAUGUGCCCUCGGCACAAUCUGAUGCAAAAACAGCAAUCUGGGUCUAUCGUCAACUCCAACGGCACCUGACAAUCUGGAACAAUCUGAACAAUACUGUAAAAAUAAGCUCGGCAUCCCAGCACGAGCGUAAUAUUAUGCUACAUUAUUCUGGGUAUCCACCGCCCACAAACUGCAGCGAUACAAAUAAACUACAACUUCUAGAGCUAAAUCUGGUAGUUUGUUCAAAUGACGGUGUAGAAACAUCAGUUUUCUCCUAAGUCAAAUCCAAGUACAACAUGCAUAAUUUAGCAAAUUUUUCUAAGCUCCAAUUCACGUUCAAAAGCAUGCAGUUCCGAGAAUCAAGCUAAACCAUGUACUAAACAAAGCUAAAAACACAUGCUGUCGACAUAUAUAGAAUUAGGAGGAAAAUCGUAGAAUUCGAUAAGCAUCACUUUGACCCACCUCGAAAGCACAUCCAACAACGGCGAGAAGUCGACAAAAGUGGAACCACACGCUCGCCUGGCCUUCCCACGGAGCUACCACGACGAACGCACACUCAAAAGGCUCCGCGGCGUAACGUCGACGUCGCUCCGACUCCACCCGAGCCCCUCCUUACGUACGGUAGAGCACAAGAGGAAGAGAGAGAGAGAGAGAGAGAGCACAGCAAAACCUCCUCCUCAGUCUCUCUCUAUCCUAUAUAGAGUAAUAGGGAUAAAGGUGACACAAACGAGACAAGAAAAGACCAAAAGGCUCUUUACCUACCCUGGUGUACCGGUACCAUCGCAAUGCCAUACCGGUACCACGCAGUAGAAUGGCCAACCCGAGAGCAGUCUGCGCAGAAAAUGGACUGGGUACCGGUACGCCCCUGUGUGGUACCGGUACCAAUUGCUGAAAAUCUGCAAUUUGCAGAUUGCAAUGCUAAUUCUCUCCUCUCGCGUCCCGCUGAGUCCAGUUUGUGUCUAUUUCGCAUCAACAGGAUUCGGACUUGUCCUGACACUCUCCAAAGCUGUCGACAAGCCUCAAAUGCUGAAUUCCAGGGUUACUACAAUCCAGACUCAUAUCUAAAAUUUUAGUAGGUAAUUUUUUUUAUCCGUAUACUAUCCAUUUUUUAUCGGGUCUGGAUAGGGUCCGAUUUAGGUAUGGUAUAUCGGAUAUUUUGGACAGCUUUAUUAACAUUCUUUUUUUUUUCUACUUUUGAGAUUUAAAACAAAAAGUUCUAAAACAGAAAGUCUACUUUUGAGAUUUAUAGUUUAACUUCUUUUAAGUGCCCACCUUAUCAAAUCUCACAACCUUCUAAAUGUCUCAUAUGUUGGGAUGUCUCCAUUGCUGGGGUAUAAGGAAUGAGUUUAUAGAGAAACCAAAUAAAAAAGGGAUUUUUAGGCAUAUGAACUUUUAAAUUUGGCUAAAUAAUUUUUUAAACUAUAUCAAAUAGUUCAAUAAACCUCUCUUCUAAACUUUAUUUAUGUCUGAGGGAGUGUUUGGAUUGGUAGAAUUACUAUUUGGUCUUAACUCAAAUUUAUUAAAAAUUGUAAUAUUACUAAUAACAUUCUUCAAGCUAUAGGCAUCAGUUCUCGAAGUCAAAUUUUUUUAUAAAAUGUUUUGAAGUUACUUUUCCUAAAAAGAUACAAAUUUAGUUUAAGAUUAGAUGGUGAGUCUCUUGAAUAUUAAUAUUUGGAUAAAUUACACUUUUAGUCCUCAAACUACGAGGCAUGUAAUAUUUUAAUGAAUUCUCAAACUUUAGUUUAUUAUAAUUUCUGGUUCGAAUUUUUUAUCCAUAUUUGGCCAAAAAGUAAUAGAUUGUAGAAAUUAAUUACAAUAAUUUAAAAAAUUCGAGUUAUAUAUAUUGCAACAAAUUAAAGUUGAGAACUAAAGUGUCAUGAGUCCUAUAGUUUAAGGACCAAAUAUAAUUUAUCACAAUCCAUUUUGGGUUGCAUAUUUUACAACUAGUCUAUAAGGGCAAGGUUUUUUUAUCACUUGUGACAUUAAUUUUUUUUUUUUUUAAAUACUAAAACCCAUUUUGGAUUUUUCAAACCCAAGGGGAGGAAUCACAGCCCUUGAAUGAGUGUUGUAAUCACUACAACUCUUGUUGCAAUCAAGUCCUCCAACUAUGAUGCUUGUGACACUUUGGUCCUCUGACUUUAAUUUGCUAUAAUUUUUAGUUCAAAUUUUCAAAAUUAUUGCAAUCAAGUUCUAUAACUGAAUCUAGUUAGCUAAAUGUUAAUAUAUUACUAAUAUAGAGGCGAUAUAGUAGUGUUGCGAUUAAUAAUACACUAAUAAUUAAGAUAUCGCAUCACUUUUACUGCAUGUUAAAAACCGUUUGGUUAGGGGAUAGGGAUAGGAAUAGGCCCUUAUCCCCCCUUUUAUAUCCAAACGCUAAUUUUUCACCCGAGAAUAGUAGUUCUCGGUUAUCCCCACCAACACCUCCAUUUUUUAUAUAAAACUAUCUAAAAUUGUUCUUAUCUCCGGAAACAAUCCAAUUUUCAUCCAAACGCUAUUUUUCUUAUCCCCAUACUUGUACCUAUCCCUGUAAUAGUUAGUUCUUGCUUAUACCUGAACCAAACGGUAAGACUAAAUCUAAUUGUGGGAAGUGAUUGUAAAAAUUUUAACAAACUAGAGUUUGAGAUACCUACACCCGCUCGUUAAUACUCUCAGAGUAAUUAUGCAUCAUUUGUAAUACUAUAUAUUAUCGAUCAGAUUACAAAUUGGAUGAAUUAAAUAUAAUAAUUUUUGAUAAAAUUAUCUGUAAUUCUGAUAGAAUAAUCCGAACUAAAUACGCUCGAUUAAUAAUAUUACUAUAAACUACAUGUACCCAAUCCAAAAGUGCCCCUUGUCAAUUACUAUCCUCCCACAUGGGAGAGGUGGGGUUUGGGUUUAAGGCGAUUUUGAUAUUCCUAAAGAGAGGACAAUACAUCGUGAGCCACUAAUACAAUGAUGACUACUGAGGAGUGGAUAAAACUUCAGUGGAUAGCGCCCCAUCCCAACUGCAUUUUAUUGGAGAGUCCUUGUUAUGUUGACAUGUUAUUUUUUAUUCCUUUUAAUAAUUUAUUAUAUUUUUUUUAAUACUAAUUUUUUUUAAAAAAAUUAAAUUAUGGAUAAAAUAAGUAUAAUUUUUUGAUAGAUAAGAAUAAAACAUGGUAAUGAAUUGAGCAUUUGAGCCUCCUUAAUAAGACAUGGUGGGACCUCCCCAAUUAAAAUUUUUUUUUCUUGGGAAUAUGAUUCGAUCUGCCUACGUGGCAUAGUUUAAUGGGCCCCACCCACCACUACUACUACUGCCACCACUAAAACCACAGGAGAUAUAUAUAUAAUAUAAUAAAUAUAUUAAUUCUCCACCAUAAGUACCAAGUUGUCUCCUUGGCUUUCCCUCAUCCAUUCCUUUUUUUAUAUAUAUAUAUAUUUAUAUAAUUUUUAUUUUAAAUUUUCUCAUAGAAAGUGCAAAAGAGUUAUCUUCUUCUUCUUCUUCUUUUUGUUCUUUCAUUUUUUUUGUAAAUUUGUCAAUUGACUAAGACUACUGGCUGCUGCUAGAGUCCUGCUCUCACUUUCAGAGUAGAGAAGUAAGUGGAUCCGAUAACCCGUCAACCCGAUCCGCAUCCGAUGAUUUGUUGGUUUAUGAAUUCAAUUCGAGUUCCUUUAACAAGGGGGCGUCUAAAUAACUACUGAUAUGCUAACAUUUUAGUGCGUCAUCUGCGAAUUGACUCAUACAGUAUGAACCGUCAUAGUAUUGAAUGUAGCGGACACCGACUCAAAAUCAUAAUAAUUGAAUGAAACUGUCCCAAAUUUGUAGGAUUUUAGCGGAUAGGGGGACUCGGGAAUUUUUUGGUCCAAAUUGAAUAAUCAAACCGAACCAACUCAUUUCGGUUGGUUUGAUUCAAUUUUACGAAUUCGAAACCAAAUUAAACAAAUAAGCAAUCUAUUGGUUUAUGAAUUCAAUACAUGUUUUGAAACAAAUAGUAGAAAAGAGUACUGCUAUGAAUUCCAUAUAAUGGAUCACCAGAAAAACAACUGAUGUGAUUAUAUGUGCUUGUAUAGUGUAGAUAAUUAAUAUAUUAGUAGAUAUAGUGGGUAAAACAAGGGGCUCUCAAAAAUAUUAUUUGGUUCAUGCCGAAUAAUUGAACUGAAUCAACUCAAUUUGGUUGGUUUGAUUUUAGUCUUACAAAUUUGAAACUGAAUACGACCCCACUUUCCAGAGGGAUCGCCUGUAGCAUGUUCAACCAUUUUAACCUCUUAGGUCUGGCCACCACCUAAAAUAUUAUAAUUUGAUUAAAAGGUUUAACUUUGUUAUAUCUUAUAUAAAGAAUUUUCAAAGUUUAGGGGUGUUACAUUCCUCCAUCUUAAGUUCUGACGUGCUUAUCAAGCUCAGUAAACUUACAAGCACCAAAUGAUGUAAAACUAUCCUCACUAGCUUUAGCCGACCUUGGAGAUCAGUCGAGGAGUUACGCUCUUCCCGUUGUAUGAACCUACCUCAGCCGAGACUUAUUUCAUAUUUCUAAUUGGUAAUUGCUCUGAUAUCAACUAUGACGUCCUACUUUCCAAAAGAAUCACCUAUUUGAAACUACUUUAAUCUUAGUACGCUUAACUUCGUAACUUUUUGAGCUUAAUCACUGCCUAAAAUACUAUAGUCAGAUUAAAAAAUUUAGCUUUAUUAUAUCUUAUAUAUUGAACUUUUGAGACUAGAUUGGUUCCUAUAAUUUGAAGCAGUUUAAGGAGAAAUUUUAGUAAGAAAAAAAGAAGACACAAAGCAAUUAUGUAGCACAACAUCAUAGAGCUAUAUAUAUUAUUAUAAUUAUUAAAAUAACAAAAAAUGACAAUAAAUCCAUGAUUUUGGUUCAGGAUACAAAGUAAUGCCCUCUCCUCACAAUAUUAAUAAAUAGGACUACUGUAAAAUUAUCACAUUUGAAUGGCAUAUAUUAAGCAGAUGCACUAUAAAAUUACAGAUACAGUGACAAAAGAAUCAUCUUAACUCGAGUGUUUCGCGACGAGCUUAUCGACGUGGAUGAUGAUGUCGUCGAUGUGAGGUCGAACUGCGGGCUGAGGCUGAAGCAUCCAAACUACGAAUUGGCGGAGAGACUCUGGGUAUGGGGUGUCCGGUCCGGGAGACCAUUUUAUUUCUGGAUUUCUAACCACCAAAUGUUUAUUUUCUUCCGCUUCGUUAAGCGCGUCUUCGAAAGGAGAUUUUCCGAACCUGUAAUGACAUGUGAGAAGAUAAAUUUGAGCUUUACAUAGAAUUCAAGAAACUUCUUGGUUUUGAUUAGUCAACUGAAUUUGCUUCAUAAAUUCAGGAACUGCAUAGUUUCAUUAUUUUCACGAUCCUUGGAAGCAUACUCUUGAUUGUCGCAAUGACCGCCUACUUGAACCUUUCUAAAAGCACGAAAUUAUGCAUAAACAUGCGAAUUAGAAGGAAAUAAAAGGAACUCAGUAAUUAAUACGACUGUCCCACAGAUAAAGCAAAAGAAAAGAGAAGAGAAUAUCUAAGUUGGAAUGAUAUCUAAGUAGGACCACCUGUUGCGAAGGACAUACAAUUUGCCCUGUUUAGAUGCUGGAACAUCUUAUCUAGCAUUUCCUUUUGUCUACUCGAUGGCUACAUAUGAUAGUUGGCCGCUGAGAGGGCGUGGAAUGACGUUCACAAGCGAGUAAGAAGGGUAAGUUAUAAGUAAUUUCAACAGAACGACAAAUCACCUCCUCGGCGUAAUCAACUAUGCUAAAUAUGAGGACUAGUAAGACCUCAGUGGACUAUUAGGUCACGUUCCGACACUAACUUGCCAGAACAUAACUUGCCAGAAGAAAACACCAUCCAACUUGAGUAAAUAGGAGCUUACCUUUUUCGUAUAAUCACUUUUGGACUAUAAAAGUCAGGCUCCUGACUUCUAAUGACCUAAAUGAGCCUUGAUACCAAAUGUGUUUUCUUUUGCAUCUCGUGGCCGAAUAUUAUGGUAAAAUAGUCAAUAUUGUGUAAAGAUGCCAAAGAAUAUCUGUGACUAACUAAGAGAAUGAUAUGAAAAGCAAAAGAAAAAAGAAAAAGAAAAAGAAACACAAAAACUGUUACAUCGGAGAAGGUAACCUUACAUCAUUGCAUACAAGGUGCAUCCCAGAGACCAUAUAUCAGUUCUCUCAUCAAUGUCAGCAUUGCUUGGACAUUCCCAUAAUUCAGGAGCUCGGUAAGCUGCAGAGGUGUGCUCAGAAGCCCAUUCCUAUGUGAAAUCCAUCAAAAAGGAAGAAUGUUAAGCAACAACUUGACGCCUCAGAAAAAUGAAUAAAACAUGCCAAAUAAGUAAAGGCAGUCUAUAUGAACAUUUUGAAAGGGAACUACAACAUAUUAUCCAUUUAAUUUAAUGUACAUUCUAGUGGAAAAAGUAAGUGCUAUGUCAGAGAUUUAUCAGGUGGGGCCAAAAAAAAAAGAUCUCCGAGUAACUUGCUUUAGAUAAAAGACUGAGUUCCUGUCCUUGUAUUUCCAAACCUUAGUAUAAGUAAAUUGUACGCCUUCAAAGAUUAGAAACAGUGUUUAUUCAGAAUCUUAGAACUUCAACCUAGCGUUGCACAUGCAGGCCAUUGCUCCGUCGAAUCUACUUAUAAAGAGCUGAUACAGGACUCACUUAAAUCAGCUUUUUUAUAUAUAGAAACCAGAUUGAUAUGUAAAAGAAAUUAGCUAAAUCAAAAUAAAGGUGAAAGUUUGGUUUGAUUUUUGGUUCGCUGGUUUUUGCACGUUACUGCCUGAGGCAAUUGCGAUAAAAAGAAAUGCUUUGAGACGAACAAAAAUACCAUGAGGGCAGCCGUGAGUAAUCACUCAAAAACAAUGAGGUCUGAGAAUCCUGGCUAAGACAUCAACAUGAAGAAUCAAAUCUGUAAAGUGUGCACUUUCGAACUUCUACCUUACCAUAAAUUUUAUCUAAUGAAAUGCCAAACAAUCAACUAGAGAAAACAACUCCGGCUAGAUAAUGGUUCAUCUAUGCCUCUUAUCAAUCAGGAACAGGGCCCGUUGCGGAGAAGAAUAUUGCAAGGUUGAGAAUCCAGAACCAAACAAUUGAUCAAACCAUACAACCAAUUACCAACAAACCAUACAACCAAUUACCAACAACAAAUGCCAAAAACAUAUUCUUGUAGAUAGUCUAUGUAUCAAAAGUGACUACAUCUUAGACAAAGAAAAUAGGCAGCUGAUAAGCAGAUGAUUGUGUGUAAUUAAAGUCGCUUAUACCUGCAACUGCAAUGCCUCAGAACGAGAACGAAUUGCUUUUCUGGCAGGGCGAGCACUCUCAAAAUCCAUUAAAAUAGCUAGAGGUGGUUGUCCCUUUCUGUGCGUUAUGAGUACAUUCUCAGGCUUGACAUCAUUAUGCGCAUACGGAGGGUCAAAACUGUGCAUAUGCUUCAAUCCUGCACAAAUCUGCAAAAUCCCAAUACUAUAUGUCACCAAGGUUUAUAAUGUCUGGUAAUUAUGCGCAUGUAAAGUGCAAAGUGCACCUAUUCUUAAUCGUCGAAGCAUAUGAACAAAUAUGAAAAAAAGAAAAAGAUAAGUGCACUGCCAUCAGACAGGCAUCUUCAAGCAUAUGAAUGAACUACUAAGAAAGAAGUAUGAAUACAUUUUAUUGGGUUAAGAACAGCAGAAAUUCUAAACUAAACGUUACCAAAAUAAAGAAAUCUGAAGUUUCAAGCAUAUGAAUUCAAAGUGCAUUGCAAUGAGAUUGGUAUCUUCAAGCAUGAGCGAAAUAUAUUUUCAAUGUGCAACAAAGUUAAUAUGAAUCUCAGUUUUGUCACAUUUCCCUGUGCCUAUGAUCUGAUUUUACAUAAAUAUGAUCCCAUUCUUCCCAAUUAUGAAGUCAAGAGCUUUAAUUUAGGCCCUCAGUAACAUCAAAAGCAUAUUAAAUUUAAACAUUAACGUGCAGAGAAGCAGCGAGUCAACAAAAACAAACCAUGCCUUUAAUUAAGAAAAAUUUAAUAUGCAUUUCCUUCAAAGUCAGUUUGAUGUUAGUUUGUCAAGUUUCAGGAUCCAUCACAUAACUUCUAUUUUACAAACUUUUACUAGUUAUGAUUUACUGAAAUUUCGGCAGCAAAAAGGUAUCGCAUUAAUCUCUGGACGAAGUAGAGCAUAAGGUACAAGAAUUAGGACAGCAAUCACAAGUCAUAUGAGCAUUAAAUCCAAAAUUUAAUGGUGUCGACAGCAGUAAAAAUAUAAAGGAGAUCAACAACUAAAACACCUGACGGAAUAUCUGAAGAAUAUUAAUUGUUGACAAGAAUUCAUUCUUCUCUUGCAUAACUUUGGUAACGUCCAGCAAAGUUCCAUCUAAAUGAACUGGGAACAACAAGUAAGCUUCGUAGUUCUUUGAUCCUUCCUGCGUACCCUAUACGAACAUAACAAUCGAUCAUUUCCCUAUGUAAAGAACAAUGUUUUUUAAUAUCAACAAUCAAUCAAUUUCCAUAUGUAAAGCACAAUGUAAAUAUUUAAAUCAGAUGUCGAAUGAGGUAUCUGGAAUAAUAUGUCCAGGGACGAAGCCAGUAUUCAAUCACGAGGGGGGGCCAAAAUAUAUACAAAUACAAAUUUUAGCAAAUAAAUAAGAUUUUAACUACUCAAAUUUUUAAUAAAAAAAAUUUAGUGAUUAGAUAAUUAAUGUUAAAAAAUAUUAAAUUAUUUCGUUAAUUUACACUCGCUUAACUUCUAAUUAUUUUAUUUACAUUAUUCUAAUCAAAUAACUUAAGAAUUUUACUAAACCUAACAGUAAUUUAGUUAGAAUUUAAUUUUUUUAAUUUUUGUUAAUAAAAUAAUAACAACCAGUGACUAAUAUCUAACAGAACUAUUAAAUUUAGCAUACUAUUUUAUUUAGUUAAAUAAAUUAGCUUAUCAAAAAUAAUUAGAAAGUUAAGAAUGUAUAAAUAAAAUAUUUAAAGUUGAAAGCACUUAUUUUAAAAUGCACUAUAAUUAGGAGGUUCUUAGCGUAUUUUCACCUAUAAAACACAUAAGAAAAGAGAGAGCUCUAUACUAGCACUAAAAACUUUUUACAAGAUAGGCCCAUAUAUUUUUUUUUUUGAGAGAUAAUAGGCCCAUAUAUUUUAAAAAUUAACUAAAAAUUUAUAAACUACUAAAGGACUAUAAAGUAAAUAUCGAAAAGUUGAGGGGGGCCAUGGCCCCUUUGGGUCUAUUAAUAGCUCCGUCCCUGAAUAUGUCAUAAUUAAGCUUCCGAAACAAACAAGAUAGCACUUGAAUGACCAAAAGGGUGAUAACCUAAAAGGCUAAAAAUUGUUCAUCAAAGAUGGGUAAGGGACAUUCUUCUAGCCUCUGUUCUAAAAAUGUGGCAGAAUUUUGUUCACAGAUGCCUUGCCAUGUCCAUGGUGCCUGUUCACAGCGUAUUCGAACUUAGUGCCUACCAUGGUACCGUCAUAUCAGCUCAAGUUGUCUGCUUCAUCAUCACUGUUAUGGGUUCGGGUUACCUCUAGCAUAAAAGGUUUAUUCCUCACAAUAAUAGAGUUAAAAGUUAGGAGGCAGCAAACAAGAGUGUUUUAUUAGGCUAUUGGCUAAUUUCCACCUUAGGAAUGAUGAAUGCAUGUUCCGAUUGCAAAAGAUAUGUAUUCCUCAUUCCAUAGACAUCUUUCACGCACAAAAUUUAGUAAAUCUCUCUGUAUUCGGACGAGUUUACUCCACUAGCUCCAUAAGAGUCACAAAAACUGUUAAAUCAGUUAGCAAUUUAAGUACUAGAAUCCUUUCUUCUUUUUGCAGACUAAUUCUUUUUUUUAAUUUCAUUUGUAGAACUUCAAUUUGACAGAAGAGUCACCACAAGUCACAUCCACCUUCACUUAUAUCAACCUUAAUCUUUCAAGUUACACCAGUUUACUUUUACUCCAAUCACUCGCAACCCAGAUCCCCCUUUGUACCAAAACCUGACUCUAGCAAUACAACAGUCAAAAAUAAGAACAGAGUCUAAUCUAUUUACCAAAGUAUUUCACAUAGAAAGGGAGACACAUUUGUAGACUUAAGUUUCCACCAUUUGAAAUAGAAAGUCUCAAAUUAAUAUAAGGAUAUGUAAAAUUGUUAGAUUUGUAGUCUGAUUUUUAAUUAAAUGCAUAAUUGACCUUGCAAAUGUAGAACACCAAUGCUGCCUGAUUAAUCAAGAACUCCAUAAUAUAGAAGAAAGUCACAUUCAAAGGAUGAGUAGCAAUUUGCAGAAUAUCAGAGAGCACCCCAAAGUUAAACAAACUAUGGCUUUAAUCUCAAACCAAUCUAUAAAUAUACACAUAUUAAACAAGAAAAGUCCUUGUAUCUAAGAAUAAGUAUGGAAGUCAACCAUAAAAGUCAACCAUAAACAGAUCUGAACUACCUUAACUGCAAUUAUGGCAUGAUCAAGAAGGGGAAGCAGAUUAGGGUGACUAAAUUGGGAAGAGAUACCAAUCUCCUGCCGAACCAGUUCCAGCUGCUGCUCGCUUUGAAUAAGGACUUUCUUCAUAGCAUACGUCCCAUCAGCUGAAAAAUGUAGUUCAAAAGAAUUUAAAAGAUAUGAAUUGUUACAUCAAAUCAUCAGAAAAAGGAAUCAACCAAGCAUUUCUUUGUGCAAUUCAUCUAAAAUGACUACCUUGGUAAUUCUUUCACACGUACAGGGACAGAAUCAAAUCCCUAAAAUUAGAAUCUAAGAUGCAUGGUCAUACACAUUAAUAAGCUGAAAAAGGGUAUUCAGGAAGCAAUUUAGCUAAAAUUGGCAACUAUAUAGUAAUCAAACAAAAUCCAUUUAACCAAAUUCGGAUCCAAAGAGAGAUUUAGAGGACAAUUCCCGAUCCAAUGCAUCAACCUAGCAACACAUUGAAUGAGCUGAAAAUGCGCAAUCGGGAAGCAAUUAAGCUGAAUUUCAAAACUUAGGAGCACACAAAACAGAACCCAACUCCCAAAUUUCAUAUCCAAAGAGAGAUCUAAGAGCUGAAUUGGAGAAAACACAUCCAUUCCUAAACAAAUGCAUCAAUCCAGAAGCAGAUUAAACAAUCUGAAAAUGGGCAUAGGAAUUAAGCUAAAAUCGACAUCUUUGCAUUUCGUCAAACAAAACCCAGUUCCUCAAUUUCCAAUCCAAAGAUAGAUCUACAGGAGCACAUCCAAUUCCCAAUCCAAUGCAUCAAAAAUUCAGCAGUGGAUUAAACAAACAGAAAACAGGCAUUCUGGGAAGCAACUAAGCUAAAACUGGCAAUUUUUAGUUGAUCAAACAAAACCCAUUUCCCAUUUUCGGAUCCAAACGUAGAUCUACAAGAGAAUCGGAGAAAACACAUACAAUUCCAAAUCCAUAGCAUAGCAUCAAUUAAUUAUAACACUAUUCCAGGGUCACUUUCCAUCUGAUCAAUCUUUUCUCUUGACAUGAUUCGCCCGAUCUCAUCAAUACACAUCAAUCUUUUCAAUAGCAGAUGCAGAGGCUCAUCUCGCAGAGGAAUUCUACACGGUCACACUUGCACUAUGUCAUCAAUAACAAGCCAAUCACAUUGCUUCUUUUCAAACAAAAGUACAAAUAAAAUACUUUUUUACAAUCAUGAUGGGACAUAUAUUCUUAAAAGGAUUAAUUUGAUUGGUUUGUUACGCCACGUCACUAAUAUAUCCGUUGCAUUCUAGAAUUUUUCCAUCUCGCAUCCCACGACAUAGAUUCGUCUGAUCUCGUCAAUACGUGUCAGCAAAGACAUUCAGACAAUUUCUAUGCCAUUUCUAUCAAAUCGAUCUUUUCAAUAACAUACUAUCAGAGCCAGUCCUAAGCAAUCUUAGUUCAAUGAGGGCUCAUUUCUUAUCCCCUGACAUAACAUGAUUCGCCGCAUCUCGUCAAUACACAUCAAUCUUUUCAAUAGCACAUGUAGAGUCUAAUCUCGUUCUCCGUGACAUGAUUCACCUCGUCUCAUCAAUAUGCGUCAGCAGAGACAUUCUGACUCAUUUUGUACCCAUUUUUUCUAUCAGAUUUACUAUCAGAGCCGGUCCUAAGCAAUCCAACAUGAUUCACCUGAUCUCGUCAACACACAUCAAUCUUUUCAAUAGCAUAUGCAGAGGCUCAUCUCGCAUUCCGUGACAUGGUUAGCCUGAUCUCGUCAACCACGCAUCUAUUUCAGUACCAUUUGCUAUCGUAUCGAUCUUUUCGAUCGCACGAGUUUCAAGAUUUGGAUCUGAAAGGAAGAAUUAAGAAGAGACCUGAAAUGUGGGAGGGGCUGACGCCCUUCUUGCGGGCGAGGCCGCCGGCGCCGCCAGGAGCGGCGGCGGCGGCGGCGGCGGCGGCGGGGACGAGCUCCUUGACGAGGAAGACGGCGGCGGCCCCGCCGUCGCCGAGCUGCUUCAAGAUUCGGAAUCGGUUCUCGUUGAUCCACACAUCGCCGCCGCUCCCCACGGCCCCGUAGAUCGCGUUGAGCCCGGAGAACGAGCACCCCAUCGUCGCCUCCUCUCUCUCUCUCUCUCUCUCUCCCUCUUAAUUUCUCUCUCUAAAGCGAACUUAUAUUACAUACUUUUUUCUUUUUUUUUUUUUUUUUUUGUAGAUCCGUAUCUCUCUAUCUCUCCCUCCCUCUCUUCUUACUUUUAUAUGUCCCAAUUUUGCAAGCAGAUCUCGCCUCAAAAGUUGUGCACACUGUUCUUGCGUUGACAGUUUGGCAUCAGGAUGGAAAUCAAUAUUUGUAUUGAGUAAUAAAUUGCACAAUUGGUCCCUGACCUUUUCGAAUGUUUCAUAGUAGGGCAUAUUUGGAUGCAUAAAUAUACAUGGGCAUUGUUUGUUUUAUAAUGUAUAAGCCUAGUGUUGGUGGAUGAUAAGCGCUUCCAAGUUCAAGAGACCAUUUGGUUUAAUGUAAUUAGGAAUGUAGUGCAGUAAAGAUGCAUACAGUUUGUUAGUAUUUUGAUUUAAAACAAGUGAUUUAAAACUUCUUUAUAUGCUCAUAUGUUUUAAAACUUCAAUUUAGCCUUUGGACUUUGUGGGCAGCCCACUGUCAAUGGGCCUUGCCUGGGAGCCCAAGCUUUGGUCUCUUUUCAUAUGGUGUUUAGUCCCACAUUGGAAAGAGACCCUCACUUGCUCUGGUUUAUAUUCUACUUUACUCUCAUUGUUAUUACUUGGGAAGUGAUGAGAGUGGAGCUCUCGUCUAAAUACACGCACGCGCGCACGAGCACGAGCCGCGCCGGGCCGGGCGGCGGCGCGCGUGAACCCGGUUCAUUUUAUUUUUGUUACACUUUUCUUUUAUUAUUUUAUUUUUGGCCUUACCUGGAUUAGGUCCAGAUUUGGUCCAGUCGAAGGGUCGCACCUCGGGACUCAACCAGCCCCAACGGUCUACCUCGGGAAGGUGGUCCCGUUGGAACCCUUCUUUUGCUCUCCUAUUUACUAGGGUGAGUGGCUGGGUUAGGAUAGCAGUGAUAUACAGAAACCCUAGCCUGAGCUUCUCCCCUUUUCUCUCUUCUCCUUCUUCUUCACUGUCUUGCUGGAUCUCUGAAAAGCUGUGACGGUUCGUUCUUGCGCCACCCUGAAGCCGUGCCGACGGGGUGGACGAAGGUCGUUGUAUCGCUAGGAGUGAUUGCCGGCGCCUCGUACGUGGAGGGGCAAUCUUGCUUCUAGGACAGUGCAAUCGCACGCCUCGACUCACAGGCUCCAUCUAAUCCUUUAUUCUCUAUAGUAUUUAUUUAUUUCAACGUUUCUAAAAACAGUGGCUAAGUUGUUUUCAAACAAAAUUGUUUAUACAAAUUUUUGACUAAAGAUUUCGAAAGAGAACUAAUUUUUCCAACACAGUUCUAACUGUAAGAUCUGAUUCACUAGCAAUAAUAACUCGUUCGGCCAAAACCACCGGUUUAAAAUGUUUAAGCUCAGUUAUUGUUAUUAUGUUGGAGUUCUCUUAUAUACCCAAUAACAAUUCUAUUUCCAUCUGAUGUGAGACUAUUGGGGGGUCAUACCAACUAUAUUUAUCUCGUUUGAAUAGAUGCAGUAUAAAGUAUUGUGAUUAUAAAUAAUUUAUUUAGUUGUAUAUAGUUGAGAAGUGAUAAGUGCGUUUGUAAAAUUUUAUCCCUUUAUAACAUGGCGGUGAGAUCACCUCCAAUACAAAAAAAGAAAAUUAUUUUUUGUUUAAAAAGUAAUCAUGGAGGUAAGCUUAGCUACUGUUGUUGAAGUUGCGGCAAAUUUGGAUGUAAUUCCAACUGCUACAGUUGGACCUGCUCAUGCGGUUUCAACUGCAACAGUUGGAUUCAAAAGCAUCAAACUAAACACCGAAUUUGAAUUAGCAUUUUGGAAGAAAUUAAUUUAAUUUUUACUCGAAAGAUCUUCGCAUUUAUAAUUUGAUUGGAUAGUAUAUUUUGCAUAUGAAUUUAUUUAUCUUCAUCGCAACAAAAAAAAUGAAGAUCAAAUGUGAUAUCCAUUCUAAAUAUUUCGUCACACUCUUUAUCCAACAAACGCUACAUGCUUCUUAAAUAAAUAAAAAAAUAUAUUCUGAAUAAAAUGUUUACGCAUUCAAAUAGACUAAGCAUUGUAUCAUACUUACUUCUUAAAUAAAUCAAAAAAUAUUCCGAAUAAAAUGUUCACGCAUCCAAACAGACUAGGCAUUGUAUCAUAUCCGCUAAAGCUAAAAAUCUACCUUUUCUUAAUUUUAAAUUUAAAGUAAUUAAGAUUUUUAAAAUUUGAAAUUUAAUUUUAAGACUUCAAAUUUGAUUUGGUUAGGUUGAAGUUGGACUUGGCCCACUUCUUGGGCUUGAUUUCACCCAAAGCAUCCUAAAUUUUCAAUUUUUAUCCACAGCUAAAGCCUUUUUCAUAAAAUUGAAUUUAAAAAUUUUAAUUUGAGUUUGAAGCUUGCCAUAUUUGAUUAGUCUUUGAAAAAUCUUUUUAACGACAUCUUUUUUGUUGAAAAUGGAUUUUCUAAAGUCUAAUUUAGUAAUUUAUGAUCAUUUUAUUGAAAUUAUUCACUGUGCCACGUUAUCGCCACGUGGCAGCUCUUUUGCCACGUCAUCCUAGUUAAGAGGAUUUUUUUUUAAUCUUUAUAUUAUUUCUAAUAAAUUAGAAUUUGGACCUAAUACUAUACUAUCAUUUAAUUAAAGAGCAAACUUCAAAUACCACCCCUAUGGUUCAUACUUUCUCAUUUUAGUACCGGUUAAAGUAUAUUACUUUAGUAUCUUAUAAUUUUAUUUUUAUCUUUCCAAUCAGCAACUCCAUUAAUUCUCCAUUAAAUAUAUACAAAAAAUUUCAGAUACCCCACGAGUUAUUUAUUGAAUAUUUACUUUAGUACCCUAUAGUUUACCAAAUUUUUACUUUAGAAUUCUGUAGUUUUAACUUUGUCACUGAUUUAACAAAAAAAUUUAUCGGAGGAGAUAACAAAAGGGAAAAAAUAAAAUCACAUAGUAUUAAAGUGAUACAUUUAAAUUAAAUUACGGGAUACUAAAGUGGAAAAGCAUCAUCUAUCAUCAAAAUCUCUACCAUUGGAGAUUUUAUCCAUUAGAAAAGUGUUUUGAAGCUUUGGAGAGGAGCCAAGCUUCAUUGGAGAUCUUUUCAAAUUAUGGUAAAUUCCAACUUCAUAUUUAAAUUUGUUUACAAAUUUGGUAUGGUCUUGGGUGUUUAAUAGUAAUAUUGUGCUUAAAAUUUGUCAUAUUUGUUUAUAUCUUUUAAAAUAAAUUUGAUGUUUAAUAGUAGUAUUAUGCUUGGAAUUACCGGAUUAGAUAGUGUAAAUUUUGUAUUUUGUUUGGUUGCAUAUUAGUUUUGGGGAUUUUAGGAAUAAUCAGAAUGCAUCAUAAUUUUUUUCAAUUUCAGAAUUUGUAGGUAACAAUAAAAGGUUAAUGCGAUUUUGAUUAAAAGAGAGAAUACUAAAUUCAACCCUAACAGAAGAAAAAAAAUCGAUAUAGUAACAAAAAUACGGAGCUAGGCUUCUAUAUUUUCGAAAGUAAGAAGCAUCCAUACUUAUAAAUUAUUUUCGACAAUUAAAUAUCUAAUUAAGUAAUCGAUUUCGUUAGAUAUGAUCUACGCUAAUAGAACUAUCUAAAAACCAAAUUUUCAUAAUUUUUUAACUUUAUUUACCUAGUGAACAAACAAUCUCAAAAUAAACGAUUGAAAAUAAAAAUCUCAUAAAAAUAAUAAUAAAAAAUUUAAAUUUCAAAUCAAAAAAAUUGAUCUUGCUAUUAAUGUUAAAUAAAAUUUUCUAUUAAAAUUUCAUAUAAUUUAAAUUAUUCUACACUGUUGAACUUAAAAAUAUGCCACAUCGGCCGUUAAAAUAACUAUUUUUGCAACCUUUUAAUCACUUAAUAAAUAAUAUUAAAAAAUUAUAAAAUUAGAUUCCUAGAUAGUUUCAAUAACGUAAAUUAUAUCUAACGGAGCCAAUCAUCAAAUCGAAUGUCCUAUCAUCAAAAAUAAUUUAUAAGUACGAAAGACUCCGUACUAAGUACAAAAGCACAAGAUACGUACUCCAGAGAUACGUUAUUAGUUUUUUUUUAACAUAUGUCAAUAUGCAUUGAAACAAAGCACAUUCCAAAAUAACAUUCCAACUAAUCCUAAUCCUACCAUCCUCGUUCCGCAUUCUUAAGAAACCAGCAAACUAUAUUUUCGUAUCCAUAUUUCCGUAUCCGUACCUCGCACCACAGCAAUACAUACUCAUAAUAUAUACUCAUAUUAUACAGAAUUGAUUUGCUAAUCAUCAUGGUAUCAAAGAUUGAAACUAACAUAAUCCAUUGCGAACGACUAAUUUUUGACAAAGGAUUAGUGCAAGGAACUCGGUUUCUAAUGCUCUGUCUUCACUUUGGCAUCUCCGUUCGGUAAAACGUUCUGCGACUGAGUCUGCCUCUUCGACUCCUGCACAAUACAGCGGUUUAUAUUAGAUUGACAGCUUGAUGAUUGUAGAGCGCGACAAAAAAGCAAAGAUAAGUAGCAUUCCAUUCAUGUCAAAAGAAUAUCUCGCACCAUAUCAUGUGACUAGGAGUGCAACUAGGGGAGGUUGGUUAGUGGGGUACAGAAUAAUACUGAACAUUUGGGCCUGUUUGUUUCGCCGAAGGUCAAGUUCGGACAGAGGUAAACUUUCAGAAGAAUUAGAGUUUUAAGUAAAAAUUACUUUCGUUCCAUUACUUGUUUGUAUAGCUGCGGAACUGAAGUUCCUCUAGUUCUGAAGUUUGUUUGGUAGUAAGUGAAUGAUACAAAAGCUAGAGGUGAGAACGGGUUAAUAUUUUAUUAACUUUUUCCUCACUUUUUUUCACCGUAAUUAACUUCGGCUUGGGGUGGGCCAAAAUCAGCUACGGUAUAUUGGGGAGUUUGAGUUUUAACCGAAGGUGAAGUUAAGGUGAAGUUAAGGUGAACUGAACAACGAAAAUGGACAUUUAUGGCCAAAAACCAUUUCACCCUCUUCAUCUUCGGUAAAACAAACGCAUCCUAACCCAAUUCAACCCUACUUGGGAUGAUCAAGCUUUUGUGAAUUUUAAUCCAUCCCAACCUCGCAUUGUGUGCUAAAACCAAGCCUUUCUCAAGAACUCUGUAGGGUAUUGACUAUGACAAAAAUAAGCCUGCAAAACUGUAUCCUAUUCAGGCCUUUGGAACUCAAAAACACAUCCUCACAACCUGAUUCACAUAAAAGAUACCCAAAAGAUAGGGAGAGAGGCAAGUGUACAUUGGGUUGACGAGUUAGGACGAAACAACCCAAAUUGGAAAAGCACUCAGCUUUCUUAAUCCUAACCCAACGCCAAUUGUACAACCUGAUGGGAUUGGGCAGGUUGAGUCGAGCAAUAGAGCAAGGAGACAAGGCAAGGUUCUUCCAAGCAAAGGUAAUCUGGACCGCACCUAUCAAGUAAUCAAUCCUCUGCAAAGUUUGCGUCGAAAUCAAGUUAUAUGGCAUCCACUUCAGAAAAAGAGAAGCGUUACACUUUCUAAGCACGCACUUUAUGAGGCAGCAACGCUAGAAAUCUUAUGACUUGCAUUCAUAAUCUAAGAAUUGGGUUUAAAUGUACAAAUAGUCCUUAAACUUCUGGUGAAUCAGAAACUCAAAAGAUUACAAACCAAUCUCCUCUAAUGUCAUUUCUUGGUUUGUUUGCUGACCAAAAUCUACAGUAAAGAUCACUUUUUUAGUUCAAGUGCUUGUUCUAGCACGUUAGCACAUGGAUGUUUCGAAAUGUUCUCCAAAAAAAAAAAAAANCCAAUCAUUUCAAGUAAUUAACUAAAUAAUAAUUUAUUCUCAAAUAAAGAUAUUAAUUUUUUGUCAUUAGAUCUAUCUAACGAUUGAAAAUAAAAGUAUCGCAUUUAUAUCAUAAUUUCUAUCUACGUAUUUCUCAAAUAUUGUCCUUCUCAUGCGUAAUACCCACACCCGCCAAUCUUUUCUCAACGUAAUAUCUGUGAAUUUCUCAAAUAUCUCAUUAAUCCACCUAUCAUACACAUCCACCACCUACAUAAUAUCCAGUUAACUUUUCCGACACGUCGUUUCUUAAAUAUCUCAUCAAAAUUCUAAUCUUUUCUCAUCGUUUCUCAAAAAUUCUCUCAACCUAUCAUAAUUUUGAAUUAAACAUAUCAUUGCAUUUGAAUUUAAAUAUUAAAAUGGAUCAAAAUUAAAUUUUAAAUCAAAUAUGAAUUUUAUUGCGAAAAUGUUUUUAUCUUUUUAACUAAUUUUUUCAUGUCCAAAAUUUUUGAACCAUUCAUCUCAAUAAUCUAUUAAAUUUUGACGCAUUUGAAUUUAAAUCGUAAAAUAGAUCAAAAUUAAAUUUUAAAGUUUGAAUUAACCAUGAAUUUCUUUCCAAAAAUAUCUCUAUUUUUUUUUACUAAUUUUUCAUAGAUAGAAAUUUUGAACCAUUCAUUUUGAACCAUUAUUUCAAAUAAUUCAUUAAAUUUUGGAUUUCUCAAAAAUAUAUAAUUUCUCUACUACCCACGCAUUUGAAUUUAAAUCUUAAAUUAGAUUAANGCUAUAGAAAAAGAAAAAGUAAUAAACCUUCAACACAACAAACAUAUCAGUUCGAAUUUUAUGCAAAUAAAAAGAACUUAAAAAAACUGAAUAAAACUACCUAAGAAAUUUCAACGUUACCAUAUAAAGAAUAUGUAAAUUUUUUAAAAGAACUUUUGAAUUUUGGAGGAAGGCACGAUUUGAUGAAGAUGACAGCACCAAGCUCGGUGAUGUAGCAUGCAAAAUCAUACUCCGUCGACAGAACGUGCUCGAUCUUGGCCUCGGAGCUCAUGGAGGAGAAAGAGAAAGUAGAGAAGGAGAGAAGAGGGCUUUUCAUAAGUUUCUAUGAUUUACAGUUUAGAUUAGGGUUAAGAUGGGCGGACCAUUAAUUAGACGUUAUGUGUGGAAGAAGGCGAAGUGUUGAGUUAAGGUAGGUGGACCAUUAAUUAGACGUUAUGGGUGCAUGGAGGGAAGGCGAAGUGUUGAGUUAAGGUGGGUGGACCAUUAAUUAGACGUUAUGGGUGGAGGGAAUGCGAAGGGUUGGUUUCGCAAUAUGAAGUCCAAAACAAAAGAAAACACGCCACGUGGCUUUUCUUUUGGGGACAUGUGACUUUGAAAUAAAAUCCCCUUCAUUAUAGGUGACUUUGAAAUAGAGCUCUCAACAAUUAUGUAUUUAUUUUUAAUUGAUAUCUUUCUGACUUUAAUUUUUUAUUAAUUAAUUAAUUUAGUUUUAUUUGAUACAGAGUAGUUAAUUAAUUUAUUUUUUAAAAUUUAGUAUCUACUGUUUAGGAUUUAAAAAUUUUGGUUAAAUUUUUAGUUUAUUCGACAAAAUUAAUAGCUAUAUGCGUGUUAAUAAAAAAAAAAAUUAAGAGAAAUUGUCUAAAAAUGAGGGGAGUUCGUAUAUUUUUAUCUAAAGAAAUUAUAUAAUUUUUUAUCAAUUAAAUAGAUCUCUAAUGUGGAAGAUUUGCAUGAAAACUUAAAUAAUAUGUAGAAAAAGAAUAUUCUAAUGAGAUUUUAUUAAUUAAUAAUAUUUUGCUUACUGUUUGAAUGAUAUGAUUAGGGGCCUGAUUCAUAAAUCGCCUAAAAUUGAGGGCCUUCAAACAUUUUUUUAUCAUAAUAUGAUUUGUAUUCAUUAAAGGGGUCUCAAGUAUAAAAUUUUUUUAAUGCAAAAUAAAAUAGUAUGAAUGGCAUGGCCUAAAUCAUUUUUUAUAUAAAAAGUUUGCAUGACNACCCUCAAGUUUUUCCCUCAACUUUUUUUUCUUUUCUUUUUCUUUUUUUUUUUGGCUAAAAUCAGAUCACAUUUAUCCGAAAUAUAGACAAUGUUAAGUCGGCUACGGCUACGUAAUAUUUUAACAUUUUGAUUAUACGUUUUUUUUUACUUUAUUUAAUUUGAGUCGAUCAAUUAUAUUUUAAUUUUUAAAAUUAAACAUAAUUAAUAUUUUAAUAUUUUUACUUUAAAAUAUAUAUAUUUAAUUUUAAAUUCGUUAGAAACAAAAAAGUAUAGCGAAAUAUUCAAUAUUUUUUUCUAUGUAAUACCUACCCGCCAUCUAUGCAUAAUAUAAAAAAUAUCUUAAUACCCUCGCAUAAAAAAUUUUCAUUCCCUACCCAAUUUCUCAUCAUAAUACUUAUCCAUACAUAAAGUAUAUCUUUUUUUAAUAUUUCCCAUCUCCGUCUAUACGUUUUUUAAAUAUAAAUUAGAUCUUUUUUCAUUUGUACUCUACGUUUUCUCAAAUAUAUUAUUUUUGUUUCCUCAAAUAUAUUAUUAUUUUAGUAAUAUUUAUUCGUUCCCCAUCGUCGUCUUCUGUCACCUUUGCCACAGUUGGAAAGAUAUUUUGGCUCCACCUAAUCCACCUAAUUCAUUUUAACGUAUCAUAAUAUAAUUUCCUAUCUAAUUCGUCUUUCAUAUAUUUUAUUUUAUUUUUAAAAUUUUUAAAUGUUAAUAAGUUUGCAUCUUCAUGACCUUUUAUCUCUCAUAUUAAUUACGCAAAUCAUCGUCCUUCCGAUAUAUCGUUGUCGUCCUCACCGGCGGCGACAAGUCAUCGUCGCCACCUUCGCCGAUCAUCGUCACCUUCACUAGCACAUCGUCAUCGUUACUUUUGCCAGCACUUCGACGUCAUCCUACUGAUCAGAAUAAUCAUUUUUCCGACAAUUGGAAAUGUAUUUUGGUGCUACAUGAUAUUCUCAAUGUAUACCUAAUUCUUUAUUUCAGUUUCUAACUUAAAUUUACUAGCUAAGUGCACCUGAAAUACACCUUACAUAAAAUAUUAAAAAUAUAAUAUAUAUAUAUACUAUUUAAAAUUUUUGAAAAACUAAAUGCACAACUUUUAAUUUUUUAAAGAAAUUUAAUUUUUUUCAAACUUCUAAUAGACGUAGAUUAAAUUCUACGAAAAUUUAAAAACCAAACAAUAAUAAAAAUUCUUUUACAAAUAAAAAAAUUCUUUAAAAUGAUAUUAGGAAAAAACUCAAAACAACGUAACAAUUCAAAAUCAUAAUAAAUGAAAUAGCCCAAUGUGCCAUACAUCACGCAUGAUUAAACAUAUGUAAGCAUUACACGAUUUAUUUAUUUAAAAAUAAUAAAAUAUUUUUUUAAAAUUUAAAAGGAUAAAAUAUUAACAACCUUUAAAUUUUAAAUAGGUCAUAAAAAAUUAAUAUAAUCAAAAUAUAUUACUAUNCGACAGGGCAACCCCAUAGCGAUAUUGAGUCGGUAGUCGCCUCAGGCGUACUAGAGGGCCGCAUCGCUGCGCGAAUGAUUAGCAACUGAUCAAUAUUAGUAUCUAUAAUUUGGUACGUAGGCUGUGGCUAUCUAUUUAUACACUUUAUUUUGAGUUUGUAAGGAUUUUGCAUAUAAGCAUAUAUUUUGCAUUUUUGUUUGGGUUAUGUUUAAAAGUCUCAUUGCGGCAGUAUUUACUAAUCGCAAGCCAUUGAUGUAUUUUUUUUUUAAUCUUUUUGAAAACCCGCGCGUUGCGGCGGAUAGAUACUACUAAAAUAAAUUUAAUGUCUAACUAAUAUAUCAAAAGUUUGUUGUUAUUUUAAAAAUCAAAAUAGUCCAAACAUAUUGGGUUUUUGCAAAAGUAUAUUAAUCUGCUGAAACCGAUUAGUAACAAAAUGCUCAUAGAAAGAUAAUAAAUAUGUCAACUUGUUGAGCCAAAAAAUGACAUACUAUUUGGAAGAGAUUUAGAUAAAAUAUUCGAUAAAAAUUAACAUUUUAUAAAUCAAAAUAAUCAAAGGGUUAAACUUUUUUGUAUAAGUUAUAUCUUUGUAACUUCAUUUUCUUAUAAGCUAUAAUAUUUACCCCUUCAAGAAAAUGAAGAUCGUUUUAGAUCAUUAUCAAUCUAAUUUUGUAAACAUUCUUAUAUCAAUUAAUAAAAAGAGUCAUAAAAGUAGAAAAAAAAGUAAGUAUAUGAAAAGUUAUAUAAUAAAUUUUUGAAAGACAAAAAGAUAUACAACCUAAUACAGCCUAAGACAGUAAUAUAAUACACAAUUUUACUUUAAAAAAAUAUAUAAAAAAUAAAUGAUAGAAAAAGAAAAAGUAAUAAACCUUCAACACAACAAACACAUCAGUUCGAAUUCCAUGCAAAUAAAAAAACUUAAAAAAACUGAAUAAAACUACCUAAGAAAUUUCAACGUUACAACAUCAAGAAUAUAUAAAUUUUUUAAAAGAACUUUUGAAUUUUGGAGUAAGGCACAAUUUGAUGAAGAUGACAGCACCAAGCUCGGUGAUGCAGCGUGCAAAAUCAUACUCCGUCCACAGAACGUGCUCGAUCUUGGCCUCGGAGCUCAUGGAGGAGGAAGAGAAAGUAGAGAAGGAGAUAAGAGGGCUUUUCAUAGGAUUCUAUGAUUUACAGUUUAAAUUAGGGUUAAGAUGGGCGGACCAUUAAUUAGACGUUAUGUGUGGAGGGAAGGUGAAGUGUUGAGUUAAGGUAGGUGGACCAUUAAUGGGUGCAUGGAGGGAAGGCGAAGUGUUGAGUUAAGGUGGGUGGACCAUUAAUUAGACGUUAUGGGUGGAGGGAAGGCGAAGGGUUGGUUUCGCAAUAUGAAGUCCAAAACUAAAGAAAACACGCCACGUUGCUUUUCUUUUGGGGAUAGGUGACUUUGAAAUAAAAUCUCCUUCAUUAUAGGUGACUUUGAAAUAGAGUUCUCAAUAAUUAUGUAUUUAUUUUUAAUUGAUAUCUUUCCGACUUUAAUUUUUUAUUAAUGAGGGGAGUUCGUAUAUUUUUAUCUAAAGAAAUUAUAUAAUUUUUUAUCAAUUAAAUAGAUCUCUAAUGUGGAAGAUUUGCAUGAAAACUUAAAUAAUAUGUAGAAAAAGAAUAUUCUAAUGAGAUUUUAUUAAUUAAUAAUAUUUUGCUUACUGUUUGAAUGAUAUGAUUAGGGGCCUGAUUCAUAAAUCGCCUAAAAUUGAGGGCCUUCAAACAUUUUUUUAUCAUAAUAUGAUUUGUAUUCAUUAAAGGGGUCUCAAGUAUAAAAUUUUUUUAAUGCAAAAUAAAAUAGUAUGAAUGGCAUGGCCUAAAUCAUUUUUUAUAUAAAAAGUUUGCAUGACUUAAAUCAUUUUUGACAUAAUUUAUAAAAUUGAAGGGAUUUCAGGUAUAAAUAUCAUUUUUUGUCCUAACAAAGUGGCUUUUUUAUAAAUAGUAUAAAAGAAAAUUUUUUAUGGCCAAAUGUUGAGAUCUAAAAUUUAAUUUAUCUAAAUGUUCAAUUGAGCAAUAAUUUUUUUACUAUCUUAUGCAAAUAUAAUAAAAUUAUUAAAUUAUAAAUAUUCACUAAUAAUUUAUUUAAAAAUUAUAUAUUAUACAUCAAUCAUGUCCAAUCUUAAUUAUUUUGAAAAAAAUAUUUUUUAUUUUUUUAAAUAUGUGACGUGCAUUGCACGUGCACUCUACUAGUAUAAUAUAAAUUGCAUCUCUCAGAUUAAUUUUAAUUAUACUAUAUUUAUUAUUAAAUAAAUUAGUUCAAUAUAUGUGAUAUAUUAAUAGAUCCGGUGUAGAUAUUAUUUUUCAUAUUUAAGAAUGAGAGAAAGUUGAGGAGAAUUGAAAGAAAAGCUACACGUAGUAGUAAAACUCUCAUUUCGUAUAUUUAUAUAUAUAUAUAUAUAUUUUUUUUUAUGCUAUAUUUUUUAAAUCUCAUAUGAGAAUUUUUGGUUUGUUACUUGUUGCUACUUACUUCUAGGUUGUAUUUUUUAUUUUGUUUCUUCACUACUCAACCCCAUCUUCCUCAAAUUCUUUCUUAAUGGAUGAGAUGAGGGACGAAAGAGGAAAGCCCCCAUUUUUCUCAAUUUCUUUCCAGAAGUGCCCCCCACACUCUCUCCCCACCCUAUAUAUACAUGUAAACAUAGUCAUUCAACCAUGCACACUUUCUCUCUCUCUCUCUCUCUCUCUCUCUCUCUCUCUCCCUCUUUCUCUCUAUCUCUCUCCUUGCCCGCGUACGCAAGCACACCUCUGUCUCUCUCUAUGUCCACAAUAACGAGCUUGCUGCUUUCGCCAAACUUUCACCAAGAGCAAUCGACAGAAAGUUCCCCCAAAGUAGGAAUCACUGUCGGGAUAAAUGUCCCCCAAAGUAGGGAUCAUUGUCGGGAUAAAUGUCGGGAUGAGUGUUCAAGGGAUGAUUGCUACUGCGGCAACCGGCCUACUCAUCUACUGCAUAUGGAAAAGGAGGCGUUCAGGCCCCCGCAGGAACAACAAAGGCUCCACGACAGGGCAACCCCAUAGCGAUAUUGAGUCGGUAGUCGCCUCAGGCGUACUAGAGGGCCGCAUCGCUGCGCGAAUGAUUAGCAACUGAUCAAUAUUAGUAUCUAUAAUUUGGUACGUAGGCUGUGGCUAUCUAUUUAUACACUUUAUUUUGAGUUUGUAAGGAUUUUGCAUAUAAGCAUAUAUUUUGCAUUUUUGUUUGGGUUAUGUUUAAAAGUCUCAUUGCGGCAGUAUUUACUAAUCGCAAGCCAUUGAUGUAUUUUUUUUUUAAUCUUUUUGAAAACCCGCGCGUUGCGGCGGAUAGAUACUACUAAAAUAAAUUUAAUGUCUAACUAAUAUAUCAAAAGUUUGUUGUUAUUUUAAAAAUCAAAAUAGUCCAAACAUAUUGGGUUUUUGCAAAAGUAUAUUAAUCUGCUGAAACCGAUUAGUAACAAAAUGCUCAUAGAAAGAUAAUAAAUAUGUCAACUUGUUGAGCCAAAAAAUGACAUACUAUUUGGAAGAGAUUUAGAUAAAAUAUUCGAUAAAAAUUAACAUUUUAUAAAUCAAAAUAAUCAAAGGGUUAAACUUUUUUGUAUAAGUUAUAUCUUUGUAACUUCAUUUUCUUAUAAGCUAUAAUAUUUACCCCUUCAAGAAAAUGAAGAUCGUUUUAGAUCAUUAUCAAUCUAAUUUUGUAAACAUUCUUAUAUCAAUUAAUAAAAAGAGUCAUAAAAGUAGAAAAAAAAGUAAGUAUAUGAAAAGUUAUAUAAUAAAUUUUUGAAAGACAAAAAGAUAUACAACCUAAUACAGCCUAAGACAGUAAUAUAAUACACAAUUUUACUUUAAAAAAAUAUAUAAAAAAUAAAUGAUAGAAAAAGAAAAAGUAAUAAACCUUCAACACAACAAACACAUCAGUUCGAAUUCCAUGCAAAUAAAAAAACUUAAAAAAACUGAAUAAAACUACCUAAGAAAUUUCAACGUUACAACAUCAAGAAUAUAUAAAUUUUUUAAAAGAACUUUUGAAUUUUGGAGUAAGGCACAAUUUGAUGAAGAUGACAGCACCAAGCUCGGUGAUGCAGCGUGCAAAAUCAUACUCCGUCCACAGAACGUGCUCGAUCUUGGCCUCGGAGCUCAUGGAGGAGGAAGAGAAAGUAGAGAAGGAGAUAAGAGGGCUUUUCAUAGGAUUCUAUGAUUUACAGUUUAAAUUAGGGUUAAGAUGGGCGGACCAUUAAUUAGACGUUAUGUGUGGAGGGAAGGUGAAGUGUUGAGUUAAGGUAGGUGGACCAUUAAUGGGUGCAUGGAGGGAAGGCGAAGUGUUGAGUUAAGGUGGGUGGACCAUUAAUUAGACGUUAUGGGUGGAGGGAAGGCGAAGGGUUGGUUUCGCAAUAUGAAGUCCAAAACUAAAGAAAACACGCCACGUUGCUUUUCUUUUGGGGAUAGGUGACUUUGAAAUAAAAUCUCCUUCAUUAUAGGUGACUUUGAAAUAGAGUUCUCAAUAAUUAUGUAUUUAUUUUUAAUUGAUAUCUUUCCGACUUUAAUUUUUUAUUAAUUAAUUAAUUCAGUUUUAUUUGAUAUAGAGUAGUUAAUUAAUUAAUUUUCUAAAAUUUAGUAUUUAUUGUUUAGGAUUUAAAAAUUUUGGUUAAAUUUUUAGUUUAUUCGACUAAAUUAGUAGCUAUAUGCAGGUUAAUAAAAAAAAAAUUAGGAAAAAUUGUCUAAAAAUGAGGGAGAGUUCGUACAUUUUUAUCUAAAUAAAUUAUAUAAUUUUUUAUCAAUUAAAUAGAUCUCUAAUGUGGAAGAUUUGCAUGAAAACUAAAUAAUAUGUAGAAAAAGGAUAUUCCAAUGAGAUUUUAUUAAUUAAUAAUAUUUUGCAUACUAUUUGAAUGAUAUGAUUAGGGGCCUGAUUCAUAAAUCGCCUAAAAUUGAGGGCCUUCAGACAUUUUUUUAUCAUAAUAUGAUUUGUAUUCAUUAAAGGGGUCUCAAGUAUAAAAUUUUUUUAAUGCAAAAUAAAAUAGUAUAAAUGGCAUGGCCUAAAUCAUUUUUUAUAUAAAAAGUUUGCAUGAUUUAAAUCAUUUUUGACAUAAUUUAUAAAAUUGAAGGAUUUCAGGUAUAAAUGUCAUUUUUUGUCCUAAAAAAGUGGCUUUUUUAUAAGUAGUAUAAAAGAAAAUUUUUUAUGGCCAGAUGUAGAGAUCGAAAAUUUAAUUUAUUUAAAUGUUCAAUUGAAAAAUAAUUUUUUUAUUAUCUUAUGCAAAUAUAAUAAAAUUAUUAAAUUAUAAAUAUUCACUAAAAAUUUAUUUAAAAAUUAUAUAUUACAUAUCAAUCAUGUCCGAUCAUAAUUAUUUUGAAAAAAUAUUUUUUUAUUUUUUUAAAUAUGUGACGUGCAUUGCACGUGCACUCUACUAGUAUAAUAUAAAUUGCAUCUCUCAAAUUAAUUUUAAUUAUACUAUAUUUAUUAUUAAAUAAAUUAGUUCAAUAUAUAUGAUAUAUUAAUAGAUCCGGUGUAGAUAUUAUAUUUUAUAUUUAAGAAUGGGAGAAAGUUAAGAGGAAUUGAAAGGAAAGCUACACGUAGCAGUAGAACUCUCAUUUCGUAUAUUUAUAUAGAUAUAGAUUUUUUUUAAGCUAUAUUUUUUAAAUCUCAUAUGAAUAUUUUUGGUAUGUUACUUGUUGCUACUCACUUCUGGAUUGUAUUUUUGAUUUUGCUUCUUCACUACUCAAUCCCAUCUUCCUCAAAUUCUUUCUUAGUGGAUGAGAUGAGGGACGAAAGACGAAAGCCCCUAUGUUUUUUUCCAGAAGUGCCCCCCACACUCCCUCCCCACCCUAUAUAUACACGUAAACAUAGUCAUUCAACCAUGCACACUUUCCCCCCCCUCUCUCUCUCUCUCUAUUUCUCUCUCUCCCUCUCCCUUUCCCUCUCUCUCUCUCUCCCUGCCCGCGUACUCAAGCACACCUCUGUCUCUCUCUAUGUCCACAAUAACGAGCUUGCUGCUUUCGCCAAACAUUGACCAAGAGCAAUCGACAAAAAGUUCCCCCAAAGUAGGGAUCACUGUCGGGAUAAAUGUCGGGAUGAGUGUUCAAGGGAUGAUUGCUGCUGCGUCAAUCAGCCUACUCAUCUACUGCAUAUGGAAAAGGAGGCGGUCUGGCCCCAGCAGGAACAACAGAGGCUCCACGACAGGGCAACCCCAUAGCGACAUUGAGUCAGUAGUCGCCUCAGGCAUACUAGAGGGCCACCUUGUUGUGCGAAUGAUCAGCAACUGAUCAAUAUUAAUAUCUAUAAUUUGGUAUGUAGGCUGUGGCUAUCUAUUUAUGCACUUUAUUUUGAGUUUGUAAGGAUUUUGCAUAUAAGCAUAUAUUUUGCAUUUUUAUUUGGGUUAUGUUUAAAAGUCUCCUUGCGGCAGUAUUUACUAACUGCAACCUAUCGAUGUAUUUUUUUUAAUCUUUUAAUAACCUGCGCGUUGCGUGUCACGCCCCGGAUUACACGUUUCCCCGGGUACGUCAACAAACCCGCUGUAUACAUAGAAAUUUUUCCUGUAUACGAAGCGAUAGCUGUACCUGUAAACAAAUUCAAGCUACAACUAGUAGUAUAGAGUUGCUAAACUGAACUAAAUAUAAAUAACAUCAAGUUCACUAUAUAUACAAAGUCUCCCAGAUACAACAUCUCUCGCUCCAGCGAGUAACUAGCAUAAGUAUGUACAUAAACCAAAAACCAAAACUACAUGUAGCUAGUUCUCCUCUAGUAUUGCAACCAGUGAAGGGUUUAGCUCGUGACUCCCUUUCCACGAUCAGAAUCGGCGACAGCACCAGCCGCAGAAAAAGGCUUUACAAAAAGGGGUCAACAACUGGGUGUGAGAACUACUACAAAAAGAAGUAGUCCUCAGUGGGUACCGCUACCGACCUCAACGGCUCACCCACUAAGUCUACAGAAAAUAUGCACAAGGAUAGUAAAGGAAGCUGGAAAAACUCUACAGCUACAUGCCACUAUAAUAUCGCUGACCACUAUUCUGUAGAUAUAGCAAUGCACUCUCUAACCCAAUCUCACUAGGGACUGUGAACGCACCCGUCUCGCUUGUCGAAACUACACCAACCACCACCACGUUGGGUUGUUGGUGGAGAGCAAGUCCAACCAGGACACUACGACAUCAACGCGAACGCACAAAGCCCAACUCUAGAGUGGCAUUCGUGGGCGCUACCCAACCGAGUAUGCAAGCGUUUCUCUGCCGAGCUCAAUUAGGCUCUCACAAGCUAUAAUCAAAGCAAAUGAGUCUAACUGGUCUAACAGCCAAAGCUCACGUGCCCUCGGCACAAUCUGAUACAAAUACAGAAAUCUGGGUCCACCGUCAACCGCGACAGCACCCGACAGUCUGAAACAGUCUACACACUACUGUAAAAAUAAACUCGGCCUCCGAGCACAAGUGCAAACUCAUCCUACACUAAUCUGGAUAUCUAUCGCAUACUAACAGCGAUGAUACAACCAAACCACAGCUCCUAAAACUAAAUCUGGUAAUUUUCAAAAAUGACAAUGUAGAUUCUAAAUGUUUUCUCCUAAGUCAAUUCCAAGUCCAACAUAUAAAAUUAAACUGCUAGCUUAACUCCAAAUUCAGAUUUAAACACUACUCCAUGAAUUCGAGUACUAGCAUGGAAAUAUACAAAUGAUACAUAUUGAUGAUGCUAAAACUUAGAAGAUAUUCUGACGAUUUCGGUAAAUUUCAACCCACCUCGAAAAGCCCGUCCAAUUACGGCGAGAAGUCGAAAGGAGGGAAAACACACGCUCGCCUGGCCUCCCAACGACAUAACCGCAACGCACGCGCUCCCAAACGGCCCUCCGAAAUGACGUUGAAAAUCUCCCGAGCUCGAGCUACGGCCUUCACCAAGCAUACGAUUAAAAACUAUAGAGAGAAAGGAAAAUGGGAAAAAGCACACUCUCAGCUAAUUAAGUUGAUAACCAUGAGAAAGGGUAGGUGGCAUCCUUAUCCACUAACAAAAUGACCACCAUACCCUUUACCAACUCAAAGUGACAGCUGGAGUACCGGUACCCGAUUUGGUUACCGGUACUCGGCCUCUUAACCCGCAAGCGCGCACACAGGGUAUCAGUACCAGUCCGAUACCGUACCGGUACUCAGCAUCAAAUUGGCGCAACCCGAGAGCAGUUUCUUUGGAAAUACACUAGGGUACCGGUACUCCCCUGUCUGGUACCGGUACUCAAUACUGAAAAUAUGUACGUUGCGGAUUCCAAUGUUAAAAUUCUGCUCGCGCGUCGCACUGGCUCCAUUUUACGUCCAUUUCACGCCAAAACGACUCCGACUUGUCCUAACACUCUCUAGAUGUGUCGACAAGCCUCAGAUGCUGAAAUCUCGCGGACAACCAAACACCAGGGACACUACAUUGCGGCGGAUAGAUAUUACUAAAAUAAAUUUAAUGUCUAACUAAUGUAUCAAAAGUUUAUUGUUAUUUUAAAAAUCAAAAUAGUCCAAACAUAUUGGGUUCUUGCAAAAGUAUAUUAAUCUACUGAAGCCGAUUAGUAACAAAAUGCUCAUAGAAAGAUAAUAAAUAUUUCAACCUAUUGAGCCAAAAAAUGACAUACUAUUUGGAAGAGAUUUAGAUAAAAAAAUUCAAUAAAAAUUAACAUUUUAUAAAUCAAAAUAAUCAAAGGUUUAAACUUUUUUGUAUAAGUUAUAUCUUUGUAACUUCAUUUUCUCUAUAAGCUAUAAUAUUUACCCCUUCAAGAAAAUGAAGAUCUUUUUAGAUCAUUAUCGAUCUAAUUUUGUAAACAUUCUUAUAUCAGUUAAUAAAAAGAGUCAUGAAAGUAAAAAAAAAAAAAAAAGUAAGUAUAUGAAAAGUUAUAUAAUAAAUUUUUAAGAGACAAAAGGAUAUACAACCUAACACAACCUAAUACAGUAUAUAUAAUACAAAAUUUUACUUUCGAAAAAAAAUAUAAAGAAUAAAUGAUAGAAAAAGAAAAAAUAAUAAACCCUCAACACAACAAACAAAUCAGUUCGAAUUCCAUGCAAAUAAAAAGAACUUAAAAAAACUGAAUAAAACUACCUAAGAAAUUUCAACGUUACAACAUAAAGAAUAUGUAAAUUUUUUAAAAGAACUUAUGAAUUUUGGAGUAAGGCACGAUUUGAUGAAGAUGACAGCGCCAAACUCGUACAUUUUUAUCUAAAUAAAUUAUAUAAUUUUUUAUCAAUUAAAUAGAUCUCUAAUGUGGAAGGUUUGCAUGGAAACUAAAUAAUAUGUAGAAAAAGAAUAUUCCAAGGAGAUUUUAUUAAUUAAUAAUGUUUUGCAUACUGUUUGAAUGAUAUGAUUAGGGGCCUGAUUCAUAAAUCGCCUAAAAAUUGAGGGCCUUCAAAUAUUUUUUCAUCAUAAUAUGGUUUGUAUUCAUUAAAGGGGUAUCAAGUAUAAAAAUUUUUUAAUGCAAAAUAAAAUAGUAUGAAUGGCAUAACCUAAAUUAUUUUUUAUAUAAAAAGUUUGCAUGGCUUAAAUCAUUUUUUUGCAUAAUUUAUAAAAUUAAAGGGAUUUCAGUAUAAAUGUUAUUUUUUGUCCUACAAAAGUAGCCUUUUUAUAAGUAAUAUAAAAGAAAAUUUUUUAUGACUAGAUGUAGAGAUCUAAAAUUUAAUUUAUCUAAAUGUUCAAUUGAACACUAAUUUUUUUUACUAUCUUAUGCAAAUAUAAAAAAAUUAUUAAAUUAUAAAUAUUGACUAAUAAUUUAUUUGAAAAUUAUAUAUUACAUAUCAAUCAUAUCCGAUCUUAAUUAUUUUGAAAAAAAUAUUUUUUAUUUUUUUAAUACGUGACGUGCAUUGUACGUGCACUCUGCUAGUUUUUAUAAAAGUUAUGAAUGGUUUACUAAUGCUGUCAUAAUUUCUAACUGAUAUAAAAAAAAAUUAAAAAAAAGAGGGAGACAGAAAAGAAAGCGAAGAGAAAACAUUAAAAGCAGCGAACAAUUCAUUAAUUUCAUAUUGAGAUUUUACUGUAUAAUAAAAAUGAUAAAUAAUUCAUUAUCUCGUUAUAAAAGUAUUGAGAAAAUAAUAAAUUAUUUACAGUUUUUCAGGAAAAAAAUGACAAACAAUUCACUUUUUUUUUUUUUUUUUUUCAUUUCCUAUGUAUUCAAUCCAAUGCUUACAUGACCCUAAUGUGACAAAAAGUAAACUAGUUCUGCAAAGGGUUAGAUUACUAAUUUUAGAAUUAUCGAAGGUUAUUUUAAUUUAUUCGUUAGAAAUUAAAAAAGCAGUUCUUUUAUCAGCAGGCGCUCUCAAUUUUAAUUUUAACCAUUAGGCUCUCUAAACUUUAUCACAUAAUCAAUCAAAAUGGCUAAUUAUAUAAUGGUUUUUUAAUUUUCCUUUUUAUAAUAAGAUUCGUUUUUUAAUGGCAUUUUUUUAAAAAAAUUUCAGCUAAAAUUUCCGUUUAAUCAAAGUAAAAUUUGAGUAAAAAAUAGGUUAAAUUAAGUUUCUUGUGUCAAAAACUCCAUUGAAUCUAACAAAAGAAGUCGCAUCAGUACCGAAUAAUGUUUAUUGCAUCAAUAAUAAAAUGUGACAAUUUUCGUCCAAUUUUACGACGUAAACCACAAAAAAAAUCUCAAAAUUGCUUGCAUCUUUCACCGAACAAGCCUGAUUGUGGCAGUUCAUCUUCUUAACUGUGAUCUAAUUCAGCUUCCUCACAAAGCUGCAGUCCUUCUUAGCAGCUUUUGAGGCAAUCAUCAGGGCAGCCAAAUUUACCUCAACAUAAAAACAAACAUUUCUGUACAGUCCACAGCAGUGUCAGCAUUGCAGAAAUUGCCAGCAGAAAACAUUCUUCAUGUCAGUUCCUCUCACAAUAAAAAUUUAUCAUGAUCUUCCUUAUUUCAAGCAAUGUGAACAUGACAGUCUGAGAUGUAUCCAUUUGUGCAGCAGUAAGUUCAGAAAACUGCAGUUCAAAACUGUUAAGCAAGUAAAGACGAAAGGAUUCGACAUACUAUGAUGAAAAAAAUUUGCAUUAGAUGUAAAUUAUUUUGUAUUUUACAUUCCUAUUAUAGAUUGUUCAGUAUAUCCGAAAACAUCAAGAACAGCAAAAAUGAUGAUCUAUCAAACUGUGAAUUGUAGGAUAAUAAGAUGCAUAAACAAAAUAUAGAUCCAAAAUAUUAUACCAUAAAGCAAUCCAUCUCACGAAAACAUGCGCAUCGUCAGCAAAUGGAACCCAAAAUACCAAAAACACUACAAUUCGAAGCCCACAUGCAACCGAGUAAUUACCUACAUUAAAAAGACGAAGAAACAAAAGAUAAUGAACACAUAUCUGGAAAAUGGAUUGCUGCUUCUUAUGCGCAGCAGCGUUUGCGUAUAAGAACUCGCAUUUCCCCGCUAGAUAUUAGCUGAAAGAUGCAUUUAUCUCCCUCCUCCAAGUUAUUCCCCACAGCAAACUCCCUCCACCCUCGAUGAAUCCGGCUAUCUCUUUUCCCAUUCCAUAAUGUCACAGGCCAUGAUCUCUUUUUCGGAUCUUUAAGUACAAUCUCCCUCCUCAGGAGCCCGUACGAUGAACGGAAACUCAUUGGAACGCUCUACGUAAUUCAAUUGAGUUUCACUUAAGCACAUAAAUAAUAGGACUAUAAUGGUUACGAACUGUUCUGUUAAGAACGUAGCGAACUAACCAGGCACAAGCGACGACGAAUGUUUCCGCUGACGUUGCAAGAUCUCAUUAUCUUCUCAAAAUGCGGUGGACACGGCGCGGAGUUUUCGUUCUCAACCGAUUUCUUCUUUGCUGAAAAACCCGGAGGAGUGCGCGGCUCUUCGGUAUCUUGUUGAUCAUCUGAAUGGCACUUACAUGCAAAGUAAAUAUUGUCACAUGAGAAGAUUUGGCAAUUACUCGAAAUACUCACAACUACGAAUGUCGUCGCGGUUUUCAUCUUUGGUUUCACCCAAACUUCUCUUCGAAACUCUGUGGACGAUCUUACCACGCAGCUUACGGCAUCCGCUCGUGUCGAACACUUUGGCCUUGAAGACCAUGUUUCCUUCGUAGCGAAACAGGACGAAAUCGCCUGCGACUAAUUCGUGGGCCUGCGAGAACUCGCGCCAGCCAUUGUCGAAGUACAGUCUGUCGUCUCCAUCUCUGACGAGAGUUAUGUGCCAAAACUUGCCGAGGGGGCUAAACAAGGUUGCAGUUGCAUUACGCUUUUUCGUGAGAAGCUCAGCAAUCGGUCGAGGAAUCGGCUGCAAUAAAAUAUCAAAUGCGAAUCACUUCUAUUUCUUCUCAAGAAAUUUAACAAACUGAGCAUAAUAGUACAGUCCUGUCAAUUAUUCGCAAGCCCGAUUAGCGUUAAAAGCUUGAUUCGAUGUCUAAACAUCUUGUUCGUAAUACAUUCUCUUCGUUACGUUAUCUUGAAAAACAUGACUACAAUCACAAAAGAAAAUCGGCAUAAUGUGUAAGUUAUCACUUCAGAAGUUAUCGUAACAUCCGAAUAGAAGCUAAAAUCGACCACAUAUCUCGACUAAUUGGUGAACUUUAGGGAUGCUUUUACUUUUACUUUUGGUUCGUUUGAUUGGAGUUAUUUCGAUUAGUCAAAUUGCAAGGUUUGGAAUUUAACUGCUGUAAUGGCUUUUUUAGCUUGUUGAACUGCAACUUCUUAAACUGUCAAAAUUUGAUAGCCUAUAGUUGAGGGGUCAAUUUCAAAAUAACCUACAGUUGAGGCGGUCAAUUUCAAAAUAACCUACAGUUGAUGGGGUCCCCAUACAUUUUGACAUUUCUUUUUUUGGCUAUAUUACAAAAAACCCCUCACACUUUGCUCUGCAUCCGAUUACAGGACUACACCACUGUCUCAAAUUUAUCCAAUUUUGGUAAUAAUGUGUGGGGACUCCCUCAACUAUAUGCCAUUCUGAAAUAGACCCCUUAACUUUUCAUUUUUUUAUUUUUUAUAUUUACACUCCUUUAACUUCUAAGUUUUUGUAUUUGAGUUUUUACAGUUAAUCAAGUUAAAGGAUUUUGUUAAAUUCUAUGGAUUUGUUAGCUAUUAACAGUUAAUUAAUCGAGCUUUAUUCGCUGCAAAGUAACUUGAACUAUAAAAUGUGAUGAACUUAUUAUCAAUCAAUUUGGUAAAAUUCCCCAUUUAUUUGGCUAAAGUCGCUCAAUUCCACACGAUUUUACCAACAAUUUUUACCAACUUUAUCCACCAACCUAUUUAUCAAAAUAUCUGCAUCUAAAUUCAGCAAUCAUUUCAAAUUCUCGAACAUACUCAAGUUUCAGUAAAGUGCAGUGUUGAAAUUGAUGCGAUCUUUUAUGUCAGGGUAAUUGAGACAGAAGAUAAAGUGAAUCAGGACGUGGUUUUUAGUAAUUUACUUUCUAUUGUUUAACCCUAAAAAUGUGAAAAUCUGUUCUAGGGAAUAAAUUUCCAUGGAAAACACACAUUCCAAAAUUCCAUUUUUCGCGACAAAAACAUUUCCAUGAAUUCCGAAAAAAAAAAAAGUACAGGAAACAUUUUAAAGUUAAGGACUGUUUGGUUUCUCGAAAAAGUACGGAAAAAAAUUCCAAGAAAAGAGUUCUUCACAGAGAAACACUUUUUCAGAGUUUUCUGUCCUUUGGUUGACAAAAAACUAGCUUUUCUGGAUUUUUUUUUUCCAAAUUUCAUAAAAAAUUAGUGUGAGAAAUAAAACAGUGGUUUCCAAUAAAUAUGAAUAUUUUUUUAAAAAAGCUAGUUUUUCUCUUGGAUUCAAAGGAGCGGAAAUAUUGGAAAAGACUUUUUUCUCAUAUUUUUUUUUUUCAUACUUUUCCGUAAACGGACGGAAAAAUACUUUUCCAGUCAGAAAACUAUUUUCUGUAUUUUCUCUCUCUUUUUCCAGGGUCCAAAACACCUACUUUUUCCCUUCAAAAGAGUUAGGAAUUUCAAGACACAUCUCUUCUAGCUCCCAAAUGAUUCAUACUUUUCUUUUUUCUUUUCUGUCUUUUUUUUUUUUCUUUGAUUAACAGGGUUGAACCUAUUUUUACAAUUUCUUUCAUAUAUAAGCAUCCACACUUCCAGAACUUGAAAAGAAAAGUAAUGAAACGAAAAUUCAGUGACAACUAAGAUAACAAGCCCCAUUCAUUGAGAACAUUAGGUUUAUAUGGAUGAUAGUAGUAGUAGUAGGAGUAGUAGUAGUAGUAGUAGUGAAGAGAAGAAGAAGAAGAAGAAGAUAUAAAUAGAUAUAUAACCAGCUUUUGGAGAAACUCAGGUGGGAGCAGCAGGACAAACGGGCCUAUGAUUCUGAGAACCAUUUCUCGCACGACUGCAUGAAGCUUCACCCUGAAUGGGUCUUUGGCUUUUGAGGGAAGUGCUUUCUUCAACUGAGAGAGAGAGAGAGAAGAGAGAGGAGGUAGGGGGUGCUUUUGGAGUCCGGUUCAUGUACUCCUCAAAGGUGUUCUGGAGGUUAGAAUUUUUUUUUUUUUUUUUUAUUUUUAGCUUCUCAGAAUUUUUAUUUUUAUAAAUUACUCUACAAAAUUUAUAUUUGUACGAUGAAUCUAUUCCGUCACACAAAUGUCCCGUUCGUUAGUUAACAUGGUGAGUAAUUUACGUCUCCUUUUCAUGUUUUAUACUUAAAUUAAAUCGUAUCUUUUCUAUAUUCACCGUAUUUAUUAUAUUAAACGUUGUUAUAAGUUAAGUCACGGUAAUUAUUCAUCGUGUUUGAUACAAUGAGGGAGUGUUCGGCUCGAAGUCGGAAUCGGAAUCAGAAGAAUCGAAUAAGCUGGAAUCGGAAUCGAAAUGACUCCAUUACUUAAUUUGUUUUGAUCGUCACUGAAUCGGAAUAAAUCAUUCCAAUUAUCGUGUGUUUGUUCAGGUAAAUAUUAAAACGUAAUCAAAUUAAUAUAUCUAAAUUAUCUUUAUAAUAUAUUAUUUAAUAUUCAAAUUAAAAAUUAAUAUUAAAAUACAUUAAAUUUUAAAUCAUUUUUUUAAAAAAAAAUAAACUUGAAGAUUGAGUGGAUAAUUUAAAAUAUAAAACUAAAUUUUGAUUUAUUCAAAUUCAAACUUAAAAUUACAAUUUAAAUUUUAAUUUUUAUCCAUAAUUUUAAUUUAAAUUUCAAAUAAAUUUGAAUAAAAUUUUAUAUAAAUUAAAAUUUAAUUUAAAUUCAAAUUCAUAAGUUAGAUUAGAAAUACUUGAUUAAGUUUUAAUUUUUAAUUCAAGUUCAAAUUAAAAUUUAAAAUUAUAAAUUUAAUUUCUAAAUUUAAACUCAUAUUUUAAUCAAAAAAGUUGAAAAAUAAAUUUAAUCCGAAUAAAUAUCCAUUUCGUUCGGAUUCAAAUUCCCGGAUUGGAAAAAGAGGUGAUUGGGAGAUUCCCAUUCCACUCGGGAAUCGGAAUCGGAAUGCGACUUCCACAUAUCAAACACCCACAAACGGAUUCAUCCAUUCCGAUUUCGAUUCCAAGUUGAAAAAGAAGCGAACCAAAUAUACCCUGAAUGUUUUACUAUGUUCAACUUAACAUGACGCUUGCGUGGUGGUGAUAGGGUCAAUUUUGUAAAUAUAAAUUUUGUGGGACUAUUUAUAAUUUUUUUUGAGAGGGCUAUCAGCAAAGAAAGCCCUUAUUUUUUUUUUUCUAAGAAUAGGCAUAGAAUGGGUAAACUUCAAUAUCAUCCUUAUAGUUUCAUGCAUUCUCACUUUAAUAUCCUGUGAUUUAAAAUAUAUCAUUUUAGUAUCCUUGGUAUCAUUUUUUUUCUUUCCGUCAUUACCUCCGUUAACUUUUCGUUAAAUCAUGCACAACAAGCUUCAGAUUUAUACCCUACCUAUAAUUUAUCGAAUAUUCACUUCAAUAUCUUGUGGUUUAUCAAAUUUUUACUUUAGUACUCUGUAGUUUUAAUUGUCAUUGAUUUAACGAAAAAAAUUAAUGUAGACAAUAAAAGAAAGAGAAAAAUGAACCCACACAUACUAAAGUGAAAAAGGCGAAGCCACAUGGUGGUAUUCAAAGUUUUUUUUAUUUUUAUUUAUGAAACAAGAUUUGAACAUACGAUUUUCUAAAAGUGAUUAAUUGUUUAUCAUUUCUACUAAACUUAUAUAUAUUUUUAACUCUGAACUACAAAAGAUGUGUAUAGUAUUAGAUCCUAAAAAUAAUUUAAAUAUUUUAAAGAACUCAAUGAAUAAUUUACCAUAUUUAGAAAGCAGUAAUUCAUUCGCCGUUAAGCCUAAUUUAUAAAUAAAAUAUUUUAAAAAUAUUUUUUAUAAUUAUAAUUUCUUAAUUAAAAAAAUUCCACUUUGGAAAUAAAUGGGAAUUGAAUCAGAUCUAUUUGUCAGAGAAGGUGGAGUUCAGAUUAGACAUUUGGAAAAACUAGAGUUCAAAUAAUGUUUUUCUUUUUUUUUUUGGUUUGUUUGAAUAGUUGUGGAAUUAAAGCUUUUCAAUUUUGCUGUUUAUUUAGGAAAAAAAUGAAUAAUAUAAAAAUUAGAGAUGCGAGAAAUGACUAAUAUAUAUAUAUUUUUUAUAUUUUUUUCGUAAUUGACUUCGGCCUAGGAUGGAAAGAAGUUAAUUAUACUAUUUUGAAAUAUUUCAGUUUCGAUUGAAGGUAAAUUUAUAUGAAUCAAAGAUGAAAAUGCUAAGUAGCCAAAAUAGAGAGGAGAGCUUCAUAUGUAUUCCUACAAAAAUUUCAAAAUUACUAAUUUAGUGCUAUAAACAUUGAUAUCAAAUAUCUUUUUAAAAAUUUUAAAUUUUGUCGGCAAGUAUCAGUUUUUCUGUUUCAAUAGCUUCUAAUUUUAUGUACUAAUUAGUAUAGUAAUUCGUGUAAUACAACGGAUAGAUAAUUGAAGAAAAAAAUAAAAAAUGUCGACAAAAAAAGGAAAUGGCGAUGAAAGAAGCAGUGAUGAGGGGCGGGAUUUAUUUUGCCGAUAAACAAAGAUAACGGUCCAAGGAAAAGGAAGAGGAACAGUUCGGCUUAAUAUAGGUGAUUCAGUUUGGUUCAAACACACAUAAAAAAAAAGGAAAAAAAAAAAAAAAACACCCUGUUUGGUUCAAGUAAAGAAAGAGGAAAAGUUAAGCCGAUUCAGUGUGAAACCCACACUCGAUAGUGAUCGGUUCGGUUCAAGUAAAAAAAGAAGAAAAAUUCGGUUCAAAAAUGAAAACAUGUGGAGCAGUUAGGUCUGUUCGAUCCAAUGCAAUUAAGUUGACCCGGUUCGGUUCAAGCAAAAAAAAGAGAGAAACUAUGUUCGGCUCAAGUAAAGAAAAAGAGAAACACGUGAAAGACUUGAGCUGGUUCGGAGGAGCUCACACUUACCAAUGAUCGGCUCGGUUCAAGCAAAAAAAAAAAAAAAAAAACAAAGAGAUUUGAACUGGUUCGGAAUAAAGUCCACACUCUUUACAAUAAAAAAGAUGUUGACAUGUGGCAAAUUUAGAAGAUGCUUAGUUGUCGAAUACUAGAGGAGGGAUUAAAGUUAAGCUUUGUUUUUAAUUUCGUUAACUUUUAAUUGAAAAGAAUAUAAGGCUCCUAUUUUUCAAAGCUCGAAGUACUACUAUGAUUGGAAUGGAACAUAAUUCAGAAUCCUACUUUGAAUCCAAGUGAAAUACUAGAGAGAAACUAUGACCAGAACAUACAUGAAGCGAAAACAUGUAACGAAGGAUCGAACACAGAACUCGAAGAUAAGCUGCAGUUACGCACGGCGUUUUUGUAUCAGAACUCGCAGUAUUCCGUCAGAGACGAGCUGAAAGGUGCACUUAUCUCCCUCUUCUAACUUAUUCACUGCAGAAAACUCCUUCCACCCGGACAGCAAUCGGCUGUCGCUUACGCCGUGCCACAACUUCACAUGCCAUGAUCUCCUCUUCGGAUCUUCGAGCACCAUCUCCUCCUUCCUCGUGAGUCCGUUCGACGCGCAAAACUUCCUCGGCACGCUCUACAUCAAGUAGUUCUGCACCAUUUAAGCAUAAACACUCGAUGAAUCGAAAUUAAACUAGCUCGACUUUACGAACUGACCAUGUGACCGCAGGAGAAGUUGUAAGGUCUAAUGAUCUUCUCAAAAUGAGGUACGGUUUUCGCACGGUUGUUCUUCGUCGCUGAUUUAUCCGUCGCCAGAAAACCUGGCGGAGUCUGCAGCUGUUCUUUUGGUGCUGUCGGUUUCCCUCUCUUUCUGCGACCUGUCGAGAGAUUCUGCCAAUCAUCUGAGUUACACAUACCUGCUGAUAUGAGAAGAUUAAGUAACUGCUCAGAACAAAAUGAAACCAGCAAUUAGUCCUCACCGUCGCAAACAUCUUCGAGGAUCUCAUCUUUUGCGCCGAAUGAUCUUUUUUCUGAGAUUGCUCUAUCAUACUGUUUGCGACAUCCAGUUACGUCGAACACCUUGACCUUGAAGACCAUGUUUCCCUCGUAGCGAAACAAGAGGAAGUCGCCCGCGGUAAAAUCGUGGGCUCGCGAGAACUCUCGCCAACCGUUGCUGAAGUGCGUAUUGUCAUCUGCAUCUUUCUCUAGGGCAAUGUGCCAAAAUUUGCCGAGAGGGCUGAACAGAGUUGCAGUUCCAUUGUGCUGAUGCAUGAGGAGCUGCGCAAUUGCAUCAGGAAUCGGCUGCAGUAAGAUGAAUAGGGUGAUUCAGUUUACUAACUUUUCGACACAUAAUUCGAAUACUGGUUUUACGCGAAAAUUAACUCUCUGAUUUGAAUUGAUCAUUCAUAUACUUCUGCUGCUUUCAUUUGCAUGAAAAUCUGCAUGCAGAUGAUCACAGAUCGAAGUCUGUAAAAGUUCGAGAUUAAAGGCCUGAAAUUCUGAGCAUGAAAUUUUCAGAUCUGAUGUACAGACUGCGAAUAAUUUUAUGUUAAAAUCAUAUUCUGAAGCUACCAAUACAUUGAUCAGAUAUGAAAUAACUGUCCCUUGAAAUCCUUUGUGAAAAUUUCUUAUGUGAUUAGAAACAAGGAGUUUGAUGUUUAGUCGAUUUGUUUUUUUUUUUUUUUUAAAUGAACUCAGUUAGGAAUGUAAAGCAACUAGAAUUCGAAUUUGAGACCUCAGGUAUCAACCAGCAACCCUUAGUCAACUGCGUUAGAUACGGUCGACUGCUCCUUAAAAAGUCUUGGUUUCCAUAAUUUAACAGAAUAUAAUAUUUCAAAAGUGAUUUAUUUUAUUCUCGAAAAAUGACUUGAAGAUUGGAUAUACUAUUUUAUUCUAGACAUUUAAUCACACUCCUAACUACAAAAUACUGGAAACUUCUUAAGUAAACCAAGAAAUUUUCUGAACAAAAUAUUCAUGCAUCACCGACCGUCCCUAGCGCAAGCGGCAAAGAACUUGAUGGUUGGUACCCGAGGUACCAAGUUCGAAAUAUAGUUGCUUCACAUUUCCAGCUAAAUUUAUUUCUAAAAAAAUGAAUGAAACGGAAGCCUACUACAUUUCUCUCUCUCCAAAAAAAAAAAAUUCAUACAUCCAAACCAGAUUUACACAUACAUGGUUUCAUAAAUAAACUAUUCAGAGGUUAAUAGUUUAUAGAACACAUUGUACAAAAACCCACCUCACUUCCCCUUCUCAAUUUCCUAAGCCAUUUUAAGCCAAAAGCAAUUUCCAGAAGCUGGAAAAUUACUAUAAAAGGAGGAGCACUACUUUAAGCUAAGAAAAAAAAAUAAUCACAAUUAUGGUGAUAAUUUCAGAGUAUCAGUGAUACAUGAUGAAUGAGGUAUACAUAUUAAAGAGUAAUCACUAACUAGUAAGAGAAAAAAUAAGAAGAAAAAAGAAAUAUGUAUUAAUUACAGUACCAGCUUUUCCAAGAACUCUGGUAGAAGCACUUUCACAAACUGUGGCUUAUCAUGGGACCCCAUGAUACUGAACUCCACUUGUUAAUUGUGUGUGGGCACUGGGGAUAUAUAUAUUUUGCACAUCACAAAGAAGUGUUUUUUUUUUUUUUUUUUUUUUUUGGGUGUGUGUGUGAAAACAAAAGAGUUGGAAUAUGGGUGCAGUAAAAGGCUUGUUUCACAUGUGAAAUCUUGUUUUUAUCUAAUUAUUGUCCUUUUGCUGCUGCAGGAAACUGUGUGACACUUGCUUUACCAGAUGCUUGCUAUUAAUAUAUAAGGUACUCUUCAAAUACCCCCUCGCGGUUUCACAGUUUCUCACUUUAAUACCAUGCAGUUUAAAGUAUAUCAAGUUAUCUCCUGUAGUUUCGCACUUUCUCACUUUAAUACCAUGUGGUUUAAAGUGUAUCAAGUUAGUACCCUGAGGUUUCAUUUUUAUCUUUUUAUUAUCCAUUUCACUAAUUUUUUUCGUUAAACUAGUGACAAAGUUAAAAUUGAAGGGUACUAAAGUGAAUAUUCGAUAAACCUAGGUAGAGUAUCUGAAGUUUUUUUUAUAUACAAUUUAACGAAAUAUUAAUGGGGAAAAGAAAAAUAGUGACAAAGUUAAAACUAAAGGGUACUAAAGUAAAUAUUCGGUAAACCUAGGUAGUGUAUUUGAAGUUUUUUUGUAUACAAUUUAACGAAAUAUUAAUGGGGAAAAGAAAAAUAGUGACAAAGUUAAAACUAAAGGGUACUAAAGUAAAUAUUCGGUAAACCUAGGUAGUGUAUUUGAAGUUUUUUUGUAUAUAAUUUAAUGAAAUAUUAACAGAGGAGCUGACGAAAAGAGAAAAAUAAAACUACAGGGUACUAAAUUGAUGCACUUUAAAUUACAAGGUACGAAAAUGAGAAAGUACGGAACCACAGGGUACUAAAUUAAUACACUUUAAACCAGAGGGUUCUAAAGUGAAAAAGUGCGAACUAGGGAGGUGGUAUUUGAAGUUUUCCCUAAUAUAUAAUAGAACAUAGAAUACUAGUUAUAAUGCACAUGCCACAUUUAAUAUAUUAAAUUAAUUGUAAAUAUAAAUAUUAAAUUAAAAUAAAUUCUAGAUUUACAUAUUUGAAUCAAACUCAAAUCUAAAGUUAAUUUUGAAUUCAUUAUUUAAAUUUAAAUUAUUGCUGAUUUGGUAGGUAUUUUGAACCGUUCAUUUUUUUAAACAUGACUUAUUUUUAGUUAGUUAAUUAUAUAAUUUUUUUUUUAUAAUGUAUAUAAAAUAUUACUUUAUUUCAUCUAAGAUUCCGUUUGUCAAUAAAAAAUUUUCUUUCUACCUUUUAUAUAUAUAGUAUAAAUAAGUCUCAUUCUCAUAGGCUAAAUUGCAUGUUAGUCCUCAAACUAUGAUCUAUUGGACACUGGAAUCCUUAGAUUUUAAUUUAUUAUAAUUUCUAGGGUAAACUUCAAAUGCCACCCCAGUGGUUUUGCACUUUCUCACUUUAGUAUCAUGUGGUUUAAAGUGUAUCAAUUUAAUAUCCUGUGAUUUUAUUUUUCUCUUUUCGUCAGCUCUUUUGUUAAUUUUUUGUUAAAUCAUAUAUGAAAAACUUUAGAUACUCCAUCUAUAGUUUAUGGAAUAUUCAUAUUAGUACCCUUUAAUUUUAACUUUAUCACUAAUAUUAACGAAAAAAUUAGUGGAGGGAAUAAAAAAAGAAAAAUAAAAUCAUAGGAUACGAAAGUAAUACACUUUAAACCACAAGGCAUUAAAGUGAGAAAGUGCGAAAUCACAGGGUUGGUAUUUGAAGUUUUUCCUAAUUUCUAACUUGAACAUUGUAAAUUAUUGCAAUAAAGUCCUGUAAACUUAGUUGACUGAAUAUUGAUAAAUCUCUGAUGCGAAAGUGAUGUGAUAAUUUACUUAUUAUCAUAUAAUAGUUAUAAUAUUGCUAUAUCAUUUUCACACUACCAGUAUAUCAAUAUUAAGUCAGCUAUAUUUUACCACAACCAGGAAGCUCGAAGCAAAAAUUAUAAAGAAUUAAAGCUUGAAGAACAAAGUUUCACGCACCUUAUUGUUUGAGGGCCAAAUGUGCAAUUUGGCCUAAUAUAUACGUAACAUAAAUACUAAGUCUAUAUAUACAAAUUGUAGGGCUCGCGCUUUGAAUAAGGCAUAUAUUACUAGUGAAGUAACCUGCACGAUGCGAUAGAUAGAUAAUAGAAAAAAAAAUAAAAAUUUAUAGGAGAAAUGAAAACAUGAGAAUAUAUAUUCCAUAAUUAUUGAGAAUGGGAUAGCUGGCGAUGGCAUUGUAAGCCGUUUUGUCGAGGACACAUAAGGAGUAGCGGAUGGGGACCGAAGGGCUCCGAGAGACGAGCAAGAGAAAAAUGGGCAGAGAAAAAAAAAAACCCUAAAUUUAUAGGUAGAGAGAUCCAAAAUCGCAACAUAGGUGAGGUGAGCGGAGAAGAAGAAAUGCCGCUAUUGGUUUGGGAGAUAAAAAAAAAAAAAGAGAUAGGAGGAAAAAGAAAAGAGAGACGGAAAGAGUUGAAGGAUGUGGCUGUGAGAAAGAGAAAGAGUUUUUCUAAGAUAAAAAAAUAUAUAAAAAAAUUUACAACAAACAGUGGACUUCACCAUCCUGAAAUGAAGAUGAUAUAUCCAUAUUAGAUUUAGUUAUGAAAAAUCAUGUAUAUGUAUAGAUAUAAAUUGCAUCCAACUAUGACAUAUAAUUAUUAAACAAAUUUGAAUUAAAAAAAUUGUAGCCAGAGGAAUACAAAAUAAAGGAAAAAGAACUAUAAAGUAGCCAUCUCGAACCCCGCCGCUACUUUAAUCGCUCUCUUUGCCGCCGUCUCGAACCUUCCUUUUGGCCGCCUUGAUUGCCCUCUUCGUCGUCUCGAUUGCCCUCUUCAUCGCCUCAAUCGCUCUACUGCGGAGGGCGAGGCGGUGGAGGGGGCCGAACUUUCAAAAUUUGGAGAGUUGCAGAAAAGAUUUAGGUUUGAGUUGUGAAAGACAUAGAGUGAGCGCACCAAUUUUGGCGAGGGCAAAAGUCAUCGAAUAGUCACCGAACUUAAUCGUUCCUUAAAUCAAAAUUGUCCUUUGAUUUUCUUAAGCAGCUGUGUUUGAUUCGGAUAUAAGUAAGAACUGCUUAUUCCAGAAAAAGAUACAAGUUCAGAUAUAAAUAGGAACUAGGCUAAUUUUGCAUUUGGAUAAAAAUUGGAUUGUUUCUGAGAAUAAAAUAAAUAGUGUUUGGAUGGUUAGAUUGGAACAAAGGGAAUAAAAAUUAUAAUUUUAAAUUAAAAUUAUUUUAUCUAAUUAAUUAACAUCAAAAUAUUACUUAAAAAUAAUUUAAUAAAUUAAUAAAUUUAUUACCUAUGAAUAUUGUAUAAGAUAAUAAAAAUAUAUAAAUUAAUUAAUUAAUUAAAUAUAAAAAUAAUUUAAUUUUUUAAUUAGGCAGUAACUUAUUUUAGCUAGAUAACUAGUAAAAAAAUUAAUUAGAUUAAUAAAAAUAUUAAUGGUUAAUCAAUAUAAAUAUUAGUUUAUAGAUAAAUACAUUACAUUAUUAAUAAAUAAUUAUAAAUAAUAAGUAAAUUAAUUAUUUUAUUAUUUAAAUAAUAAAUAAUGAUUUAAAUAUAUUAAUUAGAAUAAUUAAUAAUUUAAUACUAUAAUAAUUAAAAUUAAAUUUAGACUUUAAUUAAUCUUAUUCUCACCUGGAAAUAAGCUUGUUUCAGAAAAAAAACGUCGCGGCCAUCUAAAAGCUCUUAACAAAAUUUACUAAAAUUUUCAAAAAUAAAGGGUGAAAUUUAUCUCAAAUCUAGAAAUCUUGUCCAAGUUUUAAAAUUUAUCUCAAAUUUAGAAAUCUUGUCCAAGCUUUAAAUUGAGUCAAUGGGGCUUACUUUCAAUCUAUAAAAGUGUUUUAUACCGGAAACGCUCUAAUAGUCCUAUAUUGGGUGCAAAAAUGAAUCUGAUCAGAAUAUAUGAGGCCUAUAUGCUAAUAAUAAUAACUGGACUUAAAUAUUUUUAGGUCGGUGGUUUAGACUCAACGAGUUAUUGUUGCUAGCGGGUCGGGUCGUUAUAAUUGGUAUCAGCAACGAAGUGUGAAAGCUAAGUGCUAUACUGGACAAGUGCUACACCGAUGGAUUUGGUGGGAUCCAGCUCUUGAACUGGUAUAUCGCCCGGUAAUUUUGAUCUGCAUCUAUGAUUUGGUUUGGACCCGAUGAGAACGUUAUAAUUGGUAUCAGCAACGAAGUGUGAGACCUAAGUACUAUACUGGACAAAGUGCUACACGAUGGAUUUGGUGGGGGCCAGCUCUUGAACCCGAUAAUUUUGAUCUACAUCUAUGAUUUGGUUUGGACUCAAUGAGAAUGUCAGAGUUUAAACAUUGGGGAGUUUGUAACGCCCCAAUAAUUUUCUAAUGAGUUAUUGUUGCUAAUGGGUUCCACCGGACCAAAAUAUUGUUGUUAAUUCUAAUAUUUUUUUUUUUCAAAAUACUCAUAUCCGGAGGGCGAGUAAUUUAGGAAUACAGGGAUAAAUUUGAAAAUUUUGAACCUGCGAAAUAAAAGUUGAGGAGUGUAUUUCACAAUAUUCUAAAGUUGAGGGGUCUCCAAGCACUUUUACCUCCCUUCAUCCAAUCCUAAUACGAAUUAGAUUACGACUAAUAAUAAUAAUAAUAAUUACUAAAAUAAUUAGAUUUAUUAAUCUUUUCGCACGAUUUCGCUCGCUAGGGCACCCUUUUCCUCGACAAUAAGAAAAAAAAAGAAACGGGAGAAAAAGAUAAAGAAGAGAGGUUUCCUCUUUUCUUUUAUUUUUUUAAAUUUUUUGUGCGCGUGUGUGAAUUUUAGGGUUCGUAAUUUUAGGGUUAAUGGCUUCUGGAAGAAGCAGCAAUAAUCCGAAGAGGCCGCAGUUCUUCAAAGUUCUUCUUCCUGGAUCUUUCGACAAGUUGGUGCGUUUCCUCUCUCUCUCUUUUCCUAUUAUAAUAUUUAUUAUUCUUUGUUUUAAUUGUUUUAAUCUUUGGAUUUUGUGGACUUUACUCUGUGGGAGAGAUCUUUCGAUUUUGUAUAUGUAUAUUUUUUAUUCAAUGUGUGUGAGAGAGAGUGAGUGGGGGGUUUCAAUUUUCAUGUUAUCUUAUUACUAGGCAAAUAAUAUUUUUAGGUAAAAGUGUAGUGAGAGCCCCUCCAGUUUAGGCGUUUCUGAAAUGGGUCCCUCAAUUUUUUUUUUCUUUUUUUAAAUUUGUUUGGUUGAAUUAGACUUCUGAUUCUCGAACUGUGUGGCCGGGCACACGCUGUGCUGCAAAUUUUAAUUUAUGUAAUUUGUUUCUCGAAUUUUUUGAUGUGUUGUUUGAUGUGACAUCUUAGUUAUUAUGACACUGCUCUGACUCUGAAUUGCUGGACUUGUAAUAAUCGACAAAGUUUAAACCAGAAAUUGUAACAAAUACGCGUUUGAGGACCAAAAGUGCAAUUUACUUACCUAUUGUUUGAAUUGAUAUCCCUUUUAACUUCUAACUUUUUUAGCUAUUGUGUCUAAGAUAACAAUAUUUUCUUAUAUUUAGUAGCUUUGUUAGCUAUUAUUUGUUAAUUGUUUGAGUCUUAUUUGUUGCAAAGUGAUUAAAACCGUCGAAUUUAAGGACACCGUCAAUGAAUUUGAUAAAAUUUCUAAUUUAAUUGAUCGAAAUCGCUUAAAUCUAGGAAAUCUAAAGUUAAGAGGAUGUUGAUCCUCUAGGAUGUUGUAGAUUGAGACCGUACUCACGUACAGUUAAAUUCGUAUCUAAAGUCUAAUUCGAAUCAGAAUAACGGCCUCAAUCCACCUGAGUAGUACAGACGAAACCACAGAGCACCUAAGUGAUACAGACGAAAUUACAGACCUAAGUGAUACAGACGAAAUUACAGACCACCGAUGCGAUAACACAUGACUCUUUUUGAAGUUUACCCCUCCUUUUGACAUCUUUUAUAAUGAGCUCCUUGCAAAAUUUGUUGCGGUUUCUUGCGAAGGAAAAUGCGUACAACCUCAUGUAGCGCAAUUUGCUUAUUCUGUUCUUUCUCACAUUCUUACCAUGUUGGUUGUUAAUUUAUAUCUCAGAUGACAGUAAUAAGUAAACAGUUGCUUAUGUUCUUUUGCAUGUAGUGGAUUCCUCGAUCAUUCGCGAAUCAUUACAUAAGUGAGGAUCGUCGGAAGGCCACAUUAUAUAGCCCUCUUGGCAAGUUUUGGCAUGUCAACCUCGAGCGCAGCAACGAAUCAAAUGAUGUUUUCUUUGGCGGCGGUUGGCGGGAAUUUGUCAGAGCCCACGACAUAAGAGUGGGCUACUUGGUUGUGUUUCGCCACGAAGGAAACAUGAUCUUCACUACCAAAGUUUUUGAUUUGAGUGGAUGCCUCAAAGCGUACGAUGAGACUACUUUGAAUCAUGCGGGCCAAGUACUAACAGAUAUCGAUGAUGGCAACAUUAACGUCACCACAAAUAGUAAGUCUAUGUCUUUUCCUUUUUAUUUAAUCUGUCGAACACUUAUUUCGGGCCAAUAACAAAGUCGUGUGUUAAUCUCUUCUCGCCAUGCAAUAAUAUCAGAUCAUUCAGAAAGGGCACGGAGAUACAACUUCAAAAAAAGAGGAUCUUAUAAGCCAAUUUCACCGACUCCAAACCAACUAUUUCCUCACUACAAGAACAAGCUAAGGAACCAUUCUCACCUCACAAAUUCAUCACCUCAAUUUGAGAAGACGGUGCGACCGUAUAAUCUUGUUCGCAAAUGCAUGGUAAGGGUUUCAGAUUCUCACUCAAAAACCUUUUAAAACAAGAAUGGUUUAUGCUUAUGAAGACAACUUGCUCUGUAUUGUAUUGUGCUGAUCUGCAGAAUGUACCAGAAACAUUUUGUAUGUUGAGCGGACUCCAGGAUAAGACCGUGAUCAAGCUCCGAGAUUCGAGGCACAGAUCGUGGCCUGUGAGCUUUCAUCGUUAUCCUCAAUUUGCGCAGCUUAGGAAGGGGUGGGAAGAGUUCUGCGAGGGAAAUAACUUGAAGGAAGGUGACAAGUGCUUCUUUCGACUUGUAUCAAAAAAGGAAAUGCAUGUUAGAAUAGUGAGAAAUUGAGCAAGGAUAAGUUUUAGUUACCCUUUUUGGUGUGUAUAGAGUUACUCUCUUUAGCUGCUUCCUCUCUCUAAUCAUGGUUUACGGAUGCUUGGGAUGUAGAACUUAAUUUGUUCGUGUUCGAUCUCAUAAGUUUUAGUUACCCUUUUUGGUGUGUAUAGAGUUACUCUCUUUAGCUGCUUCCUCUCUCUAAUCAUGGUUUACGUAUGCUAGGGAUGUAGAACUUAAUUUGUUCGUGUUCGAUAUCUGUUGUUUUUGUUAGUAGAAAAGACUCUUAAGUUGGAGUUGUUGUCAACUUCAAUUCUUCUUGCAAGUUUGCUUUAUCUUUUUUUUUACCUUUUCUUCUUUUGUAAAUUUGGCUUGCCAUAUGAAAUUAUACUCCAAGAAAUGAUUGGAAUAGUGAGAAAGUUAAAACUGCCCUGUGUUUAUAGAAUUGCUUGUUGGUUAGGUGCAUUGGUGUUCUUUUCAAUCAUAAUUCAUAUAUGUUUAGGGUGUUUAGUCCCAAAUUUGAGUUACUAUUGUGUUUUUUACACUUCUCAAUUGUGAUGGCUCUUAGUUGCAGUUGUUAGCAACAAAAGAUUCUUUUGGCAAAUUUUCUUUAUCUUAUUUCCUUUUCUUCUUUCAUGGAUUUGUUGCAUUCCUUGAAAAGGAACUCCAAAUGAAGAUCAUUUGAAUCAAUGGGGCUGUUUGGUUCCAUGUAAUUGUAACUACAUUGUAGUGUGUUUGUGUGCAAAAUCCAAAUAGUGUUUGACUCGAUGUAUUUGAAUUCAAUUGCUACAGUUGAAACUGUAUCAGGAGGCUUAAUUGCAGCAGUUAAAAUUAUAUCCAAAUAGGUUGCAGUUCGAACUGCUGCAGUUGAGGGGAGUUUGUUUAAUCAAAAAAUAAGCUUGUUUUCCUAAUCACCUUCUAAAUGGAAGAAUAUGUAAAUAUAAUUCUAGUACUAAUCAUGCAUGAUCAUGGUUAUAACGGAGUUUGUAAGGCUUUUGCUAAUGUCACAGCAUUUUCCAGUUGCCACAUUGCUUUUCUCAUCUUCAUUGUACUAAUUUUCUCCAAAAAAUUUGAGAAAUGUUUAUUAAACUUAAAUUUAAAUCCUCAGAAAUGUAGAUAAAACAAAUGAAUAAUAAGUAAAAAAUUAAAAAAAGAAAUUGAGUUUGGUUCUCCAUUAUAAUUAAUUAAAAUUAAGCAAUUGAUUAUGUUUUUACUAAUCAUUGCUUUUUACAUCACAUGUAUUUUCUUGUACUUGAAUUUUCUACUGAAAAUUUAACUUACAUGAUUUACAAAUUCUAACACCACAUGAAAAAAAGAAAGCAUACAAAACAGGCAAUUAGUUCAAACUAAAUAUCCCACUAACCAAAAAUGUGGCACAAUUAUGAAAGUUAAAAAAACUUUAAAACUUCAUCUUCGCCCUAUUUUAAUCUUGAAAUAUGAUUACAAAUAUGUGGAACAACAAAAAAAAGGCGCAAAAAAAACAGGUUUUGAAACAUACUGGCACCAAUCUUGCACCACUGUGAUGAGAGUUGCAGGUUAGAUGUGAAAAUACAUCAGGGAACAUACCAUGCCCAACUAUUUAUUUAUUUAUUUACUUUUGCCGCAUCGAAAGAACCGAAGAGAAAACAAAAUGUAACUAAAAGGUCAUGUAGUUUAUUGAUCCUGUAGUUUAUUGAUCCUAGCAGGGGCACGGCGGUCACUUUUGCCCGCUAAACCGGAGGAUUCCGUAAACGUCGACCACACCCGGAGGGAACACAGGAUCUGUUGCGGCCCUCACUGCAACCUUUGCGACCGCGGUGACGCUCACGGGCGGCGUGAACAGCGGACCGACCCCGGGAAGUCGAUUGAGUGGCUUUGCAUGCUGCAAGAUCUACAAAAACAACAAUUUACUGCUUUUAGAAGAAGUCCAACGAAAAAGGGUGGUGUAAACUUAACAAAUCCGAUUUACAUAGCAACUUAGAGAGAUGUUACCAUCUCGAGUGGUGAUCCGAUAAGGCCCAAAGGUAUCUUCAUGCUCCCGACUUGACGAGUCCCGUGAAUGAAACCUGGCCUGAGUAUUACGCCUGUAAAAGUUUGCAGCGAAGAGAUCGACUCAGCAAAUCGUAAGGACUUGUUAGCAUGUACUGCGAUUUUUUGUAUAUAGGAGUAACAUUCGAAUAUGGCAUGUAAAACAUUCCGAAAAGCCACUAGAAUACAGAAACCGUAAGGAUUAUUUUCUCCUAAAGAUGAAGUAAACAACUAUUCGAUAAUACAAGAAUUAAUUAAGCUCACCUCCAUAAGUAAAUUUCGCCAACAACUCAGCUUCAGCAGCUCUCUGUGGAAUCAAAUGAAGAAUAAUUACCAAAAGGAAACAACCAUAUCCUGUUAAAGCGCAUCUAAUGUAAGGUUGUCUACACAGUGCUAAAACGAGAACUAAGAAAAAAAAUAUAACACAGGAAUUCAAAAGCUGAGGACAUAAUAAAGUCGGGCCACCAAAUAUGCUUUUGCAGGGCACAUGGUAUAGAUCCUGUUUUUCGGAAAAUAAAAGCAAACAUAGGAGGAUGUGUGUAUCUUAAUUUAAAUAACAACAUCUGUCAAUGGAUUCGACCUGCUAUUCUUGGUAUCAACUGUAUUAAUGCUUUUCUCUCAUGCGGGGAAGUAGCCUUCAUGUAAAAUAAGAAUUUCCUUUGGCUACAUACCAUCCGUGUUCUUUUCUCUGGGUGUGCAUUUAUCCUUUGUAAAACGUUAUAAUGUGUUAAUAUGAAAGCGGAAAACAUAAGAUCUUUCAACGUCCCAAUCUCCCUAUAAUAUUCAAAAUGCACUUCAUGCUCCAGAUGAGGCAUACUAAGGUUCAGAGAGUCAGAAAAGGAACACAGUGAGAAAAACAUUCUCGAAAUUUUAUUGGCCCAAAAGCAACAAGGCUCCCUGACAAUAGGAAAACCAUUUGCAAUACAUCAUUUUUAAGAACAGAAGCCAUGAGUUUAAUGUUUCAAAAUGGAAUAAAAAAAUAUGUUGAUAUGUGAUAUUAUGCAGUAUUAUACUGAUACUGACAACAUAGUUAGUGAUUCCCCCAAUAAAAUUACCCAAUGAGAAAGCUGUUUUAAUGCUAGUAUCCUCAAACAUGAAAGGCUCAUGACAACAAGCUAUGUGGAUAGCAGAAUGCUUUUACGCAAGAAUUCAAAAGGUGGCACUCAGUCAGUUUCAGGCUGAUCAAAUGUGACAGAGUCAUGGUUGUUUUUGCAUAUGCUAACAUAGUAUAGUAUGCUUUAAAUAAUUUUGUGUGUCAUACUAGAACUAAAUGAUUAAUUAACUAACCAUGAAUGCCUUACAAUUUGCUAGGCAUUUUUGCUCACAAUAUCCUUUCCAUUAUUGGAUGAAGAUCAUAAGAAAGACAUGGAAACUGAUGGCCGUGUUUGGAUUGAAUGCUAGCGAUACUGAGCAAGCUACUAGUUGAAAUAGAAAUCUGGUCUCUUUCAUGUUUAAUUCGAAUUAUCAACCUUGAGCUGUGGCUGGUAAUUUUCAAAAUUGAAGUAAUGAAAAGACAUGAAUAUCUGAGGUUGCUAUGAAUAGGUCCCUCUGCGUAGCUCACAUGCUAAGCAUGCUCUAUGCAAGUAGGCCUAUGUUCCUAGAAGGCACCACUGAUUGACCCAUCUCAUACAUAAAUCUUCAAACAAGGAGGGUCAAGUACUUGCAUAUUAAGCAUUUACUAUAAAUCCUUUUCAGAUGAAGAAUAAAUGAUCAACUUGUUAAAAAAGAGUUUAGUAAUAACAGCAGUAGCACACAUAACCUGCAGUCAACAGCCCAGUUUAGGCUGAAUAACACAUCUGCAAUCAGUUUUCUUACUUAAAUUAAGCGAACAUCUGAAAGCACACAAAAUAAUUGCAAAGAUAGCUAACUACAAAGGUUCUUAAUUUAAACAUGCGAAUAACAAAGAGAGCUAUACGAUAGUGUACCUUUCCCUCAUAAUAACCUUGCAACAGGUAAUUUGCCAAACCAAAAUCAGCAGCUGAAAUGUACACAAAUCUUUUUACACCUGCAGAUGAGAAUAGCAUUAAUAACUAAAGCUCGUUUUCAACUGAAUAAGCACUAAUCUUCUUAAUGGCUGAUUAAUGGAGUUCUAUCAAUGAACUGCAUCAUAAUUUGCAUCACUCACAUAAGGAUCUCGAAUCUUCAAAUUACGUAGCCUAAUUAAUAAAAUACUUGUAAUAGCAGGAAACUAGUAUAUUUUUAUCUGUUAACUGAGAGAGUGCUUCAAACCAAAGAGUUCAGAAGAUAGCAGUGAAUAAUGUCAAUCUCAGUCUCUUUUUCCUUGUAAUUACAUCAGAAAAUCAUUCUUCAAACUAAAAUUUCAAGAUUCAAAGACCUGGAUAUCCACAUGCUCUUUUUCUUUUCUUUUUUUUUCUGUUUUUGUGAUUACAUACUCUCAACUUCUCUGUUCCUUUGUAAACUACAUAUGAGAAAGAAAAUGUCAAGAAACUAACCUUGGAAAUUUCACUAUCACAUGGAGUUCGGAGGACGAUUAUAUAUAUAUUAUAACGACAAUAGAGAGAGAGAGAGAAAGAGAGAGCAGAGAGAGGGAGAGAGAAGAGAGAGAGAGAGCUGCCUACUUCAUUCAUAUUCCUGGGAUGGGUACAACUUCGGGCAUAAGCAGGAACAAAACCAAUUUUGCUUUUGAAUAAAAACUAGGUUAUUUCCAGGAAUAAGGAAAAUAGCGUUUAGAUGAUUAGAUUGGAAUAGCAGGAAUAAGAGUAAUUAUAUUUUAAAAUAAAAAUAUUUACCUAAUUAAUUAAUAUCAAGAUAUUAAUUAAUAAUAAAUUAAUAAAUUAAUAAAUGUUUUAGCUAUGAAUGUUGGAUAAGAUAAUAGAGAAAUACAUUACUUAAUUAAUUAAAUAUAAAAAUAAAUAAACUUUUUAAUUAGUUAGUAAACUAUUUUAGUUGGAUAAUUAGUUAAGAAAUUAAUUAGAUUAGUCAAAACAUUAAUGGUUGAUCAAUAUAAAUAUUAGUUAUUGGAUAAAUGCAUUAAAUUAUUAAUUUUUAAUUAGCUAAUUAAUUAUAAAUAAUAAAUUAAUUAAUUACUUUACUAUUUAAACAAUAAAUAAUGACUUAAAUACAUUAAUUAGAUUAAUUAAUGAUUUAAUACCAUAAUCCUUGCGUUUGUGGAACCUGUGAUUCGACUUUAAUUAAGCUUGUUCCAGAGGGGAAGGUGGAACGGCUGCUUAUAAGGCUAUACAAGGCUAUAAAAGAAGGAAACUACUAUUCCCCCUAGCCCAAAAUGGUGUUUGGGUAUAAGGUGGGGAAUAAAGGCUUAUUCCCUUAUUUAUGCCCUAACCAAAUAAUGCCUAUUAGGGUAUAUUGGUGUAACACCCUAAUUGUCCCACAUCAGAUGGGAAAAGAAUUUUUAUUGAGAAUAUAUAAAACCUUGCACACUACUACUAAUAACUGGAUUUAAGCAUUUUGGGCUAAUGGUUUGGAUCCAACGAGUUAUUACUGCUAGUAGGUCAGAUCGUUAUAUUUGAUAUCAGAGACGAAUACAAGCCGAAAGUGCGAGAGCUUAGUGCUAAACGAGACAAAAUGCUAUACCACAAGUUUGGUGGGAGCCACCUCUUGAAUCCGUAGGAUCUAGUCAACUCUCGAAUCUCACAUCGCCUGGUAGUUCUAGUCUAUAUGUCUGUUAUCAGAUUUGAACCUAACAAGGACGUCAGGGUCGGUAAGAGUUUGCAACGCUCCAAUAGUCCCACAUUGGAUGGAAAAAUGAUUCUGAUUGAAAAUAUAUGAGAUCUUGUAUCAUAGUAAUAAUAAUAGAUGGGCUUACUGGUAAUUUAGGCCCAACAAGUUAUUAUUGCUAGUGGGUCGGGUUAUUACAAUUGGCAAAAGUAUGAAAGUUUAUGGAUCUUGGAACAUCAAUCCGUAAAUAGAAAAUUUUCCGUCAAAUGUAGGAAAUCCUUGUCUUUGUUGUGACAUCUAUUAUUUUGACAAGAAAGCAUAAAAAGAACGAGAAAAAUCGGUCAAUUUUGUAUAGAAGAAUGUCAAGAAUUUAGUUUCCAGUAUAUACAUCAUGUAAGUCUUUAACAGUACCAUAAGAACAAGAUUUGGGGAGAGGCCACCGGAGAAAAUGAUAAGGAAAUAACAUUUGCCUACCUUGCUCUGCUGCAGCUCUGAUAGCAUUAAUGUUUGCAGUUCCAUUGAUUUUAUACAUUUGAGUAUUUGACCCAAAACCUCCAACACAUGAUAUCUGUAAGAAUAUUUUUCCAUCCUGAUUAGUUCGACGAAUUACAAUGUAGCAUAAAUGACACAGUGUCUGCAAAUUAUCAUGAAUACAUUGCAGGUAUGUCUUUGUUUACGAAACACUUUAGGUGAAAUCCUCUCCUACUUUUAUAAACUUUGAGGAUAACACGACGUGACAUCUUCUAGAAUAAGGGGAGUCGCCAGUAAGUGUUAAUCAUAGGCCAGAUAAAAUUUUUAACAGGUAUAAGAUGUUUUCACAAUCCACUAAUAAGUUAAAGUGUCAACAAAUGCCAGCAACAAAGCAUACAAAUAAAAACAAAGACAAGGCUACAUAGAUUUAGAAUAAAGACAUUUUAACUGAAAUUCCAAACAAUUCCAGUGGCACAGUUGAGCUUUUCCGAUUAAGGGGGCAGUUAAGAUUAAAGCACUGUAAACAAGUUUGAAAGAAAAUCAUUGAAAGCUGGGACACACUCGCCAGAUUGAACUAUAAAUUAGGCAAUAUAAUUCAAUAUUAACCAAAUGUUCUUAAUUUACAAUAGCAGACAAAGGAGUUUUAAAAUAAAGGAACUGAAUGAAAUAAAAUUAACUAAUACUACAAUUAGUUUAUAAUUCAUAUUAUUAACAACUCUUUAGUAUGUCUAAAUACCUUUGACAAAGUUAAUAACCAAAGAAAACACAUACCACAGCAGCAACGCCAUUCAUAACAUCCUUCAAUGAAUCAGGUACAAGAAGGUCACCUACGAUACGAAAUAGUAAGACACAAAUUUUAAAAAAACAAAAAAAGCAAAUGAAAAAGGAAAAAAGAAGGGUAAACGAUUGAGGCUCUUCCUCUUUGAUAUUCAACCUUGAUGCCACUCAACUUUAUCAGCCCAAGAUUCGCGUAUAGAUGACCUUCCAGAUCUGACAAUCAAAUAAAGGCACGAUAUUAGUUGCCACUGAAAAGCACAAUACAUUAAACUAUUCGAGUGUGAACAUUAAAAAGUAUAUAUUGAUUUAACAGCCUUAACCAUUUAAUGCUACAAACCGUAUGGAAACAUAUAUUACCCAAUGACAGGAAUCAGCAAAUUUCAACAGAAUUAUGUCGCAUUCAUUGAUGGAAUAAAAAAUAAUCCAUAUAUGCGCCUUCAAAAUACAAAUGGUAUUAAAUUUUCACCACCGAAAUAAUCUUUUGCACAACAACUUGAAAAUCACAUCAUAUCUAAGUAUUCUAGAGCGAGACAAAUGAACAGAAAUUUAGGUAGAAGCUUAAACCAUCAAACAUGGAGAGCAAAAGAGUGGCACACUUUAAUUGAAAGGGUAAGAACUUUUUUACUAGGGACUAGACAAAAGAAAGGAGUAAAUUUCUCCUUUAAACAAAUCUCAGCAUUUGAAAGUUCGACAUGAGUUCAAAUUUAUUAUUAAUAGUUGUAUGGAAGGGCAUCUUCAAAUUAGAGUAAUGUUUAAGGUCAUAACAUCUGAUUUAACUUCCAUAUGUAACUUGACCUCCAUGUUUGAUUUUGGCUUACUGACAUGUGUACCAUAUAUGCUGCUAGUUUAUCCCAUAUAAACUGGGCAUUAUUUGGAGUAAGUCUCUCCAAAAUCUAUUUGUGAAAUUCAACUCCUAAGCAUCAUUUGCAGAAUUUACCCUAUCCUUUGUUUCCAUCUGUUUCUAGAGUUUUUGCCACACCAACGGGAAUGGAGGUAUUCUGAGACUUCAGACACCAAUUUGCGGCACUGGACUAAAUCAGUGUAUCCAACAACAUACUGCAAAAUUUCUCCAUGCUAAUCAACAGCAUACAAUUGAAAGAUCUCAUCCAGCAAUAUGCCCCAAAAUAAAAUGCAUAUAGUUCUCAAAGAAGAGCGUAAUUGACAUGGCUACAAACAGAGAAACAAGAAAUAGGUCCCAACAUAAAAUGGACAUAGUUUAGUUCUCAAGAUGCGUAUACCUGCUAAGGCUAGAAACAGACAAGCCUCGAUCCAAAGCCUCUUUGCAAACAUGUGAACCAACAAAUCCGUUCCCGCCCAACACAAGCAACUGCACAUGCAUAAUGAAUUAAUUUGGCUCUCUCUCAAGUUUAAUCCAACAACUACAUAAUAAUCAUGUCAACACCAUACUAGGAUUGCCACCCGACUAAACAACUUGCGUCAAUUGGAGGUGAAUGAUAAACAAGCAAAGAAGAAACAAAAGAAAAGAUUGAGAAGAAAAUUCAGCCCCCAUCACCAUUCCAACAACGCAACUCUCUUUAUUCCUCGGUCAUUGCCAGCAGAAACUUUUCAUUUUCUCAAUAAUUCAUGCAGGUGAAAAAUCAGGAAAUGCAGCCUACAGUAACGAAAUUAAAAAGGAGUUACCAGAGCAAAUUGCUCAAUGGAAACUGAACGGUGGUGCAAACUUUAAUUUCCUUUUGGCUUAGUUCUACAAAUCCUAAGGAGAUACUGAAAAUUUCAAAAUUUUUGCUGCUCUUCAGUGCAAGAGGGUCAAAAGUUGACAUGUCGAUGUGACCCAAACAAGAAAAGCGCGCCUUCUGAUAGUGAUCUAAUAUUGGACAGCGUCAUAAUUUAAACAGAGAAAGCAACCACAUCAAAUCAAAAUGAAGCAGUACCUUAUCUGAAGGUGGUGGUGGAGCUUUUACUGUCUCAGCUUCCUCUACUUUGAAGGGUUCGUCGACACGAUUCUGGUCAUUGGAAGUAUCAGUAGAAAAGGCUCUUCCACUACUCCACUGACCUGAUGAACUGUGUAACAUUCCAACAAAAUAGUUACUUAGACAACAACAAAAUAAUCGGAUAAUGGAUAUCUAACUUGAAUUAAUUACAUUCCAACUUAAAUAAAAGCAGGAAGCAGCACAGGUAAAAGGAUCAAACAUAAAUCCGAGAAAACUAUAUACCUACAGAUGAAACGGAAUUUUGAGAACAAACAAAAUGAUACAUGAAAAUCUUUCAAAUGAAAAGUUCUGACAGUUCUCCAAAACCCUCGUCUUCCAAACAUACAUCUACUUAUCUACAGCUGGAAAAAAAAUUGUCUACAUCCUAUUGUUUCUGUUCACAUCAAUUUUUCCGUGAACGGGCCAAAAAAAAAUUUAAUAAUACAGAUCAAUACAGAGUCGAAACUGGCAAAAAGCAUCAAAACUGAUGGAACUUCAAAAGUUAGUCGCUUGAAAGAAUUAGGCAGACAAAACUAGUCAACGCAGGACAAAAUGGCUGGAACUUCAAAGGACAUGGUCUCAGAACGUUUCGGUGGAAAUAUAUCAGUUUUGAUCAAAUUGAGCUAGUAUCAGUAUAAACCUCAAACAUAUCCGGAUAGUCUCAAGCUACUCUCUAUAACAGCAAAAUACAUAAAAAUGUUUAAAGCUAUUAGAUGUGACUCGAAAUUGAUAAUUGACUUCAGUUCGGGACUUUUGACUCGCCAAUAGUUUCGCGGUGCGAUAAUUUGAAAAUAAAUUUGUGGAGAAAAAAAUGAAUGUCUGUGGUGAGUAGCGGAGGACCUGUAGCUCACCACUGACAUUUGCAAGUGGGUGUGGGGAGCGGAUCCGAAACCCGUUAAGAGUUUCUUUUUCGUUUUUGCCCUAAAGGCGACAAAUUGAUGCUUGUUGUGCUUCGAGCAUUGUAUUCUCUUUUCAAUCGUAAAGUUCUCUCCUCUCUCGCCCGUAGUUUUUCCCUGCAAAGGGUUUUUUACGUAAAUCUGUGUGUUCUCUUUUAUUUCUACUUGUGGUUUGUCUAUUUCGUGUUCGCCAUUUUUGUUUUCAUUUGUGCAUUAGUCGUAACAAAAACAAGUAAAAAAAUGUCACAGGAACAUUCUUAAAUAUGUGCUCUAUUCUCUAAAACAUCAUAAUGGCCAAAAUAAAAAGAUUAAAGACGAAAAAUGAUAUAAACACACCCAAAACAAUUACAGGUUAGCAACAGGUAAAGUUGGGAUACCGAAAAUCAACAAAUCAACAAUUGUAUGGAGCACCCUCAACUACAGACCAUUCCAAAACACGCCCUUUCACAUUAAUCUUUGCUUCUCUUUUUUUUUUUUUUCUUGGCAUUCCUUCAGCUUUUAAUUCUUUUGAUUUAAGCUAUUCCCGUCGAAUAAAUCGGGCAUUGCAUCGAAUUUUAACGCCGAUCUUACUAAAUUUAACAGCAUUAUUAACGAAAUUCCUGAUUCAACCGACUAAAAUAACUCCACCAUAAAAAAAAAUUGAGGGGUUUAUUUCAAAAUGGGACUACAGUUACAGGAACCAACACACAUUUUUUCUCAAAAAAAAAAAAGAAAAAAAGAAAUAAAGAUCGCAACAACUAUUAGAGAUAUCCAAUCACUUGCAAAACCCUAAUUCCUCACUUCACUUUUUUUUUCUUUUUUUUUUUUGCAGGAAUUGUUAGCACUAUUAUCCAACAAUGACAACAUCCACAACAUCCACCACAAGAAUCAUAACGCAAAAAAAAAAGAAAAAAAUGUGAUUACCGGAAUCGGGAGAGGGAGGGAGAAGAGCGGAGGAUCAAGCGCGAGGCGAUCGACCUCAUUUUUUUUUUCUUUUUUUUUUGAUAGAUUCUCCGUGUGAUGGGGUUUUGGUAUCAAAUGAGAAGUAUAUGUGUUGGUGAUGGAGCAAUCACAGAGUGCGAAAAAUGGAGAUUCUAGAGAGAGAGGGAUGGAGUCGGUUUGGGUUUUUGGGUUUUUAGUGAGAGAGAGGGAGAGAGAGAGAGAGAGGAGAGAGAAGGGGGGAGAGAGAGGGGACGGGUGGCACGGAGAGGGGAAGUCUGUGGGGGCUACUACGUGUGGCUGCCGGUUAGGGAACGCUGCACUGCGGAGGCGCACCCGUUCGGUCUUCCGUUCUGUACGCUUCUGUGCUUUCACUUUUCUUACGGGUUUAGUUCUCAAUCACUGUAGGCCGUGACAUUUCAGGUGUCCAGCUUCUGCACUCUAAAAAAAAUUACGUUUGGUAUAAAUAUAAAUAAAAGUUAUUUAUUUUAAAAAUAAAUAUAAGUUUAAAUAUAAAUAAAAAAUAAAUUAAUUUUGUGUUUGGAUAAAAAUUGAGUUGUUUCUAUAAAUACCGAGCAGGGUCACGUGCCUCCCGCCCCGCUUCUCUCCUCUCGGUAGGCUCAGAUCUGCUGCCCUCCUCUCUCCGAUCCCUCAUCUCUCCGAUCCGGGCCCCACGCCCCCUGUCGGGUGUUUGUCGGGCCCUACCCUGACCUCCUCCUGCGCCCGACGUACGUGUGUUCCAUCGCUGCGCCAGGGUUGGCCGGAGUACGGGAGUGCCCGCGGUAUCUCUUCUUUCUGCUCCCCAUGUGCAUCCCGAUUCUUCUGUCUCUGCAACUCCUUCCUCUAAUCCCCGAUUCCGUCCCCGGCGCCGCCAGAAGUGGGUGGGGGAUCUGCCCCUUUCUUUCCUCUGCCGUCGUCCUCCCUCCUCCUUCCUCUCUCAACCCGCAGUCUGCUCAGGAAAUGACUAUAAAUAGUCCUGGCACUAUGCAGAGGGGGGGCAGCUUGCUUGCUUGCUUGCCUCUAUUUGAAAGAUUUGUUGUAGUUGUUUGCUGGUAGCAUCUCCUCUAAUACUCUCUUUACUGUCUACUAUGACUUUCUCAUUGAAUUCUACACUGCAAUCAAAAUUUUCUUUUAAAACUUAUUGAAUUAUUAUCUUCUUGUCACUCUCCACAAUUAUAGGGCUGGCAAAUGAGCGAGCUGGCUCGCGGUCGGCUCGAUAUUCGGUUCGCUCAAGCUCGACGUUCUCAAUCACUGCAGAGGGUGACAUUUCAGGUGUCAACUACUGCACUCUAAAAGCUGCAUUUGGUUCAAAUAUAAAUAAAAAUUAUUUAUAUUUUAAAAAUGAGUAUAAGUUCAGAUACAAAUAGAAAUUAAAUUAAUUUUAUGUUUGGAUGAAAAUUGGGUUGUUGCUGUAAAUAAAAAGUACUUAUUUAUAGGAACUACUUAUUUCAGAAAUAAAUAUAAGUUUAGAUAUAAGCAGAAAUUAAAUCAAUUCUGUACGCUUCUCUAUUUUGACCUUUUUACAUUUUUGGUUCUCAAUCACUUGGGAGGGUGACAUUUUAGGUGUCCCGCUACUGCACUCUAAAGGCUGCGUUUGGUUCGGAUAUAAAUAGGAACUACUUAUUUUAGAAUAAAUACAAGUUCAGAUAUAAGCAGAAACUAAAUUAAUUUUGCAUUUAAAUGAAAUUUGGGUUGUUCUUAGAAAUAAAGUAAAUAGUAUUUGAAUAGUUAGAUUGGAAUAAAAGGAAUAAGAAUUAUAAUUUUAAAUUAAAAUUACUUUAUCUAAUUAAUUAAUAUCAAAAUAUUACUUAAAAAUAAUUAAUAAAUUAAUAAACUUAUUAGUUAUGAAUAUUGUAUAACAUAAUAAAAAUAUAUUAAUUAAUUAAUUAAAUAUAAAAAAUAAUUUAACUUUUUAAUUAGUUAGUAAAUUAUUUUAGCUAGAUAAUUUUUAAUUAGUUAGUAAAUUAUUUUAGCUAGAUAACUAGUAAAAAAAAUUAAUUAGAUUAAUAAAAAUAUUAAUGGUUGAUUAAUAUAAAUAUUAGUUUAUGGAUAAAUAUAUUAAAUUAUUAAUAAUUAAUUAUAAAUAAUAAAUUAUUUUAUUAUUUAAGUAAUAAAUAAUAAUUUAAAUAUAUUAAUUAGAUUAAUUAAUAAUUUAAUGCCAUGAUUAAAAUUAAAUUUAGACUUUAAUUAAUUUUGUUUCCACUUGGGAACGUUCCAAAAAAAGGUGGAACAACAGUUUCAACGUUAUACCAGCUUAUUCUAGAAAUUCGAGAACUACUGUUCUCGCCAAAUACGGCGUUUGGGCACAAAUAAGGGAACAAGGGCUUAUUUCUCCCUUGUCCCCAAACCAAACACUAUCCAACGGAGGCUUUCAUCCUUCUAAAUCAUUUAAAUGAUAAAAAUUUUGAAUCAACGAUAGAAACAGUUAAAAUUGAUUUAAAAUUAUAAUAUAAUUUUAUAUAUUUUGAAAUUCGUUAUCACAUUUACUGAAGGGUUGAAAAAUGAAUGGUAAAAAAACGAAUAAUCUUGUGAAAAUAGAUGCUGGACUUUUUUUUUUUUUUUUUUUUUCGAGAGAUAGGUAGCACGCUACUCGCUUCGUUUAUUUCAUUUAGAAAUAAACUUAGCUGGAAAUGUGAAUCAACUAGUAUUUGAACUUGGGAUCUCAGGUACCAACCAUCAACUACGAUGCUGGACUUUUUCAAUUCAUGAUCCGAGUUAUCAAACAGUAUCUAAAUAGUAUAAAAAAUUUUCUAUAAAAAAAUCAAACUGUUUGGAUUGUUCUAUACUGUUAAACAAGCAAACGACUUAUAUAGGUUGUAAAAAACUGUCGAUUUUGUGAUCCUUUGAUCACUACGUAAAUAAUUUUUAAAAUUCACGAAAUUUAGUUUCUAGAUACUUUAAAUACUCUAGAUCAACUUUAAUGAUUCCGAUCAUCGAUUCAAAAUUUUUAUCAUCUAAAACGAGUUAGAAGGAUGAAGGCCUCUGCCCUUGAAAAAAGAUUGUAGCUGGAUUCCACAUUUCAGUCCUCAAAUCUUAAUUCUUUAUAACUUUUGUCUCAAAUUCCUUAUAAGUUUUGCCUCAAAUAAUAAGACGCAUGGUAUUUUAGUUUUCAAAUUUUAAUGAGUUGUAACUUUUAGCUUGCACGGCAAGACAUGUGAUACUUUAAGUUUUGAAUUUUUUUUUUAAUUAUAGCAAUGAUUAGUAGUUUAUCAAUAUUUAUUCAAAAAAAAAAAUUGUGACACUCCAAUAGUCCAACAUCGAAUGGGAAUGGGGUUGUCAUUGGGUUUAUAAGAGACUUAAACACUAGUAAUAAUAACUGGGCUUAAGCAUUUUGGGCUGUUGGCUAGGCCUAACGAGUUAUUAUUGCUAGUGGGCUGGGUCGUUACAUUUGGUAUUAGAGCCGGUUCACCAGCUGGACAUGUGUGGUGAGUCUCGGCUGAGCCAGGGUCUGGAUGACGGGUUAGCGAGACGAGUCUCACAUCGCCUGUUGAUCUUGGGCAGCCUUAACGAGGGGAGUCUGUGACACCCCAAGGGUUGUCAUUGGGUUUAUAAGAGACUUAAACACUAGUAAUAAUAAUUGGGCUUAAGCAUUUUGGGCUGUUGGCUAGGCCCAACGAGUUAUUAUUGCUAGUGGGCUGGGUCGUUACAAAAAUAGAUUGUGGGACUUAACUGCAACAGUUCAGAAAGUUUGAGAAUUAAAAUAUCACAUAUCUCACAGUAUGAGCUAGAAAAUAUAACUAUUUAAAGUUUGAAGACUAAAGUGUCUCGCACCGCAUAGUUCGAGAUAGAAACAACAACGAAUUAAAGUUUGAGGACUAAACUGUCAUGCGCUUCACAGUUUGAGAAUCAAAUAAUUUACCCGUUAGUUAAUUGAAAGUAAAAAUAUAUAAACUUAUUUAAAUUAUGAAAUACUUAAAAGAAGUUUAGGUCUUUUUGUUUUUUUAUUUUUUAAAAUAAAUUUUUAUAGGAUUAUUUGCAUACACGUCCCUGCAAACAUAGUGAAUUGCAGAAAUAUUCCUGCAAAACAGAAAUUCCAUAAGUUGUCCCUGCAAAAGUCCUAAGUUAUGCAGUUAUGUCCCUCUGGUUGAAAUCUGUUAAGAAACUGUUAAUUUUUUAACAGUUUUCUUGUGAAAUGACUUUUUUACCCUCACAAAUAUAUCCCUCCAAAUCUCUUUCCCUUCCCUUUCUCUCCCUCUUUGGGCCACCGGAGUGGACGGCGGCGGCGGCGGCGGCGCGGGGUUGGGUUCGCCGGCGACGAAGAAGAGGGAAGAGAAAGAAGGAGAGGAAGAAGGAGAGGAAGAGGGAAGAGGAAGAGGAAGAGGGAGAGGGUUUGCUUUCACCGCCGCCGCCGCCGCAUCUCCUCCCUCGCUGGCGACGAAGAAGAGGAAGAGGAAGAGGGAGAGGAAGAAGAAAGGCGAAGAGGAAGAGGGAAGAGGAAGAGGGUUCGUCGCCGCCAUCGCCGCCGCAUUUUCUCCCUCGCCGGCUACGAAGAAAAGGGAAGAGGAAGAAGGAGAGGAAGAAGAAGGGGGAAGAGGAAGAGAGAAGAGGGAGAGGAAGAGGGAGAGGGCCGCCGCCGCUGCCGCCGUUGCCGUCGCCGCCGCUGCCACCGUCGCUGUCACCGCCACCGCCGGCGAGGAAGAAGAUGGAAGAGGAAGAGGAGAAAGAGGAAGAAGUGUAAAACCGUCAAUUUACGUUAUUAAUUAACUAUGGUUAAAUUUUUAACUGUGGUUAACGAAAUUUUUUUAACAGACCUUAACGGUAGGGACAUAUCUGCAUAACUUAAGACUUUUGCAGGGACAACUUAUGGAAUUUCUAUUUUGCAGGAAUAUUUUUGCAAUUCACUAUGUUUGUAGGGACGUGUAUGCAAAUAACCCAUUUUUAUAUAUCAAAAGGAAUAGCACUGGUCAUUGGAUUACAUGCAAUUCUUUAAUAUAUUUAUUGGACAACAAAGUAUACAAAUUUAAAAAUUAUCUUUUUAACUUCUAAUUUCUUUAAAAAAUAAGUUACUAUCUAUCAUUUAGCUAGAUAUAUUGUAAGCUAACUAGCUAUAAUAAUUAAAAAAAAGUCGUUUCUUCGCUACAUCAAAUUAUGUAGAAUUAGUAUCUAACUUUUAAAUUUAUUUAGUUUAAAUAAUUCAAUAUAAAAUAUAAGUUAAUUAUUUACUUUAGUUAAUUUAUAGUUGUGUGCAUUACAUAAUAUAUACUAAUUAAACUAAACCGUAAAGAUAAACAACAAAUUUAAAAUUUGAGGUUAAAUUUUUUUAAAAUAACUCAAAUUAAAUACAUUAAAAGAUUAGUUAACAAAAAUCAAAAUUUUAAUAGUUACAUAAUUAGAUUAAACCGAGAGAUAGUCGAGGUGAAUUUUAUACAUUUUUACCUUAGUAGGUAAUUUAGAUAUUGCAUUAUGUUCUAAGUAGGACUUAAUUGUUACAUCCUGUCGAAUGUAUGAACAUCUUAUUUCAUAUAUUUUUUAUUUGCUCAAAAAGUAUAUAUAUUUGAUAAAUGUGUAGGGUGGAAACGAGCCGAGCUGGAGCGAGCUUAUCUCGGCUCAAAUUCGGCUUGAAAUGAAUUUCGAGCCUAAAUUUAUGCUCAAGCUUGGCUUAAAAUUAAUUCGAGCCAAGCUCGAGCGAGACUAGUUUUGAGUCCAUUGUAUGAUCAAUAGUUUAAUUUAGGGUUAUUUGCAUACACGUCCCUGCAAACAUAAUGAAUUGCAGAAAUAUCCCUGCAAAACGAAAAUUCCAUAAGUUGUCCCUGCAAAAGUCAUAAGUUAUGCAGAUAUGUCCCUGCUGUUAGAGUCUGNGGCGCGAACCAACCGAGUAUGCAAGCGUAUCUCUGUCGAGCUCAAUCAAGCUCUCACAGGCAUAAUUCAAAUAAACAGGGUCUAACCACCAAUAUCUCCGCAGCGACGGCGGUGACGGCGGCGAACCCUCUCCCUUUUCCUCUUCCCCCUUCUUCUUCCUCUCCCUCUUUCUCUUUCCUCUUCCUUUUCCCCUUUCUUCUUCCUCUCCCUCUUCCUCUUCCCUCUUCUUCGUUGCCGACGAGGGAGAAGAUGCAGCGGCGGCGGCGAACCCUCUCCCUCUUCCUUUUCCUCUUUCUCUUCGCCAUUUUUCUUCCUCUCCCUUUUUUCUCUUCCCUCUUCCUCAUCGCCGGCGAGGGAGGAGAUGCGGCGGCGACAAACCCUCUCCCUCUUCCUCUUCCCUUUUCCUCUCCCUCUUCCUCUCUUUCUUCCUCUUCCCACUUCUUCUUCCUCUCAUUCUUUCUCUUCCCUCCUGUUCGUUGCCGGCAAACCCGACCCCGCGUCGCCGCCGUUGUACGCUCCGAUGGCCCAAAGAGGAAGAGAAAGAGAAGGGGAAGAGGAUACUUUUGGAGGGAUAUAUUUGUGAGGGCAAAACAGUCAUUUCACAAGAAAACUGUUAAAAAAUAAAUAGUUCACUAACGGAUUUUAACCAGAGGGACAUAUCUGCAUAACUUAGGACUUUUGCAGGGACAACUUAUGAAAUUUUCGUUUUGCAGGAAUAUUUCUGCAAUUCACUAUGUUUGCAGAGACGUGUAUACAAAUAACCCUUUAAUUUAUAUAGAACAUUAUCUACAAUUUGAUACAAAAAUAUGUCUAAUAGUUCAAUACAAAAUAAUUAUAUGAAAUACGGUAUAAUAAUAUAAAUAAAAAUAACUUAUGAGUUGAAUAUCUAAUCUUUUCAACCUCGCAUGUCUUCUUUUCCACCUAUAAUCUCCAUAUUAUUCUUUUUCAUUUAUGCGAUCAAAAAAUGAAUAAAUUAUAUAGGCAAAUAUUAGAUUAAAUUAUCCAAUCAUAUAUAACUAAAAUCAAAAUUUUGUAUAAACAAUAAUUUUCCACCUAUAAUCUCCAUAUUAUUCUUUUUCAUUAAUGCGAUAAAAAAAUAAAUAAAUUAUAUAGGCAAAUAUUGGAUUAAACUAUCCAAUCAUACAUAACUAAAAUCAAAAUUUUGUAUAAAUAAUAAUUUUUUACCUUAAAAAUAUUCUGUAUAUUUUUUCAAUCACACAAUUAAUGGUAAGGUAGGCAAUGGCGGGUGCGUGCUGUUACUUGGUAACUUGGAGGGCUUAAAGUUUGUCCGCUUGGGGUGAGAGAGAGAGAGAGAGAGAGAGAGAGAGAGAGAGAAAGAGAUUAGGGAUUUAGAGCUUUGUGGAAGAAAGUGAUGAAGAGAGUUUAAAUUUAGUAAAAUUUUGCCCUUUUGUUUGUCUAUUGGAUUUGUUUUUAUAGACCAGCAACAUUAGCCUAAUUUUAACUAAACUCAGGUUAUAUAUAUAUAUAUAUAUAUAUAUAGAGCAGGGCUGCUGUGCUCUUAGGAGCACGGAGGCCUCCGUGCUCCUGAGCCGUUUUCGAUGAUGGAAUUUUCGAAUUGACGAUCGGCUCCGUUAAACUUGAUCUACCGUAUUUAAAGUUUCUAGAAAAUAAUUUUUGCGAUUUUUCGAUAUCAUUUACCUAGCAAUCGAAAGGAUUCAAAAUCAAUAAUUUUUAACGGCUGAAAAUAAAAAUCCUAUAAAAAGUGGUGAUAUAGCACUAAAAUUUUCGAUCAGAAAUAUAGAUCUUGUUGUAGAUAGUAUAAAGAAUUUUCUAUCAAAAUUUCAUCUGAUUUGAAUACUUACACCGUUAAACUUGAAAAGGCAGAUAUCACACAUUAAAAUUUAUGGAUUUGUAAUCCUUUCGAUCACCUAGGUAAAUGAUAUGAAAAAUCGCAAAAUUAUUUUUAAAACUUCAAAUGCCUAGAUCAAGUCUAACGGAGCCGAUCGUCGAUUCGAAAAUUCCAUCAUCGAAAACGGCUCAGGAGCACGGAGGCCUCGUGCUCCUAAGAGCACAGCAGCCCUGCUCUCUCUCCUUCUCUCUAUAUAUAAUAUAUAUAAUAUAUAUAUAUAUAUAUAUUAUAUAUAAUAUAUAUAUAUAUAUAUUAUUAUAUAUAUAAUAAUAUAUAUAUAUAUAUAUAUAGAGUCCGCUCGGUGCUUGUAAAAGUACCAAGUUUUGGUGCUUGUAAAUUUUUUGCCGUUAGAUCUACGCCUUUGAUCAUUUUCCCCCGUUUGAUUAUACUAUUCAACUAAACCACCCACCCUUAACUCUAGGCCACAUCAUCUUAAGCGACAUUCCUUAAUCCAAGAGCUAAAAAUUUACAAGCCAAUGACUUGUAUUUUAAAAGCAUAGGAGCUAAUUAUAUAUAUAAUAUAUAUAUAUAUAUUAUAUAUAUUUAUAUAUAUAUAUAUAUAUAUAUAUAGAACUAGGCUACUAGGGUACUAUGCUAUUAAUAACACCAUGUCAUUGGUGCUACCAAUUUUUGGCCAUUGGAUUAGAUGUUGAUUAGGAUGAUGUUGGCCUCAUAGUGUUGAGUGGGUGGUUGGUUGAAUAGUAUGAUCUAACGGUGAAAAUGAUCAAAGGGUAGAUCUAACGGCGAAAAACUAUGGUAGCACCAAGUGCUCGUGCUAUUAAUAGCAUAGUAGCCGGACUAUAUAUAUAUAUAUAUAUAUAUAAUAAGUGUGAGGCUACUACGCUUUGGAGCACGGAGCCUUCCGUGCUUUCAGAUCAUUUUUUGAUGUUGCGACUUUCGAAUUGUCGAUCGGCUCCCGUAAACUUGAUCUAGAGUAUUUGAAGUACCUAGAAAAUAAAUUUUAUAAUUUUUGAUAUCAUUUGCCUAGUGAUCGAAGGGAUCAAAAUCAAUUAUUUUAUGACGUAGUAAGCCGUUUGCAAGUUUAACGGUGUAGAAAUAUCUAAAAUCACGUGAAUUUUGAUAGAAAAUUCUUUAUAUUAUAUAAAAUAAGAUCAAUAUCUUUGAUCUAAAAUUUUAAUAUCAUAUUAAUCACGUUUUGUAUGAUUUUUAUUUUAGCCGUUGAUUUUUGAGCCUCGUUCACUAGACAAAUAAUAUCGAAAAAUCGCAUAAUAUUUUUUCUAGCGAAAUACUCUAGAUUAAGUUUAACGGAGCGAUCGACAUUUGAAAGUCACAACAUGGAAAACGACCGGGAAGCACGGAAGGCUCGUACUUUCAGAAGCAUAGUAGCUCACUCAUAUAUAUAUAUAUUAUAUAUAUAUAUAUAUAUUAUAUAUAUAUAUAUUAUAAAAUUAGGCUGGAAUACUAUUAAUAGUAAAACGUCUUUUGCUAUCAAUUUUUACCCUUGGAUGAAAAAAUUGUAGGGUCCAGGAUGAUAUUAGUCGGUUAGAGUGAGUGGUCGCCCCUAGGGCUGAGUGGUCCUACUGGGUUAAUAGUAUUUAAUCCAAUGUUUAGAAAUAAUGAAAAGAGUUGAUCCAAAAGCUAAAAAACUGGUGCGAACAAUGAAUUUUGCUACUAUAGUAGCCAGUCAACUAUAUAUAUAUAUAUAUAUAGAAUUAGGCUGGAAUACUAUAAUAGUAAAAGCUCUUUUUGUACCAAAUUUUUAACCCUUGGAUGAAAAAUUGUAGGCUCAGGAUGAUAUUAGUCGGUUAGAGUUGAGUGGUCCCCUAGGGUUGGUGGUCCCCAUGGUUAUAAUAUUUAAUCCAAUGGUUAGAAUAAUAAAAAGAGUUGAUCUAAAGGCUAAAAACUGGGUAGCAACAAUGAAUCUUUUGGCUACUAAUAGUAGCCAGUCAACUCUAUAUAUAUAAUAUAUAUAUUCUCGGCUUUCGAGCCUAAUUUGAAGUGAGCGAGUAAUACUCAACUCGGCUUGAAUGAAUUCCGAGCUUUUUUUUUUUUGUUCAAGUUCAGCUCGUUUAAUUUCGAAUCGAGCUCGAGCAAACCGAAUAUCGAGCCGAACACGAGCCAGCUCGCUCAUUUGCCAGCCCUAUAAUUGUGGAGAGUGACGAGAAGAUAAUAAUUUAAUAAAUUUUAAAAGAAAAUUUUGAUUGCAGUGUAGAAUUCAAUGAGAAAGUCAUAUCAUUGUAUUUAAAUAAGAAAAAAGUUUACAGCAUUCCAAACAACAAUAAUUCAAGAAGUACAAGAUAAUAAGGGGCUUGUUUUGUUACACUGUUCGUAAUAUUCUAGUAAUCUUUCGUAUUUUUUUACUGAAAUAUUUAAAUUAUUAUCAUUCAAUUUAAAUUGGAUAGUUGUAAAAAAUAUCAGUAAAAUAGUAAUUAUAAAUACUCAACUAGUAAGAGUAUUUGAUUACCACAGAUUAUGAUGUAUUCUUAUUCUUAUAUUUAAUGAGAAUCAUUAGUUGUUCAUUAAUAAUAAAAAUACAUAAACCGACCGUCCCUAAAGCAAGUGGCAAAAGGCUUGAUGGUUGGUACCCAAGACCCAAGUUCGAAUCCUAGCUGAUUCACAUUUCCAGCUAAGUUUAUUUCAAAAUGAAAUAAACGAAGCGGAUAGCAUACUACCUAUCUCUCUCAAAAAAAAGAAAAAAAAAAAAAAUCUUAACAACCUUCCAAUAUAAGCAGCUUGGUAAGUGAGGAGCAGACUUGCUAUUCUUAAUAUAAAAUAUACUAUUUUCCCGNGUAAAAUAGUAAUUAUAAAUACUCAACUAGUAAGAGUAUUUGAUUACCACAGAUUAUGAUGUAUUCUUAUUCUUAUAUUUAAUGAGAAUCAUUAGUUGUUCAUUAAUAAUAAAAAUACAUAAACCGACCGUCCCUAGAGCAAGUGGCAAAGGGCUUGAUGGUUGGUACCCAAGACCCAAGUUCGAAUCCUAGCUGAUUCACAUUUCCAGCUAAGUUUAUUUCUAAAUGAAAUAAACGAAGCGGGUAGCAUGCUACCUAUCUCAAAAAAAAAAAAAAAAAAAAAAAAACAUGAGUUCUUAACAACCUUCCAAUAUCAGCAGCUUGGUAAGUGAGGAGCAGACUUGCAAUUCUUAAUAUAAAAUAAUACUAUUUUCCCGAAAUAUUUCAAACCUUCAACCAAAUGGCCCUAACUACCUCUACAUUAAAACACUUCAUUAAACAUAACAGCAGCUUACAGCUAUCUCAAAUAAAACUUGAAGAACAGUAUUAGAUUUAGACCAAAGUAGUGGUUCAUUUCAUUUGUUUGAAAUAUUUUGAAAAUAUCAUAUAUUUUACAUUUGAAAUGACUGAUUUGUUAAUAAUAACAUGCCACUGGGGUUCAAAUAUUAUUUCAGACUUGUAUAUUUUUAUUAACUGACUAUUCAUAAUCUUCAUCAAGUCCGAAAAUAACAAAACUUCCUACCCCGAAUAUUAUAAUCAAGAAUUUAAGUGUCCAUCGGCACGGAUCGUUUCUUUUCUACUGUAUUGUGCCAACAAAUUAUCGACACGAUACAGUAAAAUACAUAAUAAACAGUUAGAAUAUUUUAUUUCUAAAGAAAAUAAAUAAAUAUUUUAUAUUAUUAUGUGUCUGCACACAUAAAUUUUUUGUGACUAACAGGUAUUGACAUAGCCCGGCACACACCGUGCCGGAAAGUCUCCGAUAGGAUCCUGUGCCACGACGCUUAAAUUUUUGAUUACAAUAAACCUACUUGCAGGAAAUAAAAAAUAUAAAAGAUUACUGAAAUAUUAUAAACCACAGACGGGUCUUAAAAGUUUACUAUAAUGUGGGUUUUUUAAUUAAUGCACCUAGUUAAGUUGCAAUAUAACAAAUAAAAUCAAAAAUUUAAAAGACAAGAUACCCUUCUUGAUCAGAACUAUAUCUAAAUUAAUAGUUCUAUUAUCAGACAAUUUAUUUAAAUUGAAAGAUUCUUUUCUAUCAAAGUAUAACUGACGCCAUCAGCAAGUCAUUUUUCGUAAACUUUUUGCAUCUAUAUUCAACAAUUAUGUCCAAAAUUUUGUGCCCAUUUAAAAACAAGAGCAAGAUGCAGCAACCAUAGAAAAAUGUCAGGGUUUAAUGAGAUAAAGGGUGAGAGUGCAAGGUUGGUUUUGCACUUUAGCCUUGAGUUUUUCUAUUUCUUCAUAAGGAUUUCAAUUACAAUGAACAAUUACAACCUGGAAAUUAAUGAGCCAACACUAAUUUUAUACAGAAUAAGAACAGUGGAAUAAAAAAAAAAAACAAGCUAUGAAGAUUGAUUCCAAGGUUUCCUAUAUUUUGUAUGGGUGGCAAUAAAUUUCGCAAAAAUGCCCUCAAAUUGCUUUAUCCAGCCACUUUGGAAGUUUCAAAGAAGCCCUCAAUCCAAGUUUUGUAAGGAUCACAGCAUACAAUAUAUGCAGCAAAAAAACAAAGAAUCCACAGUUGAGUAGAAGCUGUUCAGCAACAAAAACAGAUGAAUUAACAGCAUCCGAGCGCAAUAUCAUACACGAAUUCAGCGAAAGAACUGCGAGAUUUGAAAUGAUGUAAAAGUUACCAGAGUUCCAAAUAAGAGAUAGAUGGCGUCCAUCGUUGGAACGACAUUGACUCCUAUGGCCGUCAGUAUGUAGGUGAGCGAAGCGUGAAUGUUAAUGGUGAUCUGCAGAUGAUCAAUUGUUUAGUCUCCAGAAAUGUUCACACUUGAAGGUUAGGAUUCGUGUUUUGGAAAUAGGUAAAUUGCACCACGGAUCACUGACACUUCCAAGAGGUUUUAGUUUCUCAACAAUCUUCAAAUUUUUACAGCUCAGUCUGUAAACUUUAAUUUCUGCAGCAAUCUUUACCCUUUUCAUUGACUUAAAAGUAAACUGAUGUUGCCAAACAAGAACUAACAAAAAUUGCUCAUCUACCAGUACGAUGAUGAUUAUGUGGAUAUUUCAAUCCUAUUUGAUGGAAAAACCAAACGAAAGGGUUAGAUUAUAACGGAGAGCAACAGAUACGGACCCAAUUGUAAUAACUGAAAGGUUCAGGAUCAGACUGAGCUAAGCAAAAAGUUGAGGACCCCUGAUGUAAUUUAUCCUUUAAAAACAUACCAAGUCAAGUAUAUUCUCUCGUAUAAGGAAAGAGGAAAUCAAAACGUAUCCAACAGCUCCCAUUGCUCGGACCUGCAUGAUAAGAUUAGAAACACUCAACACUAGAGAAAUUCCAUUGUUAAGCAUGUUCAAUAAAUCGAAUAAAUAGGUAAGAGCAUUACAAUCGAGCAAAGGAAGAUGGAUGUUACCCAAUUUGCCCCAAGCCUGGAAAGAGCGAAUAUCGAGCCGAACACGAGCCAGCUCGCUCAUUUGCCAGCCCUAUAAUUGUGGAGAGUGACGAGAAGAUAAUAAUUUAAUAAAUUUUAAAAGAAAAUUUUGAUUGCAGUGUAGAAUUCAAUGAGAAAGUCAUAUCAUUGUAUUUAAAUAAGAAAAAAGUUUACAGCAUUCCAAACAACAAUAAUUCAAGAAGUACAAGAUAAUAAGGGGCUUGUUUUGUUACACUGUUCGUAAUAUUCUAGUAAUCUUUCGUAUUUUUUUACUGAAAUAUUUAAAUUAUUAUCAUUCAAUUUAAAUUGGAUAGUUGUAAAAAAUAUCAGUAAAAUAGUAAUUAUAAAUACUCAACUAGUAAGAGUAUUUGAUUACCACAGAUUAUGAUGUAUUCUUAUUCUUAUAUUUAAUGAGAAUCAUUAGUUGUUCAUUAAUAAUAAAAAUACAUAAACCGACCGUCCCUAAAGCAAGUGGCAAAAGGCUUGAUGGUUGGUACCCAAGACCCAAGUUCGAAUCCUAGCUGAUUCACAUUUCCAGCUAAGUUUAUUUCAAAAUGAAAUAAACGAAGCGGAUAGCAUACUACCUAUCUCUCUCAAAAAAAAGAAAAAAAAAAAAAAUCUUAACAACCUUCCAAUAUAAGCAGCUUGGUAAGUGAGGAGCAGACUUGCUAUUCUUAAUAUAAAAUAUACUAUUUUCCCGAAAUAUUUCAAACCUUCAACCAAACGGCCCUAACUACCUGUACAUAAAAACACUACAACAUUAAACAUAACAGCAGCUUACAGCUAUCUCAAAUAAAACUUGAAGAACAGUAUUAGAUUUAGACCAAAGUAGUGGUUCAUUUCAUUUGUUUGAAAUAUUUUGAAAAUAUCAUAUAUUUUACAUUUGAAAUGACUAAUUUGUUAAUAAUAACAUGCCACUGGGGUUCGAAUAUUAUUUCAGACUUGUAUAUUCUUAUUAACCGACUAUUCAUAAUCUUCAUCAAGUCCGAAAAUAACAAAACUUCCAACCCCGAAUAUUAUAAUCAAGAAUUUAAGUGUCCAUCGGCACGGAUCGUUUCUUUUCUACUGUAUCGUGCUAACAAAUUAUCAACACGAUACAGUAAAAUACAUAAUAAACAGUUAGAAUAUUUUGUUUCUAAAAAAAAUAAAUAAAUAUUUUAUAUUAUUAUGUGUCUGCACACAUAAAUUUUUUAUGACUAACACGCAUUCACAUAGCCCGGCACGCACCGGAAAGUCUCCGAUAGGAUCCUGUGCCACGACGCUUAAAUUCUUGAUUACAAUAAACCUACUUGCAGGAAAUAAAAAAUAUAAAAGAUUACUGAAAUAUUAUAAACCACGGACGGGUCUUAAAAGUUUACUAUAAUGUGGGUUUUUUAAUUAAUGCACCUAGUUAAGUUGCAAUAUAACAAAUAAAAUCAAAACCAGAAAAGCAUAAAAAGAAAAAAAAACAAAAGACAAGAUACCCUUCUUGAUAAGAACUAUAUCUAAAUUAAUAGUUCUAUUAUCAGACAAUUUAUUUAAAUUGAAAGAUUCUUUUCUAUCAAAGUAUAACUGACGCCAUCAGCAAGUCAUUUUUCGUAAACUUUUUGCAUCUAUAUUCAACAAUUAUGUCCAAAAUUUUGUGCCCAUUUAAAAACAAGAGCAAGAUGCAGCAACCAUAGAAAAAUGUCAGGGUUUAACGAGAUAAAGGGUGAGAGUGCAAGGUUGGUUUUGCACUUUAGCCUUGUGUUUUUCUAUUUCUUCAUAAAGAUUUCAAUUACAAUGAACAAUUACAACCCGGAAAUUAAUGUGCCAACACUAAUUUUAUACAGAAUAGUAACAGUGGAAUUAAAAAAAAAAGAAGAACAAGCUUUGAAGAUUGAUUCCAAGGUUUCCUAUAUUUUGUAUGGGUGGCAAUAAAUUUCGCAAAAAUGCCCUCAAAUUGCUUUAUCCAGCCAUUUUGGAAGUUUCAAAGAAGCCCUCAAUCCAAGUUUUGUAAGGAUCACAGCAUACAAUAUAUGCAGCAAAAAAACAAAGAAUCCACAGUUGAGUAGAAGCUGUUCAGCAACAAAAACAGAUGAAUUAACAGCAUCCGAGCGCAAUAUCAUACACGAAUUCAGCGAAAGAACUGCGAGAUUUGAAAUGAUGUAAAAGUUACCAGAGUUCCAAAUAAGAGAUAGAUGGCGUCCAUCGUUGGAACGACAUUGACUCCUAUGGCCGUCAGUAUGUAGGUGAGCGAAGCGUGAAUGUUAAUGGUGAUCUGCAGAUGAUCAAUUGUUUAGUCUCCAGAAAUGUUCACACUUGAAGGUUAGGAUUCGUGUUUUGGAAAUAGGUAAAUUGCACCACGGAUCACUGACACUUCCAAGAGGUUUUAGUUUCUCAACGAUCUUCAAAUUGUUACAGCUCAGUCUGUAAACUUUAAUUUCUGCAGCAAUCUUUACCCUUUUCAUUGACUUAAAAGUAAAUUGAUGUUGCCAAACAAGAACUAACAAAAAUUGCUCAUCUACCAGUACGAUGAUGAUUAUGUGGAUAUUUCAAUCCUAUUUGAUGGAAAAACCAAACGAAAGGGUUAGAUUAUAACGGAGAGCAACAGAUACGGACCCAAUUGUAAUAACUGAAAGGUUCAGGAUCAGACUGAGCUAAGCAAAAAGUUGAGGACCCCUGAUGUAAUUUAUCCUUUAAAAACAUACCAAGUCAAGUAUAUUCUCUCGUAUAAGGAAAGAGGAAAUCAAAACGUAUCCAACAGCUCCCAUUGCUCGGACCUGCAUGAUAAGAUUAGAAACACUCAACACUAGAGAAAUUCCAUUGUUAAGCAUGUUCAAUAAAUCGAAUAAAUAGGUAAGAGCAUUACAAUCGAGCAAAGGAAGAUGGAUGUUACCCAAUUUGCCCCAAGCCUGGAAAGAGGAUGAGAGUGCCAUAUGAUAUUCAGUCAAUCUCUAAUUAAUGAUGGAUGGCGAAGUGAUGAAUAAAUAUGUCGGUCUAAAAAUACUAACUGAGAGAUAAAUGGCAGCUAGAGUCAAGAGAGGCAAGAGAGAGUGGAUUUAAUCUAAGAGUUCUCACCUCCAUAGUAAACCCAUAGACAAAACAACAAGCCAUGCAUAAGCUGCACAGAUAAGAUUUGACAUUGAUUGUUAGUCUGCAAGAGCUAGAUAGGGAGCAAUUCAUUGAUACAUUCAAACAAGCAUGCAAUUGACCUUGGUAGUAAUUAGGGCGAAUUUAUGUACGUUGACAUAGAAGCGUUGAUAAGUUCUCUAUCUGAACUUUAAACCUACUACCAAAGGCCAGGGCCUAUGCAUGGCUGAUAAUAGACGAUUUGAAUUUGAACUAUAGGAACAAAAUUAGGUAUUGGAAUCAGAAAGAAUUAAUUAAAAUGAAGAUUCAGCUACUAUACGAUCGCUUUCGUAUUCAUUGUGUUUUUUGAGAUAAGGGGCUCCAAUUCGAUGAUUCCAUACCUCGUUAAAUCAUGAUUUACAACCUUCGAAACUUUUAGAAAAUCAAUUUCAUAACUUUUUCUGAUAUUCAUAUUAGUUCGAUUCAAAAAGACCUUAAAAUUGACAAUUUUUAACGAUCAUAAGAAAUACUGCUAGUUUUAACGGUUUUGUAAAGAAUCGGAAUUAGGUAUGCUUGAAGUUUUUGAUAGGAAAAUGUCUAUUCACUAUCUAGAUAAAAAUUAAUAAACGUCGACUCUUAAAUUGCAGGAUUUGAUCAUCCAGUUUUAGAGGUAUCGUUCAAUUUCAACCAUUCAUUUUAUGCCCACUUGAUGGACAUUCAUGCUCUAGAUCAUAUUUAACGGAUCAUUGAUUUGGAAGCUCCAUCAUUGAAAACAACUUAUGAGUACAAAGAGCUCUACUCAUAAGAGUAUAGCAGCCCUACUCUUAAAUGAAUUUAACAUCUUAAAAGUAGUGAGCAUGGCUGAAAACGAGUUCUGUUCUCAGUUUUACUUCAGACUAGCAAUGACCAUAACUUAUCAGUAGUUAUCAUAAUACACAUAGAAGCCCAUUGAAUGUUUCCUUCUUGCUUGAGAUAUCACAGAUUAUCCAUUUUACAAAGUUUUCAAACAUACAGAAGUCCAAUAUUGAGUUUCAUAGUUCAAUUUCAUUAAAUUUAUUUUAUUAUAACGCAUGUUUUUCAUCGUUUGAGGUGGCUUCAGUCCUUUCACAGAAAUUCCCCAGUUUUAACACAUUACCCUGGAAACUAGAUGCUAGAUGACUUGUGUACUGCACAAGAAACAUUUUUCAUAAAAGAAUGCUCUCUUUUUUUGAACAGAAUGGGUAAUGUUUCAAUGGGAACCAAACCAAAAGGCGACCAUUCUGAAAGUAACUGAAGAAAGCAAAACAAAAACUUUCUUUGCUGGUAACUGAAGAAAGCAAAACAAGAACUUUCUAUGUUGAAAUGUUAGGAGAGAAGCAGGAUUGCCCAUCCACCCAUGUCGCCCUGUGCUGCCUGUGUCAUACCAUGCUGAGUCUCUGCUGGCAUAUGGCAUGGGGUCAUGUUGACACUCUAUUGAAAAAUGAUUUUUAUUUUUAUUUUUUAUUUUUUUGUUGUCUUUUUGAGAUUUUUUGAGGUGAAAAGUUUUACAAAGAUUUUUCCAUUACAUAUGUAAUCUUGUAAAUCUACUAAUAUUUGAAGCAAUUAGUGUGUUCCGUUACAUAAUGAGAUCAACUUUUAGUGAAAAAAAUACAAAAAAGAAAAUCUCCCCAAAUUUCUCUUAUCAUUUAAGAUAUAAUGAGUUUACCCAUACUUAUGCUUUCCAAUAAAUUUUUACCCAAAUAUGACUUUAAUUUUGUUUUCAUGCAAAUGCUUUCAGAGUAUGUAUAAAAUGAUUUCUUUUAGUUGUUAAGAUUUUUAUGACUCUCAUUAUAAAAAUUGUGUGAGAUAUAAUGUUUGAGACAUUUUAUAUAACAUUAGUGAUAAAAAGAAAUAUCUAAAAAGUUAUUUUUUAUGAAAAUUUAAAAAAAAAACUUGUGUCAAUGCAUGCCAAUGUGCCACUGGCUUGUCACUGGUACAAGGGGGUGUGCCAUGCCGCUACAUGCAACGUGGCGCUCGUGUGGCAAGAAGAGGGCCAUAUAUGCAAAUACAAAUUUGCUAGGGGCAUUUGCUAAAUAAAAAAUACGAGGGGGCUAAAUGCAAAAAAAAACCGUAAGCUCUAAAAUCUCCACAAGUCCACAUCAUUGGAGAGUUGAUUUUCUAAUAUAUUUCAACAGUUCACAGUAAUGGUCUCAGCACUUUUGAUGUGCCUAUAAACAAAUUACUCAAAGAAUUAGUCUGUAAGCUCAUAUGCAGUCUAAGAUUCUAACAACUUCAGCAAUACAAGAGUGCCAUAUUGAAAAAACAGCAAUCACUGAUUGGACAUUAUAUUCCAAUAAAUUGGGGUUCCAUAACAAAACCUUUUCAGCAAUUCAAUUAUAAUUUCACAAGGCCCUCUGUUACCUUAAUAAAGGCCAUCUUCUAGUACUGUAUUCUACGUCUUAUUUGUUUAACUGACACUCAAGGCACAUUCCAAUGCAAAUCAUGCCUACAUAUAAAUCACUACGGCCUCAAUUAGUGCUUGCUCCUGUACUUUAAGUCAUUAUUUCUUAAUUUAAUUCUCCAUUCUUGCUAUUUCCCAGUCCCCACUUGCUAGAGAUACAAGCAAUUAUUAUUGAUGUCACAUCACUAACCAUCUUAUCGUUCACAUAUCAGCCAAACUUCCUGCGGUUAUGUGUUAGUAAGAUGUCCAGUUAUCUAAAACCAGGGCACCGCAACUACAAUAAGGGGCUGUUUGGUUGGAUGUAGUUGCACAAACAGUGUAGCUGGAAAUACAUGCAGUUGCAAAUGCUGCAGUUGUAACUACACCUAGUCUGUUUGGUUUUGCGCAGUUGCAACUACUGCAGUUACAACAGCUGCAGUUACAUUUCUUCUGUUUGGUAAUAUGAAGCUGAUAGUUGUAUUUGUGAAUUUUGUCACCUUUUCAGAUAGAGUGGUGAGAUUACCUUCACUAAACAUAAAAUAAUUGUAUAAGUUUAUUAAUCAUUUAAAUUUACUAUUUAUAAAUAAAUAAGAAGAUAUAUAUAAUAUUCUUCAACUUAUUAAUCGACACAUUUAAAAUUUUUAAUUUAUUUAAUUUUAAUAUGUAAAUCAAACUUUAAAAUUUAAACGAUUCUCUCAUUUUUUUUAUCAAAUUUAAUAAUUAUAAUUAAUUAAAACUUAUUAAAUUAACAUACACGAUCACAUUCUAUAAAAAUUUUUUAAAAAAACUAUAUUUAUAUUUUAAAUAAAAUAAAUUUAAAAAAUUUAAUUUUUUGCACAAUGCUUGUAUUGUCUAAAAAAUUUUAUUAGUAUGAGUUUAUUUACAAGUAUUUUUAUUUACCUAUAUACAUAUAUUAUUUAUUUAUUUAGCUAUUUAUUUAUUUAUUUAUUAUUGUUAAUUUGUGGGUGAUCCUAUCCCUCACCAACUGCUGCAGUUGGAACGACGGCCAAUUUGGAUGUAGUUCCAACUGCAGCAUUUGGACCUUCUUGUGUAGUUGGAACUGCAGCAGUUGAACUCAACUACACUAAACCAAACAAAGGAAUUGAGGCUGCACGCAUUUGCAACUGCACUGCAGUUGCAAAUGCGUGCAACCAAACAGCCCCUAAGUUCACCAAGAAAAGUUAAAUAGUGCUUGGAAAUCAUACUAAAUUAAAGCUUACAUACAACAAACUAAAGAUGAACCCAAAAGGAAAUACAAUACAAAGAAAAGACAGAAGUAUAGAACUUAUGGCAUGAAAGCUCAAAAGUACUAACCAAAUAAGUUGAUGCUUUUACUGGACCGGACAAUGUGAGUAAUAGCAAUGCAGUAGCCACCUAUAAAAUGUAUAUAAACAUAAACUAAAAUUGAAGAAAUCAAUAGCCACCCAUAAAAUCAAAGGAAAUUAUUAUUGAAGGAGGCUAAAAGAAAAAAGUCUAGCUUGAAGCUUACCAUGGUUUUCCUACCAGCCGCCACUCCCCAUCUCAUUGAAGAGAUCACUAUGGGCAACGAGAAGAAACAACCAAAGUAGUUCUGCAGGUGCAUAAAUACAAUGUACAAAGUUCCUAGUAAGAUAUUACAAAUAUUGAAAAUAAUGCAUGUAAUAUUGAUAACAAACCUCAAUUGUUGUUCUCAAGAGAAAAACAAUAUAAAAGACAUCAAAUUGUUAAUUGAAAGGUAUGCAACAUAAUGUACCACUAAUAAGAAACUGAGGAAGGUUUUUGAAUGCUAUAAGAACCUUCAUAACAAUUUUGUAUGUGGAUAAGAAGCUAAAAGCAGUAUAGGCCUAUAGCAUUCAGAAAGCAGAAGAUAGCAAUGGUUUAAGGUGCUGAGAGUAAAGCUGAGAUAAGCUAGAAAAAGAUAUUGUCGGAUCGUUGGCACUAACCAUUAAUCCCAAUAGUUCGAGCUGUUAGAAAUAUGCAACAAAUUUACUUAAAGCGUACAAACACAGCCUACAGGUUUCGAUUGUGACUCGGCACAACCAGCCUCAUGCCACUCUAAACAUGACUCGGCUCAACACGACCUUUUGCCAUUUCAAACGUGACUCGGCCCAACCUGGCCUCCCACCAAAGAGCAGGAUACUGACCCCUUUAAACCAACAAUCUCCCCUCCAACAUCUACACAAAUUCGCAGCAUGUAGGAAUUGAACCCGUGAUCUCUGACUGUAAUACCACUUAUCGGAUCAUUGGCACCAACCAUCCCAAAAGCUCAAGUUGUUAGAAAUAUGCAACCAAUUCACUUAAAGCGUCCAGACACAAUGCCUACGAGUUUCGAUUGUGACUCAGCACAACCAACCUCACAUCACUUCAGACAUGAGUACAUGACUUGGCCCAACCCAACCUCUUGCCAUUUCAAACGUGACUCGGCCAACCUGGCCUCCGCCAUAGGGCAAGAUGCUAGCCCUUUAUGCCAACAGAUAUAAGUGAGGAUAUCUAUCUUGGAACCUCUUAAUGGAUGCCCCCUUGAAGGAGAGAUUAAAAAUGAAUUUUUUUUUUGUUUUAUAUAAUAACAGCUGAAUGGUCAAAGUCGAGAAGUGCUCAAGUGUCUUUUGUGACAAUUAUGUGCUCGUAAAAUUAGACGGCAUGCUUUAUAGAAUAGCCACAAGACCAAGGAUACUUUGAAACCAUACAUAUUAAUCAGUUAGAAAAAAAUAAGCAUCCGGCUGGCUUCAAUAUGAAAGAUGGAGCUGCCAAUGACUGAACUUUCAAUAGGAGCAUGGUUAUACAGUUUACUACAAUUGGUUACAAUAGUCCAAGCAAGUAGACUAAAGAUCAUACAGUGCACAGGUGAUGAGCCAUCAGCGCCACCUAGAAUACCGCAGAAGGAGAGAGAAUAAUAGAACUACUUAGAUAGCACUUCAGUAUAUGGUAGGGCCAAACAGACCCUAAAGGAUGUGCUAUCUUCUAACAUCACAAAAAGAAUGUUUUACUGUUACUUCAACAUUCCUAUUAUUAGACAGCAAUCGCCAUACAUGAUUAACCUUUUUUGGGAUUUUUUACAGUAAGAAUGUGCUCCUCUUACCAGGUAAUGUUUCGUUCGUUUCAUGCUUUGAUUAAAACCAAAUUUGAGCAAUACCCAAAUGCCCUAAUCCACUAUAUCAUAGCAAAGGUAUUACUGAAUUUGGCGAGUCGAAGCUCACCUUGAUGGCGAGAGGAGCGAUAACAUAUCUAAACUCCAUGAAAAGAAUGCUUUACUGUUUUACGACAACAUUCAUCUGAUUAACUUGGCAUUAACACUAUACUCCUUUUACCAGGUAAUGUUUCAAAACCGAAUUCGAGCAAAACCCAAUGACCGAAUCACUACAGCAAUGACAAAGAUGCUAUCGAAUUCAGCGAGAAGAAGCUCACCUCGAUGGCGAGGGAGUUGCUCAAGAAGUAGGCGAGGCCGGCGACGGAGGCGAACAUGGCGCACUCCACCAGCCUCAGCGUCUUCUCGAACACCACCUCCCCCCCUUCCGCGCCCGAUUCCUCAAACCCUCGCAAAGCCCCAUCCCCUUCCUCCGCGUCCCGCUCCCCACGCUUCUCAGCCCCGCGAAUCGAAACCCUAGAACGGGUUGUAGGGCGCGGGCGCAAGGUUCGCAAUGGCGAGGGAGUGGAAGAGGAGGACGAGAGGAUGAGGUUAGGGUUUGAAAGGAGAGAGAGGCGAGGAGGAGGGGAAUGGGGGGAGGGAGAAAAGAGCUUUUGAGGGCGAAGAGGAGAAGGUGGUGGAGAGAAGCAGAGGAGUCGGUGGUGUGAGAGAGUCAUAGGAGAGAACAGGAGAGACAAACGAACAGGGGGAAACUAAGUCGCAAUUUUAGGUAGCCGUGUAAUACGACCGGGAGAAAAAAAAAAAGGAAUGCUGUAGGAAAGGGCCAUCCAUUUUCGAAUCAAAUUCUGUUUACAGCAAUAUUAGCCCGGAGUAGUUUGGGCCGGGUUCGGAUCAUAGGUUGGCCAUUUUUUUUUUAUAUUUUCAUUUUGCAUAAAAAAAUUACUAGUUUUGAGUUUUUGUAAAAAUAGACAAUCUUUUUGGAUUUUUGCAGAUUUUGACCGGAUUUUUAGAAAACUGACCAAAAUAUCCUUCUUUUUUUUUUCUCUUUUCUUUUUUUCUCUUGUUCUUUUUUUUUUUCUUUCUCUUUGAAGAGAGCGACGGAGGCGAAGGUGGAGGGGUGGAGGCGGAGGCGGAGGCGGCCGCCUCGCCUCUGUCCCGCGCACCCUCGCCCGCGCGCCCUCGCCCGCGCACCCCCUGCCUUCCUCGUCUCCGACUCCCCAAGGUCCCGCCGCGACCUUUUUUAUUUUCUCUCCCGUCCUGCUCCACCGCCUCCCUGGCUCAUUACGAUAGUAAGGGGAGUAGCACCGUGUCCUCUUCCUCUCCUUUUUUUUUUUCUCUCGUUUGUUUUUUUUUUUCUCNCUUCUCGAACACCACCUCCCCCCCUUCCGCGCCCGAUUCCUCAAACCCUCGCAAAGCCCCAUCCCCUUCCUCCGCGUCCCGCUCCCCACGCUUCUCAGUCCCGCGAAUCGAAACCCUAGAACGGGUUGUAGGGCGCGGGCGCAAGGUUUGAAAUGGCGAGGGAGUGGAAGAGGAGGAGAAGAGGGUGAGGUUAGGGUUUGAAGGGAGAGAGAGGCGAGGAGGAGGGGAAUGGGGGGAGGGAGAAAAGAGCUUUUGAGGGCGAAGAGGAGAAGGUGGCGGAGAGAAACAGAGGAGUUGGUGGUGUGAGAGAGUCAUAGGAGAGAACAGGAGAGACAAACGAACAGGGGAAAACUAAGUCGCAAUUUUAGCUAGCCGUGUAAUACGACAGGGAGAAAAAAAAAAAAGGAAUGCUGUAGGAAAGGGCCAUCGAUUUUCGAAUCAACUUCUGUUUACAGCUAUACUAGCCCGGAAUAGUUUGGGCCGGGUUCGGAUCAUAGGUUGGCAAUUUUUUUUUAUAUAUUUUCAUUUUUGGCCAAUUUGCAUAAACAAUUUACUAAUUUUGAGUUUUUGUAAAAAUAGACAAUCUUUUUGAAUUUUGCAGAUUUUGAUCGGAUUUUCAGAAAACUGACCGAAAUAUCCUCCUAUUUUUUUUUUUCUCUUGUUCUUUUUUUUCUUUCUCUUUGAAGAGAGCGACAGAGGCGAAGGUGGAGGCGGAGGCGGCCGCCUCGCCUCUGUCCCGCGCGCCCUCGCCCGCGCACCCCCUGCCUUUCUCGUCUCCGACUCCGCCAAGGUCCCGCCGCGACCUUUUUUAUUUUCUCUCCCGUCCUGCUCCACCGCCUCCCUGGCUCUUUACGAUAGUAAGGGGAGUAGCAUCGUGUCCUCUUCCUCUCCUUUUUUUUUCCUCUCCUUUUUUGUUUUCUCUUCGACCCCCCACCACCGCCUUCGCGAUCCUUUGUGAUGGUAACAAAGACAGCAUCGUGUCCUUUUCCUUCGCCUUCGCUGGCACAAGCACCGACGCCGGCGCCGGCGAAGGAGGAUUCGGAGCUGAGCGCAGUUGAGAGUAGAGCCAAGAAAAAAGGAUGCAAAAAAUAAAAAAAUAAAAAAAAUAAAUAGUAAAAUAUAAAAAAAAUAUAUUUUUCCUACAAGAAAUAUGAAGAAUCAGAGAGAAAAGAAAAAAAAAAUGAAGUUGCAGUUUCAGAAAAAAUAUUGCACUGUUUUAUAGAAAACUUACACUUUUUGUAAUAAAAAUUACAUUUUUCUAAAUUAAAGUUGUACUCUUUAAACCAAAUUUGCACUUUUUGGAUAAAAAUUACACUGUUUCUCAUCCUCUUUCUUCUCCUUCUCUUUCUCCUUCCUCUUCUUUUUCGUGUGCUUCUUUUACGUCCAUUUCUCUUUCGCCCUCCACCUCCACUUCUACCAUCCACCUCGCUGUUUCUUCCAAUGUUGCGCUAGCAACAAUAACUCAUUGGACUCAAAUCACCAGCCCAAAAUGCUUAAGCCCAGUUAUUAUGUCUAACUCAGUUAAACUUAUAUACUCCAGCAUCUAGCCAUAACUAUCUGAUUUGGGGCUAUUGGGAUGUCAUAGACUUCCCCUGUUUAGGCCCUGACUUUCUUGACGUUCUUGUCAGCCCCAAACACACACAGAGCCCAAGAUCCCCAAGUGAUAUGAAACUUGUCUCACUAGCCUUUGUCAUUUCGACCAUGGCUCAACCAAGACUUAUCUCACACUUCCAGCUGGUGAACUGGCCCUGAUACUAAAUGUAACGAUCUGACUUGCUAACACUAAUAACUUAUUAGCCCAAAUCACCAGCCCAAAAUACUUAAACCCAGUUAUUAUGUCUAGCCUUUGUCAUUCCGACCAUGGCUUAGCCAAGACUUAUCUCACACUUCCGGCUGGUGAACUGGCUCUGAUACUAAAUGUAACGAUCCGACCUGCUAACAAUAAUAACUUAUUGGCCCAAAUCACCAGCCCAAAAUGUUUAAACCCAGUUAUUAUGACUAGCCCAAUUAAGCUUAUAUACUCCUACAUCUAGCCAUAACUAUCCAAUAUAGGACUAUUGGGAUAUCACAAACUCUCUCCGUUUAGACCUGACGUUCUCGUCAGCCCUAAACACACACAGAGCCCAAGAUCACCAGGCGAUGUGAGACUUGUCUCGCUAGCCUUUGUCAUUCCGACCCUAACUUAGCCUGUCAAUCACCGACCCUGGCUCAGCCAAGACUUAUCUCACACUUCCGGCUGAUGAGCUGACUAUGAUACCAAAUGUAACAACCCGACCCACUAGCAAUAAUAACUCAUUGGGCCCAAACCACCAGCCCAAAAUGCUUAAGCUCAGUUAUUAUAUCUAACCCAAUCAAGCUUAUAUACUUCCACAUCUAGUCAUAACUAUUCGAUGUGGGACUAUUGGGAUGUCACACUCACUAACGAGCUUCUCCACGCCGAGAAGCGUUUCUUCUUCGUCGUCGGUGACGGAUGAGGGGAUGAAGGGUUUCCAAAUAUGGGUUUCGUGGGUGGAGGAUGUAACAUACCAGAUUUUGGUAUAAAAAUAAAAAAAAAAAAAUAGUGUGAGAAACUAUUUUUAUUGAAUUUGUAGAAGUAAAACAUAAGUCAGAAGUGACUUGUGCUGAAAUCGGAAUGAAAAUAGAAGAUCUAGAAUUUUCUGUUGAAAACGGGACAGAUAAAUUAGCAGAAAAUGCACAGUCUCAGAAAAUUAUGAAAAUUGGAGGAUAAGUCAGAAAUAUUUUUAUGAGGCUAGAUUUAAAGUUUCAUAUUUUUCUGACACCCGUAGAGUGAGAAAUAAAAUCCGACAGCUAUCUGAUAAAGAUUACAGUUCGGUACAGUUUUCGGUGACCAAAUGGGGUCGAAACUGAAAACUUAAAAUAUAUUCUUACUCAGUACGUNNNNNNNNNNNNNNNNNNNNNNNNNNNNNNNNNNNNNNNNNNNNNNNNNNNNNNNNNNNNNNNNNNNNNNNNNNNNNNNNNNNNNNNNNNNNNNNNNNNNNNNNNNNNNNNNNNNNNNNNNNNNNNNNNNNNNNNNNNNNNNNNNNNNNNNNNNNNNNNNNNNNNNNNNNNNNNNNNNNNNNNNNNNNNNNNNNNNNNNNNNNNNNNNNNNNNNNNNNNNNNNNNNNNNNNNNNNNNNNNNNNNNNNNNNNNNNNNNNNNNNNNNNNNNNNNNNNNNNNNNNNNNNNNNNNNNNNNNNNNNNNNNNNNNNNNNNNNNNNNNNNNNNNNNNNNNNNNNNNNNNNNNNNNNNNNNNNNNNNNNNNNNNNNNNNNNNNNNNNNNNNNNNNNNNNNNNNNNNNNNNNNNNNNNNNNNNNNNNNNNNNNNNNNNNNNNNNNNNNNNNNNNNNNNNNNNNNNNNNNNNNNNNNNNNNNNNNNNNNNNNNNNNNNNNNNNNNNNNNNNNNNNNNNNNNNNNNNNNNNNNNNNNNNNNNNNNNNNNNNNNNNNNNNNNNNNNNNNNNNNNNNNNNNNNNNNAAAGGAAGAGAGAACUCGCUACUCCACACUAAUACAAUUGUACUUGUUUUUUGAUUAAAUCAAAAAUCCUCACAUUUUCAGAUCCCCCGCUGAUCAUCCCUUUCUCGCUGCUUCACACACUCCGAUGACAACUGUAAAACACAUCAUUGAACAAAGUACCUCUGAAAUUUCAGCGGUGCUCUACAGAACCCAGCUCUACUUCUUUCCCCCCCACACACACACACGUAACCGAUAAAGUUGGUCAUCGAGCUACGUAAUAGAUUCAAGCCCGGUAGAAGCGUCUGAUUCCCUCAUGUCCCGUCGCAAAAAGAGCCAUGCAAGGGAUAUGUCGUUGAUGCUUAGGAUACAUCGUCCAUCUCGACCUUUAUAUCCAUUGAACAGCCGGAACGCAAAUGACCAGGCUGCCACACGAAACACACCAUUUGCUACCCCGAUAGUGAUUUCUUGGGGGGGGCAGCGGCACGUGUGCCGUCUUUCAGGCCAGCCGCUGAUAUCGAAACACUAAAGGGUUGUAGGGCUUGCUGCGCAAGUUCGUAUAAUGGCGAUGGAGUGGAAGAGACGAAUACGAGAGAAUAGGUUAGGUGAAAGGAGACUGGAGAGGCGAGAGAGGAAUGGGGAGGGAGAGAGAGAGUUUGAGGCGAUAGAUGAGAAGGUGUGUGGUAAAAAAGUCAGAGAUCGUGUUAGAUAGUCUAAGAAGAACAGAUAAGACAAACCGAACAGGGGAAACUAAAUCGCACACAAUUUUAGGUAGCCGUGUAAUACGAUGAGAAAAAAAAACAUGCUGUAGGAAAGCGCCAUCCAUUUUCGAAUCAAAUUCUGUUACAGCUCGAAUUAUUUAGCCCCGGAGUAUUGUUGGCCGCGGUUCGCAUCAUAGUUGGGCCAUUUUUUUUUUAUAUUUCAUUUUUGCAUAAAAAAAUUACUAGUUUUGAGUUUUGUACAAAUAGACCAAUCUUUUUGGAUUUUUCCAGAGUUUGACUUAUCGGGGUUAUUUUAGCAAACUACCACAAUAUCUCUUCAAAUCAAUUAUAUAAUUACUAUACCUAUGUUUCUCAGGCGUUGUUACUUUUUUUUUUGUUUUCACUUGUGAAGAGAGCAACAACGGAGGCGAAGGCAUGAGUCAUCAAUGGCGAGCGAUGUGUCAGGGGCCGGCCUCGCCUCUGUCCCGCCACUGACGAUUUCUAGCGCGCGGCCUCCCGCCACUCGCAGCACUGUCUUGACAGCCCCUGCCAUCCUCGUUCUCCGAACUCCUCUUAACGUCCUGCCAGCGAUUUUACUUUCUCUCAUUCGCUCCUGGGCUCCAUCCACCGAUCCGCUGCUCAUUACAUAGUACAGGGAUAGCACCGUGUCCUUCUUCCUCUCCUUCUUUUUUUCUCUCAGUAUGUUUUUUUUCUCUUCGACCCCCCCCCCAUUGGGCCCAAACCACCAGCCUAAAAUGCUUAAGCUCAGUUAUUAUGUCUAGCCCAAUCAAGCUUAUAUACUCCCACAUCUAGUCAUAACUAUCCAAUGUGGGACUAUUGGGAUGUCACACUCACUAGUGAGCUUCUCGACGCCGAGAAGCAUUUCUUAUUUGUCGUCGGUGACGGAGGAGAGGAUGAAGUGUUCCCAAAUAUGGGUUCCGUGGGUGGAGGAUCUACCGGCAGAGGUGGAGGGUGAAGAAGCGAUGGACAUAGAAGAAACACAUGAAAACAAAGAGGAAAAAGGAAGAUGAGGAAAAAUAAUGUAAUUUUUACCAGAAGAGUGCAACUUUCGUUCAAAUAGUGUAACUUUUAUUUAGAAAAGUAUAAUUUUUCUCUCAAAAAGUGUAAGUUUUUUCUAAAAUAGUGCAAAUUCAUCACCUUUUUCUUUCCUCUCUGAUUCUUUAUUUUUCUUGUAAAAAAAAGUAUUUUUUAUAUUUUAUAUUUUAUAUUUUAUAUUUUUUCAUGUUUUUUUGGCUUCGCUUUCAUCCGCGCUCGCUCUGAGCCCUCUUUUUUCGGCAUUGGCAAAGGCGGAGGAAGAGGACACAGUGUUGUCCUCGUUACCGUUGUGCAAGGUUGCGGAGGCGGUGGAGAGAGGUCGAAGCGGAAAAAAAAAUAACGAGAGAAAAAAAAGAAGAGGAAGAAGACACGGCGCUGCCUUCUUUACUGUUGUAAAGAGCUCAUAAAGAGUCGGGGAGGCAGUGGAAAAGGGUCGGAGAGAAAAAAAAAAGGGUCGCGGUACGGCCUCGGCGGGGUCGAAAGCGAGGAAAGCAGGAGGUGCAUGGGCGAGGGUGAAGGCACCCAGGACAGAGGCGAGGCGGGCCGCCUCUGCCUCUUUGGAGAGAAAGAAAAAAAAGAACGAAAGAAAAAAAAAGGAGAGAGAAAAGUAAAUGAGGUUAUUUUUGUCAGUUUUCUAAAAAUCCGACCCGAAUCUGCAAAAUCUAAAAAGGUGGCCUACUUUUGCAAAAGCUCAAACUAGUGAAUUUUUUAUGCAAAUUGGCCUUUUAUUUUUUUUAUUAAAGUUUUAUUUUAAAAAAUUGGCCAAUUUGCAUAAAAAAUCUAUUAAGUUUGAGAUUUUGCAAAAGUACAUCAUUAUUUUUGAUUUUGCAGAUUCGGUCCGAAUUUUUAGAAAACUGACCAAAAUACCCUUAUUCCUAUCUCUUUUCUUUUUAUUUUUUCUCGCGUUCUUUUUUUCUCUUCGAAGAGUGCGGCAGAGGCGGAAGUGGAAGCGGCCCGCCUCGCCUCUACCGCGUGCACUCUCCCUCGCCCUGGCCCGCCUCUCCUUGCUCUCGCCUGGGCUUGCGUACCCCCUGCCCUCCUCGCCUCCGACUCUGUCGAGGUCGCGCUUGCCACCACUCUCCGAGAUGCCCCACCUCGCCUCCACCCCAUGCGCCCUCGCCCGCGCCUGCUCAUCCCUACCCUUCUCACCUCUAAAGCCGCCGAGGCCACACCACGACCUGCUUUUUUUUUCUCCCCGACACUCCUCCACCGUCUCUACGGCCCUCCACAACGAUAAAGAGAACGACAUCACGUCCUCUUUCUCCGCCUUCACCCUCUAUCUUCACUGCAGCAGAUUUUUCACCCACCAAACCUACUUCUGGGAACCGGCGUCUUCACCACCGCCGCCGCCAACGACAAAGAGGAAGCACUUCUCCGUUGAGAAGCUUGCCGGCGAUGGAGGGGGCACGCCGCCCACCCUGCCCACCCAAGGCUCGCAACGAGCAAGGUAGAGACGGAGAUGAGCGAGACGAUACUGGAGAAGAAGGCGGCAUCCUAUAGGGCGGCGAUUUCUAGCGUGGCCUCAGCGGGAUAGGAGGGGAGAAGGGCAGGGGCGCACAAGAGCAUCUUUAGUCAAGCACUUUUAUUUGCUUAAAAUAAAAAAAAUUAAUUAAAGGCCAAAAUCUAGAUAAUAAGAAAGAAUAACUAGAAAAGAAGGAAAUAUAAGAUGAAAUUGCACUGUAAGAUGAAGUUGUAUUAUUUUAGAAGAACGUUGCACUGUUAUAAAUAUAAGUUGCACUCUUUGGAAGAUAGUUACACUAUUUCUUCUUCUCCUCCAGUGUAACUAUCUCCCAAAGAGUAUAAUUUUUUUUUAAAGAGUGUAAUUUUCAUCUUAAAAGGUACAGUUUACAUCUCAAAGAGUGCAACUUAUAUCUAUAAAAGUGCAACGUUCUUUUAAAAUAGUGCAACUUCAUUUUAACAGUGUAACUUCAUCUUCUUUUUUCUUCUUCUCUAGUUCUUCUUUCUUGUUCUUUAGUUUUUGGCCUUUAUUUUUUUUUAAGCAAACAAAAGUACUUGGCCAAAGAUGCUCUUGUGCAUUUCUUGCCCUCCUCGCCUUCGACCUCGUCAAGGCCGCGCUCGCUGCCGCCUGUCGUCGCGGUCUCCUCGUCUUCACCUCGCUCAUCGCCGGCCCCGGGUGGGCGGGGUGGGCCACGUGCCCCCUCCCUCACCGAUGGGCUUCUUGGCGUCGAGAAGGAAGCGUCGUUGGCGGCAGUGGUGAGGACGCAGGUUCCCAUAAAUGGGUUUGGUGGGUGAAAGAUCUACUAUAGUAGAGAUGGAGGGCGAAGGCGGAGGAAAAGGACACAGUGUCGUCCUUGUUACUAUCAUAGAAGGCAGCAGAGGCGGUGGAUGAGGGUCAGAGAGAAAGAAAAAUGGUCCUGGCACUACCUCGAUGGGGUCAAAGGCGAGAAGGGCAGGGGGAGCGGGUGCAGGCGAGGGCGCGUAGGGUGGUAGUGGCAUAGCCUGAGGUCUUCGGACCACGAGAAGUUUUACAACGCAAGAACAACAUAGAACAAAAACCCUCUUUGCGAAUUUCGAGUUUUGUAGUCGGGUUCGGGUUUGAGUUUUCUAAAAUUUGGCCCAAAUCCAAUCCAUUGACAACCCUAUAAAUAUAGGGUUACUAAAGGAAUGCAUGAUGAGAAAGCCUCCUCUGUAGGAGUUAUGACACAUAAGAUUUAUACCAAAUAAAUUAUAUUGAGCCAUAAAAUGUAAUAAAUUAUCUAAUGAAAUGCCAUGCAAAAAUACAAAAAAUCUUCAAAUAAAUAUCUGUUUUGUCAGUUUUUUGUUAACUUUAAAAAAUCUAUAUUUUUUUCCUUUUAAAACUUAAUCCUAGUGCAAGUGGCAAAGGGCUUGGUGGUUGGUACUCGAGGUCCCUAGUUAGAAUCCUAGUUUAUUCACAUUUCCAGUUGAGUUUAUUUCUAAAAUAAAUAAACAAAGCAGAUAGCAUGCUAUCUUUCUCUAAAAAAAAAACUUAAGAAAUAUUUUCAGAGGGUUACAACAUUAAUGAAAAGGGCAAAAUGACUAAAUUACUCUUAUAUAUUCUAUAAAGAAAAAUAUAAUUUUUAAUAUAUUUAUGUCAAUAUUGAGAGUAUUUUUAGUAUAAAGUAUAAGACGAAAUAUUAACAGAACCCUAACGAAGGGGGCAUAAAAUAAAUCAACUUGAAAUUUUGAAGGGAUAAAAUAUAGGUUUUAAAAGUCGGAGAGGAAAAGUAUGUAUUUUUACAGGAGGGUUUUGUUGUAUUUUAGCCUAAAAUUUGACAAUCAUACAUCAAAAUGAAAAACAAGAAUUUUUUUUGUUCUUAUACUCAUAUGCAACAUAGAAAUAUUUGAUCUACUAAGAAUAUCUGUAAGAACGCAGAGGUAAAAGAAAAUAUCAGUAGCUUUGUAAUGAAUAAUUGAAACAUUGUACCGAAUAAUUCAAUAAAAGGGAAGGAGGGUUAACAAUGGCAUUUAAAAACUACAAAGUGAAUUAUUAAUACUUAGAUCGAAAGAUAUAUGCAUAUAAUAUCACUUCUAAUAACUUGAUAUUUUAAGGUAGCAGCGUGUUGCACGUGGAUAGAAUAAGUUUCUAAUAACUUGAUAUUUCUGACCUAUGUUUAAUAAUUAGCCCAGUGGUUAAUUAACCCAUUUGCAUGUUCAAUAAUUAAAGAUGGCUAAGAAUAUUUGUAUGGACUCAGAGGUAAAAGAAAAUAUUAGUAGCUUUGUAAUGAAUAAUUGAAGCAUUGUACCGAAUAAUUCAAUAAAAGGGAACAAUGGCAUUUUGACAACUACAUAGUGAAUUGAUAUAUACUUAGAUCAAAAGACAUUCUAAUACUAAAAAGGAAUAUUCUUGCAGUAUAAUAUCACUUCUAAUAAGUUGAUAUUUGAAGGUAGCAGCGAUUUGCAUGCAGAUAAAUUAAGUUUCUAAUGUUCCUUUUCCUUUUAAAAGACUUUGGCAAUUAAGAUUGUGAAUCUGUAUAUUAAUUACAUAGUAUUGUUCCUACAGUGGACCAUUGAAUCACUAUUCAUCAUAUAAAGUACAUGAAUUCAAAUAAUGUGAACAGUGGAUUCAGUGGUCACAUCAUAUUACAUUAGAGAUUUGUUCUCUAAAAAUAAUCUUACUUUAGAUUAGCUUUAGAUAAAUACUAUUAAAAAAGGAAAACAUAUAUAUGGGCACAUUAUUUUGGGCUUUAGUUUCCCAUUUCACUCUUUCAUGGUUGGGAGUCAUGUUCACAAUUCUCUGGAUUGAAGGCAAGCUGUGAUUGUAGCAAAUCAAAAGUAAAUCUAGUAUUUGCUUGUUGGUAUGCCCCGAGAACACUUGAACUGUCCUGUGGCAACAUUGCAAUGCAAAAUAUUCCCUUCUCCCUUCUAAUGAGGAACAAUUGUCGCCACAUGAUAUGCAUUUGGGCCCCUUGUAAAUGCAAUGUCAUGCUCGGCAUUAAGCUCUCAUAACUUGGUUGGAAAAGCCAACAAAGUUUAAGAUCUGUCAUGUAUCUCUGUGGAUCCACUUCAACCAAUUUCUUAUGGCGGAAAUAAUCUCUAAGUUCUUUCUUCACUCGUUCAAAAGCUGGGGUUAUUAAGUGAGUGAUGAAUGCGCCGGAGUCCACAUAGAACCCGCCCGAUCCAUUCGGCUUUCGUGUGAACAUUCCUGGCUCAAACCCAAGUCGUUUGUUACCAACACUAAUGUCAUUUAAGGUAAUGAAAUACAAGAACACACCUUGUAUGGGUACUAUCGGUGUGGUUUGGACUGACCCUCUUUGCACAAUGUUGCUUCCGAAUCGUAAAAAGCUUAUACUGUUUGAACCUAUCGGCGGAAGACAGUAUGAAAAGCGGCCUUGGCUGCCAUGAUUGAUAAGUUGCCUUGCAAAUGAUUCCUCGGUCAAACCUAAUGCCAUUAAUCCUGAUGGAUAACCAUGGUUGUCGCCAAUUAAAUGUGUAUCAUGUGAGCAACCAAAGACAAGCCCUUCAAUAAAUUCGAGGUGGUCACCAUGGCUUGAAUGGAAGCCAAAGGUGUCUUUCGAGAGCGUGCCACUUGUGUGGGACCCGUCAAUAUAGACGAUCUGGUAGUGGCAAUGGCUGUUGAUGCAAUGAUAAUAGCUUUGCGGGCAGGGGUUCUGGUCAGAGCAAGAGAUGUCGACGAAGGAAGGGGAUUGGAGAGGGUUGAAGUAAGGUUCAUUUUGCACGUAGCAAUUGAUGCAUGGCUCGCAUUGGGUCCAAGAAAGAUGACUGCCUGUAUCUAGGUUUAAGUGAUAGCCAAUGGUGCCAUUGCCAGUGCCAAUCGUCACAAAAACCAUGUACAAUGUUUGAUAGCAGAUGAUAGAGGGGCGAAUAGUGGUUAUUUCAUGGCCAACUAGCAUUGAUUCAACAUUGUUUGGUUGGAGGAAUCGAUUCUCAGAAAGGCGGAGGGACUCUUCAAAGCAUUGUGAAUCGGUGAGGUUAGGGUUGUAAACUGGGGACCGAGGAGAGUGACGAUAUAUGAGCUCGAAGCUUAAGAUUCUUUUAGAUGCUUCAAUAGUUUCAAAGGAAAAGAGUAAGAUGCAUAUUAAAAGAAGAAAUGUAACAUAUGAAUGGAUAUCUUUGCCCAUGGUUGAUAUUUUGCAAAGAAGUGAAUCAUGAAAAACAAGAAGAGAUAUAUACAUAUAUAUAUGUAAGACUAAAAUAGAUAAAGCUAAAAAAUGUAAGCAGACAAAAAAAAUCCAUAAGAUAUCUUGGAUGUAAAAAAUGAAAUCGGUGGAUUCAGUAGGCAAUCCACUAUAUAAUGACUUUUCUAAAAUAUAAAGUGUUAGUUACUUUUGGAGGCUAGAAUUAAAUUUGGAGUUACUAAAAAGUAGUUAUAGUGAUUGGUAAAAACAUUUAGGACCUAAUUANUUUGUUUUCAGUGGCAUAAAAAUUUACUGAAAAUAGCAUUAUUUCAAAUAAAAAAAAUUGAUAUGUAAUUUGCUUGGACACUCUAAAUUUUGAAUUUUACUAAAAGUACCUCAAUUUAAAGAAAAAUUUUGAGAGAGAGGCAAUGAUGAAUGGUUAAGAUGUUUUAUUCUUACUUUACUCCAAAAUUUUAUAGAUUUAAGCUUAUUGUUUUUUACCCCAAAAAUUAUAUAAGAAUGAGAUUAUUUUGUUGUACUAUGCAAGUCUAUAAAAGCCAUUCAAAUAACUCUUUCGAAAAAAAAAAAAAAUAGCACUAAUAAAAAUUUGCUGCUUCUAGCAAAUAUCACACUUUUAUAAGGUCCAAAAAAAUGCCUUAAUAUUGUCUGACUACCAAGUAAAACUGAAUGUGGUCACUUGGAUGUCAAAAGAUAUUGUUUAUGACAAAAGAAUUUCUUUAUAUAGGGACCACUUAAGUAGUUUAAAAAGGUGUUUGGCUAUUUGUAACUCGAUUUUGCUACCAAAAUAAUAAAACAAAACUUGGGAAAUCUUCUUAUUUGUAGUUUUGAAUUAAAAGUUAGUCUCAUUGUAUAGUGAAGCUUGCAAAUUACUUUAAGGCUAAAUUAUACAAAACCUUUCUGUCAAUAUCCACUUUUUCAUUUUUUCCCCUGUCAUUCAAAGUCCUACACUUUACCUUCUUGAAAAAUAAAAAAUAUUCAUUAAUUUCGGCCCCCACCGCCAGUGUUCCGUUAGGGUUUCAUUUAUAUCUUAUUUUUUAUACCCAAAAUACCCCUGAAAUCCCUAUCCAUGCUCACACGCAUGCUCUCGGUCGCCGCCUUGCCCUCGCGCAACCCUCUGUCUAUGCCUAGACACACGCCCUUGCCCUCCUCCGCCACUGGUAUGAGCAAGAUUGGGGAAGAGGAGAUGAAGCAGAUGACGAUAAUUUGGUCAUUUGUCACAUCGUAUCCCCCUGUGAAUAUUUUUUAUUUUUAAAGGGAACGAAGUGUAGGUUUUCGAAUGACAGAGGGGAAAGUGAAAAAGCGAAUAUUUAUAGGGGGUUUUAUGUAAUUUAGCCUUACUUUAAUCAUUAGUAGAUUUAGAAGAUCUACAUAUUUUAAGUGUAGAAAAAUUUUUUAGAUCUUUUCAACUUGAAUGAACUCAGAAGACCCUUAAAUAUUCCAAAGAAAAAAUAAGGUACAAAAAAUUAAUACAUUGUACAAGCCAUAAUGUACAUUUAGAUUAGCUCCAAAUACUCUAAAUUUGUGGCAUCCAAAAUAAUGUAUAGAGAAACUCUUUUCGGUAGGAAGCAUGCGACAAAAGAUUUAGAGAUAAUUGCCUAUAUACUACUCAGAACUUCUGAAAUAUUUUAUAUACCCUGUUAGGAAGCCGAAUUUCCCGACCCUAGACCAAGUCAAAGAUCCUCCUCGGGGUAUGCGUCGGGGUGAGGAACGGCUACGGAUAGUGACCCUCGAAGUUUGUGCCCUUCGACAGAUCAAGCGAUUCGGCUGGCGAGGGAUCGGAUCAGUCGGGUUCGAAAACCUUUACUGUAGAAUCGGUUCGGCUGGAAGAGCCGAAUGUACGAACUGUGCAGGGAUCAAUGUCGGCAGAAGUGCCGAAUGGAAGAAGUACACAGUAACUGGCUGGCUGAAAGAGCCGAAUGGAAGGAGUACACAGUAACUAGUCGGCUGAAAGAGUCGAAUGGAAGAAGUACACAAUGACUGGUCGGCUGAAAGAGCCGAAUGCCUUUAUAUAAUAAUAAAAAAGAGUGUGCCCGAAGGGCAUACAGACUCAAAAAUAUAGUUUACAACAGAGUGAUGCCCGUGGGGCAGACAGACUCUGCAAAUGUAGUCUACAAUGGAGUGAUGCCCGUGGGGCAGACAGACUCCAGGGUUCUACUUAGCGAACUACUCCUAGGAAAGCAGUAAAUGCGGAAAAAAAAAAGAUUACAUUUAGACUACUCCUAGAAAAGCAAUAAAAUGUAGAGGAAAUAAGGGUGGUCUUUUGUGCGCAGGGGUAAAGACCCCUAUUGCAUGCUUCAAAGUUAUUAUUUAUAGCCCACAUUAUUAGUUGGUUGAAAGUAGUUGGGGGGAGUGGUUGUAACCAUGAUCGUGGAAGUUAUACUAACUCCUCAUGGAAGUUACGCCAACUCCUCAUGGAAGUUACGCCCCAAUCUUCAACCGUUCCCGCCUUCUUGUCCUUCAGGCACCUUAUUGCCGACUCCUGGUGUAUCACGUGUCCUUAUUGGCUCAUACGUGGGUUAGGUCGGCUCAAUUUUUGUAUCAACAAUGCCCCCCCAAUAGUCUGUCGAAUGAACAUUCGGAUGACUAUUGGUGCCAAAUCGACUAUUCAAAAGCACAGCCGAGACCCAAGGUUUAGUUUCGCUGGUCUUGGUCGGUUUUAGGGAAACAACGCUUUAUCAUCCCAGCCACAUAUAUCUCUUCGACCGUUUCACCUGACAUUUGUCGGUAUAAAGCCAAAUCGGCGACCGAUAAUUGUGGCUCCGAUCUAUAGAAUCGCUCAUGAAAUUUUCUUUCCAAUUCAUCUCAAUCUUGGAUGGAAUUGGCUGAUAAACUUGUAUACCAAGUAAAUGCCGUUUUAGUUAACAACGUGUUAAAUAAUCGAAAUUUCAAAAAUGAGUCAGCGGCCGCUUCUCUACAUUGGGCCGUGAACCGGGCCAUAUGCUCGACCGUAUUCUCGGUCUCAUCGUCCGAGAACUUGUCGAACUUCGGCAUUUUCCAGUUUGCUGGAUACGGAUGCUCUGUAUCUAUGUUUGCUGGAUACAGGGAUCGAAAAACAGGCCGCAUAGCCGGCCUGGCCCUGUCACGCCCCGGGACCGAGCGGAAGCCCGCCCGGCGCAUGUCCAGACCCGCCAUAUGUCUAAAACAUAUAAGGCGUCUAAGCAAAACGAUAAAUAAAGCAAUAAGAAGAACAUCUAGAAGCAUCAGAGCAAGGUAUAUCUAGAAGUUACAAUAAGGGUAAGGAAUGUAAAAGUAAAUCCACUAAGUAAAAAUAUAAAGUGAAAACAAUAGGAAUUCCAAUACAAAAGCUAAACAAGGUACAUAGGUGGUCUCUCUAUACAUGGUACUCAAAAUCUCUCUCUCUCCCUAAUACAAUAAAAGAAAGAGUAAACCACCUAAGCUCAAAAGUAGCUCCCCGUUAACUAGCUAUGCGACUCCCUUGCCACGAUCCCGUGCCUCCGCCGGUGCCGAAGGCUCUGAAAUAAAAUCAUAAAACAGAGAGCGUGAGAACUAUUAAAUAAUAGUUCCUAGUGGGCAAUUACUGACUUCAGUGAAAUGCGCCACUAGGCCCAAAAGCUACAAAAGAGGGACAGUACAAGUAUAAACGAAAGCGAAAUAAUGAACAAGUAUGUAACCAUGAGUACUAUUCUACUAUGAUAUCUCUACUUAGCAUGAACUACAUAAGUAAUAAAGCAACUACAACAAGUAUGUACAUGAAUGUGACUAACAUGUAUAAGCAUGAGUAUGCAACCAACACGAUGUCCUCAAUGCAAAUAGUAAAGAUGUCAUUAUUUACUAUUCUAGUCAAUGUCCACUUGUCACUUUAACUAUUAAAAGUUUAAUCUUAUAAGACCCACCCGAAGGCUGUCUGGCAUGAAGACCCACCCGAAGGCUGUCUGGCCUGUAAGACCCACCUGUAGGCUGUCUGGCCGGUGCCGUGCCUAAUGGCCCCGUGGUAGUGAACAUCCUCACUCUUAGGAAUGAGCCUUUCCCACGGUAAUCCACUUCGGCGCCCAAUCCCGCACGGUGAAUAUGUAUCGCGAUGGCUAACUCCGGAGUGCCGGCUUGUAGGGAGCGACCCUCACAAGCAUGUGCGAAUGAGCACAAUGGCAAGCAUGCGUAUAAGUCUGUCUCAAGUCUUAAGUCCUCAUGUCUAUGAACAUGGAAUGUAUCGAAUGUCACAAAGGCCUAUCACUACGUCAUCAUGUCUCUAACAUGAAAUAUAGUCGAUGUCCAAUGGCCCAUCACUAUGUCUUUAUGUUGCAUUUUCAUAGUUUACUAGUUUCAAGUGCCUCUUUAUGACAUUUUUGUUCAACGAGUCCAAGCAUGAUAAUUAUAUUCAUGAAUACGUAAAUCUAACCAUUUCUAGCAUAAGAGACAUGUUCUCAACUUGAAAAGAUGCACACCUUUCACAUGCAUGCAGUCUACACAUAUAGCUCUACUAUAUAGAGUGAUAUUAAUCUUACACAUAGCACAUGCAUUUUAAGGGUUCUAAAAUUUUCAUAAAUCCUAUCUAGCAUGGGUUUGCAUUCAAAAAGACUUUACGACGAGUAUGUAAUGCAUAGGGGCCAUUGUGCCCCGUUUUUAUGAAGUCAAACCUACCGUAGGUACCGAAACCCUUCGUAAGCUCCGACGAAGGUGUCCACUAGCUUCCUAGCACCUUAAAGAUGUAGGAACAGGAGUUACACAAUCGAAAUGAACAUCGAAAAACUCAAUCAAUAACCAUCUAAGCAUAGAGGGCAUAACUCACCUCUUGUGAUGAAAUCCCUUCUCAAGCUUCCAAAGAGAGAAAGAACCCUUCCAACCCAAUCUAGAGGAAGGUUCUAAACCCAUCAAUUAGGUCUCCAAGCCCUCAAAUCAAAAAUCUUUAAAAUAAACCUUAAAAUCCAAAUCUAGGGUUUCAUCUCCCAAAAUCUACCAAAAAUAGGUCUAGAGGGAAGAAAUAAGCAACUAACCUCAAGAGAAAAUCCAAACCAAGCUUAAAAUGCUUUAGGGUUGAAGAUUGGCCCUCUAUCAAGCUCCUAGCCCAAGCUCCAAGCCUCCAAUGGUGAGCAAAAGGAGGAGAUGCUCCAAAGCCUCGAAAUCUAGCUCUCCUCUAACUUCUUCUUCUUUUUCUCCUUCUUCUUCUCUCUCUAGAGAGUGUUGAGAGAAUGUGAGGGAGAGAAAUGAGGGUGAGAGGGAUAGGAAAUGGCCUUAAGGCCCUUAGAAGCAACAAAAUUCAUAUAAGCCCCUCAAAAAACCACCGUGUGCACUGCCCGAGUCUGGGCAGUUUUCGGACUGAGGAACCGGUCUCCCCGACUUGGGACAGGUCUGUCAGCCUGUCCCGAAAAUCCAACAUUGGGAAACCGGUCUCUCACCGCAUGGGACCGGUCUAUCCCCGCGUAAUCGCGCUCGGGGACCGAUCUCACCCGCUAGGGACCGGUUGCCUCAAGUCUUGCCGGAGCACUGUUCUAAGGAGACCGGUCUCUCAUAUCACGGACCGGUCCCAGAGAGUGAAAAACUCUCAGGGCUUGCCAAAACUUUAGAGAUCAAACUUUUAGGCCGGAAUACCAUCUACGACUUUCCACCAAGUGUGGAAAAGUUCGGAAUAUAUAUCAAACACUCGAACCUCGCAAUUUGCACAGGUCCGGUGUGCUACAGGCCCCUACUUUGAAGGUAUUCCGAAUGACUUCCUCAGUCUUAGCAUACAGCAGAGCUUGUGCUUGAGCCGAAUUUGGCCCUUGAGGAACUCCAGAAUUCUGUAUUGCAGGGUUCGCUCCUUGCAUAUCAUUAGGGGCCUGCCCCCCGGCCCUAAUCCCUAUAUUUUGGGGCUGAUAAGCUGGUAAAGGAGGUAAACCCGAUGCAAUCUACGACUGAGGGCCGGCGUUUAUAUUCGCUGGCCUGUAAGCAACCUGGAAAGGUGCCAUUUGCGGUUGCGCCCGUGAGACCGCCGGCGUGACGGGAUUUUGUUGCACCUGCACAUUUAGGGGCCCUUGUUGCCCCCCAUAAGGUUGCUUGUUUCGGGUAAAUAAUUGUCUGAUUCGACCAAUAUUUUCAUUAUAGGCCGUGAUAGCGGCCAGCACCGCGUCUAGUCGAGCGGUAUUUUGAUGGAUAUUUUGAUCUAAAGUUUGCAGGACUCGGCUCAUCUGGCCGAGUGCCUGAGUUAGACUCGGCUCUUGAUGAGCCGACUGUCCACUAGUUUCUCCUUCAACUGGCAAAACUGCUUGACAUUCGCCAGCAUUGUCUGAAUCACUAGGAUGAUCACUUCCAGAAUUUUUAGGAACAAUCCUAUUACGUAGAUUCAUGGCGUUAUCAUCAGCCAUAAUUUAUAUAAAAUAUAAAUUUACCUAAAAAUGUGUCCCACCGGGCGUGCCAAAAUUGUUAGGAAGCCGAAUUUCCCGACCCUAGACCCAGUCAAAGAUCCUCUUCGGGGUAUGCGUCGGGGUGAGGAACGGCUGCGGAUAGUGACCUUCGAAGUUUGCGCCCUUCGACAGAUCAAGCGAUUCGGCUGACGAAGGAUCGGAUUAGCCGGGUUCGAAAACCUUUACUGUAGAAUCGGUUCGGCUGGAAGAGCCGAAUGUACGAACUGUGCAGGGAUCAAUGUCGGCAAAAGUGCCGAAUGGAAGAAGUACACAGUAACUAGUCGGCUGAAAGAGCCGAAUGGAAGGAGUACACAAUAACUGGUCGGCUGAAAGAGCCGAAUGGAAGAAGUACACAAUGACUACUCAGUUGAAAUAGCCGAAUGCCUUUAUAUAAUAAUAAAAAAGAGUGUGCCCGAAGGGCAUACAGACUCAGAAAUAUAGUUUACAACAGAGUGAUGCCCGUGGGGCAGACAGACUCUGCAAAUGUAGUCUACAACGGAGUGAUGCUCGUGGGGCAGACAGACUCCAGGGUUCUACUUAGCAAACUACUCCUAGGAAAGCAGUAAAUGCGGAAAAGAAAAAGAUUACAUUUAAACUACUAGAAAAGCGAUAAAAUGCAGAGGAAAUAAGGGUGGUCUUUUGUGCGCAGGGGCAAAGACCCCUAUUGCAGGCUUCAAAGUUACUAUUUAUAGCCCACAUUAUUAGUUGGUUGAAAGUAGUUGGGGGGAGUGGUUGUAACCAUGAUCGUGGAAGUUAUACUAACUCCUCAUGGAAGUUACGCUAACUCCUCAUGGAAGUUACGCCCAAUCUUCAACCGUUCCCGCCUUCUUGUUCUUCAGGCGCCUUAUUGCCGACUUCUGGUGUACCACGUGUCCUUAUUGGCUCAUACGUGGGUUAGGUCGGCUCAAUUUUGGUAUCAACAUACCCCUUAUUUUUUUGUUUCAAAUAUACCCGCACUAUUAGUACCCAUUAAAUUAUCUUGUGAAGCCCCACUUCACAGGGGGUCACCCAUCCUAGGACUACUCCCAUCCUAGCACGCUUAACUCUCUUAACCUCUUGGGCCUAGCAAACAUCCAAAAUACUAUAGCCGGGUUAAGAGCUUUUAGCUCUAUAAUAUCUUAUAUAUAGGACUACCUAAGGUCUUACAUUGUCUCCCCCCCCCCCAAGCCCCGAUAUUCUCGUCUAGUUCAAAUCACAAGUACCCAACAAUGUGAUACUCGUCUCGCUAGCUUUAACCAACCUUGUGAAGGAGCCGCGCUCUACCUACAACAGCAGUCGGCAUGAGAGCAUCGCUCUCUCUGCUGUAUGCCUGGCUCAGUCUAGACUUAUCUCACACUUUCGGCUAGUAAUUGGCUUUGAUAUCAACUGUGACACCCCACUUUCCAGGGGGUCACCCAUCCUAGCUAGGACUACUCUAGUCCUAACAUGCUUAGUUCUCUUAACCUCUUGAGCCUAGCAAUCACCCAAAAUGCUAUAGUCGGGUUAAAAGUUUUUAGCCCUAUUAUAUUUUAUAUAUAAGACUACUUAGGGUCUCACAUAUCUCGGGUUAAACCCAUAGUAAAUUUCUAGCAGAGUUAAAAAAAGGGUUAAUUGCAUCAACUCCCUAUAAACAUAGCAAAUUAUAAAUAUACCCCUACAAACUUCAACUUUUAACUUUUAUCUGUGCAAAAGUUUAGUGAUAUUCAUAUUUAUCCCUCUUGUCUAUUACCGUUAGAAAAUUAUUUAUUUUUUAACAGCAAAUAAGUGAACUGUCAAUUUUGGCAUCACAAAUAUGUCUCUCCAAAAGCCCCAAUUGUUAUAAUCGUAUAGAAAUGUACCCUCAAAAUAUUUUCAGUGGUCAUAUUUCUUCUCUUUAAAACCCAAUCCAUUCCACCAUUGUUGCAACCUCUUCUCCCACUCUUUUUCUCGUAAAUCUUUUCUUUUGAGCAAAAUAAGAAAAAGUUAUAAAGAAAAUUGAAUGGAGAAGCAAUACGCGUUCGACAUGGGCGGAGCAACACGCGCCAUGGAUGAAUGAAGACGGAGAAAUUCUAGUUACGAGUUCGAAACUAGCAUAAAGGAGAGAGAGAAAGAGGAAAAGGAAAAAAAAGAAGAAGGAGAGAUCCUACUGCUAGGGUAUUGAUUGAGAGAAAAAGAUAUGAUAUAAGAGGGUUAAAAAUGUCAAUUUACCGCAUUGACUAACCAGAUUAAGAAAAGUAUCAAGCCACUUGAUACCUCUCUACUGAACGCGAUAAAGUAUCAAGCCACUUGAUACCUCUCUACUGAACCAGUAGCUCACAACCAUUACUAUCGAAACAUCGACUUUACAAGUCAACAUUCGAAAUUAGAACGACCCUGGAACAUCUCGAAUCUAGACCAACUACAACUAACCCACAACACACCAAUUUGGGUGUUAGAAUAACCGCACACGAUGUAUGCCUUAACGAAAACUUGACACCAAAACUGCGUCAAUUUGACUCUGGGAGGAAGAAUGAAUGAGUUCAAGGUCAAAAGAUUCGAACCGCUAAUUCCAAUCAACAAUCAAGGAGGAGAGGUAGGUAUCGCAACCCUACCCAAUGGUCUGCGGAAGCAACACUAACAAUGCAGUCGCUGAAACGACUGCAAUCCAAACCCUGGGCUACACCCUAGUAGCCCCACUGAAGUCGCGACCGUAACUGGUCUAAGCACCGUCUCCGUAGAGACACCGCAAUAGCUCUCGUGUCCUAAUGUAACGAGAGUGGCCUGGCAGUGCGAGUCAGGGACACUCGCUAGGCCCAAAUCACUGCCUUUGUCAAGCCCCAUCUGACAGGAAUGCUCCACCUGGGGAACGUCGCCCAGCCACUCCGAUGUCGCGAAAACAGUCAUCCGCCGACUACACCGACUAGACACCACUUGUGCGAACCGUAACACAUACAGGAACCAUACACUUCGAGUUAACAGAAGACUGAAUGCACUAUCCGGGAUCACAACCCAAACCCCCGACGUCACUGGCCUAUAUACCGUAGGUCCUUUCCUAUAGGUCAACCUAAGCAAUGGUUCAGGUUCAUUUGGUUCAGUCAUUUCUUUCAAAAACAACUGUGAUGGGUGUUAUGCGGUUGUAACCUCUCUCGAUACCGACUUUAAUCGUCACGCCCCGGGGUCCCUGUUAUCAGUUUAAAACAAGCAGAAAAGCGUACUGAAAUUUUUUUUUUUUUUUUUGGAAAACGCUGAACCCCCAGAGUAUGCCAGAUCCCGCCACAAAUACAAGAAAUCCCUUGUUCACGACGACAGAAGUCUCCCCCCGCCCCCCACCCCCCCCCUCCCUCCCCGUAUUUGCCGGCGCUCGAUCAAAAUACACAGUACAAACCAGGUAUACAACCCAAGCCAGAGAUAAUAUAUAAAUAACUAUACAUUGCAAUUACAUUCACAAUUCACAAACACGUUUUUACAUUCAAGGUUUAACAUGAAAUCUACACAAAAAUCUUCUUGAAAAAGCUGUUUCCUACACAGAAACCUUUAUUCUUUGAAAAAAACACAUCCAGAGGGUAGAAAACUUUUUAUUUAUGACAAAAUCCAGAAACCACAUUUUCAAAUGUUUAAAUAAUAUACUGAACCACAUAGAACUACUAAUAAACUAUAUAUGCAACAGAAAUACCAAGGAUAAUAACUAAUGAAAAUACACCUGGGUCGGAAGCUCUAAUCGACCGAUACAUACACGUACCUACUAACGUCUCGUCCGCACUACUCAUCGCCCGCGUAUACGCUCGAAAAAAUGGUGGGGGAGGUGAGAAAUGUAAACAAUGUCUCCUCCCAAGUGGGUGAGCCUGCAGACCCGAAAAGCGAGAGCUACUCACCGAUCAGUAAGAUGAGCUAUAACAAAAGAAACGGAGAACUGGAUGUGAGGCGAGUAAGUGCUAAUACAGUAAAGAUCUGAUUUGAUAAGGGAGACCUGACAAGUAAAUGCAGGAAAUAAAACAGUACGCUACAAUAAACAGAUAAGGAUGUACCUGAAAAUAAACACUACAAACUCUGUAAGCAUGGCGUCAACUGCGCGAUAAGCUCAAGUCGCGGAACUAUGGACGGUGCGCCAUGGUGCGAAGACCUUCAGGCUCAUGCAUCACAAUGCCAACCUGUCCUGACCCUCGCAAUGAAGGCCCCUGGGUCAGAAAGCACCAGGUACCUGACCCUGCGCAAAUGAGCCCUGGUCAGAAGUAUAUACACCACAAUAAAGCCCGCUGGCUCACGGAGUUGGCAAUCCAACGACUUUCCUGAAGAAGAACACCCUCUUGCGGGUGGAUCGAGACGCUCGGUGUUCGUGAAAUCCGUACCUGCGUGGCGAUUCAAUUGUAGUAUGCUCAAAGAUCGAUCCAUCGCAACUAGCCACAAUUGUCCAUCCCUCAGGGCGAUCACCGUACCGUAUAGGCCAUCAGCAAUCUAAUCGCUUACGUAUGUCAAGAUAAGACUGUAGCAACUCGAUCGCGAUAAUAGGUCAUAGAUAUCAAAAUAGGGAACCGCCGCACCAAAUCACAGAUAUACGAUAGGAACUGUACGGCAACUCGACCGAAUAGGUCAUAGAUAAUCAAAUAAGGGAACCGCCAACCAAAUGCACAGAUAUAUGUGAACCGAUAAGUCAUACUGUAACUCUAAAGCUAUAUCAUAUGGAUAUCUAACUGAUAGAGGAAUGCAGAACAAACAACAGGUCAGAUAGAUAUGGAUGCUGCAACACGAACAACUAGGUUAACGAUACAGUGCAGAUAGAACUACCUCUACUCCUACUCAGGAUAUAAGCAUGGNNNNNNNNNNNNNNNNNNNNNNNNNNNNNNNNNNNNNNNNNNNNNNNNNNNNNNNNNNNNNNNNNNNNNNNNNNNNNNNNNNNNNNNNNNNNNNNNNNNNNNNNNNNNNNNNNNNNNNNNNNNNNNNNNNNNNNNNNNNNNNNNNNNNNNNNNNNNNNNNNNNNNNNNNNNNNNNNNNNNNNNNNNNNNNNNNNNNNNNNNNNNNNNNNNNNNNNNNNNNNNNNNNNNNNNNNNNNNNNNNNNNNNNNNNNNNNNNNNNNNNNNNNNNNNNNNNNNNNNNNNNNNNNNNNNNNNNNNNNNNNNNNNNNNNNNNNNNNNNNNNNNNNNNNNNNNNNNNNNNNNNNNNNNNNNNNNNNNNNNNNNNNNNNNNNNNNNNNNNNNNNNNNNNNNNNNNNNNNNNNNNNNNNNNNNNNNNNNNNNNNNNNNNNNNNNNNNNNNNNNNNNNNNNNNNNNNNNNNNNNNNNNNNNNNNNNNNNNNNNNNNNNNNNNNNNNNNNNNNNNNNNNNNNNNNNNNNNNNNNNNNNNNNNNNNNNNNNNNNNNNNNNNNNNNNNNNNNNNNNNNNNNNNNNNNNNNNNNNNNNNNNNNNNNNNNNNNNNNNNNNNNNNNNNNNNNNNNNNNNNNNNNNNNNNNNNNNNNNNNNNNNNNNNNNNNNNNNNNNNNNNNNNNNNNNNNNNNNNNNNNNNNNNNNNNNNNNNNNNNNNNNNNNNNNNNNNNNNNNNNNNNNNNNNNNNNNNNNNNNNNNNNNNNNNNNNNNNNNNNNNNNNNNNNNNNNNNNNNNNNNNNNNNNNNNNNNNNNNNNNNNNNNNNNNNNNNNNNNNNNNNNNNNNNNNNNNNNNNNNNNNNNNNNNNNNNNNNNNNNNNNNNNNNNNNNNNNNNNNNNNNNNNNNNNNNNNNNNNNNNNNNNNNNNNNNNNNNNNNNNNNNNNNNNNNNNNNNNNNNNNNNNNNNNNNNNNNNNNNNNNNNNNNNNNNNNNNNNNNNNNNNNNNNNNNNNNNNNNNNNNNNNNNNNNNNNNNNNNNNNNNNNNNNNNNNNNNNNNNNNNNNNNNNNNNNNNNNNNNNNNNNNNNNNNNNNNNNNNNNNNNNNNNNNNNNNNNNNNNNNNNNNNNNNNNNNNNNNNNNNNNNNNNNNNNNNNNNNNNNNNNNNNNNNNNNNNNNNNNNNNNNNNNNNNNNNNNNNNNNNNNNNNNNNNNNNNNNNNNNNNNNNNNNNNNNNNNNNNNNNNNNNNNNNNNNNNNNNNNNNNNNNNNNNNNNNNNNNNNNNNNNNNNNNNNNNNNNNNNNNNNNNNNNNNNNNNNNNNNNNNNNNNNNNNNNNNNNNNNNNNNNNNNNNNNNNNNNNNNNNNNNNNNNNNNNNNNNNNNNNNNNNNNNNNNNNNNNNNNNNNNNNNNNNNNNNNNNNNNNNNNNNNNNNNNNNNNNNNNNNNNNNNNNNNNNNNNNNNNNNNNNNNNNNNNNNNNNNNNNNNNNNNNNNNNNNNNNNNNNNNNNNNNNNNNNNNNNNNNNNNNNNNNNNNNNNNNNNNNNNNNNNNNNNNNNNNNNNNNNNNNNNNNNNNNNNNNNNNNNNNNNNNNNNNNNNNNNNNNNNNNNNNNNNNNNNNNNNNNNNNNNNNNNNNNNNNNNNNNNNNNNNNNNNNNNNNNNNNNNNNNNNNNNNNNNNNNNNNNNNNNNNNNNNNNNNNNNNNNNNNNNNNNNNNNNNNNNNNNNNNNNNNNNNNNNNNNNNNNNNNNNNNNNNNNNNNNNNNNNNNNNNNNNNNNNNNNNNNNNNNNNNNNNNNNNNNNNNNNNNNNNNNNNNNNNNNNNNNNNNNNNNNNNNNNNNNNNNNNNNNNNNNNNNNNNNNNNNNNNNNNNNNNNNNNNNNNNNNNNNNNNNNNNNNNNNNNNNNNNNNNNNNNNNNNNNNNNNNNNNNNNNNNNNNNNNNNNNNNNNNNNNNNNNNNNNNNNNNNNNNNNNNNNNNNNNNNNNNNNNNNNNNNNNNNNNNNNNNNNNNNNNNNNNNNNNNNNNNNNNNNNNNNNNNNNNNNNNNNNNNNNNNNNNNNNNNNNNNNNNNNNNNNNNNNNNNNNNNNNNNNNNNNNNNNNNNNNNNNNNNNNNNNNNNNNNNNNNNNNNNNNNNNNNNNNNNNNNNNNNNNNNNNNNNNNNNNNNNNNNNNNNNNNNNNNNNNNNNNNNNNNNNNNNNNNNNNNNNNNNNNNNNNNNNNNNNNNNNNNNNNNNNNNNNNNNNNNNNNNNNNNNNNNNNNNNNNNNNNNNNNNNNNNNNNNNNNNNNNNNNNNNNNNNNNNNNNNNNNNNNNNNNNNNNNNNNNNNNNNNNNNNNNNNNNNNNNNNNNNNNNNNNNNNNNNNNNNNNNNNNNNNNNNNNNNNNNNNNNNNNNNNNNNNNNNNNNNNNNNNNNNNNNNNNNNNNNNNNNNNNNNNNNNNNNNNNNNNNNNNNNNNNNNNNNNNNNNNNNNNNNNNNNNNNNNNNNNNNNNNNNNNNNNNNNNNNNNNNNNNNNNNNNNNNNNNNNNNNNNNNNNNNNNNNNNNNNNNNNNNNNNNNNNNNNNNNNNNNNNNNNNNNNNNNNNNNNNNNNNNNNNNNNNNNNNNNNNNNNNNNNNNNNNNNNNNNNNNNNNNNNNNNNNNNNNNNNNNNNNNNNNNNNNNNNNNNNNNNNNNNNNNNNNNNNNNNNNNNNNNNNNNNNNNNNNNNNNNNNNNNNNNNNNNNNNNNNNNNNNNNNNNNNNNNNNNNNNNNNNNNNNNNNNNNNNNNNNNNNNNNNNNNNNNNNNNNNNNNNNNNNNNNNNNNNNNNNNNNNNNNNNNNNNNNNNNNNNNNNNNNNNNNNNNNNNNNNNNNNNNNNNNNNNNNNNNNNNNNNNNNNNNNNNNNNNNNNNNNNNNNNNNNNNNNNNNNNNNNNNNNNNNNNNNNNNNNNNNNNNNNNNNNNNNNNNNNNNNNNNNNNNNNNNNNNNNNNNNNNNNNNNNNNNNNNNNNNNNNNNNNNNNNNNNNNNNNNNNNNNNNNNNNNNNNNNNNNNNNNNNNNNNNNNNNNNNNNNNNNNNNNNNNNNNNNNNNNNNNNNNNNNNNNNNNNNNNNNNNNNNNNNNNNNNNNNNNNNNNNNNNNNNNNNNNNNNNNNNNNNNNNNNNNNNNNNNNNNNNNNNNNNNNNNNNNNNNNNNNNNNNNNNNNNNNNNNNNNNNNNNNNNNNNNNNNNNNNNNNNNNNNNNNNNNNNNNNNNNNNNNNNNNNNNNNNNNNNNNNNNNNNNNNNNNNNNNNNNNNNNNNNNNNNNNNNNNNNNNNNNNNNNNNNNNNNNNNNNNNNNNNNNNNNNNNNNNNNNNNNNNNNNNNNNNNNNNNNNNNNNNNNNNNNNNNNNNNNNNNNNNNNNNNNNNNNNNNNNNNNNNNNNNNNNNNNNNNNNNNNNNNNNNNNNNNNNNNNNNNNNNNNNNNNNNNNNNNNNNNNNNNNNNNNNNNNNNNNNNNNNNNNNNNNNNNNNNNNNNNNNNNNNNNNNNNNNNNNNNNNNNNNNNNNNNNNNNNNNNNNNNNNNNNNNNNNNNNNNNNNNNNNNNNNNNNNNNNNNNNNNNNNNNNNNNNNNNNNNNNNNNNNNNNNNNNNNNNNNNNNNNNNNNNNNNNNNNNNNNNNNNNNNNNNNNNNNNNNNNNNNNNNNNNNNNNNNNNNNNNNNNNNNNNNNNNNNNNNNNNNNNNNNNNNNNNNNNNNNNNNNNNNNNNNNNNNNNNNNNNNNNNNNNNNNNNNNNNNNNNNNNNNNNNNNNNNNNNNNNNNNNNNNNNNNNNNNNNNNNNNNNNNNNNNNNNNNNNNNNNNNNNNNNNNNNNNNNNNNNNNNNNNNNNNNNNNNNNNNNNNNNNNNNNNNNNNNNNNNNNNNNNNNNNNNNNNNNNNNNNNNNNNNNNNNNNNNNNNNNNNNNNNNNNNNNNNNNNNNNNNNNNNNNNNNNNNNNNNNNNNNNNNNNNNNNNNNNNNNNNNNNNNNNNNNNNNNNNNNNNNNNNNNNNNNNNNNNNNNNNNNNNNNNNNNNNNNNNNNNNNNNNNNNNNNNNNNNNNNNNNNNNNNNNNNNNNNNNNNNNNNNNNNNNNNNNNNNNNNNNNNNNNNNNNNNNNNNNNNNNNNNNNNNNNNNNNNNNNNNNNNNNNNNNNNNNNNNNNNNNNNNNNNNNNNNNNNNNNNNNNNNNNNNNNNNNNNNNNNNNNNNNNNNNNNNNNNNNNNNNNNNNNNNNNNNNNNNNNNNNNNNNNNNNNNNNNNNNNNNNNNNNNNNNNNNNNNNNNNNNNNNNNNNNNNNNNNNNNNNNNNNNNNNNNNNNNNNNNNNUUUUUCUCGAAAAUCGUGCAUCGGAUCUGAAAUCCGUCAGUGCCAUUGGUUCCAGAAUAGCUGAUCCGAUCGAAACGAGCUAUUGGACCGCUAUGAACGGAGUCCGAUACGCGCCGAUAGCCAGCUCUACUCCGUGGCUUCACCGAAAAACCGGAGUUACUAUUCACUUAAGUGAAAACUAAUAAUCGCGUAACUUCUCCGUUUUAGCUCAGUUUCUCCUGAAACUUGACGAGUGCUUAUAUAAUUAAAUUACACACAUAAACAUCGUCAACAGAGAGUUUAGUAGCACUGUAAAAAUCUCAGUCCUUACAUUUUUCUUAUAUGCCUUUAAGUUAGGGGUACGAAAAGUAUUUUACUUUUUGGUCUUUUCAAAUAUAACCUUCGACCAUCACCAACAUUUCUUAUUUGUCCUUAAGUUAAGGGCAAAAGUGGCAUUUUAAUUUUUUUUAAUUGUGAUAGAUAUUUAACUCACGUUUAACUCAAGUUAACUUAACGGGUGGUAACUGCAGGGGUAUUUUGGAAUAACGGAUGAACAUAUGAGGGGUAUAUUGGAAAGAAAAAAAAAGUAGGGGUAAAUGAGAUAUUUUCGAAGUUUUAAGCAGGCAAUUAUCCCUUUUUAAUAUUAGCCUUCUAAGAAGGAUAAAUAGCUUGAAGCUUUAAAAGGGUACUUUUAAUAUUAGCUUUUUAAGAAGGAUAAAUAAGAAAGUCGGAAAUUUUGUAGGAAUAUAUAAGCAAUUGUCCUAAAGAUUUAUAGUAAAUUAAUAUAUUGUGUCAUGGAAGAUGAUAAAUAAUCUAAUUAAAUACAAUGAAACAAUUUUACAUCGAAAUGAUGUAAAAAAAAGUUUUUGUUCUUUUACUCGUAUGCAAGGUAGAAAUAUUUGAUCCAAUAAUAUUAUUUCAAUACAAAACAAUUGAUAGGAUGUGUUGGGUUAAAGGGACCAGUAUCAUGUCCUGUGGCGAGAGGUUAGGUUUGCCGACUCACGCUCAAAAUGACGUGAGGUGGGGUUGGACCAAGUCAUGCUCGAAGUGACGUGAGACUACUUCGGCCGAGUCACAGUCGAAAUCUAGUGGAUACUGUACCUAUACAUUUUUAAUAAAUUAGUUGUAUCUUACUUACAGCUCGAGGUUUUGAAAUUAAUGAUCAGCACCAACAAUUCUACAGGAUGCUUAGAAGAUGCCACAAAUCACAAUUGAUAUGCGCAAUGAUUAAUAGUUCAUCAACCUAAUUAGGUGCCUAGACACUAGACUCCAUCCCAAAGAUGCAUGUUCUCGGAAGGUUUAGGAGACAGCCUAAAAUUAACCACUAACUUAGAACCCCCACCGCCCUUCCGCCUCCUGAUUCUAAGUAGGGAGGUUAAUGGGUACGGAUGCUUGAAAUUUUAUUUGAAUCCAAAUCCGAAUGCAGCAAAUUUAUUCGAUGCUAAAUGAAUAUAGUUUCAGAUAUUGAUAUUGAAAAUAAAAAUUCAAUAGAUUUGGAUUCGGAUAUGGAUUUUAACUGUACACGACCCGAACCCGAAUUGGUUAUAUAUAUAUAUAUAUAUACAUAUAUAUAUAUAUAUAUAUAGAGAGAGAGAGAGAGAGAGAGAGAGAGAGAGAGAGAGAGAGAGAGAGAGAGUUGAGCUGGAAUACUAUCGGUAGCAAAUGUUUUUCGUUGCUACCCAUUUGUUUUCAAUGAUGAAGUCUCUAAAUCAACGAUCAGCACCGUUGAAUAUAAUCUAUACCACUUGUAGUAUCUAGAAACCAAAUUUCAUACUUUUUCAAUGUUGUUUUCUCGUCCAUCAAGUGAACACAAAAAUGAACGCCUGAAAAUGAAUUUUUUAAAAAAGUAAUGAUAGGAAUCUUUUUUUUUUUUUUGAGAGAUAGGUAGCACGCUACCCGCUUCGUUUAUUUCAUUUAGAAAUAAAUUUAGCUAGAAAUGUGAAUCAACCAGGAAUUGAACUUGGGUCUCGGGUACUAGCCACUAAGCCUUUUGCCACUUGCUCUAGGGACGGUCAGUAUGAUAGGAAUCUUGUAAUCAAGAUUGAGAGUAUAGAUCUUGUUCUAAAUAGUUUAAAGAAUUUUUUAACCAAAAUUUAAUUGAUUUGGAUAUAUCUUUACACUGUUAAACGAGAAAACGCCUCAUAUCGACCAUUAAAAUUAAAAAUUUUGAAACCCUUUGAUCAGUUGGUCAAUGAUGUCAAAAAGAUUUAAAAUUUAGUUUCUAGAUAUUUUAAGUAGUAUAGAUUAUGUUUAACAGUACUGAUAGUCAAUUUGGAGGCUCCAUUACCGAAAACAAAUGUGUGGCAAAUGAGUCCGUUUGCUACCGAUAGCAUUCAGCUUAACUCAUAUGUAUGUAUGUAUGUAUGUAUGUAUUUAUGUAUAUUUAAUGUUAUAUUUGAAUUUGCAUUUGAACUAUUUAAAUUUAAUGCAAUAUAUUUUGAAUAUUGUAAAGAGAAAUAAUUGCUUCUGGUUCGAGUUUUCAGCUUUUCGGUUUCAGUUCAGGUUUCGAAUUUUAGUCGUGUUUGAGUUUGGAUAUGGAUUUUUAAAACCCGUCAGAUUCGGGUUUAGGGUUUGGGUUUCAGAUUUGGCAUUUGGAUUUUUGAAAACCCGCUCUGAAUCUGAUGGGUUGAUAUUCCUAAUUCUAAAUACCUGUUAACUGAAGGCUGGAGGCACGAGUCCGGAUAAUUAAGUUCAUACAAAGGCACAAAUUCUUAAUCUCAUAACGAUUAUUUAAAAGCUUUUAGCCUGUAUGUUUCGAAGAUAUAAAUCAUAAAAUCAAAAUGUGAACGAUAUGGUGGGAUUUAAUGUUCUUAAAAGUAUAAUUUGAAAAUCAUAACCAUAAGAUAUAUUUGACACUAACAUGCGAGGGUUAUAGCCGCAUCCUUAAUACAUAGUUAGGGUGUCAACGGGCCGAACACGAGCGAGUUGGGCUAGCUCGUGUUUGGCUCGUUUCAUAAACGAGCCGAUGUCGAGCUGACUCAUUAAAGGAGUGUUAAUUUUUUUGUUUUGAUUGCUUUGGAAGGAAUAACACUAACAUGAUUAGUUAGGUUUUUUCUUUUUUUUUUUUCUUUUUUUUUUUUAAUUCGCUUGAGCAUUUUCACUGUUUUCGUUCCCAGGUUUUGAUGCCCUGUUUUCUAAACUUCUAUUUUACUGCAUAUUUUACUAAAUAUUCUAUUUGUUUGAUUACUGUUGUGCAUCGUAUAGAUUAAGACAACUUAAAUAAUUAACUUAUUUUUUUUUCAAUUAUUAUUAGAAAUUCAGUUGGGACAAAAAAAAAAUAAAAUGAAAUAAUUUUUGUUUAUCAAAUACAAAUUAUUUUUCAAAUCAAAUCGAAUUGGGUAGGAAACGAGCCGAACACGAGCUGGCUCACGAACAACAAGUUAAAAGAUUAGAAAGGGUAUAUAUGAAUGAUUUCUCACCUAUGUUUAAUGAUUAGCCCAAUGGUUAACCCAUCUGCAUGUUCAAUAAUUAAAGAUGUCUAAGAAUAUUCGUAUGGACAUAGAGGUAAAAGAAAAUAUUAGUAGCUUUGUAAUGAGUAAUUGAAGCAUUGUAUCGAAUAAUUCAAUAAAAGGGAAGGAGUAUUAACAAUGUCAUUUAACAACUACAUAAUGAAUUGAUACUUAGGGUGUGUUUGGAUUGAAGUCGGAAUCGGUAUCGAAAUUGGAAUGACAAUAAGCUAGAAACAGAAUCGAAAUGAUUCAUUACCUCUUUCUGUUUGAUUCACUACCUGAAUCGGAAUCGGAAUGAACCAUUCACAUUGUCAGUAUUUAGUUCAGAUAGAUAUCAUAAACGUAAUCAAAUUAAUAUGUCAAUAUUUUCUUUAUAAUAUAUUAGUUUAAAUUCAACUGAAAAUUAAAUAUUAAAAAUAUAGGUCAAAAUUUUAAAAUGAUGUCAAAAUUUUAAUAUAUUUUCUAAAAAAUUAAAAUUUGAAAUUAAACGAAUAAUUCAAAAUAUAAAACUAAUUUCUAUUUAUUCAAAUUCAAAUUUAAAAUUAUAGUUUAAAUUUCAAUUUUAAUCUAUAAAUUUAAUUUAAAUUUUAAAUAAAAUUUGAAUAAAACUUUAGAUUUUAAAUUAAAUUUAAAUUUAAAUUAAAUUUAUGAAGAGAUUCGAAAUGUUUGAUUGAAUUUUAAUUUUUAAUUUAAAUUCAAAUUAAAAUUAAAAUUUAUAUAUAUAAUUUUUAAACUUAAACUUAUGUUUUAAUUGAAAAAUAAGCUUAAAAAACUUAAAUUUAAUUCGAAUAAAUCCAUUCCACCCAGAGUCAAUUUCCAAUCUGGCCUCCUAGGCCGGAUUGGAAAAUCAGGUAAUUGGGGAUUCUAAUUCACCCGGGAAUCAAAAUUAGAAUGGGAAUCUAUAAUGACUCAGCACACUAGCAACAAUAACUCAAUGAGGCCAAACACUGGCCCAAAAUACUUAAGCUCAGUUCUUAUAUCUAGCCUAAUUAAGCUUAUAUACCCCCACAUCUAGCCAUAACUAUCCGUUGUGGAAUUAUUGGGUGUCACAUCCUCCCGUUUUAGGCCCUGACUUCCUCGUGAGUCAAAUCACACACAGAGCUAAGAUCACCAGGCGAUGUGAAACUCGUCUCAGUAGACUUGUCAUCCAGACCCUGGUAUAGCCGGUCAGCUUGUCAUUUAGAGUCUGAUAUCGCCUAUCUUAUCUUUCAGACCCUGGCUCAGUCGAGACGCGCCACACAUUUUCGGCUGGUGAACCAGCUCUGAUACCAAAUGUAACGACGGAGCCCAUUAGCAACAAUAACUCGUCCAGGCCGAACACCAGCCCAAAAUGCUUAAUCUCAAUUAUUAUGUCUAGCCUAAUUAAGCUUAUAUACCCCCAUAUCUAGCCAUAACUAUCGGAUGUGGGAUUAUUGGGGUGUCACAAAUCCCGCAUACCAAACACGGACAAAUGGAUUCAUCUAUUCUGAUUCCGAUUCCAAUGUAAAAAAGGGGCAAACCAAACACGCCCUUAGAUCAAAAGACAUUCUAAUACUAAAAGAAAUAUUCUUGCAAUAUAAUAUCACUUUUAAUAAGUUGAUAUUUUAAGGUAGUAGCGCCUUGCAUACAGAUAGAUUAUGUUUCGAAUGUCCCUUUUUCUUGUAAAAAAAAAACUUUAGCAAGGUUGUGAAUCUUUAUAUUGAUCACAUAGUAUUGUUCCUAUAUUGGACAUUGAAUAACUAUUCAUCAUAUAAAGAACAUGAAUUUCAAAUAAAGUGUAGAGACCUGAAAUUUUAGCUGAGGCUUGUCGACAGCUCUGGAGAGUGUCGGGACAAGUCCGGGUCGCGUUGGCGCGAAGUGGACGCCAAACGGGCCUUGUGGGAACUUGAGAGCAGCGUGUAUCUUGAAGAUCUGCGAAAUAGUAGAUUUUCAGUGAGCUGUACCGGUACAAAUCUGGGUUUGUACCGGUACAAAGUGGAAGCAGGGUGCAAGUUGACUUUUUGACCAUCUUGUCACAUCACCUCCCCUUUAACCCUUACCUUGGAGCAGAGAGGAGAGAGAGAGGGGAGCUUCUUCAUGCUGCUGCUGCUGCUGUGCUUCUUCUUCCUCUCCUUCUACUUCCCUUAGCAACCUAGAGUGUUGGAGGAGCUCAAGAGAAGCUCGAGCUUCGUCGACGACGCGCCGCGGAGCGGAUCGAGCGAGUUUUCGACGAGGUGACGCUGCGAGGAGGCCGUGCUACAGCCGAUCCUUGCCAUCCUCGACGAGGUGCUGCUCGCAGGGAGGGUUUGUCGAGGUGAGUGGCUCCUUGAGAUCGCUUUUAUGGCUUUAAACUUCUACGAUUGCAACAAACAUCCGGGUUCACCCCACUAAAGUCAACAGAUAGGGAGCAAGGAUAGAAGGAAAAGCAGGAAGUACCUCAAUACCAGCUUAUCAUCACACAACUUCAUAACCUUACAACUAACCAACCUGUAGUAAAGUCAAAUCUGAAACCAAAUUCCAAAUUGGGACUGUAAGCAUACCCGUCCCCCGAGACUGUGAAAACCGUCCCUGCCGUGGCGCAACUAUCGUGCUCUAUCCACCAUCCCGAAACGCGUCCGUCGGAAGGCAAAGUCCACUGGCUGAGCGACACCCACAACGGAGCACAAAGCCUGACAUCCGAGAGGCAACUCGUGCGCUUACCCCAAACCGAGUUAUGCAGCGUAAUCUCGUGUCGAGGCUCCAAUCCAGGAGCUCCCAACUAGCCAAAGUCAAGUAAGUCGCUCAAACUGAUCUAACAACCAUACAGGUAAACGUUGUCGGAACACCAGUCUCGACGCCAAAAAAAAAGCGAUACCGGUACCGUCAAACCUCCUGAUGGCACCCCAGACAGUCGCCGAAACAACCUGAACGACCCAUCCAUAAAUAUCCAACUCCGCGAACCAGCACGAGUGUAAAUACCAUUCUAGACUACCUGUGAAGUAUCGUCUCGAAGAAAUGCGACAGUACAAUUUUUCUCAAACGGCUUCCUAGAGCUAAAUCAGGCAGUUUAUACCAGGUGACAAGGUCCAAAUCCGCAGGUUUUCUCCGUAAUUCAAAUUUCAAGUCCAACACGUACUAGAUUACUUAUUUAUAAAACAUGCUCCAAAAAUUCCAGAUUUUACAAAUAAGCCAAUUAAAUUCCAUGAAUCUCGGCUACAUGUUAAUACCGACCAUCAAAAUCUAUACAUGUCGCCAAAAAUAAUGAACUUCACGCGAGUAAAGCCCGAUGUAACCCACCUCUCCAAGCAACUCCUGGCAGCGAAGAAAAGCUUAAAUCCGACCAAAAAGCAACCUUAUUCAAAUUCAGCAAUACAAGGGUCCCGAAGCCUUCGGUGCUUGAAGAUCAUGAAUCAAAUGGCCCAGGUUUCGCUGAUCCGCACGCUCCUACGCAGAGCACGGCCCAGAGUUUACGAACGUCGACGCUGGAACCCUGCGCAAACCAGCAUCUCUAAAAAUCUGGCUCCCGGCAAAACAGCAGCCUCAGUAAAACCACUACGGGUUCGACAAGGGCAAAUCUGCUCAAAAAUCGCGAUCAUUGGCUCAGAUCCUUCGUCUCGAAGCUCGUCGAAUCUAGCACCCUCAAAUUUGUCGCGGUUUCGCACUCCCUACACAGAGAACUAGGUCACACACAACGGCGGUCGAUGCUGGAACAGCAAUCAAGCCAACUCAGAGUCUACUCGCACAACAGCAACUUUCAGAAAAACGAUCUUCUUUGACAGACAAACCUUCUCGCCAAAAUCGGGGCCGGACGCUACGAAUCCUAUGGAUUCGUGCUCCGAAAGUCCCGGUCAACGAACACAAAAUCACUCAGUCGAGCAACACUCUCCGAUGCUCCUACGUCGCGCCCUUACGCAGUCCUGCAAAUACUAACCAAGUCCGCACCACCCAGAUCCCUUCGCGAACUCAGCCUAUAAGCUCGAUUGAAUGAAGCUUGAACAGUGAGGAAGAAAUCCAUGGAAGGAAUUGGAGAGAUUUCACCCACCUCAACAGCGACUCCCAAUAUCCCGGGCACGCGCCCGAGAAUGCACGAAAUCACACCUUCGCCGGCCUCCCUUCCCACAAUGUAACGACGACGAACGCAUCGCUCGAGCCCCACGGCAGCGCGCCGCGCAACGUCGACGACAAACAACCUCCGCAGCUCGAGCUCCUCCACCGUGCCCCCAACGAGUAACAUAAAGAUGAGAGAGAGGAUACGCCAAAUCUUAAUUCACGUAACCCCUGCCCACCCUUUAUCCCUAAUUAAGGCGGGUGGGGGAUUAAGGUUGAAGCGAGGUGACGAAAUUAUCAAAAGCCCCUCACCUUAUUAACGAUAUCAACUUUAGUCCCUCCCUACUCUUGAAACUUGGUUUUAAAGUCUGUUUUGUUUUUUUAACAUCUAUUCUGCACCAAAACGCAUUUGAGCCUCAAUCAAGCAUCACUUUACGUACAUAAAACCUGUUCAACUAAUUGCCUAACAGGUUUAGUAUCUCAGAUUAGAUGGUUGCNNNNNNNNNNNNNNNNNNNNNNNNNNNNNNNNNNNNNNNNNNNNNNNNNNNNNNNNNNNNNNNNNNNNNNNNNNNNNNNNNNNNNNNNNNNNNNNNNNNNNNNNNNNNNNNNNNNNNNNNNNNNNNNNNNNNNNNNNNNNNNNNNNNNNNNNNNNNNNNNNNNNNNNNNNNNNNNNNNNNNNNNNNNNNNNNNNNNNNNNNNNNNNNNNNNNNNNNNNNNNNNNNNNNNNNNNNNNNNNNNNNNNNNNNNNNNNNNNNNNNNNNNNNNNNNNNNNNNNNNNNNNNNNNNNNNNNNNNNNNNNNNNNNNNNNNNNNNNNNNNNNNNNNNNNNNNNNNNNNNNNNNNNNNNNNNNNNNNNNNNNNNNNNNNNNNNNNNNNNNNNNNNNNNNNNNNNNNNNNNNNNNNNNNNNNNNNNNNNNNNNNNNNNNNNNNNNNNNNNNNNNNNNNNNNNNNNNNNNNNNNNNNNNNNNNNNNNNNNNNNNNNNNNNNNNNNNNNNNNNNNNNNNNNNNNNNNNNNNNNNNNNNNNNNNNNNNNNNNNNNNNNNNNNNNNNNNNNNNNNNNNNNNNNNNNNNNNNNNNNNNNNNNNNNNNNNNNNNNNNNNNNNNNNNNNNNNNNNNNNNNNNNNNNNNNNNNNNNNNNNNNNNNNNNNNNNNNNNNNNNNNNNNNNNNNNNNNNNNNNNNNNNNNNNNNNNNNNNNNNNNNNNNNNNNNNNNNNNNNNNNNNNNNNNNNNNNNNNNNNNNNNNNNNNNNNNNNNNNNNNNNNNNNNNNNNNNNNNNNNNNNNNNNNNNNNNNNNNNNNNNNNNNNNNNNNNNNNNNNNNNNNNNNNNNNNNNNNNNNNNNNNNNNNNNNNNNNNNNNNNNNNNNNNNNNNNNNNNNNNNNNNNNNNNNNNNNNNNNNNNNNNNNNNNNNNNNNNNNNNNNNNNNNNNNNNNNNNNNNNNNNNNNNNNNNNNNNNNNNNNNNNNNNNNNNNNNNNNNNNNNNNNNNNNNNNNNNNNNNNNNNNNNNNNNNNNNNNNNNNNNNNNNNNNNNNNNNNNNNNNNNNNNNNNNNNNNNNNNNNNNNNNNNNNNNNNNNNNNNNNNNNNNNNNNNNNNNNNNNNNNNNNNNNNNNNNNNNNNNNNNNNNNNNNNNNNNNNNNNNNNNNNNNNNNNNNNNNNNNNNNNNNNNNNNNNNNNNNNNNNNNNNNNNNNNNNNNNNNNNNNNNNNNNNNNNNNNNNNNNNNNNNNNNNNNNNNNNNNNNNNNNNNNNNNNNNNNNNNNNNNNNNNNNNNNNNNNNNNNNNNNNNNNNNNNNNNNNNNNNNNNNNNNNNNNNNNNNNNNNNNNNNNNNNNNNNNNNNNNNNNNNNNNNNNNNNNNNNNNNNNNNNNNNNNNNNNNNNNNNNNNNNNNNNNNNNNNNNUUUUGGGCGGUACCCACUGAGGACUACUUGUUUUUAUAGUAGUUCUCACGCCCAGUUGUUACUUAUGUUUUGCAGAGCCACAGGUGUCGGCUGCUGCAUCUUCUGCCGAUCAGGAUCGAGGCAAGGGCGUUGCGAGCUAGAGCCCUACCCGACAGUCAGAGCUAGAGGCUUUCCCCUACUGCAGGUAGUUUUGUUUUGGAGUUUAUGUACAUAGUUGUUUAACUCGCCAGUGCGAGUAGCUUUGUAUUUUGGAUUCUAGCUAUGUAUAUGAAACUCAGAUAUUUAGCUUAUUUUUUUGAGCAGCUCUAUGCUACUGUUUGUAGCAUUGUAUUUCUACAGGUACUUCGACGCUUCGUAUACAGGAAAAAUUUCUUUGUAUACAGCGGAUUUGUCGGCGUGCCCGGAAAACGAGUCAUCCGGGGCGUGACAGAUUAAUUUGGUAUCAGAGCUUAGCAUUAGGUCGUUGGGACCUAGAGAACCUAAGUUUGGCAAACCUUAGGAAAGCAUGACGCGAGAGGCGUAAUCUAAUUGCGAAAGUCAAUGAUUAGUUGUUCUAACUCCUCCGAGAGUGGGGGAGUGAUUGAAGGAGUACUUGUUUUGGCCUGAGAAAUUAUAUUGGCUGCAGACGAUAUAAUUUUAGAGAAAAACAGGGGCUGCUUUCCAGACUUUCGUUGAUUGGGUCGAGAGUGUUUGAGUUGUAUCUGACCCCGUUCUGUUUCUUUCAAAUUGCUGCCGAGGUUGACCGUCGACCAGGGAUUAAGUCGCACCGCUAGAGAUGCCUGAACAGGCAGAGCCGAGUGCACGAUCGGAGGCAAGUGCACCUCCUGAUUUGAGAGAGCAGUUGGCUGCCCUAACAGAGGUGAUCAAGCAGCAGAGUGUACUAUUGCAGAGAAUUUAUGAAAUUAUCACUCAGUGGUCAGGCGUUGAGACAGGAGCAUCUGUGCAACAGGCACUCUUGGUGGGACACGGAGUUACGCCCGUCCAGGAGCGGACUAUGGCACCGGGGCAGAGCUAAGACAGGAAGCGCCCUUUUCCAGAUGAUGGAGGACAGGCGAGUAGCAGAUGUCCGCUGAGGCUUUCUCGAUCUUGCUCUCAGGGUCGUGGUUCAUCGGGGCGUCAGCAUUCCAGGGGAUUGCUUCAGCAGGGACCGUCACCGAGGACGCUGCGGUGCGUGAUUUGUGGAGGACCACACUGGCCCCGACAAUGUGAGAAGAAAGAGGGCCAUUGCUACACUUGUGGACAGCCAGGACUUGUGAGGUCAGCGUGUCCUAGAGCGACAUUUCCAGCACUAUCCAUUGCAUCAGCGCAGCCAGCUAACCAGCGGACUUUUGGAGCACCACCGAGUUACAGCCGGGAGGACUCUUCAGCAGCCGAUCGUAUAGUAGCAGGUAUCACUUUGAUUUUCGGCAUUUGUACUCGUACUUUAGUUGGUAUCGGUGCCUCGCAUUCUUUGUUAGCUGAGCAUUUGCAUUGUUGCAUGGUCUAGAGUUGGGGUUAUUGUCUUUGGCACGAGAGGUGCAUAUCUCCGACCAUGUUUUACAGGUUGCAGAGUAUUGUUGGUCGUGUCCGGUGCAGUUAGACUCGUGGUUUAUGCCCGCAGACCUGUUGGUGUUAGGGCAGCUGCAGGACUUCGACAUCGUGCUCGGUAUGGAUUGGCUGGCGCGGUACUAUACUACGAUCGACUGUGGAGCGAGGACGGUGAUGUUCCGCGAGCCAGGCCAGGAGGAGUUCACUUUCAGAGGCUGCAGGAGUACAUUGUUUGCCACCUGGAUAUCUUCGGCGAUGGCUCGACAGAUGCUGAGUAGUGGGUGUAUCGCUUUCCUAGCGACAGUUGUGGAGGUACCUACGGCGGCGCCGGAACUCGAGGACAUCCCAGUAGUCCGCGAGUUUCCGGAUGUGUUUCCCCCUGAGUUGACGAUGUUGCCGCCGGAGAGGGAGAUUGAGUUUGUGAUUGAUGUAGUUCCUGGAACUGCACCAAUCUCAAAGGUACCUUAUCGGAUGGCGCCGGCAGAGCUGAGAGAGCUAAAGGUACAGCUUCAGG